rnacentral:lncRNA from 1 species
CUGCAAUGUUAAAUUUUUACAUGGCUCAUUCAUUCUGGAUAUAAUUGAAGGAGGAGCAUUUUUUAUGGCAGGUCACGAUGAUCUUGUACGAAUCAUUACGACUAUAUCCCCCAGCAACAUCGAUUAUCCGGCGGGCUAAUAAAGACAUUGUAUUAGGAGAAGUAUCUAUACCAGCUGAUGUACUAAUCUCAUUGCCAGUGAUCAUAUUGCAACAUGAUAAAGAGAUAUGGGGUGAAGAUGCAAACAAGUUCAAUCCAGAGAGAUUUAGAGAAGGAAUAUCAAGUGCAACAAAAGGUCAAGUAACAUAUUUUCCAUUUGCUUGGGGUCCUAGAAUAUGCAUUGGACAAAAUUUUGCCAUGUUAGAGGCAAAGAUGGCUGUGUCUAUGAUCCUACAAAGCUUCUCUUUCGAAUUGUCUCCAUCCUACACACAUGCUCCUCAAUCCAUAAUAACCAUGCAGCCUCAGUUUGGUUGCCCACUUAUUUUCCACAAACUGUAACUUUUUGCUUGAACCUUGGUAUUUGUAUCAGGAAAUACAUCAACUUUGUAUGUCUUUUAACGCAGUUUAUUAUUCGUUGCAACUUGUAAAUCUUUAUAUAUAAAUUUUGCUACGCAUCAAAAGUAUUAGGUUUAGAUGAACUCAGUGAUCUCUACAUCCACAAUUGUCGUUGGCAGGUAUUGACAUGACAAGAAACGGUAAUGAUGGAACGAUAUAGUAAUUUUUUUAAAAAAUAUUGACGGUGUGUGAACUAGCUUACGAACAUCUCAAUUAUCAUUAAUUAGUUACUUGAACAAUCCUCAUUAGUAUCCUUCAUAAAUAUAUCAUUCAGUUGAUCUCUCCGUUUUACAUCUUCAAAAAAAAUCAGGUCAUCUUAAAUCGUAGCAUUGGUAAAGCGGAAGUCCAUUUCGAUAUGUUUAACUCUUUCAUGCUUCAUUAAUUUGGUCACAAACAAAUGUAAUAGAUCUUCAUCGAUUUUGAAACUGCAAAAUAAUCAUGCAAGUGAUUAGAGUAUAUGUCAAGUUCAAGAGUUCCUUUAAAGUAACACAAGUUUUGUUAGAGAUCUACUGAUCGUGUGUUUAAUGAUAGGUGUGUGUAUAAACUAGAAAGAAUUACGGUUUUAGUCUCUGAGUUAACGUGUUAUUCUAGUUUUGGUCCCUAUGAUAUCCGAUUAACCACUUUUGACCUUCAAUUAAACCCUAACUGCUAUUUUGAUCUGAUGACUAACGGAUCUCAUCAACCUGAAUGCACUAAUAAAAUACCUUGUAUAUAUUAUCCAUGAAAAAGUUUGAAGUCAUACUAAAAAUGUUAAGAGGUGAAAUCAAUAAAAUUUGCUUAAUUAGAUGCCCAAUCAGUAAAAAAUGUGCCUAGAUAUUAUAAAUGCUGAAAAAGAAUUUAACAUUUUUGCAUAUAAUUUAUUUUCAUAAAGGGUCAAAAAAGUGCUCUUACUAACGUUAUUGGUUCAUUUGGAUUGAUAAUUCAUGUUAGUUAUCUGAUUAAAAUAGCACGUAUUGCUUCAUUAAAGAUUAAAAAUGCUUAGUUGAAUAUUACAGAGAUCAAAGCUGAAAUAACACGAUAACUCAGAACUCAAAAGGUCAUUUCCUCGCAUAAACUAAUUGAAAAUGUUGAUUGCUCGGGCAAUAAAGGCAUACUAGUGAUGUCUAAACAGUAGUCCAAACCAGAGAGAGCAAAUUGAUAACCCGAUAAAACUAGGAAAAAAUACAUCAAAUAAACAUUUAAACAUAUCUGUUUUUGGUCAGAUAGAAUUUAAUUUAAAUUUGGUAUAAGGAGCAUCUCCUGACAAAAAGAGUAAACUCAUUCAACUUCUUCUUUCUGUGUUGGCAUAAAGCUAGUGGGUACUCCACCUAUAGGAAUUAAUUUAGCAACAAAAGCAAAAUUCUUGGCAAAUACGUAAGACCAUGUAUAUAUGAGGCUGACAUCUGAUUAGCCUUUAAGGUCAAGGAAGCUGGUGAUAAGGGAGCGGGCAACCAAAGCCAGAGUGAAUGGUGGCAUAAUUGUAACAAUUAAAUUUUACAUGUCUCAUUCAGACUAAGAUAUAACUGAAGGAGAAGCAUUUUUGUUGUAGGUGACAAUGAUCUUGUAUGAGACACUACGGUUAUAUCCCCCAACAAUAGCUAGUAAUAAUUUGGCGAGUAAUGAAGACAUUGAAUUAGGAGAAUUGUCUCUACCAGCUGUGCACUAGUCUCUUUGCCAGUGAUUUUACUGCAUCAUAUAAAGAGAUACGGGGUGAAGACGCAAACAAGUUCAAUCCUGAGAGAUUUAGAGAAGGAAUAUCAAGUGCAACAAAGGGUCAACUUACAUAUUUUCCAUUUUCUUGGGGUCCUAGAAUAUGCAUUGGACAAAAUUUAGCCAUGUUAGAGGCAAAGAUGGCUGUGUCUAUGAUCCUACAAAGCUUCUCUUUCGAAUUGUCUCCAUCUGACACACAUGCUCCAUCUUUCUCUCUUUGUGGCUGCUAAAAACUCUUUUCUGGAUGGUGCAAUAAGUCCUAAAAAAUCUAUAUAAAUGCCCCAUAGCAAUGGAUUUAUGAACAAAAAUGGGUUGGUUCAAUUGAGUUUUAUUUAUUCACAUAUGAAGGGAAAACGAUCCAUAGCCCAAUAAUUCUCCCCCUCACGACUGUGUGGAGGAGACCAUCAUCCCGGUGAUCAUGCAACAAUCUUCAACUUCCCUCUAAAAAGUAGCAAAUUCUAAAAUUUUGUGAUUUUAAACUAAAUAUGUGUAUGUAUUAAAAUUCUCUUCGAAUCUCUUGAUUCUUGUUGAAAGUUGCUUUAAGAAUGCAACUGUUUUUUUUCCUUUUUUCUCCAGCAAUAUUUUUUUUAACGUACAAUCCUAGUUAAAUUAGGAGUCCUAUCUUUGGUAGGAAACUAGUUAGUUAUUCUAAUUUUGGUAGAAAUACGUGUUUCUUUGUCCUAUUUUUAGUUGUAAUAACAACUAUCUAAGUUGCUAAGUUGAUGAUCAAUUAUAGUCGGUCUUUCAACAAGAAAAUAAUCUCUCUCUGUCUCUCUACAUAUUCUCUUCUUCAAACUCCAUCUCUGUUUCUGCGUCCAGCUUUAAAUUGAAUUCCUGUGUUAUUUCCCUUUAACAGUUUUAAACCAACAAUUGGUAUCAAAGCUUUAAUCUUAAGGGACCUGUGAGUGUUGUGCAUCAAUCUGAUCUAGUGGAUACCAUGAAUGGAGAAACAAAUUCUUCUUCAAUGGCACCACCAACUUUCGAUAGAGAAAGUUAUCAAAUCCGGGCAGUUAGAAUGCGGAUAUAUCUACAAGCUUUGAAUCUCUGGGAAGCUGUUGAAGAUGAACACGAGAUAGCUCCCUUGCCAGACAAUUCCACGGUGGCGCAGAUUAAAACUCACAAGGAGAGAAAAACUAGGAAAUCAAAGGCAAUGACAUGCUUAUUUACUGUAGUUUCAUCUAAUAUCUUGACUCGUAUCAUGUCUCUACAAUCAGCAAAAGAGGUAUGGGAUUAUCUCAAGACUGAGUAUGAAGGAGAUGAAAGGAUUCGAGGGAAGCAAGUGGUGAAUCUGGUACGUGAGUUUGAGCUGCAAAGGAUGAAAGAAAGUGAAACCAUAAAGGAAUACUCUGACAGACUUCUUAAUUUAGCAAAUCACAUCAGAUUGUUGGGUUCCACUUUCAAUGAUUCAAGGAUCGUUGAAAAAAUCCUAUUAACGGUACCUGAAAGAUUUGAGGCUACCAUAACAACCUUAGAAAACACUAAGAACUUGUCUAAGAUCACACUUGCAGAGCUCUUAAGUGCUUUUCAAGCGUAAGAGCAACGGCGUAUUAUGAGACAAGGAGGAGCUGUCGAAGGUGCCUUACCAGCCAAACAUCACGAUGAUGGACGUUCUAAGAAGAAGAAGAAUAAGAAGUACCAACCAACUGAUGAAGAAGGUGCAACGCACAACAAUAAAAUCAAAACAGGUGGUUUCAAAGGAAACUACCCUCCUUGUAAGCAUUGCAGAAAGCUCGGACAUGCACCUUUCAAGUGUUGGGAGAGGGCUGAUGCUAAGUGCAGUAAGUGCAAUCAGCUUGGGCAUGAAGCGAUCAUCUACAAGAACAAAACUGAGCAGUAAGAUGCAGAGGCUCGAGUUGUUGAUGAACUGGAAGAAGAUCAACUCUUUGUCGCAUCAUGUUUAACAAGCAGUGUCUCAAGCGAAUCGUGGCUGAUCGAUAGCGGAUGCACAAAUAAUAUGACUUGUGAUAAAAAUCUUUUUAAAGAUUUGAGCCCUACUAAAGUUACAAAAGUUAUAAUCGGCCAUGGUGGUUAUAUUCCAGCAAAAGGAAUGGGAACCAUUACAAUUGAAACAUAAUCGGGCACUAAAAUAAUUUCUGAUAUUCUUUAUGUACUCGAUUUGGACCAAAACUUAUUAAGUGUUGGUCAGUUAUUAGAAAAAGAUUUCAAAUGUAUUUCAAAGAUAAACACUGUUUGAUCAAGAAAGCAUCUGAACAAGACCUAUUUAAAGUCAAAAUGAGAGGCAGAAGUUUCUCAUUAAAUCCAUUGGAAGAAGAACGCGGAUUUCACCCGUUGUGUGUGGAGCCACCUCUACUAAAAGAAGAUAUCAGACCUGAUGAUGAAGGCUGGAUUUGUCCUGGUUGUGAUUUCAAAGUUGACUGCAUUGACUUGCUUAAUGAUAGUCAAGGAACCGACCUUUCCUUCACUGACAGCUGGGAGAAAGUAUAUCCCAAGGAAGUUGUUGCUGCGUCUGGGGAGAAUCUAGAUGAUAUUUCUGAACUUCCAUCUGAUGACUUGAAGGAUGAUGACUUCAACCUUGAAAAUCCAGAUGUAAAAAAAAUGAUUUUGAAGUUGAGGCCAGUUCUGAUGAAUCUACAAAGUAUGGGACUUCACAAGCUUCCAAGAAAAACGCUCGUUAUCUAAUGGAAAAGAUAAUCUUGUUAAACUUUAGGAUGCCAAGUCAGGGAUGGAACUUUCGUCAUUUCACGGGCAUAAGAAUACCGUUCUCCGCGUGAAGUGGAAUCAGAAUGGUAACUGGAUUCUUUUUUGCUUCCAAGGAUCAAAUUAUCAAGCUUUAUGACAUAAGGUCUAUGAAGGAUCUUGAGUCAUUCCGUGGGCAUUAGAACGAUGUGAAAUUAUUGGCCUGGCAUCUGUUUCAUGAAGAAUAUUUAGUCAGCGGAACCUAUGAUGGUUCAAUAUUUCAUUGGCUUGUGGGUCAUGAAGCUCCUCAAGUAGAAAUUACAAAUGCACAUGAAACUGGUGUUUGGGAUCUUUCAUGGUACCCAAUUGGUUAUCUCCUUUGCAGUGGCAGCAAUGAUCAGACAACAAAGUUCUGGUGCAGAAAAAGGCCUGGCGACUCCGCUCGUGAUAAAUUCAAUCUAGGACAGCAAGGUUUGGGUGAUCAAAACAAUGUUCUUGGUCGCAUGCCUGGUAAUUUUCCAGGUCUUGAGUCCCCCUCAACUCGUGGAGCAUUUACCUCCGGUAUAUUAAAAACUGAGGGUACAAUACCUGGAGUUGGAACUGCAGUGCCUCUGUCUAUCCCAUUACUUGAUUCAUCACCUCAAGGAGAACAGAAGACUUCAAUGCCAAUUUCAAUGCUUUUAGGAGCUCCUCCUUUUUCUCAUGGUCCACAUCCAUCUCUUCUUGCAAGUAAUCAGCAACAAGAGUAUCAACAAAAUAUGCAGCAAGUUCAGCAGCAGCAGUCACUACCUCAACAAAUGACUUCUCUUCUUCUGAAGCCUUCAAAUUUGCCACAGUUAGAAGACCUGUUCACUAAGCCACUUCCAAUCAGCAAGUUCGAGCUUCUAAGGCAAAGAAUUGGUGUUUGCAUUUCAUAAAGCAAGGAGGAGUGUUGAAAGUUGCUUUAAGAAUGCAACUGUUUUUUUCUUUUUCCUUCAGCAGUUUUUUUUUACGUACAAUCCUAGUUAAAUUAGGAGUCCUAUCUUUGGUAGGAAACUAGUUAGUUAUUCUAAUUUUGGUAGAAAUAGGUUGUUUCUUUAUCCUAUUUUUAGUUGUAAUAGAAACUAUUUAAGUUGCUAAGUUGAUGAUCAAUUAUAGUCGGUCUUUCAACAAGAAAAUAAUCUCUCUCUGUCUCUCUGCAUAUUCUCUUCUUCAAACUCCAUCUCUGUUUCUGCGGCCAGCUUUAAAUUGAAUUCUUGUGUUAUUUCCCUUUAACGGUUAUAAACCAACAAUUCUAAACAUGUGAUGUGGGAUGUUGAAAAUAAAUACUCCGUCCAUUUCAAUUUGUUUGUCUCACUUUCCUUUGUGUCUUUAUGGAAAAGAAUAUCUACUCUUUUUUGGAAACAUUUUGAUUUCAAUUUUUCACAUUUUGUGUUCAAGACCAUAAGCUUAGAGAACAUUUUGGUACUUUUCACUUAUUUUUAUGAGCCUUCGUCCUGUUGUUGUUUUAUAAAAUUUCACAGUGAGUCAUAUGCCCAAAGUAGUUCCUGUGCUCACACUUGAUUACUGUUAACAUAUAUUUUCUCUUCUAGAUUCUCCGUGAAAUGUAUUGCUAUGAAUUCCCAUGAUUAUGUAUGAGUUGUUGCCCUAUUGCUAUAUAUUCACCAUAUCUUCGACGAAAUCAUAAUUCAUCCAAUAUGUAACUGAAUUCUAUAACUCGAUUAGCUUGACUUCGGUAUGAACAAAGAAGGAAACUAAAUAGUCGUGCAGUGGAUCAAGAAAACAGAAUAGUGCUACAGUGAAGCCAAAGGAAAAAAAAAUAGAACUGCAUCUCAAAAAAAAGGGUAGGUACUUCAAUUUUCUCAUUUUUACUUGUAUAUUUUGGUGUAUUAUAAAGAUAAUACGUGAACUGAAGUAUAAUUUAGAAUAAAAUUAUAUGUCAGGACCCAUAUUCUCCCCAUAGGAUUACAUUUUCAUAUUGUCUAUUAGAUUAUGGUUUAUGCGGUUGAAAGAUCUAUUUAUAUGAAUUGAUCAUCAAAGGCUGAGAAGAUUCAUUUUUUGAUGGGACUGGUGCACUGAGCAUCUAAAGAUGUUGAGCUCAAAAAAUAUUUGUACAAUAUUUCUUCUAAAAGGUUAGUCAUUUUAUCAAUAAGUUCAGGUUAACAACAACAGUCAUCUCAGCCCCAACAGCAAGCUCAGGCACGACAACAACUUAACAGCUCAGCCACGACGACAACACCUUCAAAGCAUGUAUCAAAGUAAUAGCUUUUGGAAAUAUCCAAUCUUUGUAUAGUAAAAGAGUAGGUAUACCACCUUGUCACCCGCAAAUGCCUCCUAUUUCGUCAUAUUCUCAGAUCCCUUUAACCAGGCCAUGGGAUAAACAAACGAGUAUGCAGAAUUUUUGUAAUCCAAGGCUAUCACAUUCACGAUCUUUAUCACAACCAGCUGUUCUUUGUUGAAGAAAAUUUGUUCUAUAACAGGUUGAUCCACAAAGUUGAUACUGUAAUUGAAACGGACAGGAAUAAGCAAUACCACAAAACGAAAGAAAAUAAGAAGAACACACAGAUUUUACAUGGAAAUCCUUGACAGGAAAAACUAGGGGUAGAGGAGGAGAAGAUUCACUAUGAUGAAGAGGAAUACAUGGAGGAGACGAAGGUUUCAAUGAUGUAUAUAAACUACCACAAACAACCCACUAAAUCACACUUAUAUAAUACGUGCGUACAAAUAAAUCCUAAGUCCAAAAAAUCUCAAACAUGGAUCGCAUCGCAAACUUUUUAGAGCCGGGUCAACAAAAUUCGGGUCACAAACUCUAACGGAUACAAUGUCCUUUAUAAUUGGAAACCAUCUCAUCAAUGUGUGUGGUUGCAUCCUUUGCUGUUUUUGUUAAACUCGUGUUUCAUUUGUUGAGCAUUACGUUCCUAAUGUAAGGAUUCUCACACACCAAAUGGUUCUUUGAUACCAAAUUUAGUGUAUAUUUUGAUGAAAUUGUUACUCAUGCAAUAAAGAGGAUAUAUUAAUUUCACUCGACAAGGAACAGAACAACUUAUUAUGUUCGUUUUACUGUCUAGGCACAGGACUUGGCGUAUGGAGGCCAGAGGGUACUUUAAUAAAGUGUAAGUCUCAUGCAAUUUCGGAAAUUGGGUAGUUGAGCAUCUUGUGAUUUUAUUAUUUACCCUGCUUUUUUUUUUUGAGGUCUGAGUCAUUUGUGCGUUAUAUGCAGGCUUCAUGUUGUUGCAUCAAACACCGUUAAUUGAAACAAAUGAUUCACUGCUAUUGUUCCUCUUUCUUCUUUUGUUUUGUUUGUGGGAGGUUUUCGUUAUAAUACAUGAGAUGGAAAAGCAGUCCUGAUUCUUCAUAAAUAGAGCCGUAUCUGCAAUUUCAGAUAAUAAUAAUGAAAUCCAUCUCUGUCCUAUAGUGCUCAAUAAUUUGGGCCAAAAUUGAAAUUGACGUAAUAUAAAAUAAUUUUUGACAAGAAAUCAUACCCGACAUAUAAUAGACAUGCAGCUUAUCUUUGCUCUUUUUAUCAGAUGAUAAAUUCAAAAAUAUAUGGCAGCAUGUUGUUCAGAAGGUUUGUAGAGAAAAGGAAAUCCUGAUUUUAUUGAUUGUAACAGGAAUCCAAAUCUAGAAAGGAUGUGUCCGGAUCACUUGAGCUGAUAAAAAUAUGUAUCCUCUCAAUGCAACAACUACUGCCAACAAAGGAUUAAACAGACAUUAAAAAUUCAAAUGGAACAGAACCUCUCGCUGCACGCAAUAGCGGAAAGCAAUACCGAACAGGCAUGGAUUGUGCUCACUUCCCUGCUCCUUCAACCCUAUAAUUGAAACAAGGAGUGCAAUUUGGAUAAACUUAGUAAUUUUGAAUUUAUCGAACCCAUUAUCCAGAAGGAUUUUGAUAUAGGAUUCAACUAGCAUAGGACAUUGUCUCGAUUGCAACAAAUACAUUUUUAUAUGGCCAUUGAUCAAAUAUCUCUCAACCUUGUGAUGCAUCAAAUUUCUUCAUUUAUGUAAAUAAGAUAUGCAUAAUUACAUAGUAAAACUUGAUUUUUCUACUUAUAAUUCUAACUGAUACAAUUUAGCUUAUAGUACAUAAACAUCUUGCUUUGAUAUUGAGCCUGUGCAGACACGGACCGCACACCUCUAGUCAUUAAUAAACAUGUGCCACUAUCAUAAUAAAAAAGUUGUGAAUAAUUAAUUAAAAUUUGAAAGAAAAUGACUCUUUGAAGUUUUUUUUAAGAAAAUCAGCCUAAUGCGCUAAGCUCGCGUCGUACACAAGGUUCGGGGAAGGGUUCGACCACUAGGGUAGUCUAUUGUACGAAACAUCACCUUAUAUUUCUACAAUGAGUCAUUCCACGACUUGAACCUAUGACCUCCUGGUCACAUUACAACAACUUUAUCAGUUACUUCAAAUCCUCCCCACUUUUUAAUUUUUUUAAAAAAUAAUUUUUAAAACUUGAAGUUGUGUUUAAACUUUAAACGGGAAAAUUUCAUCCAUGAUCACUUAACUAUGUAUCUAUUACUCAAAAGUCAUUUUUCUUUCAUUCAUUUCAUCCAUAGUCAUUUAACUUUACUUUGACCAUCACAAAAGUCACUAUGAUCGGAUUUUACAAUAAUUUCAUCGAAAAAAUGAUGUGGCAACCUUAAUUAAUUCUUAAUUUAAAUUUAAGUGAAUAUAUAAUAUAUUACUCAUAUCUUGACCCUUUUUACAUGUGCACAACACAAUUUUCCUUAUGGACUAUUUAAUGAAAGAAUACUAAUUUCUUGAUAGAUUAGAUUGCCUAGACUAUUUUAUUAAAAAAAUUUAGUUGAUAUUUUUAUGAAAUAAAAUUAUACUUAUAUAUUCUUAAAAUUCUCUAAAGUUGAGACAUGUGUUGGUAAAUUAUUUUUUCCUCUAAUAUGAUGGUAUGUAGUUGAUAAAAUUAUUUUUCUCCCUCUAAAAUUGUGACAUGUAGUUGACAAAAUAAUUUUUUUCAUACAUUUUUUUUCUCACCACUUGAGUCUUUGCAUUCGGUAUAUCAUAAUAAGAUGAUAAACUACUCUAUUUAUUGAGUUUAUCUUUAUAUUUUUAAUUGUUUGACUAAUCGAUUAAUUCUCUUAAAAGUUUUUAUUAUAAGAUUCAAUUUCUUAUGAAUUACAUAUUUUUAAUUAAUUUAAUUGAUAAAUAUAAAAAUUAGAUAUCCUAUAAUUUCUUUAUCUAUUAAAGUACUUAUAUUUUAUAACUUUUAUUAACAAAACUAUACGUUAAUAUAACAUUAUUUGUAAAAUUUUGACAAUACUUAUUCAAUGACACAAUUAAAAAAAAUGAUUUUAAAACUAUCUUUAGCAUGUUGAUUUAUCUUCAAAGAAUUAAAAUAUUUUUUUUUAAAAAAAUAAUAUCAUACAAGUAUUUCUAUUUUAUGUGUUUUGAAGAAUUUAUCUUAUUUAUCACUCUUUUUCGAUGCACCUUUUUGGUAGAUGAAUGCAAUAUUAUGAAAUAUUUCAUAAAAAUAACAAUCAAUUUUUUCUAUGAAAAUAGUCUAUUAAGAAAUUGGUAUUCUUUCAUUAAAUAAUCCAUAAGGAAAAAUUGGGUUUGCACAUAUAAAAAAGAUCAUAUUAUAUAUUCACUUAAAUUAAAAUUAAAUUUCUUUCCUACAUCUUAACUAAUGCAGCAUUCUGUUUUUCUGUUUUAUGUAAAACUAUUUCAAAAAUUUUUGCCAACAAAGAGGAACAGAAGAAUGAAGCAAAUAAACAAGGAUGUUCGGUCCUCAAUUCGAGGUAUUAUUGAUAAAAGAUUGAAGGCAAUGGAAGCAGGGGAGGCUGACAAUAAGGAUCUUUUAGGCAUAUCGCUUGAAUCAAAUUUUAAAGAAAUUGAACAGCAUGGGAACAAGAAGUUUGGAAUGACCAUUGAAGAAGUCAUUGAAGAAUGCAAGCUAUUCUAUUUUGCUGGCGCAGAAACAACAUCAGUACUACUCGUAUGGACUCUGAUGUUGUUGAGCAAAUAUCAAGACUGGCAGGCACGGGCCAGAGAAGAAGUCUUGCAAGUGUUUGAGAGUCGUAAACCAGAUUUUGAUGGAUUGAAUCGUCUAAAAGUUGUGAGUAUUGUGGUUUUAUUGGUUCAAUUUAUCUGCCAUGAGUUUCUACUCUCAUUGUUAUUGCAAUUGCUUGAGUUCUUAAAUUUUUAAAGUUGGGACUUUCUGAUACUAAUUUGAUAGCGGACCAGGGAGGGGGUUGGGGGGAGUAUUUUUCCAAGCGCAUGUGAAUUUAUUUUGAUCAUAGGUGGGAUGAGACUUGAACUUAAGAUUUCUAUGUUGGUUACAGGAUAGUGCAGUACUCCACCUGUAGAAAAUAGUGUAACAACAAAAUUGAAAAGAGCUUGGCGAGUAGCCCCAUAAUUUCAGGAUAAGGGUCGCCUCCUCACAGAAAAAGGUCGCAGCGAUCAGGCCCAGAAGACUGUUUACCAAAAAACACAGGUCUUGGCAGAGUCAUAAAACCAUGUAUAUAUGGGACGUCUUCCCACUCUUGAAGGUCAAAGAAGUUAGUGACCUGAUGAUAAGGGAGUAGGCGACCAAAUCCCCGGUGAACAGUGUCCAUAAGCCCGUAACUGCAAUAUUAAAUUUUACAUGUCUCAUUCAUUCUAGAUAUAAUUGAAGGAGGAGCAUUUUUAUGGCAGGUCAGGAUGAUCUUGUACGAAUCAUUAUGACUGUAUCCCCCAGGAACAUCAUAUAUCCGGCGGCUAAUAAAGACAUUGUUUUGGGAGACCUGUCUAUACCAGCUGAUGUACAAAUCUCUUUGCCAGUGCUCUUAUUGCAUCGUGAUAAAGAGAUAUGGGGUGAAGAUGCAAGAAUGUUCAAUCCAGAGAGAUUUAAAGAAGGAAUAUCAAGUGCAACAAAGGGUCAAGUCACAUAUCUUCCAUUUUCUUGGGGACCUAGAAUAUGCAUUGGACAAAAUUUUGCCAUGUUAGAGGCAAAGAUGGCUUUGUCUAUGAUCCUACAAAGCUUCUCUUUCCAACUGUCUCCAUCAUACACACAUGCUCCUCAAUCCAUAAUAACCUUGCAGCCUCAGUUUGGUUGCCCACUUAUUUUCCACAAACUAUAAUUUGGUAUCUUGUAAGGUGUCUUUAAUUGUAAUUUGUAGUUUAGUUUAUUCAGGACUCAAAUCAGGGCGGAGUUAUAAUAUUAAAUAGGGUGCUGAUCAACUCAGUAACUUCUUGCUUGAACCUUGGUAUUUGUAUCAGGAAACCCAUUAACUUUGUAUGUCUUUUAAUGCAGUUUACUAUUCGUUGCAACUUGUAAAUUUUUAUAUAUAAAUUUUGCUCUGCAUCAAAAGUAUUGACUUUAAAUGAACCCCCGGUGAGUGAACUCUACAUCCACAUUUGUAGUUGGCAGGACACCGGAAAUAUAAGAUGGUUUGGAAAGUAUUGACAUGACAAGAAACGGUAAUCAUGGAACGAUAAGUAAUUUUUUCUUUUAGAAAAAUAAUGAUGGUGUAUGAACUAGCUUACGAACAUCUCAAUUAUCAUUAAUUAGCUACUUGAACAAUCCUCUAGUAACCACCAAGUGCACAUAGGAUAAAUGGAGUGUCUUGGUUGAAACUACUUAAAAAAAGGAAUUUCUCAUGUCUCAUUUCACAAAGAAUUAGUGGCUUAAGUUGGAGCAUAAAUAUAAAUCAUACCCAACUUGACAUGAAAAUAUUCCAUCUGGAUCUUAAAUCGUAUCAUUGUUAAAAUGGAAGUUCACUUCGAUAUGUUUAACUCUUUCAUGCUUCAUUAAUUUGAUCACAAACAAAUGUAAUAGAUCUUCAUCGAUUUUGAAUCCAGUUCAAUCGACAACUGCAAAAUAAUCAUGCAAGUGACUAGAGUAUAUGUCAAGUUCAAGAGUUCCUUUGAUCUACUGAUCGUGUGUUUAAUGAUAGAUGUGCUUAUAAACUAGAACAGAUGGCGGUUUUAGUUUCUGGGUUAUCGUGUUAUUCUAGUUUUGGUCCUUCUGAUAUCUAGCUAAGCACUUUUGAUUUUCAAUUAAAUAAUAUCUGCUAUUUUGAUCUGACUUGUAUAAUAUUAUCCACAAAAAAAGUUUGAAGUUAUACUAAAAAUAUUAAGAGGCGAAGUCGAUAAAAUUUGCGUAACUAGAUGCACAAUCAGUAACAAAUGUGGAGAAUUUAGAUAUUAUAAGUGCCGAAAAAGAAUUUAACAUUUCUGCCUAUAAUAUAUUUUCAUACAGGGUCAAAAAAGUUCUCUUACGUUGUUAUCGGUUCAUUUGGAUUGAGGAAUAUAUAUUUUAGUCAUCUGGUCAAAAUAUCAAGUAUUUCUUAAUUAAAGGUCAAAAGUGUUUAGUCGCAUAUUACAGGGAUCAAAAUUGGAAUAACACAAUAAUUCAAAAAUUUAAAAUGUCAUUUCCCUGUAUAAACUAAUAGAAAAUGUUGAUUGCCCAGACAAAAGGCAUAAUAAUGAUGUCCAAUUGGUAGCCCAAACCAGAGAGGUCAAAUCUAUAACCCGAUAAAACUAAGAAAAAAAUACAUCAAAUAACAUUUAAGCAUAUUAUUUUUUAUUUUUGACCAGAUAGAAUUUAAUUACAAUUUGGUGUAGAGGUAUCAUGACGAAAAGGGGUCACAGUGACCGGACCCAGACAAACGGGCACAUCAAAAUCGUAAGACCGUCAAAUAUUAUAAUAUCAAAAUUUCAACAUAAAAAUUUUUAAUUUCAGUAUGAUAAUUUGAUAUUUAUCAAAAGCAAUACAGGAUGACCUCAAGCUUCUCAAGCAAAACCAUCAAUGGAUAGCUGUGAAUCAUUGGAACAUUCGAGAGAAAGAGAGAGUAAAGUAAGAGAGGAAAAAAAGCCUUCAACUUUAUUGAGAUGAAGAGAAAAAAUAUCUGAGAUGCUUAGUGUCCCCACUAACUGUUCACAUAUAUAUACAUACAAUUGUGGGCCGGGUUGUGUGAUGUAAAUGUGGGCUUGGAAUGUAAACCAGUGUAUCUAUAGGUCCAAUAUACACGUAUAUAUGCUUAUAAAAAUGUGUAUAAAAUGUAUAUUACUUGUGCUACUAUGUAAUAACUCCAAUACCCCCCUCAAGCCGGAGGGUGUAAACACUCCAAGCUUGCCAAGAAUAUUAUGAUAAGCAGGACUAGGGAGUGACUUUGUGAAUAUAUCAGCUAGCUGACCGGCGGAAGAAACGAAAUGCAAGGAGAUAAAACCGGAGUGCAAGCAAUCACGAACAUAGUGGCAGUCAAUCUCGAUAUGCUUGGUGCUUUCAUGGUAGACAGGGUUUCUGGCAAUGUGCAAAGCAGCCUAGCUAUCACGAAAAACAGAGACUGGGUCAGACACAGGGCAACCAAAAUCAGAAAGUAGGCGUACCAGCCGUGAAAUUUCAACCACCACUUUGUGCAAGGACAUAUAUUCAGUUUCAGCUAAAGAAAGGGAAACAGUAGGCUGCUUCUUACUCUUCCAAGAAAUAGGGGAACCACCUAAAGUGAUGAAAUAACCAGUAACAGAUCUACGAGAUUGGGCACAUGCAACCCAAUCAGAAUCGAGAAUGCCAGAAUAGUCAUAUCAGGGGACUUGGAAAGCAGCAGGCCCUGAUCGAUCAGGAGCAUGUAACAAAUAUCUAAGAACAUGAAGCUGAGUAAGAAGAUAAGGCACUUAAGGAGCCUGAAGUAAUUGACUAAAAUGUUGAACUGAAUACGAUAUAUCAGGUCGCGUGUGUUGAAGGAAAUUCAUUUUUCCCACAAGUCGACAAUACACAGAGGGAUCAGUGAGAGGAGCCCCCAUAUCAGUUGUCAACUUAACAGAAUGAUCAAGAGGUGCAGUAACAGGUGUGAAAUUAGCAUAGUGAAAUUCAGACAAAAGCGCAGAAGUGAACUUUUUCUGAGACAUGAGAUACCCUUGGGGAUGGAAAGUGAUCUCCAAACCCAAAAAGUAAUGCACUGAUCCAAGAUCCUUAAUCAUGAAUUGAGAGUCCAAAAAAUGUUUGAGAUCAUCAAACUCAUAAAUGUCAUCCCCAGCAAGGAGGAUGUCAUCCACAUAUACAACCAACACAGUAUAAGAACCAACAACAAAUCUGGUGAACAAUGAAUAGUCAUUUUUGCUAGAAGAAUAACCCCUUUGAGACAAAGCUUCAUAAAUCUUAGAAAACCAUUGUCAGGAUGCUUGUUUCAACCCAUAAAGAGAUUUCUUCAAUUUACAAACCAAAGGAGCAGUGGAAAAAGUAGAGGAAGAUACCUCCAGUCCAAGAGGUAGCUUCAUAUAAAUAUCUUCAUGAAGGUCCCCAUGAAGAAAUGCAUUAUUGACAUCUAAUUGGAAUACAGUACAAUUCUAUUUAACCGCUAUAGACAAGAGGACCUUGAUGGUAGUGAACUUGACAACUGGGGAAAAUGUUUCAUUAUAGUCAAUCCCUUCCUUUUGAGUGUCAUCCAUAAUGACCAAUCUUGUUUAUAUCUUUCAGUGGAACCAUCAACUCUAUGUUUGAUUUGUACAUCCAUUUAGAAAAAAUGGGUUUCUUAUGUGGAGGGAGUGGGACAAGAUCCCAAGUGUUGUUAGCCUCAAGGGCUUGAAAUUCUUUAAGCAUAGCAUCUUGCCAGGCAGGAUGAGAAACAGUUUGUUGAUAAUACUAUGGUUCAAAUGCAGUAGCCUCAGUUGGUGGAGCAGAAGUAAAAGAAUGACAAACAUAGUCUGAGAGGUAUGCGGGAGCAGAGACAGAUCUGGUGGAUCUUCUCACGGGAAUAGAGGAAGCAGGUUGUGCAGGGGUUGAAGAAAGAGGAUGAGUGGGUUUAGGUGGAGAAAGAAUUGAUGAUGUAGGAACAAAAUUGAUAGGUGAGGUAAAAGGAAUAGGGAUAGAAUAUGAGGGAGGAGGGUAGUCCAAAGGAAAAGAAGAUUGGGGAGGGGAACAAAUAGAAGAAGAGUAAGGAAAGAUAUUUUCAUGAAAGAACACAUCCCUAUAAAAAAAUAUGGAUUUGUUAGAGAGAUGCAGUAGCUUGUACCCUUUCUUACCACAAUGGUAGCCAAGAAAAACACAGGGAAUAGCCCUAGGAUCAAAUUUGUCCCUUCCAACUGGAUGGGUAGUAGCAUAGCAGAGGCAUCCAAAAGACUUGAGAUGAUCAUAUAUGGGAGGUGAACCAUGUAACUUUUCAAAGGGGAACAAAACAUGUAGAACAUAAGAUGGGAGUCUAUUUAUGAUGUAAGUAGAAGUGAGUACGCAAUCUCCUCAGUACAUGGUUGGGAGUUUAGAUGAAACAAUCAAGCUCUAGAUGUUUCCAAAAGAUGUUUGUGUUUUCUUUCCACAACACCAUUUUGUUGUGGUGUGUGAGGAAUGGCGGUUUGAUGAAGGAUUCUAUUUUCAGCAAAGAAUAAGGAUGCUUCGGAAUUGCUGCCUAGUUCAUAGGCAUUGUCAGAUCUAAAAGACUGGACAAAAGUAUGAAAAUGUACUUUGACCAUAGAGACAAAAGCCUUAAGGAUAGUAAGAGCAUUACUCUUGCAAGUAAUAAGGUGAGUCCAUGUGACUCUGGUAAAAUCAUCUACAAGGGUAAGAAAAUACUUGUAGCCAUUAUAAGUUUUGGUGUUGUAGGGUCCUCAAAUAUCAAUAUGUACUAGUUGAAAAGGUAAUAUAGAAUAGAUAGUGAUAUGUGGAAAAGAAAGUCUUUGUUGUCUAGCAAGUAGACAAAUAUCACAUGUAAAUGAUUGAUAAGGAGGAAGUUGAGUUUGUAAAAAAGGAAUCGUUUUCAUCUUAUUAUAAGGCAUAUGACCAAGUCUUUGGUGCCAAAAGACUUCCAUUUCAUUAGAAACUUCAGAAGAAUUACAAUAAGACUGGAUUACAGAUGGAGCAAUACAAUUGAUAUUAGUAUAAUGAGAAACAAAACUAGAAACAAAUUAACAACUGGAAAUAGAAAAAAGAAUCUGCAAUGUGGUAGAGAAAUUAGCAUGGUGAUAGUACAACCCAUUGGAAGCCUUACCAAUUUCCAGUGGCCUCUUCAGAGAAGGGCCGUGUAAAUGACAAGAAGAAAUCAAAAAAAUAGCCAGGCAUGAGAGUUGGUUGAGUAGUUGAAAUAUUAAUAGUAAAUUAAAGUGAAAUGAUGGAACUAAUAGCACAUUGUCUAAGGUAAUAUCUUCCCUCAAGUGAUCUAGUAGACACUACCUUGACUUUGUAACCAUUAGGUAGUGUGAUUAGAAAAAGAUGAGUUAAAGGUUGUAUGUUAUGAAGAAAGUGUUUAUGUGGAGUUAUAUGGUUAGAAUCCCCUGAAUCUAAUAUCCAGGUGGUUGGAAGGAGUUGGGAUGAAGCACAUACAUUAUAAACAUUAGUAGUAAAAUUUGAGCUGUUUGACAAACCUGUAAAGUUGGCAAAACCAAAAUUUUUUGCAUGAUUAACUUGAGAUUGAUUCAGAGAGGCAAGUUGAGCUUACUGAAAGAGGUUCAUAAGAUGAUGGCAUUGUUCCUUGCUAAAACCAUGUGCAGAGUCUUCUUUGUAAGAUGAAAUAUAUGAUUUAGAUGUUGAAUCAGAUAGUGGAGGUUGAGCAUCAGAAUCCAACAUCUGAACACAUGCAACAGAAUAUUUUUUGUUCUUUGUGAACUUGAAAUUAGGUGGGAAGCCAUGGAGCCUAUAGAAAGUUUCAAUACUAUGUCCGGGCUUUUUGCAAUAUUUGCAAAUCAAAGAUCCAUUCUAAGAUUUAUUAGUAUUGAAAUUGACCUUUUGAAGAAAAGGUUUGUAAGGAUGAUUAGGAGCAGAUGUAGAUGCAGUGAAUGAAGUUGAAUCACUUGAGAAGUGUAGAGGUCCAGAUUGAGAUUCCUUUUGAUUUUUAUCCUGUUGGAGAAGGGCAUAAACCUUACUGAUAGAUGGCAAAGGCAUCAUCAUGAGAGUGUUGCUCUUUACAGUGGAAUAUGCUUCAUUCAGACCACAAAGGAACUGGAAUAAUUGUUGGUCAUGGAUGAAUUUUGGUAAUGCACCACAUGUGCACUCAGGACCAACAUAAGAAACAUUUAACUCAUCCCAGAGUGACCUCAUCUUGGUAAAAUAGGUUGCUAUAUUUGAAGACCCUUGAACUGUGGAACUAAUUUCCUUUUGGAUUUGAAUGUAUCUCGAACCAUUGGAUUGACCAAACCUAUCAUUAAUGUCUUUCCAAAUAUCUCUAGUUGUAGGUAGACACAUGACACUAACUGCAAUAUCCCUAGAGAGGGAGUUGGUGAUCCAUGCUUUGACCAUGUGAUCACAUUUUUCCCGGAAUUGGAAAUAGGGAUUGUGAGAAUCAAGUCGAGGGAACUUCCCAUUAACCAUGCCCAACAGAAAGGGAAGUUAUCAUACUGUUCCUCCAAAUAGCAAAACUAGAACCACUGAAAACUAUUGGUACUAACUGAUAGCUAGGGUUUUCUGAAGGAUAAAUAGAGUAUGGACGAGAAGGAUCCAAAGUCAGUUCUUCAAAUCCAUCAGUAUUAGGUGAUGUAGUAGUUGUGCUCGUACUCUGAAGAUUUGCCAUCUUUAGUGAGAUGGAAUAGAUGAGUCCGUGAGCAGUGAGUCCUAGUUAUACAACUACAAAAAUGGAUCGAACAAGUCUAUACAACAACUUCUAGAAGCAAAACACAACAACACAAUAGGGAAAUACUACUAAUGAAACCUAAUAAGCUCAAUCUCAGCUAUAACCAGCAGAUCCAUGUCAACAAAAGUCUAGAUUUCAGUAAUAUACGAUUCAAAUUAGGGAUUAUCACCAAAUGUCGAAGAAAUUAGGGUUAUAGGUACUGUUUACCGUUCUCCUUCGCAAACCUGAAGGAGAAAAGGCCUCGUUCAGCAAACCCUAAUUGAAAUUCCCUGUUAAUCGGAGUUACGCGACUGAACUUCUGUCACCGAGGGGUAAGAUCGGACGAACAUGGAUGAUGGAAGGAUCGAUCUACGCGAAUCUGAUACCAUGUUAGGGUCAAAACCAAAUGAAAACCAUCAAUGGAUAUCUGUGAAUCAUUGGAACAUUCGAGAGAAAGAGAGAGUAAAGUAAGAGGAAAAAAAGCCUUUAACUUUAUUGAGAUGAAGAGAAAAAAUAUCUGAGAUGCUUAGUGUCUCCACUAACUGUUCACAUAUAUAUACGUACAAUUGUGGGCCGGGUUGUGUGAUGUAAAUGUGGGCUUGGAAUGUAAACCAGUGUAUCUAUAGGUUCAAUAUACACGUAUAUAUGUUUAUAAAAAUGUGUAUAAAAUGUAUAUACUAGUGCUACUAUGUAAUAACUCCAACAAGCUUGUGGUAAAAUAAAUUAGAGCCACUCGUAGUGUCUCAGGAUAUUUGCAAGAAAACCUCUGAUAUUUGUCUUUGCUAGUCAUUAUUGACGUUUUCGUAAUUCAUUUUCUUAACUUCCCACAAACAUGGUGAUUCCUUAAAAAUAAAUGUAUACUUAAUUAUUUUAGAUAAUAUGGAAAAAUGCCUAAAAUAUCCUUCAUCUAUUGAAAAUGAAGCAAAAAUGUCAUUCAUCCAUUUUUGGCUCUAUAAUGCCUCUACAUCCAUCUUUGACAUCCAAAAUGUCCUUCACAUCCACCUUUGAACUCCAAAAUGUCUUUCUAUUAAACAACCCCAGUAUUUAAUUAAAAAUGAUUUCAUUAGUGACGUGUCAACUUUUUAUUGACUAAAAAAAAUUUUCAAAUCCCACCCAAAAGCUAAUGGAUCCAUUCAGAUUAUCUUGAAAUUCUAGUAAGCUUCGGCAAACUUAAUGACCCUUUUGGAAUCGAUCUAUUUAGAUAAUUUUUUUUUAAUUCUAAUUCUACUAAGUAACUGACACUCACCCAAAAAUUCUGAAAUUAAGCCAAACAAGUAGCUUUCGAGAGUGACCAAUGUCUAUACAUAUGCUUGAAGGUAAAUUUUCAAUUAAUUUACUGAUACUAGUAUCAAAGAUCUUUAACUUAGAUGAGGAAUUCAUCCUUGUAUUAAAUAGGAAGAAGGUGGAUAGUAAAGUUGGUAGAUAAAUGGCCUUAAGAUUACAAGAAACUAAUGUCAUGAGAAUUACAAGAAAUUAAUGGUCAUUAUGAAUUACAAGACAUAAUAUGGUAGAUAAUGGAUAAAUGAAGUGUUAGAAAUUACAAGAAUUAUCAAAAUAUAAUAACGCCACUUUCUCCGCUCUCUAUCCAUAAAUUAUCAUGCGAAUUAAGAUUUUAAUUUUAAUAUUAAAAUCAUAAUAACAGCAUUUCAACUUACUACAACAGUUGAGUUGCCCUAAUACUCUCAACUUACUAUAACAGUUGAGUUACCCUAUAAUACUCUCAACUUACUAUAAUAGUUGAGUUACCCUAUAAUACUCUAAACUUACUAUAACAGAUGAGUUACCCUAUAACUCUCAACUUACUAUAACAGUUGACUAUAACAGAUGAGUUACCCUAUAACUCUCAACUUACUAUAACAGUUGAGUUACCCUAGACUGGCAUCAUUUAAGUUUUAUUGCUAAUCAUUUUUUUCUACAAAGUGCCACCAGUUCUUGUGCCACACCAUCCAUUAUCUCUUCAUCCCCUUUGGCGGUCAUCAUCUCACUCAGUUUCUUAACUUUCUUCCUCACAGCCUCCCCGCUUUCCUCUGAUGCUACCACCUUCCUUAUCGCCUUUGCUAUUUCUUCACUUUGUAAGUUGCCAUCUUUGUCCCUCCCCGCUUCCACUGCCGCGCCAAUAUAUUCCACAGCCUAGCAUUCAAUGGUUGGUCAAUGUGCAUUGGCAUGGCAAUUAUUGGCACACCAAACUUGAUACUUUUCAUGACAGAACUCCAUCCACAGUGACUCACGAAUCCACCUAUCGAUGGAUGUUGAAGAAUUUUUGCUUGAGGAGCCCUUCCUUCCAUAACAUUCCUCUUUCUCCUACCCUUUCAGAGAUACCCUUCCGGUAAUGCAUCUUGCAUACUAAUAUUUUCGCCUUAUGGAAACCUGAUGACCCAUAUGAAGUUCACUUUGCUAAGCUCUAGACCUUUAGCUACUUCAUGGAUUUUUUCCUUGGAUAGAAAAUACUCACUCCCAAAUGAAAAAAAAAUAGUUGAACUUUUUUCUUUCAGGUCAAGCCAUUGUUUGAUCUCCUCAUGAUCAUCUUGGUCAAUGGAUUGUUGAACUAGAGAACCAAGGGGGACUAUUUUCUUGGAAAAAAUAUUUGAAAGAUAAUCCAUAUAUUUCCCUUCAAAAUCUCUGUAAGCUUUCACCAGAACAAUGUCACGUGAUCGCCUAAGAGUGUCACUUAAUGUGAACUUCUCAUGAUCCGGUAUUUCAUCAAUGUUUUUCAUUAUUGGAAGCAUUUCAUAUUCGCGCAGGUAAAUUUCAGGAAACGGAAACUUCUCUUCUAUGUUUUCAAACAGGUGGACGAUCCAAGAAACGGUUGCUACACUAUAAAUGAUGAAUACAACAGCUGGAAUGUUGAGAGAAGAAGCAAAAUCGGCAGCCCAUGGCUGAUUGUAGUCAUAAAUGACUAAGUCUGGAUUUAGAGCUUGUAAUAUUUCAGAAAAUUUCGGAGCAGCCAUUUUGAAAGCAUCUUUGAGGGUCCGCAUGAGAUGGGAUGGAAGGCCAUUUGUGGUGUGGUAACGAGGAGGACGAUUUGGAAAAGAUGGAAGAUGAAGCUCAACUAAUUCUAUGGAUUGAGAAUACUUCUCUAUGACACUUUGCUUGACGGAGUAAUUGAGGUUUAUAGGAGUAGAACACAGGUAAAUGUGGAAGUCUCUAUCUGCUAGCUUUUUGGCUAGCUCUAGAUAUGGACUUGUGUGACCAUGAGCUAGCCAUGGAAACAUGAGUACACUAAUAGUUUUCUUCUUGGCUUCCAUUACUGACUAGAUUUCUCUCUCUCUCUUAAUUUCUCUAUAUAUGAUGGCUCUAGCAAGUAUGAUUAUACAUCAAUUUAUAGUAGUUAUAUGUUCAUAUCAGAAUGGAAGAGGAAAGAGAAAACCUUAAUACAUAGCUCAAAGUUUACAUGCUGCUUGCACUUUUGAGCUCGAUGAUAGUGUAGCCCAAAAGAAAAAAAAAUUGGGUCUAGGCCAAAAAGCGGAUAAUACGUUUCAUCGCUUGGUCAAACCUCAGGGAGGACAUGAACGCAAGGACAGGUCGAGUACGACUGACAAACUUCUUACAAAGAGGUAUACAUGACACCUUAAGCAAAAUCCAUAUAAGGGAGAAAAGUGAAGAUAUUUAUAAGGCAUUAUUCAUGUUUGUGCGUAAUUGAUUACGUCAACUACACAGGGCAUAUACAAGUUGCAAAAGUGAUUCAAUAACAAAUUAAAGUCAGAAGUGUUUUAGAUCAUCUAUGUUGAAGUAAGUUUUAUUCAGCCACUUCAACUCAAAUUGCAUCUUUCGACAGUGACCAGUUUUUGAUUGUAUUUAGAUCUGUUUUUUUAAUUUACAUAUUCGAAAAGUCACCAGUUUUAUUUAAUUAAGGGAUAUGAACAGUUGUGACAUUUUGUUUGACUAAGUUCAGUCCUUUCCAAUUCAAUCAUUUAAUAAAUAGGUCCCUCCGACCUCCUCUCACUCCUCACUCACUCGUUCAUUCUACUAGACUUGCAAUACUAAUAUGGCUGAUCUAGAUUCGUACAAGAAGGUUCAUAUCGAGUCCUUGCAGGAACUUCAAAGGCGGUUUGAUGAACUCCAGAGGGAUUUGGCCGACUUCGGAGCAAGACUGAGGAGGGCUCAGCCACUGCCGGAUGAAAAUUGUCAAGUUGACAAUAAUAAUAAUAAUAAUAAUAAUAAUAAUAAUAAUAAUAAUAAUAAUAAUAAUAAUAAUAAUAAUAUAUUUUCCUUUUUUAUAUCCGAUCUACUUAUAAGGGAUUCAAAAAAAUCCAUGUAUAUGUUUGGUUUGGUUUUUGGUCGACUUUGAAUUUUUAAUUCUUAUUCAAUAUUUAAUUAUCAUUAUAUUUAUUCUCUAUUCUCAACAUGUAAACGGUUGGAGGUAGGGAUUGAGCACUUGUAGCAACAGAUGGUGGUGAAAGUCAUGAUGAGAAAUUCUCCUAAAAAUGGUUCGUUAAUAAAUAAUAAGGAACUAAAUGAUAGUAUAAUCGUAAAAGAAAGAUUAUUUAAUUUUAAAAAAAGUCAAAACAUUGGAUUAAUUUAAUUAAGAUAUAUGAUGAUAUGAUUUUUAAGAAAAAAGUUAAUGAAUAGUCGUGACUGUUACUUUUGUCUAAACACAUUCAACAAACAAAAAUAAAAAACGUUUCUGAUGCAUCAAAUUCCUCAUCUGUUGCGACUGAUGAAUCAGUUAGAAGAAAUCAAAAACGUUCCUUAAACAGAUGGUCGAUUUAUAGCAACAGAUGGUAUAUCUGUUGAAACAGAAGGGUCAUCUGAUUCAACAGUUAGACAAUCUGUUGCCAUAACUCAAUUACUAAAAAUGGUUAUUAAAGAAAAAAAUGGAACGGUUGUUGAAAACCAGGUGUAUUCAAUUUUUAAAUUGAGAAAAAGGUUAUUUAAAUUUAAUAAGCUGAAAAGUCAUGACUUGUCACAAUAAUAAAAAANNNNNNNNNNNNNNNNNNNNNNNNNNNNNNNNNNNNNNNNNNNNNNNNNNNNNNNNNNNNNNNNNNNNNNNNNNNNNNNNNNNNNNNNNNNNNNNNNNNNNNNNNNNNNNNNNNNNNNNNNNNNNNNNNNNNNNNNNNNNNNNNNNNNNNNNNNNNNNNNNNNNNNNNNNNNNNNNNNNNNNNNNNNNNNNNNNNNNNNNNNNNNNNNNNNNNNNNNNNNNNNNNNNNNNNNNNNNNNNNNNNNNNNNNNNNNNNNNNNNNNNNNNNNNNNNNNNNNNNNNNNNNNNNNNNNNNNNNNNNNNNNNNNNNNNNNNNNNNNNNNNNNNNNNNNNNNNNNNNNNNNNNNNNNNNNNNNNNNNNNNNNNNNNNNNNNNNNNNNNNNNNNNNNNNNNNNNNNNNNNNNNNNNNNNNNNNNNNNNNNNNNNNNNNNNNNNNNNNNNNNNNNNNNNNNNNNNNNNNNNNNNNNNNNNNNNNNNUAAUUUUUUACAGUAAUCAAGAAUGUCAUUAAUAAAUGGAGGUGAACAGUUGUGCCUUUAAAUCUGCUUUAUUAAUUAAUAUAAUUAAAAAGUCAAAAAAUUUGGAUGUCAUGAAGAUAAUUUAUUUUUUUAAAAAAAAAUAUAUGUAUUAUAUGUUGCAAAAAAUAUAUCAUCUGAUGCAACAGGUUAUCUAUUUGUUGCAAAUGAUGAUAUAUCUAUUGUAACAGAUGAUUUAUCUGAUGCAACAAAUAUAUUAUUUGUUGUCCAACUCAAUGUAAAAAAAAAUGAUUCCUGGAAAGAACUAAUUAUUAAUAAUAAUAAAGCUGAAAAGUCAUGACUUAUCGUAAUAUUGAUUAAUUGAACUAAGUCAUAACUUUUUACAGUAAUCAAGAAUGUCAUUAAUAAAUGGAGGUGAACAGUUCUGAUGUUUUGCCUAACUCAUUCAAGUUCAAUCCUUUAUAAAUAGGUCCUUCCUUACUCAGUCGUUCGUUCUACUACACACUAUUUAUUCCUUGCUCUUGUUACACCUUCAACUACUUUCUCUUCAAGGACUUGAUAGCUCUUUCCUGUCUCUGGUAAGUUUUUUUUCUUGAUUUUUGUGUUAAUAUUUGUUGUAUAUUACAUUACAUUCGAAUUCUUUCUUUUCUUUACUUUUGUUUUUAUGUGUAUUUUGUCAACUUAUGCAUUUUCUAGAUAUGGUUGUUCCUGUGUGGGAUGUCGCUAUUUUACGAGACGCCAUGCGGGAACUGCCGAAGGAGGUUCAUGACUUGCAUUGAGAGUUGGCCGCCGUCAGAGUAAGGAUGCUACGGGAGAUCCGCAGGCUGAGGAGGGCGCUGCUGCUGCCUGUUGAAGAUUGGUCGGCUAGCCAUACAAAUAAUAAUGAUGAUAAUAAUAAUUAAGUUUUUUUUUUUCUUUUAUCUAUGUAUUUUUUUUGUUUGUUUUAUAAAAAAUGAUGUUUUAUACACUUGACUUUUUAUUUCUUAUUUAAUUUUCGUGCUAUCUAUUUCUAUUUCUUAACGAAUGACAUGUUUACAAUUAAAGAAUAAUUUGAUUCCAGUAUCAAUAGCAAGAACAUAUGAGUUAUCUGUUAGGUUUGUGUGUGACAGGAGUUGUAUUUUGUUGUUCGAAACAUAUUAGUAAUCUGAUGAAACAGAUUAUUUAUCUGUUGAAACAGAUUACUAAUCUGGUGCAACAGAAUACCCAUCUAUUCGAUUCAUAUUACGGGAACCUAGAACCCAUAAACGUGAAUCCAACAUGAGUCUACUGUUACAACAGAACAUUUAUCUGGUGCCGCAGAUAAUGGAUCUAUUUAAACAGAUUGCUCUUGUAUUGCAUUCAUGUUCGCGUGCAAGCUAUUGUUGAAAAAACAACACACUAGCAGUUACCCAGAUUCAACUAAGAAGCACAAUCUGACUUACCAAAGUCUCCUCUCAAGUAAAUUUCAAAUUUGAAAGUGAUUUAAGAAAUAAAAUUUGAUAUAAAAAUUUGGUCAAAGAGCAACAGUUGGGGUAACAACAACAACAACAAUGGUCAAUAAGAAGAAUAUGAAGAUGAUAAUGAAGUAUAAGAUGAUGAUAAUAAAUCAGAAGAUGAUGAAUAAAGCAACAACAACAAUGAACAACAAAUAUCACGAAGAGAGAGAAAAUAACAACAAAUAAGAAGAGAGAAAAACAUAUUUUUCCCCUUUUUUCCCGUUAUAUUAACUAAUAUUUGGAUCAAAAUGUAAAUUUAAAAACUUGUGGAUUAUUUUUAAAUUUUCCAAAACUUUCUUAAUCCAUAAUUAAGUAAUUGCCACCUCCACUCAAUUAUUAAGACUUGUGUCACCUACACUUCAUUUUAAAACUCUUUGGUCAACUGUAGCCCAAAGCCCCAUGUAUCUUAGCUUUGAGAAUACAAAUAUAUCAAACACAAGUCGUAAAAAAAAUAUAUCAAAGCAUAGGCUAUUCAUUCAUAAAACUUGCACUAGUAUAAAAAAAACUAUCAUAAUAUCCUGGGUUUUAGCCCUUAGAAAAUUUCCUGGAAUUCUGUUCACUAGACCCAAUACGACUCAUAGGUACAAGCCAUAUGCUGGGGUACGAAUGUUUUGGUCCAGUCGUCUCCCCUCAUUCCCCGUUAUAUAUUAACUAACAUUUGGAUCAAAGUGUAAAUUUAAAAACUUGUAGGUUAUUUUAAAAUUUUUCAAACUUUCUUAAACCAUAAUUAAGUAAUUGCCAUCUCUACUCAAUUAUUAAGAGUUAUGUCACCUACAUCUCAUUUUAAGUCUCUUUUGUCACCUGUAGCCCAAAGCCCCAAUUGACUUAUGUAUUGAAAAAUUAAUAGUAUUGAAUUCACGAUUUUACUAUAUAUAUAUAUAUAUAUAUAUAUAUAUAUAUAUAUACUAUGNNNNNNNNNNNNNNNNNNNNNNNNNNNNNNNNNNNNNNNNNNNNNNNNNNNNNNNNNNNNNNNNNNNNNNNNNNNNNNNNNNNNNNNNNNNNNNNNUAUUAUAAAUCACAAUGAUCAAAAAUUUAAAUUAUUUAAAAAAAUAUAAUUGGUCAUCGUCGACACAAAACUCUGGACGAGGAGAGUAGCAUAUAUUAUUCAAAAAGUACAUAGAAAAUAUUGUAAAUUAUAAUAUUUAACAACUUAAAAUAUCUAAAAAUAAUUUAAUAUGUUAUAUAUUUAAAAAAAAUACAUGAAAAAUACUAGAAAGCACAAUAAUUAAUAAUUUAAAAAUUUUAAAAGAUAUAAAUAUUUGGUCGACUCUUAAAAUUAUAUUUUUGUCACUAAAAUUGGAAUAGAAGAAAAGUAUUAUAAAUCACAAUAAUUAAAAAUUUAAAUUAUUUUUAAAAUAUAAUCGACUAUCAAUGCCACAAAAAUUUGGACAAGAAAAGUAACAUAUAUUUAUUUAAAAAUUACAUAGAAAAUAUUAUAAAUUACAAUAGUUAACAACUUAAAUUAUCUAAAUAAAUAUUAAAAAAACAUAUGUUGAACUCAUGCUAGAUUCUGGAUGAAUCCUAGUAAAUAUAUACAAUCUUUUUAUUAAAAAAUUUUAUUUAAAUAUAUCUAAAUUAAAAAAAUAAAUAAAUAUCUUAAUGUUGGUUCGUGCUGAUGUGAGUCAUGCUCUACUUGUUUUUGCCAUCUACUUGUUCAAAAUAUAGUUGUUUUUGCCAUCUACUUGUUCAAAAUAUAGCUAAAGUAGCCUUUCUUUUUAUUGCCAAAGGACAAGUGUGACAAUACUUGUCAUAUUGUAGGAGGAAGAGUUUCUUCUUUUGCCUGUAUAUAUAUAAGGCCAUUUGUUUACCUUGAUGGAAUAAGAAAUAUAACUUUGAUUAAAUUUAUUAAAACUCUGCCGUUUCUUUUGCUUCCUCACUAUUAUUUUGCUUCCUCAUUAUUAUUACUUGCCUUUAAUAUUUAUAUCAUUUUUAAACUACUUUAUUGGUAUUUGUAUUAAUAAUUUUGUUGAUUCUUGUAUCUUCUGUUUAAUUAGGAAAGACUUAUUUAACUCUAAAUAUCUUCUAAUUAAUUAGAGAAGUGCUUGUUUAAUCUGGGAAACAUUUUACACUGCUGAAAUAAUUUUUUAGGACAGUGUCUAGCACGAUUCAAGUAUAAUAAAUAUAUAUAUAUAUAUACACUGUUAUUUUAUUUUAUUUUACUGUUAAUAUUAUUAAUAUAAUAUUUUGUCAACAGUUAAAUAAUAAUAUUGUUAUUAUCAUUUUUUUGUUGUUGUUUCCCAACAAUCUAAAAAACUAUGGCAUAUAAUUUUGAUCCUAAGGCUGUUGAUAAUACUGAUGUUGGUGUUGCUCUGGCUACUUCUAUUUCAGUCAGUUUGUGAGAAGGUUAUGGCACUGCAGAAUAUAGGUAUGAAAAUAAAUGCCUAAUGCAUCUCAAUGCAAGAGAAUAUGUGAAAGAAAUGAUGAUCUUGUUACGUCAAAAUUAAAUUUGACUAAAACGGAUGAUACAAUUAUUGCGGUCAUUUCAGAAAUGAAUAUUGAGACCAAUGUGAGAAAUUGGGUGGUAGACUUUGGUGCUACAAGGCACAUUUGUAUAAAUAAAAAUAAUUUUAUAUCAUACUCUCAAGUUGAGAAAGAAGAAUUUGUCUAUCUUGGCGACUCAAGAACUGUAAAAGUCCUGUAAGGGUAAAGUUCUCCUAAAACUCACUUGGAAAAAACUUUAUCCCUUAUGGUUGUGCUACAUGUUUCUACAAUGUGAGCAAAUCUGAUUUAUGUGGCUUUGCUAGAUAAAGCUGGAAUAAAAGUGUCUCUAGAAUCUAAUAAGGUUAUUUUAAUAAAAAAUAAUGUAUUUGUGGGAAAAGGCUAUUGUAAUCAUGGACUUUAUGUACUUAAUAUUGUAAAUGAUAAUGCAUCAGCUUUUGCUUAUAUGGUUGAAUCUAUUUCUUUAUGGCAUGCUAGAUUAGGACAUGUUAAUAUUAAAUAUGUAAAGAAUAUGCAAUCUCUUGGUUUAAUUUCUGGUUUGGAUUCAAGUAAUUUUGAUAAAUGUGAAAUAUGUGCUGAAGCUAAAAUUACUAAAAAGUCAUGUUUUUCAGUUAAUAGAGAAUCUGAAUUGUUAUCUUUGAUCCACAUUGAUUUUGGUGAUUUAAAACAAAUUAUGACUAGAGGUGGUAAAAGAUAUUAUAUGAUCUUUAUUGAUGAUUUCUCUAGAUUUACUAAGUUGUAUCUACUUAGAAAUAAAGAUGAUGCUUUUGUGUCUUAUAAAUCUGAAGUUGAAAAUCAGCUUAGUAGAAAAAUCAAAAGAAUUAGAUUUGAUGGAGGUGGAGAAUAUGUAUUUUUGAAUGCUUUUUGUGAAAAAGAAGCUAUUACUCAUGAAGUUACUCCACCUUAUUCUCCUGAGUCUAAUGGUGUAGCUGAGAGGAAGAAUAGGACAUUGAAAGAAAUUAUGAAUUCUAUGCUAAUUAGCUCUUGUGCACCUGAUAAUUUGUAGGGUGAAGUUAUUUUGUCUGUAUGUCAUUUACAGAAUAGAAUUCCUCAUAAAAGAACUGGUAAAAUUUCUUAUGAGUUGUGGAAAGGUUAUAAGCCUAAUUUGAAAUAUUUAAAAAUGUGGGGUUACCUUGCUAAAGUUCUUCUUCUUGAACCUAAGAAGAGGAAAAUAGGUUCAAAAACUAUUGAUUCCAUGCCUAUUGGAUAUGCUGAACAUAGUGUUGUAUACAAUUUCUUAUCUUGAAAUGUGAUGUACUAAAUAGUAAUAUUAUAAUUAAGACAAAAAAUGCUGAAUUCUUUGAACAUAUUUUUUCACUAUGUGCUAAAAUCUCUCAUGCACCUGUUGAAAGAGAGAAUGAAUCUGCCUCUAAUAUUGAGGAACUGAGAAGGAGUACAAGGCCUAGAAAAGAAUAUUUUUCUUAUGAAAAUGAUUUUCAAAGUUUUCUUGUUGAUAAUGAACCAUCAAAUUAUUUUGAAGUUGUAUCUUUUUCAGAUGCUAAAUUUUGGAAAGAAACAAUAAAAGUUGAACUUGAUUCAGUUGUGAAAAAUAAUACAUGGAUUUUAACUGAUUUACUUCCUGGUGCAAAAUCAAUUGGUUGUAAAUGAACUUUAAAAAAGAAACUUAAUUCAGAUGGUUCUAUAGAUAAAUAUAAAGCUUGGGUAGUAGCUAAAGGAUUUUCUCAAAAACAAAAUAUUGAUUAUUUUGAUACAUUUGCACCAGUAACUAGAAUUGCUUCUAUUCGAAUAUUAAUUGCAUUAGCAUCAAUUUAUAAACUGUUUAUCCAUUAAAUGGAUGUAAAAACAGCUUUCUUAAAUGGUGAUUUAGAAGAAUAAAUUUAUAUGGUUCAACCUGAAGGAUGUGUAAUUUCUAGACAAGAAAACAAAGUUUAUAAAUUAACUAAAUCUCUUUAUGGACUUAAACAAGCUCCUAAACAGUGGCAUGAGAAAUUUGAUCAAGUCUUGAUAAAAGACGGUUUUCUUCUGUUGAGGUAGAUAAGUGUAUUUAUACAAAAGUAGUAGACAGUGAUUAUGUGAUAAUUUGUUUAUAUGUUGAUGAUAUACUUAUAUUUGGUACAUGUAUAAAUAUUGUGGAACAUACCAAAUUAUUUUUGUCUACAUUUUUGUCUACUAACUUUGAUAUGAAAGAUUUGGAUGAAGUGAAUAUGAUAUUAGGAAUUAAAGUUAUAAGGAGUGAAGAUGGUAUAAUGUUGUUACAAGAACAUUAUGUGGAAAGACUUCUAAAGAAGUUUGAAUGUUGGGAGGUAACUCCUGUAGCCACUCCUUAUGAUGCCAAUUCUAAAUUAAGAAGGAAUAAUUAUGACCCAGUUGCUCAGUCUAAAUAUGCACAGAUCAUUGGGAGUCUAAUGCAUUUAAUGAAUUUUACUAGGCCUGAUAUAGCCUAUGUUGUGUGUAGAUUGAGUAGAUAUACUCAUAAUCCCACUAAUGAGCAUUGGUCUGCAUUAAUGCGAUUGAUGAAAUAUUUGAAAAGAACUGUGAAUUAUGAUAUCUUGUAUAGUGGAUUUACUUCUACUUUAGAAGGGUAUUGUGAUGAAAAUUGAAUCUCUGAUUCAGACGAGACUAAAUUCACUAGUGGUUAUGUGUUCAUCUUUGGUGGCCCUGUAGUAUCAUGAAAAUCUACUAAGAAGAUGAUCAUUGCUAGAUCAACUAUGGAAUCAGAGUUUGUGGCUCUGGAGUUAGCUUGUACUGAGACUGAAUGGCUAAGAAAUUUCUUAGAAAAUAUUCCUUUUAAAAGGGAUGAUCUGUUUCCUCAUAUUCCUUUGAAAAAUGAUGAUCUGUUGUUUAAUAUCCCUUUAAAAAAGAUGAUUUGAUGCCUCCUGUGUAUAUACACUGUGAUUGUCAAGCCGCAAUUGCUAUUGCGAAGAAUAAAUCUUAUAGUUGUAAGAGUAGACAUAUGAAAUUGAGGCAUAAUAUUGUUAAGCAGCUGCUGAGAGAUGGAAUAAUUUUCAUUGAUUAUGUGAAAUCAGAAUUGAAUUCGGAUGAUUUUUUGAUUAAACCUGUGAGAAGAAAAUUAAUUCUUCAAACCUCAAAAGAGAUGGGGUUAAGGCCAAUAUGAUUGUCAAUAGAGAUGGUAACCCAACCUAUGUGAUUGGAGAUAGUAGGUUCAUAUGAGUAAUAACAAGUCGAUAUUGACUCUGUGCACUUAUUGAGAGUCCACAAGAUACCAAACCUACUGUAUUUUGUCCAUGCAAAUUCAACAAGUUAAUAUGCUUUUCUUUUUCUAUAAAUUAUUUUGAAAUAAUAUGGGGAUUUUAGAAAAAUUAGUGGUUUAUUUCAAAAUAAUUAUUGUGCGUUUGAAAAAGAGUGGUGGAAAAAUAAGCCACCACAUCUUGUUUACACGGAGGAAAACAAAAGAAAAAAGUCAUUAUCAUGUAAGAUAUUUCUAUAUAUUAGAAAUGAUGGUUUGACAUGUUAGUUUAUGGGUAUUAAAACAAAGUUUAAGGAUACUAAGGUCUAUAAAAUAUUUUGCAAGAUUAGUUUGCUUAGGAAAAUUGUAUUUUGAGUUUUAAUGUUUUGACCUUAUCAACAACUAUAAGAAAAGUCCAUCCACUUCAAAUUAAUUACAAUUCAUGUCAUUCCAAUAAAUUACCACUUUGCCAUUAAUGCUACUCCUAUUGAAUAUGAUGGGGCCCAUAGAUGAUUAUCUAUUCUCAUAUCUUCCAUAUGGGCCCAUAGAUGAUUAUCUAAUCUCAUUGACGGAAUACAUAUACAGGCCCCUGAACUAUUUCACUUUUUCCGUAUAGGCACCUCAAUUAAGUCAGGUACAUAUUGAACUUUUUACUCCUUCACAAAUGGUUUCAAUUGAGUCCAAUUUACUGAUGUGGCAAAAAAUAUGAACUGUGUGUAAUACACACGAUGAUGAUGUAGCAAAGUGGCGAAUUAAAUAAUGACAUGUGGCAUUUUAAUUUAAAAUAAUUAUAAAAAUAAUUUUUAAUAAAAUUAAAUCUAAAUUAAAAAUAAGUAAACUAAUUAACCCCUCCCCCUCCAGCUCUUCUCUUCCAAACACNNNNNNNNNNNNNNNNNNNNNNNNNNNNNNNNNNNNNNNNNNNNNNNNNNNNNNNNNNNNCUGCGUCGAUUGACCCCCCCGCCCAAAGCCCCCUUCGUGGAUUGAACAAGAAAGUAAAAAAAAAAUUGUAUCUUAUUAAGGAAAACUGAUGGUUAUUUUUUUUAUUUCUUCAAUGUGUUUUUUAAAGAAGCCAUUAAUGGAGAAGAAGAUACUGAGAAGUCAUUAAUAAUGGUUUCUCACUCAAUUUAUAUAUGAUUGAUUUUUAAAGAAGUCAUUAAUGGUGAAGAAGAUAUGGAGAAGAAGAUGAUGCCUAUUUCUUUUUUUUUUUUAUUUCUUUAUAAUGUGUUUUUUUAACUGGUUGGGGGUUUUUAUGUUUAAUUUUGUUGAUUAAUUAUGCUUUGUCACUCAACUUAUAUGUGAAUGAUUUUUGAAGAAGUCAUUGAUGGGGAGAAGAUAUGGAGAAGAAGAUGAUGAUUAUUUUCUUCUUUUUAAAAAAAAUAAAAUUCUUUAAUGUAUUUUUUUUAAUUGGUUGGAAUUGCUUAUGUUUAUUUUUUUUUAAUUAAAAAUGGUUUCUCACUCUCCUUUAGGAGAGUGCAUUACACAUGUUACGCCAUGUCAGCGCCACAUCAACAAUUGGGCUCAAUUGACACAUUUUGUGAAGGAGCCAAGAAUCCAAUAAAUAGAUGGUUUAAUUUAAUUGAGGUGCCUAUGAGGAAAAAGUAAAAUAGUUAAUGGGCCUGUAUAUGUUAUUUAGCCAAUCUCAUUUCUUCCAUAUAAAACGUGAAAGGUAAGUGGUUUUGACAUGUGUGCUUUUGCAUGCUCCGUAAUUUUACUAUAUCAUUGUUAAUUAAUUAUUGUAAAUUAUUUAUCUAUUAAAAAAUUAAUAAUGUAUAAUUAAAAUAAAAUAAAUAUUUAUGACAUAUCUGCUUCAACCGUAAUUUUACUAUAUUACUCUUAAUUAAUUAUUAUAAUUCGUUUGAGUAUUAAAAAAAAUAUUUAAGAAAAAAAUUAAAAUAGACAUAAAAUGAUAAAUUAACUCUUGGAGUUUUAAAUUAACUUGGCGUCCUAUACGAUGCCACUUGACUUUUUUUUUCCACAAGCAUUUUUAUAGCACUUUGCUUGGCUACUUCAAUCGUGAUAUUAAAAAAAAAAUAGUCAUUUAUGAUAUGUCUAUUUCAGCACCUUCAACGUAAAUUUACCAUAUCACUCCUAAUUAAUUAUUACUAUGUCAUCUAAGUAUUAAAAAAUAAUAAACUUAAAAUAUUUUAGUAUACAUCUGAUAAUUACUAUGUGAAAAGUAAUAUAAAUCACAAUAAUUAACAAUUAUAAAUAUUAAAAAAAAAUUGAUCAAUUCUCGAAAUUAUAUGGAUGUCAUCAUGUUAACAACUUAAAAUAUUCUUAUAUAAUUUUAUUAAUCUAAAUAUAAUAAUACAUUCCCAACUAGGAAUUUAUCAAUGAAAUAAAUAAAAGUUCAAAUUAAAUUAUAGAAUUAUACAUAACGUAAAAUUUUCAAUCAACAAUAUUGAGCCGUGCGUAACCGGGCCUAGCCAACUAGUAUAUAUAUGUUUAAUACAUAUUUCUUUCUUUAACAGCUAGUCCACCUAAGACAAUAUAAUAUUCAUGCGAAAAAGCACGACUUAUGAUACGUAAGCGUUAUAUACUUAUCGCAUGAAAAAAUGGUUUAGAAUAUAUGAUGGGGUAUUGUUUUUGAAAUUAUGAAAUCACAUAAAUAAAAGAGAAAAUACAUAAUUACACCACUGAUGUUGUUCGAGAUUUUCAAAAAGACACUUAAACUUUUAAUACCAACUAUUACCCCACUAUUCUUAUUUAAUCCCUUGUAAAUACACUAUUUUGAUUUAUUUUUUGUCUCUGCGUGUAGUCACGCAUGUCAGACACUUGAACAAUUAAAUGUGAAAAUACAUAUUACACCACUAAUGUUGUCCGAGAUUUUUCAAAAAGACACUUAAACUUUCAAUACCGCCUAUUACCCCACGAUUCUUAUUUAAUCCCUUGUAAAUACAUCAUUUUGACUUAUUUUUUGUCUCUGCAUAUAGUCACGCAUGCCAGGCGCGUGAUUGUUUCAGCUGCUUUAACCGUGAUUUUACUAUAUCAUCCCUAAUUAAUUAUUAAAAGUUAUUUAUGUAUUAAAAAAUUAAUAAUAUUUAAUUAAAGAAAAUAGAUGACAUGUCUGUCUAUGGUUUCGACCAGUGGUUCGUCUAUAUUACCCCUAAUUAACUAUUAUAGGUCAUUUAUAUAUUUGAAUUAAUAAUAUUUAAUUAAAAAAUAGAUAUUUAUGACGUUCGUUUCAGCUGCAUUAACCGUAAUUUUACUAUAUCAUCCCUAAUUAAUUAUUAUAAGUCAUUUAUGUAUUAAAAAAUUAAUAAUAUUUAAUUAAAAAAAUGGAUGACAUGUCUGCCUAUAUUACCUCUAAUUGCUCUGUGAUUUAUUAUAUUAUCCCUAAUUAAUUAUUAUAAGUCAUUAAUAUAUUAGAAUUAAUAAUAUUUUUUACUAUAUUACCCCUAAUUAAUUAUUUUAAGUCAUUUAUAUAUUAGAAUUAAUAAUAUUUAAUUAAAAAAUAGAUAUUUAUGAUGUUUGUUUCAACUGCUUUAACUGCAAUUUUACCAUAUCAUCCCUAAUUAAUUAUUAUAAGUCAUUUAUGUAUUAAAAAUUAAUAAUAUUUAAUUAAAAAAAUCAGCUACUUCGUCAUUUACUAUAUUACCCUAAUUGCUCAGUGAUUUAUUAUAUUACCCCUAAUUGAUUAUUAUAAGUCAUUUAUAUAUUCGAAUUAAUAAUAUUUAAUUAAAAAAUAGAAAUGUAUGACGUUUGUUUCGGCUGCUUUAACCGUGAUUUUACUAUAUCAUCCCUAAUUAAUUAUUAAAUUAUUAUAAGUCAUUUAUAUAUUAGAAUUAAUAAUAUUUAAUUAAUAAAAUAGAUAUUUAUGACGUUUGUUUCAGCUUCUUUAGCCGUGAUUUUGCUAUACAUCCCUAAUUAAUUAUUAUAAGUCAUUUAUAUAUUAGAAUUAAUAAUAUUUAAUUUAAAAUAGAUAUUUAUGACGUUUGUUUCAGUUGCUUUAAGUGUGAUUUUACUAUAUCAUCCCUAAUUAAUCAUUAUAAGUCAUUUAUGUAUUAACAAAUUAAUAAUAUUUAAUUAAAAAAAUAGAUGACAUGUUUGCUGCAGCUGCUUCAACCAUAAUUUUGCUAAAUAUCGCUUAUAAUUAAUUAUUAUGUGUCAACUAAGUGCUAAAAAUUUAAUCAUAUUUUAAAAUAAAUAAAAUAGACCAAGAAUGAUAAAUUAACUCUUGAUGUAUUAAAUUAGGUUGACCUCUUUCAACCGUGAUUUUACUGUAUCACCCCUAAUUAAUUAUUAUAAGUCAUUAUGUAUUAAAAAAUUCAUAGUAUUUAAUUAAAACAUUGGUUUCGACAUGACUGCUUCAAGAGCUGCUCCGUAAUUUUACUAUAUCACCCCUAAUUAAUUAUUAUAAGUCAUUGAUGUAUUAAAAAAUUAACAGUAUUUAAUUAAAACAAGAAAAAUAUGCGUUUAUGACAUGUUUGUUGUAGCUGCUUCAACCAUAAUCAUCUUUGAGAAGAUGAUCCAAGACUUUGUUGUUAAUUGAAAUAUCUUUUGUUCCAGUUUGUAUAUGAAAUAAUCUUAUGAAUAUUAGUUCUACAUCUUUUCUAUAUUUUGUAACAGGUCUCAAUCUUAUCAUCAAACAAUUAAAAUAAUUCGACUACACGACACAUCACACUUUUUUAACAUGUGAAAAAAACUAUCUUAUAAAACUUCACUUCUUAGCGAGUACCAUCAUAUAGUUAUUAUUUAAAAAAUUAUCAUCUUAAAUCAAUGUACAUUUAUGUUUGUAUCUCAUUAAUAUCGAAUAUUGGUGCUAAAAAAUAUCUAUAGUGUUAGACCCGUGCUGACAUGGGUCAUGCACCUCUAGUCAUAUUUACAUUGAAAAGUUUCGUACUUGUUUUUGCCAUCUACUUGUUCAAAAUAUAGCUAAAGUAGCCUUUCUUUUUAGUAUAAAUAACAUAAAUACCAACCUUUUAAAAGUAAUUACACUCUCUCCCAUUUUUUAAUUACUUUACUCUCUCUUCCUAUUAAUAUAAUAACCGACAUAUACAUAACAUUCUAUGUAUAUGUGAAAUUUUUGUAAUAUGUUUAGGAAGUUGGAAGUUUUUGUAAUAUUAAAAACAUAAGUUGUGUAUUUGUGUAAUUUUUAGUUCUUUUUAUGGCCAAAGGACAAGUGUGACAAUACUUGUCAUAUUGUAUGAGGAAGAGUUUCUUCUUUUGCCUAUAUAUAUAUAAUGCCAUUUGUUUACCUUGAUGGAAUAAAAAAUAUAACUUUGAUUAAGUUUAUUAAAACUCUGCCGUUUCUUUUGCUUCCUCCUUAUUAUUAUUUUGCUUCCUCAAUAUUAUUACUUGGCCUUUAUUAUUUAUAUCAUUUUUAAAUUAAUUUAUUGGUAUUUGUAUUAAUAAUUUUUUUGAUUUUUGUAUUCUAUGUUUAAUUAGGAAAGACUUAUUUAACUCUAAAUAUCCUCUAAUUAAUCAGGAAAGUACUUGUUUAAUCCUGGGAAAAAAUAUUUUACACUGCUGAAAUAGUUUCUUAGAACAGUGCCUAGCACGACUCAAGUAUAAUAUAUAUAUAUAUAUAUAUAUUAUUUUAUUUUAUUAUUAAUAUUAUUAAUAUAAUAUUUUGUCAACAGUUAAAUAAUAUUGUUGUUAUUAUUAUUUUUCCGUUGUUGUUUCCCAACACAAACCGUGUACUUUCCCUAAAUUUACUGUCUCGCUCUCAGAAUGUACAUAAUACUACAACAAUGUUUCUUUUAUCAAACUACUAAUCAGAUUACAUUUGGAGUAUGUUAAUUCAUUUACGAAAUAUUUUUGAAGCGCCAAAAGUGUCUAAAAGAACUCUGACAAAAGAGGACACAGUGACCAGACCAAGACAAACAGGCACAACAAAGUCGUAAGACCAUCAAGUAUUAUAAUAUCGAAAUUUCAACAUAAAUUUUUUUUAAUUUCAAUAUGAUAAUUUGAUAUCUAUCAAAAGUAGGAUGACCUCAAACGUCUCAACUUAUGACUUACAUAUUGUUUUUUAUUUUACAAAUAUCAACAAAUUUAAUUUUGAUGUAGUAAUGUAGUGUAGCUUAUUAAGUCCAUCCCAACCAAAAGCAGGACCACCGCAAGCUUGUGGUAAAGUAAAUUAGAGCCACUCGUAAUGUCUCACGAUAAUUUACCAGAAAAUCUCACGAUAUUUGUCUUUGCUUGUCAGAGUAAUCUAAAAAAUUUCACUUUUUCCGUAUAGACAUUUUAAUUAAGUCAGGUAACUAUUAAACCUUUUACUCUUUCACAAAUGAUUUCAAUUGAGCUCAAUUUGCUGAUAUGGUAAAAAAUAUAAAAUGCGUGUAAUACACAUGCUGAUGAUGUGGCAAAGUGACGACACGUGACAUUUUAACUUAAAAUAAUUAUAAAAAUAUUUUUCUAAUAUAAUUAAAUAUUAUUUUUUUGAAAAAAGAAAUAUAUACCCCCUCCCCCCAAUUGCCUACCUGAUCGUCCUCUCCCCCACCUCUCGUCCCUUCCAAACAAUGUUUUUCUCCAUUGUUGAACACACAAAAGCAAAAAAAAUAAAAAAUCUUCUUCUUCUUCACUUAUCUUCUAAAUUUUUUUUUUGUUCUUCCACCAUUGAAGCACCUACCUGAAGCUGCCUACUCGAUCUUCCCCCCUCUCCUCUUCCUUUUCAAACACCCCUUUCUCCAUCGUUGAGCACACAAAAAUUAAAAAAAUAAUUGAAUCUUCUUCUUCAUCACUUAUCUCCCAAAUUUUUUUUUUAAUUUUUUCACCAUUGAAGCACCCCUUGCAGCUGCCAUAUAUACACAUACACAUAUAUAUACAUACACCUAAUUCAAAAAUUAAUUUAUUAUUCUCAAACACUAACCAAUUUAGACCAACAGUUCAAUGUUCAGCAUUAAACAUUAGAAAAGAGAAUUAAGAUUCUCAAUUUAUUUAUCUUGGAUGGUAGAAUGGAUCUUUCCAUGCAUUUUCCUCUGAACUUUAGAUACAUUUUUUUUUUCAAUUUCAUUUUUCUUGUCUCUUUCUCUCAUCAUCUGUACAUUACUGCAAAAUUAUAUUUUUAAUUGGGGAUUCUAUUUAAGGCAUAAAAAAAGAAGAUUAACCAAAUUAAAAAAAAAAUGAAAAGGCCACUAAGAUCUUCCAUUGUUUUAUCCUCCGACCACAUUUUCAUUUGUGAAGGAAGAAGAUGAUAAGUGGUGAAGAGAUGGUAAGUGGUGGCAAGAAGAAAAAGGGAGAGAAAGAUGAAAAAGGAAAAUGAAGAAGAAGAAGAACAGUGAUUUUAUAAAGAAGAAAAGGAGAAAUUAUAUUCUUAGGGCCCGUUUGACCAUGAAAUUUUUUUCCUUUUUUCCUAAAAAAUUUUUCGGAGUUGAAAAUUGUGGUGUUUGACCAUGAAAAUUCGGAAAAUAAUUUCGGAAAAUUUUUCUGAAAAGGGAAAACAGGUUUUUGUUGUUUUCACAAUUUUCCAACUCCAAUUCCAACUUUUAUUAUUAUUACAUAUAACCUCAAUCUUUUAAAUUUUUACACAAAACUCUCCUUAUAACAUUACUUUUUCAAUAAUACGUAUAUAGCAAUUUUAAAGACUAAGAUAAUUAUAAUUUCAAACUUAAUGCUAUCCUAAUUAAUAUAUAUCUCUUUUUCUCUCUCAUCAUUAUUUUUAUCUCUUAUUUAAUUUCUUCCUUAUUUAAGACAUUAUUUUACUGCUAAUUUAUAUUUAUACCCAUAAAUAUAUAAAGUAUUAUAUUUAUAAUAGAAAUAUACAAAGUAUGUUAUAUAUAAAGUUUAUACCAGGUAUAUACCAUAUACAAAGUAUAAAGAAACAUACUAAGCAUAUUUAUAUAUUUAUGGUUUAUGAUAUAAUAUACCAUAAAUAUGCAAAGCAUGUUUUACAUAGAAAUAAUUUAUUCACACAUAGUAAAAUCUUUCAUGUAUAAGAAAAUUAAAUAAAUAAAUUAGCCGCACCCUAAAAUUUAAUAGCAACUCAUAAUUUCCUAUUUUUUAGGAACGAAAAAUGAAGGAAAUAAAUUAAAUGAAUUUCUAAAAAAUAAAUUUGUUUGAAAGAUAAUAUUUGUUACCUAAAAAACAGGAAGCAGUGAUCUAUUAAUAUAACAUCCAUAUUUAAAAUUUUCAAAUAUGAGAAAACGACUUUUAAUGUAAAUAUUAUAUAUGUCAUAAUUGAAAUUCAUUAAAUAUGGUCAUGUAUAUGUAAUUAUUUUUAUAAUAGUGGCUAAUUUUAUUCUUUUUCCAUUAGUAGGUAAAUUUUAGUUUGGUGAUUUUGAUAGUUUGUAAAAGUUAGGGCAUAAAAUCAUAUUUAAAAAUAUUUUUUCAAAAGUCAAAAAAAAAUUUCAAAAAAGAGAUGGCCAAACACAACUCCAACUCCAACUCCGAAAAAUUUUAAUUUUCAUGGCCAAACGACUACUUAAAAUAAAAAAUUAUGAGAAAGGAGAGAAUUAAGGAAAAUAAAAAAGAUAAAGGGACUUCAAUUAAAAAAAAAAGCUAAAAUUUUAUAUCUCAUGCUCCUAAAUUGAGUGCAGUGCAUGCACUAUGUCACAUCAGCGCCAUGUCAACAAAUGUGUUUAAUUGAAAAUAUUUGUGAAGGAGUAAAGGAUUCAAUAGAUACAUAGUCUAAUUAAGGUGCCUAUAUGGAAAAAGUCGAAUAAUUGAGGGGCUUGUAUAUAUAUUUAGCCUAUUUAGAUUAAAACAUCUGAAUAUGAUGGUACAUUUUAAUAAUUAAGAUGAAUUAUUAAUUUAAAUAAAUUAAUAAUUAUAUAUUAGAAAAGUAUGUACUUUAAUAAAAUAGACUUAUCAUUUGAUUAAAAAUGAGAUAUUUAUAUUUGCUAGUGAUGAUUUAUAAAGUUGUGGUGAUGGUAAUGGUUGAUGUUAGUGGCUAUUAAUAUUGAUGGUGAAAGUUAUGAUGGUAAAAGUUUUAGGUGUUGUAGUGAUUGUCAAGAUGGUGCCGAUUGGUAGUAUUAUGUUGAUUGUGAUAGUGAAGUUGGUUAAUGUUAGUAGUUGAUGGUAUUAAUGGUUGUGACCGAAGAAUGUGUGGUAGUUAGUGGCAGAUGUAAUUAUGAUUGUGAUGGUCGAGGUGGUUGGUGGUAGAGAUUGACCGUACUGGUGGUAGCGAUCGAUAGUAGUGGAGGUGGCGUUGACGAUAACAACAGUGGUGGUAUUGAUUGUAGAAAUUUGUGUGGUAGUUGAUGGACUGUUGGUAGCAGUUGGCGAUGAUGUUAAUUGCAAUGGUAGAGUUAGUUAAUAGGAACGAGUGACGGCAGUAGUUGAUAAUGGCGAUAGUGAUGACGGUGAUAGUGGUAGCAAUAAAUAUAAUUAUAGCAUGAAGGUGAUAGAUGUAAUGAUGGUUGACAAUGUUGGGUAAAUUCGAAAUAACAACAAAAGUAUUUGGGGCAAAAUAAUAGGAAAAAAUAUAAAUAAAAAUAAUGACACCAAGAAUUUUAUGUGAAAACCUUUCUAAAUAAGAAAAAAAUCACGGACCAAGAGGAGCAACUGAUAUUACUAUAGUAAAAAAUUUUUACACCGUAAUCACAAAUAUAAUACUCAAAAUGACUACCACACAUUCAAAAGAAAUAACCCUCUUUUGACUCCCACCUUACUAAAAAUAUUGUUCACUCUAAUUUUUCCUUCACAAAUUAUUUUUUUAUCAUAAUCUGUAAAAUAUCUCACUGCUCUAUAUAUAUUUUCUCUCUCUUUAUUGGUGUAUCUUUCAAUUGAGUUACCGUGCUCCUUUUAUAGGAGAAGAUAUGUCCUUGUGACAUCAUUGGUUACUUUAUAGGAAGGUAGCAAUUUCAACAAUUCAACUUUGCAGAUUUGCUUUCUGCCAAGAGGUUGGAAGAACCUUCCCAUACAUUGAAAUAUUUGUCACAAUAUUUAUGGGGAUGGACCCCACAGGCAGUAAUAGUUGGUGGUUGACGACGGUAAUGGAGAUGAUUGUGAUGGCAAAAGUGGUAAAUGGUGAUAAUUGAUGAUUGUGGAUCCCAAAUACCUCUUAGCGGUAUUAGAACUUUAUUCUAGAUCUUGUUUACGACUCAUUUGAAUCAAUUAAAAACUUAAAUCUUUGAUAAAAAUAAAUACAUUUAAUAAUCUAAUAUCUAAAUCAUUCAAAUCUCCAUUAAGCGCAAACAAAUGAAGCAUACAAAUAAUUACAAAAAAAACCUCUUUGUUUAUCAUUGAUGACGUCGACCUCUUAAUUCCCAACAGACACACACAUAGUAGAAAUAAAUAAAUACAUGGGGAGAUAGGACACAACUUCAACUCAAACAAAAUGGAAACAGUUCAAAUAAUAGUAACAGCGUGUUGUGCUUCCAUAGCAAUUACUCUCUUUAUGCAUCUAUGGAGAGUGCUGAAUUGGAUUUAGUUGAGACCAAAGAAGAUGGAGAAGUUGUUGAGGAAACAAGGACUAAAAGGGAAUUCAUAUAGAACAUUGUACCAAAACUAUCACUCGCAAGAAGCAAUUACAUAUAUAUGACAUACUGACGCAAGUAAAUUUUGUCAUGAAAAAAUAAACACCUUAAAAGAAUAAAUAUUUUAUUAAAAUGAUGAAUCACUUCUAUUAGCGGUUUCUUUUUUUUUUUUUGGUAACAAAGGGAUAUAUUAAAGCUAAUAAUAGAGUUAUUACAAGUCUUGUGACAGAACUUAAUCUGGCUCCAAAAAAUAAGCAUCAUGACUGAAAGUUCAGAGUUGUUUUUUCUGUUAAAGUGAGUUCCUAAUAUGUCUGCCCAAACACUAUCUAGUGCAUACACAGGAGAAACUGCAAAAAAUUUGAUGCUUUCAAAAAGUUUCCUUUUUGCUCCUUCCUUAGUGAGCCUAUCAACAACUUGGUUUUGCUCCUUAAAGCAAUGGACCACUGGUGGAUGCUCUAGUCUUCUCAGCGCUAACCUGCAUUCAUGGAGAAUAGGAUCAUAAUGUAAUUUUCCAUUCUUUAGCAUAUGAAUAACUUGUUUCGAGUCAAUAUUGAUCUCUAUGGGCGUGAGGUUCUGGCUCACCACCAUUUUAAGGCCUUUUAAAAGAGCUAGAAGUUCCAUUCUAUUAUUGGUGGCAGUGUGGUAACCUUUUGAAACACCUAAGAUCCAUUUGCCCUUGUUGUUUCUAAUGACUCCCCCAAUUCCACCAAUUCCUGGGUUACCAAGGCAAGACCCAUCUACGUUUAGUUUGAAAGUGCCCCUAGCGGGGGGAAUCCAUUUGACCAUGAGAGAGACUUGUUGGGUUUGAGGACUGGUGGUUGUAUUGUUUAGAUGGUAAUAUUCAAGUGCCUCCGCAUAAGCUUUGGCAAAGGUUGAUUUGUUGGUCGAAUGGUUAAAGAGAUUAUUAUUCCUGCAAACCCAAAUUUCCCAGAGACAGAAAGGCAAAAGGGUGGAAAGAUUAAUGUAGUUGUCUACUUGAAUACCUGCAUCCCAAUUCCAAAUGGUUUCAAGGAAGUUGUGGUUGUGGAAAUGGAGAUUGCUGGGUCUAUACAGGUUAAGGUAGCUGAAGAGAUCAUUCCAUAGAUUGGUAUUCUGAUGGCAUUGCCAGAAAAUAUGAGUGGAGUCUUCCAAUUGGGUGGUACAUUUAAAACAAAAAGGUUAAAUGGGGACUUUUAUCUUGCUCAAGGUAAAGUUGUAGCGGAGUCUAUCAUGGUUAAAAAACCAGAAGAAAUGCUUGAUUUUGUUGGGGAUCUUCUGAGUCCAGAUCCAGUUAAAGCUUUUUUGGUGGAGGACAUGGUGUUUGGUUGAGGUAAUGAGGUUGUACGCGCUCUUGCUACUGAAAACUCUCUUUCCAUUAAUCUCCCAUAUGGGGUAGUCAGCUUUGCUAUUGAGGGAGGAAAUGGGGUUAUUAUUUAUACAAUGGAUAAUGUAGUCUGGGAGUUCAAAAGGAAGAUUGGUGAAAUCCCAAGUACCAUUUAUCCAGAGAUCAGAGACAAGGGUGUUAAAGAAGUACCUAGGCAUGGGUCCAUGGAUGAUAUUGUCCAGUGAAGGGGUGUUAGGGAUCCAUCUAUCAUUCCAAAUCCUGACUCUAUCACCUUUAUGGAUGAUCCAGAGUGAGGCCUUCCUACAGAUUUGCUGGCCAGUGGUGACACACUUCCAGGUUCUCUAAACAGGUUGUCUCUUGGUAGAGGUAUUGGGAUUAUAUUUGUUGGUAAGGAUCUUGGCCCAGAGAGAGUGGGGAUUGGUGGUGAGUCUCCAAGCAAGAGCUGCAUAGACAGUGGUGUUCUUAUCCUUAGCUCUUUGGAUUUCCAAACCCUCUUUGUGCUUUGGGGAAGUGACAAUGUCCCAGUUGAGCAUAUCCAUCCUUUUCCUGGAAUCAAUGGUACCUCAAAUAAAAUCCUUUGGACUUUAUCAAUUUGUUUAUGGAUUUUUUGAGGUAAAGAGAUGUACUAUAUCACAUGGUUGGGGACACUAUUAAGAGAGGUUCUGGAAAGAGUGGUUCUCCCAGCUUUGUUCAGAAGUUUGGUUUUUCAUCCAGCUAAUUUAGCUUUCAUAUUAUCAAGGAUAAAUUGGAAUUCUGCAUUAGUUAGUUUUUUGUGGAAAAUAGGAAAACCAAGGUACUUUCCAAAGUUGUCUCUUGCUUGGAUGCUAAGAGAGAAGGCAAGAUUAUUGGUAUUGGAGUAGAAAACAUUCUUGGAGAAAAGGAUUUUAGACUUGCUUUUGUUGAUCCUUUGACUAGAGUACAAGAUGAAACUAUCCAAGGUUCUUUUGAUGGUUUCAUAGUUUUUAGGAUUUGCUUAUGCAAAUAGGGUUAAAUCAUCAAUUGGUGGGAAAAUUUUGGUCCCCUCCUACUGGUUUUGAUGGGAUCCCAAUUUAGCAAGUCCAUCUCAUGGUUUAUUCUUCUAGUUCCAUGCAAAGAAUGAAUAAGUAAGGAGAUAGAGGGUCCCCUUGCUUAUCUCUCUUGAGGGCUGAAAAACUGAGUUCUAGAACCAUUAAUGAGGACAAAAAUUGAGGAGAUUAAGAUAGAGGGUUUUCCUUAUGAAGGACCAUUCAAUUCUAUCAAAAGCUUUUUCAAGGUCAAUUUUGAGGAUCAUAUUUUCUUUUAGCCCCUUCAUCUUUGAGAAGUAGCUAAUGAAUUCUUGGACAAUGAUGGAAUUGUUAGAAGCUCUCCUAUUGGUCAAAAAACUAGCUUGAGUAGGGCCAAUAAGGUCAGAUAGAAAGGGUUUGAUUCUAUUGGCAAUCAAUUAGGUGAUGAUCUUGUAUUGAGUGUUACAGAGUCAAAUAGGCUCAAAGUUUUUUAGGAAGAUAGCAUUAGGACAUUUGGGUAUCAAACAGUGGUAGGUGGAGUUUACCUCUUUAUCCAUGGUGGCAGAAGAGAAGACCUGAGUACAGAAGGACAUGAGUUUAAGGUUGACCAUAUCCCAAAAUUUUGGAAAAAGAGUGGGUGGAUACCAUCAGGGCCUGGUGCUUUUGAGGGUUUGAAGCUGAAGAUAACUUUUUUAACCUUAGAAAGAGAAUGAGGCUCUUGGAGGAGGGUAUGUGCACUCUCUAGAAUAGAGCCUCCAGAGGAUGGGUUUUGUUGGGUUCUGAGGUGGGAAGAGUGAUGGUCAGUGGUGUAAAGAAGGGUGUAGAAUUUCUAGAUAGAGGUGUGAAUUUCCUCUUAGGUGGUGAUCCAGUUACCCUCAUCAUCCUUAAGAGAAUUAAUUCUAUUCUUUCUUCUUAUGUUAAGAGUAGUAGAGUGAAAGAAUCUAGUGCUAGUGUCCCCUUUCAUUAACCAGGUUAUUCUUGAUUUCAGUCUCCAAAAUUCACAUUCAAGCCUAAGAAUGUCACUAUACUCCCUGAGCAAGUUGUUUUCAAGAUUGUGGAGGAAUUGGCUAGUUGGGUAAUGGGGCCUUUUUUGAACGCCAUCCAGUCUACUAAGAGUUCUUUUUUUCUUACUGAAGAUGUUUCCAAAAACCUCUUUGUUCCAAGAAAUGAUAUUUUCCUUAAGGUUGGAGAUUGAGCUGGUGAGGCUAUCUCCAGUAAGGAAAGUAGAUUCAACUAUCCUGGGGAAGUCAGGGUGGGAACACCAGAUGAUUUCCAUCCUAAAGGGUUUUUCCCCAGUGUUUCUCUGAGUAAGGAGGUUCACUAAGAGAGCGUAGUGAUCAGAAUUGGUCUUUGGCAGGUGGGUAACCUGAGAAUCAGGGUAAGUAGGGAUCUAAGAGUCAUUACCAAAGAAUCUAUCUAACCUUUCCAUAAUGAGGUCAUUUCUAUUCCUAUACCUUUUAUUAGUCCAAGUAAACUUGCUACCCUUAAAGCCUAAGUCUACUAAGUUGUAGUGGUUUAUGCAGUUCCAAAUAUUUUUGGAUCUUUUGGGAUUUACAGGGUUCCCACUAAACUUGUCUUGGGUUUUCAGGACUUCAUUGAAGUCUUCACCUACAAGCCACCCAGUUUUCCCAUUCUCAUUUAUAUAGUCAGCCAUGUGGGUCAGUUGGUCCCAAAGUUGUUGUCUAGCUCCUAGGUUGGGGAUAGUAUAAAUAAUACUGAGGAACCAUAAAGAAGAGGGAGAGAGUACCUUGACAACCACGUAAAUGCUUUGUGGGGUUAUGGAAAUAUCAUUAAUGUUGAGCAAGUCAUCUUUCCACAUUAACACUAUUCCCUCCGAAAGACCAAUAGCUGCAGAUUGGAUAAAGCAGUCAAAGCCCAGGUCCUGUGCAAGUUGGUGGUGAUCAGCCAUCUUGGUCUUCAGGAAGGUCAGCAUAGAGGGUUUUGUGAAGAGAGAUCAUGGAAUUGCAGUGCGUUUUGAACUCCGCAUUGUUCUCACCUCCAGCAUUCCAUAUUAUGAUGUUCAGCAUCAUUUUAUUUUUCUGAGAGGAUGUGGGUUUUAUGGACAUUUUUUAUUUGUCUUGCUUACUCAGGGGUUGCUGGGGGAGAUUCACAUUGACCAUUGACCGGUAAGGGGUCAGCAAGGUCACAAAUAUUUCCCUCAUCAAGACACUAGGGAGUUUGAUUUCCAUGGUCAAUUUCGUUAGGUUCCAUGGAAGCAGUACUAUCCACAUAUCGUUUAUCAACUCUGAGAAGUUUAAAGCUAGUGGUUUGUUCAGGGUGAUGGCUUCUGUGAGAGGGACUUUCAUGGAGGCUAAAAUGGCCUCCAUUUUUUGGUUAUUUGCUCUUAACAUAUCCAGGGUUAUUUAUCUUUCCUAGGUCUAUGGAAGAGUGGUCAGUGCUUGAUUAGGUUCCACUGGAGAAGGCGCAUUGAAGGUAGGCCAUUGAUCAAGAACUGAGGAUUUGCUGGGGGAAGAAAGGCAAGCUUUGUAUCACCAUAUUCAAGGUCCCCGAAAGGAGCUCUGUUGAGAGGGGGACUUGGGAUUCCUGUUCAUAAUAUCCAUAAGGGUUGACAUCCAGAGGUUGUUGCCAUAUUUGGCUAAGCUCUAGUUCAUCGCUUCCCUCACUAGUUGAGCAAAGUACUAUGGGUUUUGUAGUACUAUCUUCACUGGUUUCCCAUCUAUUUCCCCCUUGAGAGUGAGAAUCAUAUCUUGUAGCCCCAUUUUUAGCCAUGAAACUAGAGCAUAGUCUAGAGGUAGAGGCUGUGAGACAAGCUUUAUUGGAGGUGUUGUUAGAUUUUCCAUGGGGUUUGGGAGAAUUGGUAGGGUAGAAAGGAAGAGAGAGAUGCAAGUUGAGAGAGGGUUCUUGUAACUCAUCUUUAGAAGGCCUACUAGGAACAGGAGAAGUCUUAGGGUGGGGGAAUGUACAGGCAUUACAGGGGGGGGAGGUCACGAUUACAGGCACUGCUAAGCUUCUAUAGACAUUGAUUUGACCAUUAAGAGUCAUUUCAGAAGGUUGUGGAGGGAAAUUAACAACAACUUCUGAGUGAAGAGAAGUGAAAUGAUUUAAGGUGACAAUCGUUGACCUAUUGAGAGUUUUCCUUUCAGGGGUUUGGGUAUGGGCCUCUUUUGAGAUAAGAUAGGCCUUUCCAUUUCUGUGGCUAGUUUGAGGGAGGUCUAAAGCCCCGGUUUCCAUAGCACCACAUUUUGGGCUUUGGACAUGGCCUAUUUUUUUGGGCCACAGUAUUCUGAGAGGGAGAUUUUUGUAAACCUUUCCCUUGGGCCGUAUCGCAUCAGAUAGUUGUAGUGACCCGAUUUCCCUGGCCCAUAAGAGGCUUUUUCUCUCUCUCCUUUCUUUUACCAUUACCAGGAUCUAUGGAGAUCUGGUUGGUAGAUGUCGAAUUAAAUUGAAAAAUUGGGGGUUUAGUGGACAUACCUGACCUACUUUUAUCUUUGUUAGCAAUAGGUUUGAUAUUAUGGGAAAUAUUUUUACCUGGCUGGUGAGACUGGUUUGGAUGUUGUGGCUUUACCUGAUUUUUUUCUUUUUUUCUAUUAAAAGAGACGGUUUUCCAUUUGGUUGCUUCCGCUUUGUCGUUGUGUUCCUUGAUUGUUGAGCUUGCUGGGUCUUUCUCUGGUCUUUCAUGAUUGAGUGGUUGAUGUGGGGUUCUAAACCCACAAUCACUCACCGUGUGUCCCAACCUGCCACAACCCGUACACAAAAUCUCUUCACCCUCGUAACUGAUUGACUGGUGAUGAUGCCCAAUCCGUAUGGAAGUGCAAACCGGUAUAUCCAUUUGGAUUUGUAAGCAGAUCCUUGCGUACCUUCCUCUGAGGGUCGAGGAGGUGCAUGUAUCAAUUUUGAGGAGAUUCCUAAUUUUCCUUCCAAUUCGUUCCAAAAUUAUUUUAUCGUAGAACUCAGUUGGUAUGGAGGGUAGUCUCAACGAAAUGGCUGUAUAGGUAACCUUCGAAUUAUUGGGAAUGAAGUUUGUCUCCCAUUGCCUUGUCGACACAUAUGAAUCCGCGACGAACCAAGGACCCUCGUGCAGAAUUUUUUUCUAGCAUUCAUCGAGUGAUAAUUUUACUGUGUAAAAUUCUUCACCCAGAUCGAUUAGGAUGACUGGUUCAUUGAUCUUCCAUAGAUCUGUUAGCUUUGAGUGGACGUACUGGUGGUUGAACUUUAUCUUACCCACACAUUUUAUUAUCACUGACUUUUUCCACGGAGAGUAUAGUUUGUUCUUGUCAUCGAUCAAUAGCUGGAUAAAGUCCUCUAAUUCAUUCAAAGUAUUGUCCCUGUUCGCAACAAAUUUUUGUUAACGCUUAAAAUUAACUGCAAGAAAAAAUAAAUAAACAAAAAGAAUAAUUUUAUAUAAAUGAAUUUUGUGGGUACGAUUUCGUUGUUCUUUUGAUUCUUCUCUCCUAAGUUUUUUCAUGAUUCGAGGGCCUUUGCAGCGUGAUUCUUGAAUGUAGGAUGAUUUGAGCCUCCUAAAAAUGUGUUUGGAUCUCCAGGAAUUGUCUGACAGCACUUCGUCUUGUCGAGUUAAUCUCCGGGCAGAACUCCGUUAGUCAAUUCGUUGAAGAGUUGUUAGUCAAUGCAGAGGCUUCCUCCAAUGCUUGCAGAAUGUCCUUUUUUUUUUAGAAUGUUAUGUUACCCCCUAUUUAUAGUUGUGGGGGUAGGCCUUAGUUGCUUGUGAUUGGCUGAAACAAGUCACUUUGACACUUGGCACCUUUUGACUGGUUGUUGAAUUUGAAUGAGAUUUCCACAUCAUUUGUACAUAUGGCGGCGUCUCAUUGGUUUUGAAUUUGAUUGGGAUGCCAUGUCACUUAAUGAGUUUGGGCUUCAAAGUGAGAUGAACCUUGAUGAAGAAUAAAAUAGUCUUAUUAUUUUUUUUUAGCCCAAAAUAAUUUUAAAACCAAUAACAUAUGACCCAAAUUCAAAUUUUAUAUGAAUUUGAUCCAAUAAAUUUUAUGUUUCUAUAGAUGUCCCCUACUUCAAGGUUGGUCGACGUGUAAUCUUGCCGAAACUUGGCGGCGAAGCUUGAAGUACUCAUGAAUGUGUUUUCAUUCUCAUGAUUUCAAAGGUAUUUGUUUCUUCCAAUGUUGAUCAUGCCAAAUUGAAGCAUCGUGCGUUUGGUACCGACACUUAUCGCCAGAUUGAAGUUUCACGUAGUUGACAUCAAUCUGCACAGAAUCGAGAAGCUUCAUCCGGUCAACACAGUAGAUGUGUUACAUCUUCAUUUUUUUUGUGAGGUUUAUGCAAAUGGUCUUGAUGUCAGACCAAAAAGGUCGACAUGAUUGAUGUUGAACCAUUUAGUGCACUACUUCUUUGUUGUUUGAUAAGAAAGUGACUUAGAAUGAUCUGAUUUUAUCCUUGACGACGCUGAAAGUUUUCCAUUUUAGCUUCAGUAAGCAUGUACUUGGUAUCAUUCUUGCGACCUUGUGAUGAUGAAGUUCUGAGUGUUUGCAGUCCAUCGUUGCAAAGCAAGCAUGUGGUGCACCUCAUCCGUGGGGCUCGGCGAUAAAGAGGCUUCGAGUGAGAGCAUCCCAUUCUUUUCAAGGAGCACGUGCGUGGUGCCAUCCAUCUUGAUAAUAUUGACACAGGGAGUAGCCUUUUCUGACUUUGGUGAGCAAGUACUAGGCACACGUCCACAAAAAUAUUUAUUCUCUGAUGGGAGAACAAAAAUAUGAGUUGUUUGAUUCAUAAAAAUGAAAUUCAAUGUCCUAUCUUAUCAGCUUUGCGCAGCGUCAUGAUAAAUUCCGUAUUUUGAUGUAGGAGUAUCGAAAUCAGGAGUCAUUUUUAUUUCUCUAGAAAUUAGACUCGUAGAGCUACGUCUUACACAGGAAUGGCAAUCAGAUUACACCCAAAUCGUUCCAUAUAUUACCCCAAAACCGAUCUUCUAAUCACGGUUCGCUAGUUUCAUCAGCUUUGCGCAUCGUCACGAUAAAUUCCAUAUCUUGACGUGGAAGUAUCAGAAUCAGGUUCUGUUUUUUGCAUUGGAAAGUAGAUUCGCAGAGCUACGUUUUUCACAGAAACCACAACUAGAUUGCGUUUGAAUCGUCCCAGAUAUUUCUCCAAAAAUAUCCUUCUAAUCUUGGUUCGCUGGUUAUUUCAGCUUUGCGCAGUGUCAUGAUAAAUUCCAUAUUUUGACGUGAAAGUAUAAAAAUCAGGUCUCAUUUUUUGCAUUGGAAAGUAGAUUCGCAUAGCUACGUCUUUCGCAGAAACCACAAUUAGAUUGCAUUCGAAUCAUCCUAGAUAUUGCUCCAAAAACAGUCUUCUAAUAUUGGUUUGCUGGUUAUUUCAGCUUUGCGCAGCGUCACGAUAAAUUCCAUAUCUUGACGUGGAAGUAUCAGAAUCAGGUCCCAUUUUUGGCAUUGGAAAGUAGACACGCAGAUCUACGUUAAGCGUGAAGUCUAUCAGCAUAUAACCUGUAUAUUUUCUCAGGUACUUUUCCAAAGUUGUAGCCUAAAUCUUGUGAUAUUCUAUUUCCCCUCAGAUUUUGGAUACUUCAUGAAUUUCAUCAUCUACUUCAAGUUUUGGGCCGCAUCACUUCGGAAAUAUAUUAAAGGCUAGACUAGAUCAAUAUUCAAAGUACCACAAGUCUUUUUCUUGUUGAGAAGACUUUAUUGGUUGAGAGAUAAUGAAGAAUUCUUUUGCUUUAAGACGACAUCUUCAAAGGACUCCAAAUAUGCAUUCAAGCUUCAUACUUUUCCUUCCUUUUUUUAGAGCCAUUCAUAGUUUAGACUCAUGCGGUCCAGGAAUGACAUGCAGUUUAAGCUCGUGCCUUAAGGAGCAUUUUGACUUGCAGUAUAGGCUCGUGCAUCGAGGAGCGUCUUGACUUGCAGUUUAGGCUCGUGCAUCGAGAAGCAUUUUGAAUUGCAGUUUAGGCUCAUGCAUCAAGGAGUAUUUUUGACUUGCAGUUUAAGCUCAUGUAGCAAGGAGCAUUUUUGACUUGCAGUUUAAGCUCGUGCAGCAAGGAGCAUUUUGGGGAAGAAUUCUUGUAAUGUAACUUUCCUUCCAACCUUUUGUAAUGGAGUAUGGUUUCACCUCAGCUUGGUAUUUAUUGCCCCCAUUGGUUGAAACAGAUUUGCACUUGAUCUUGUGUCGACUUUUGUAAGUUGGAGUUUAGAGGCCUUUUGACAUUUUUUUCUUUUGCGUGCGAUCAAUGUCCAUGUAUCACCCUUCUUGCUAUUGGAGAAGUCAUUUUGCAUGAAUUUGCUCAUUGUUUUCUUCAAGGCUGGAACCCUAAUUGAGUCAAAGCUCCCAAAUGGUAGCAUGAUGAUUUUUUCAACUUUUGGUGAUUUCACAGAGCGCAUGGGUUGUACAGCUUUUGAAAUUGAACCUUUCAUAUGGUGUAGUUUGGUGCUAACAUAAUUUGUGUCAACUAUAUCGCCAUCAUCAAUGAUAAUCUUUCUCUCUUGCAUUAAUGUCAUGAUCUUUUCCUCUAGUAUGAAGCAUUUUGUGAUGUGAUGACCAACAAUACGAUGAAAUUUGCAGUAUUUAGGAUCAUCGACUUUGUUUGAUUCUUUGGGUCGCUUUGACUUAGGAAGUUUAAUGACUUCUUUGGCUAAGAACUCAUCAAGAAUUUUAGCAACAUCAGAGUCCAGAAAAGGAUAUACCUUUGCUUGUAACUCUUUCAAUGUUGGUUGAUUUUUCACCUCUCGCAUUUGUUGCUUUGGAGCUUCCUCUUUUAACUUUGUCUUGUAGGGAACUUCGUAAAACUCACAGUUGUCGUCAUAGAUUUCCCAAUUUGGUUUUUAGAUGAGUCUUCGAAUUUUGUGACUUUCUUCCUAGGAUCAAAAAUAGGUUAUGCCAUUCUAUGACUUGCAAUACUUAGCUCCAUGUCAUGAGUGCGCGUAGCUAAUUCUUCAAAAGUUUGAGGCUUAAUUCCUUGGAGGAUAUACACAAGGCCCCAAUGCAUCCCUUGAAUAUAAACAUCAACCGCGGAAGUUUCAGAAAGUUGAUCCUUACAAUCAAAGCUCAAUGUUCGCCAACGAUUUAUGUAAUCCAGUACAGGCUCAUCUUUACUUUGUCUUGUGUUUGUCAGCUCCAUCAUGCUGACCAUACGAUGGGUACUGUAGAAAUGAUUUAGGAACUAACUUUCUAGUUGCUCCUAAGAAUCAAUUGAUCCAGACUCCAAGUUUGUGUACCAAUCAAAAGCGUUGCCUUUCAAAGAGCGAACAAAUUGCUUGAUAAGAAAAUCACCGUGUGUACCAGCACUGCUACAAGUCUCAACAAAAUGAGCGAUGUGUUGCCUUGGAUUUCUCUUUCGAUCAAAUUAUUGAAACUUUGGCGGUUGAUAUCUAAUUGGCAUCGGUAAGCCCUCGAUUCGCUUAGAAUACGGCUUUGAGUAUCCUACGAAACUUUAUGACGGACCGCCAUAUUGUGCCUUGAUGGUGUUUGCAAUCAUAUCUUGCAGUUUUUGAACUGUUAGAGUAGCCACUGAAGCGGAUCGAUCAUCGCAGUAUGAUACGAGUACGAUCACGUAGAUGGACUUAUGAGGGCGUACAUUAGAUCCGAGGCUUGGUGUGUGCAAUAAAGUGUAAAGGAGCACCGAAAUGGAUACCAAAAAAGUCCAGUACAUACACUAAAUGGGUCAAAUCAGUCCACAACACGUACUAUAGGGGUGCCCCUUCACUAAGGGGCCUUUUGGUCAUUUUACCUAUUAUUUGUAAUACACUAUAAAUAGAAUAAUGUAGGGUUUCAUUAGGUAGAUUUUGAUGAUGAUGAAUUUUGUAUAACAUUGAAAGACAAGUCCUCUCUCUUUGAGGCACAAAUCUGAAAUUGUAACUAGGAAAAUCAACUUGAGUGUAGAAUCACUUGUGUUGGAUUCAAGCUUGGAAACGUUGGUCCUUGGGAGAUCGAGAUCCCUCUUUUGGCUACAUAGGAGAUAGGUUAGUGUUGUGUGUAGUAUUAAAGGUACAAGGGUGUAACAAUUCUUGGGUUAUUAAUAUUAUUCCCUCAUUUGGUCUAUCUAUCUAUCUUUAUCUUAUUGCACUUUGUAGAUUCAUAGUGGACUGUUUUGUGUCCUUCUUGAAUCCAAAAUUUGUUCUCAUUGUUUUCAUCUUGUUAUCAUUGUGUUGUUGCUGUUUUGGUGUCAAAUUCACCGUUGUUAUCUCGUAUUAUUAUUGUUGUAGUGAAUCCGAGAGUGGUCUCCAUCUUAGUCCUCAAAUCCUUAAGAUUAGUGGACUGUUUUGGAGUUGUUUUGUGUUUCCAUUAUUUUUCGUGUAUCAUUUGGUAUCAAAGCAUGGAUAGAUCUUGUUCCUACAAGAUCAAUCUUGGGCUUGCUUGUUAGAAAAUUCAAAAAAAAAGUUAAAAUCUAAAAAUUCCAAAAAGAAGCAAAUCUGUCCAUUUUUGUGUCUUGGCUGAAAUUGUGUUCUUGUUGUGUCUUGGUUGAGAUUUUUCUUGUUUUGAGUCUAGAUCUAGGAGUCAUUUUAUUUGUUUUGUUAUUUCUAGUGUUAGAUUUUUCACCUCUAACACUAAAGAAGUCUAGAUUUAGAUUUGAGCUUUAAUUGUUGAUGUUGUUGUUGUGAACCUAAACUUUGGCUGUGUGAUUGUUGUUGGUAUUGUUGUUGCGGAUUUAAAGCUUGGACAUCUGGUGUAUUGUUGGUUCAAGGUUUGAAUGUAUAUGGUGGUUAUUGUGUUGUAUUUUUAAGCUUGGAAAGGUGUUGUUGAUGUUUGGGGUCCAACUUGAACCUUAGAACUUCAAGAUUCAAAAAAAUAUGUUCUUGGCGUUCUUCACAUCUUCAUCUAUUGUUGAAGAAAAAGUGGAUGUUUGAUCUUGGAAGUUGAAGAAAGAGAGUGUGUAUUUUGUUAGUCUUAAAAGACAUAUUUCCAAAAUUUUAGACCUCUCAAGACUUUUAAAGCCAAUUCCAACCACUUUUCCAACAACCUUCCAUGAUUUAAGGACCAUGUCUUAAGGAGAAAUGUCAAGUCUUGCGUUUUGAAUUUGAAAGAGGAUUUCAAGACUUCUAUUCUCUCCUUAACCAAUUCCCACCAAUUCCAAAUUACAAUUGUACCAAGACUUGAAUUAGAAAAUAAAAUUUGAUAACAACCGCAACCAAUACGUGGCUGCCACAUCACGUUUUCACUGUUCACCAACAAUUUUUAAGCUCAAAUUUCAGAUUUCUUAGUUUCAUUUUAUUGUUUCCUAGUUCCGUUUGUUGCUUAGAAUGCUAAUUAACAAACUAGUAAUCUCCUACUAUAUUGUAAGUUAGUUGUAGAAUCUGUUUGUUCAUGUCUACGUUUGUUGUGUGCUUUUAUCUUUUGUGAAUUCGUUGUAUCUUGUUGGUUCAAGUCCGUAAAUAAAUUUUCUUUGAGUCAAAUCAAACGAAAAUCAAUUCCGGGAAAGANNNNNNNNNNNNNNNNNNNNNNNNNNNNNNNNNNNNNNNNAUCAAAACAGUCCAAACACACUCCAGAAAUAGUCCACUAAUUCAAAGAAUUGGGGACCCUUUUGAAGACCACUCUCGGAUUCAAGAAUGAAAUACAAGAAAGAUGAUAUAACUAGGUGUUUGACACCUUUUGAAGCCAAUAACAAACUAAGUUAACAACACAAUAUGAAACAAAAAUAAGAACAACAACAACAACAACAAAAAUAGCUUCACAAUACAAGAUACAAAACGGAUACAAGAUUACAAAAGAAAAAAGAUAAAUAGAUAGACCACAUGAAGGUAUAAUAUUAAGAACCCAAUAAUGGUAACUCUUGGACCCUUAACACUACACACAAUAAUAAACCUAUCUCUUACAAAGACACAAGAUCAGAAUCCACCUCCCAAGCAUCAGUGUUUCCAAGCAAAUGCAAACACAAGUGAUUCUACACUUGUCUAAGCCCUAAUUUCGAUUUUGGGUGCCUCAAUGAAAGAGGACUUGUAUUUCUUUGUCUUGUAAGACCUACAAUUUCAUUCAUAAACUAAGUCUAAAACCCUACAAUGUUCCUUUUAUAGCUAUUACAAAAUAUAAGUUAGAAUGACCAAAAGGCCCUUCAAAGAGUGGGCACCCAUCUAGUGUAAUUUAUGGGCUGAUUUGGGUGCAUUUUGGGCCUCUUUUACACUUCAAUUGCACAUGCCAAGGCUCGGGUCCAACACUCACUCUCCUAAGUCCAUAUUCGUGAUUAUUCCUGUAUCAUCCUCUCCCUCUUAAGAGGAAUUUGUCCACAAAUUCACUGCUUCAUCUCGUUCAAUGGUCACUUCAAAGGAAACCUAGUCAAAACAAUCCGCAAACAAGUCACAAAAACAAGUCAAAACAGUCCACAAAAUCAUUAAGAAUCUGAGGGCUCAAUAACAACAAGUCUCGGCCAACAUCUUCAUUUUGAACCUCGGCUUCCUCUCCAUCUUGAGCCUUGUCUUCAAUCUCAUCCGAAAUAAGUCUCCUACCAUCAUACAAGUAUUGUAGUAGUCUCUAUAUCCUUCAUGUUCUUUUCUACCAUACUCCUCUACAUGGAUAUAUCAGUUUUGGUGAAAUGAAGUUUCGAUUGAGAGGAAUGAUUUGGUAAGGGGGCUUCGGUUGUGGAGCUUAGCUGGGAGGAAAUUUUCUUCUAAGUCCCUCUUGUUCGACUUGAUAAAAUUGAGGGGGAAGUGACUUAUUUUGUUCUCGGGUUUGAGGACAUUUGUUGGCUUGGCUUAUGUCUAUGUCAUUUAGUGGUGGUCUUGGAGGGUUGAUCGUUUGAGGUAAAGCUUUGGGAGUAGAAACAUGAGAGUUCCUUCGACUCUCCACUCGAUCCAACCUCUCAAGUAUAGUAGACAUAUCCAAGCCCAAUUUGUCAAGACUCGCAUUCGCCUUAGCUAUUUCUCGGGCAAUAGAAUCAAGGUAGGCCAAAAUGGUGUCCAUUAUGGCAAAGGAUUUACCUACAAAAUAGAAAACACAUUAGUUGUACAUAAACAUCCUCAAUCACUCUUUUAUGUCUUGUCUCUCGGAUCCCCCACACUCAAUCUCACAAGUGUUGUAAGCUUGCUUGUACUCCGAGAGUUUUUGAGAGGUGAAUCAAGUGUGUACAACGACUCAAAAGAAUGAAACACACAAAGGAACAUAAACACAUGUCACACACACACACCCUUUUUUUUACGUACUCCAAAAGAUUUGUGUUUUAAGAGUCGAAGGGGUUUUAAUUAUUAAAGUGACAAAAGAUGAAAAUUUAUUUCGAAAAAGGAUUAUUUUUAACAAUCACAAUUCAGAGUCGCCACUCGGCAUAAAUCGGGUGUGCCGAGUCACUCACAGAUAUCCUUUUUCAAAAUGGUUUUGACUCUUUAAUACUGGUUUGCGAACAGAUAUUCUGGCUAAGGAAUUCUGUUGACCGAGGGGAAGGUGUUAGGCACCCCUCGAUCCCGUAGUUUGACCACGAUCGCUUGGCAGAGCGUAUCGGCUAAAUUGACACUACGAUGUAUAAACCACACAAAAGCACGCAAAAUAAUCAAACAAAACAAUCCAAAAUGUAGAGUCCAGUCCAAUUACAGUCCAAAAAUAGAAAAAAUACGAAAAUAUAAAUCCUAUUCUAAACUAAAUCGAGACUAAGCUCCAAUGCCUUACCCAAUUCCGCGGGCCUUCAUCACGAUCAUCUUUCAAGUACAAGGUACUUCAGGGCAUUCCCUGGAUAAAUCAAUACAAUUCCUUCGGGGCAUUCCCCCGCCAAAUGAGUACAAUUUAAACUUUUUGUGCAAUAAAGUAGAAAGUACCAUUCAUGCACAUAUUCAAACACCCCCUAAAUUUGCCUACCCAGCCCAUGUUUGCCUACGCUUUUGCUGGUCUUAUCAUGAUACUACUGCAUUUCAACCAUAUUUAUAUUUAAACCAAAUUAAACCAAAAGUCUUUAAUCAAUCCAAAUUCACCAUUUUAUCAAAUUCUCAAUUCCGCCCCAAUUUUCAUUUUAGUACUAAAUUUUCACAAUUCACCAUUUCUAUUUCAACGACCCACAAUCACUUUUCAACGAAAUUAAACAACGAGUCAAUAUCAAAAUGACAACCUAUCACCAAUCCAGACAAUAUGCAUUCAUCACCAAACAAGUAUCGAACAACACCUGAAGCUUAAUCCAAACACCAAAGCAUAGUAAACAAUAAAAUAGAAAAGGAAAAGAUUAGAAUUGGAUCUUUCGACAAUCUGAUCUUUGUUGAUAAUAAGAAAACCCGGACUUGGAAUUUCGAAUAGAACCUAAACAACUUUUUGGAUCGAACUCGGAUAGAAAAAUAGCAACUCGAAACUGUCACAAUAAUCUGACUAAGACCAAACAGCAUCCAAAUUUCUAGAACCAGUGUGUAAACCAACAAACCCCGAAAAGCGUAACAACCGAACAAGUCAGCCCGUAUACAAUUUCAACGAAAGAAAACUGAUGUACCUAAACUCGAUUUCAAAAAUGACACUAAACAGACAAACCUAAAGCCUCAAUCGACCUGACGAAAGACCUAAUCCGGUGUAAUCUGAGUUCCGGUGAACUCAAACGAGGUAGCAAACAACAAUCCCAAAAUAGAUUCUGGCGACCACGCUGUUUUCGGCCAGAUUCAACUAGAAACUAACAAGAACGACAAGAAGAUUAGGUUCGUUGGAAUAUCUCAAGAAAACAGACGGAUCUUACUCAAACUCUCUUCAUUUUUUUUUUGAUUUACUCUCACUAUGUGUAUGUACGUACCCCUUUUUUGUGUGUCUGUGAACCAAGAAGAAGAAGAAGAAAAGAAUGGGGUAUAUUGUUCUUCAAGGUCCAAAAUGGAAGAACCCCCUUAUUUCUGUGUAUAAUGUUGUGUGUUAUCUGCGUCUGAGAGAGUAUGUGUGUGUCGUGUAAAUGGUGAGGGUGAGUGUCGAUCGAAAGAAAGGAAGAAGAUGAGUGUGUAUUCUGUAUAUUAAUGGAGUGGUUCCUUUUUUGGAGAAGAAAGGAAAAAAAAUUGAGAUGUGCUCUGUGUCUAUCCCCGUAUUCCAGUGAAGACAAAAAAUAUAUAGGGGAUCGGGUGGGGUUACGUGGGUGGGUAUUGGGGUAGGGUAGGUGGGGUGGGUGGGGUUGCGUGGGUGGGUAUUGGGGUAGGGUAGGUGGGGUAGGGUAUGGGGGCAUGGGGUAGUGAUGUGUUGUCCAAAAUUGAUAGGAGGGGUGGUUAAUUUUGUUACAAAAGAAUAAUUGGGGAUUAGGUUUGUUAGUGGGUUUAUUAUUUUUGUAUUUUUGUGGGAUAUAAUCAUACGGGUGAGGGUACGUGAUAAGACAAGGAUAAAAUGUGUAACUUGGGUUAUCGGGAGGGACCAAAUUAGGUGUCUACAUCAUGCACCCUUUGAACGUAAACACGAAGUGUUUUCAGGCAAAGAAGUAGACAGCAAGACCAAAUUUGACCCGACUAUUACUCAAAGAAAGAAAUAGAAGGAAGAAAGACAACCAGGUCUUGACUUAAGACAUCCUUCCUACCCAAGUUAUGAAAGAAUCAAGUCACGGGUAUUUCAAAGGACUGGAAGAGAAGUGGACUAUACCGAGUUGGAGAGUCGAGUGAGGUUCCAUCAAGGUUCCGGUCUGCGGCUCUGUCAUUACAUAAAAAAUGAAAAUUACAAGUUAAAACAUAAACGAAUUUACAAAAUCCUAACUAUACAGCUUCUGUCGGCUCUUGGCUUGACUUUUAUCACCCUAUUCUUCAGGUGGGCUCCUAACUUGCAAUUUAUUUCAACUUGUUGCUUGGAUUUCAAUUGCUUUGCUUUGUUGCUUGACUUUUCAUUUCUUCACCCUAUUCUUCAGGCGGGCUCCUGACUUGCUAUUUCAUCACUUUAUUGCUUGACUUUCAUUUCUUCACUCUAUUCUUCCGACGGGCUCCGGACUUUCUAUUUCAUCACCCUGUUCUUCAGGCGGGCUCCUGACUUGCUAGUUCAUCACCGUAUUCUUCAGGCGGGCUCCUAAAACCCAAAAUUAAAACUAGAACGAAAAUUAUCCCAAACAAGAAUUAUAAUAAAGUAGUAUUUCAUUUUUGAGAGCGUUGUCCCAUUUUCCAGGAGGGUCCUGAACAGAAAGUAAAGUCCCAUUUUUCAUAGGGUCCUGAAUUGAAAGUAAAUUCCCAUUUUUUUCAAGAAGGUCCUGAACAGAAAGUAAAAUCAAUCUUGCUUAAUUACACUUUCACUUUUCCACAUUAGUACGAGAAGGCGGACAUUGGUGCGCGGUAAAAAAUUUCGAGAUAUCAUUUAAGAAUUUUCUAUUAAUAAGCGUCCCUAUUUUUUGGAUAGGAUAGAGAAUAGGCAUUCCCUAGGGGAACUAUAGUCUAGGUCAGAGCUGAGUUAAUCAUAGCUUUUGAUCCAUAGGAUAGGAAAAAGGGGAGGAGAAUAAUAAGAAUAAGUUUUCCAUAAAGAGCUCACGAGACUCCCCAUACGAAGAAAGAAGCGACCCACCAGAUUCGAAUUAGCAUAUAGAAAAGUGGAAUCCGUUCUAAAUUCCCUUAAUUUCUUUCUCUCCUGUCAUGAGGAGUCUCUUUGGUGACGCAGUUUGGCAAAUCCCACCUACAUCUGCGAAGCUGGAUCAGCAGGACGAUCCAAAAUAUUAGGUGGCCCGCGGGCAUAGAAAAAAAGAAAGACAAUUAAAAAACAAUUGUAUUACCGAUAGUAGUACAUGGCUGACUUGGAACUAAUUAUUGAAAACCAUAAAUGAGUUUUAUAUCUUCGAAAGCCUGCUCCCAACAGAAACUAUGAAAUCCACACUCUAAAAGGUUAGAGUAGACAUCAGAUAGAUAAUAUGGGUCUAGCACGUGGAAACGCUCUUUAAUAGAACUUUAGCCUUAGCUGGCCAUGCCCGAAGUCCUUACCUUAACCGCAAGGAGUGGGAUGCCAAAAUAAAAUAAGGAUUCAAUCCAGCCACAGGUUCCCCUAUGGCUACCUUGUAAAGUUGUGAAAAAGCAAAGAAAGAAUGGCUAUAAACAUCAUCGACCUUUCAUUGAUCUUUUGUGCCUCGGGCGUUUGCUAGUCGAUCAACCAAGAAAUGAGUUGGUCGAGGCGGAGUGACUGAAAGAUCUCUGACGUCAUCAAAAUACCUCCCUUAUACAGGAACACGUAGCCAAAGAAGAAGACGCUUUAAGAUGAUCCCCACAGAAAGUAAAAUCCCAUUUUUCAGGAGGGUCCUGAACAUAAAGUAAAAUCCCAUUUUUCAGGAGGGCCCUGAACAGAAAGUAAAAUCCCAUUUUUCAGGAAGGUCCUGAUCAUAAAGUAAAAUCCCAUUUUUCAAGAGGGUCCUGUACAGAAAGUAAAUUCCCAUUUUCAGAAGGGUCCUGAACAUAAAGUAAAAUCCCAUUUUUCAGGAGGGUCCUAAACAUAAAGUAAAAAUCCCAUUUUUCAGGAGGGUCCGGAACAGAAAGUAAAAAUCCAUUUUUCAGGAGGGUCCUGAACAUAAAGUAAAAAUCUCAUUUUUCAGAAGGGUCCUGAACAGAAAGUAAAAUGCUCAUUUUUCAGGAGGGUCCUGAACAUAAAGUAAAAAUCCCACGGAUGUGCAUUUCUAAUGGUAGCUAAAUUAAGUGCAGGGAAUUUACCCCUAUUUCAACAAAGAAAAUUUGUCAGUUAAAACUUAAUGGUGGCUUGCAACUCUUGGCUUCUCAGGAAUCUGCCCCAGCAUUCGUUCCUUUCAUCUUUCUUCCAAAUCGCUGACACCUGCCCUAUCUUGCCGCAUCAUUGCCCCGGAUCCAGAUUAAGGGAAAUGAGUUUUGACUCAAACAAUGGGUUUUCAUUUUACCAUGCCCCUGAGGUGCAGUCUUUUCCCAAAUCUGAAUGCUUCCACGGAUCCAAUAGUCUGUCGGUUGAUAGACUUUCUUUGCUUCAUGUUGAAUUACGAUCAUAUUUCUUUUCUGUGCUGUUCCUUGGCUUUUCCUCAUAUAAUUGGAAAGACUGGUAGUAAAUUUUGAAAUUCUUUCUCGCUUGUUUUGACACAGACUUGACUUAAAAUAUAAAGAAAUGAUGGUGACUUCUAUUUCGAUAAAUGACAUAAGAAAAGACAAAAAGCAUGAAUAUGUAAAUGAAAGAAAAGGGCAAUGUCCCAUAUUUAAAAAGAAAAACUUAUCUGAAUACGACAACCAACUCCAAUGAGUAUGACAUGCAUUUUGGAUUGAGCUGCCUGAUCUUCCUAUCCAAACUCUCUAUUUGUUAUUGAGUUCAUGCCUUUGCUGCUGAGCCGUUUCCUCAAAUUCAUUGGACUCAUACAUCACAUUCGACUGACGACAUCUUAAAAGACUUUCGCCAAUAACUCUUUUUCUUUUCACUUUUCGCUUUUCUCUUGAACUCUCUAUCGCCUUACGAUGCCCGUGAGGGUUUUCACCAAUAAGACUCUCAUUUUUAUUUCUUUCCACUCACCAUCGCCUUAUGGUGCCUGCAAAGGUAUUCACCAAUAAGACUCUCUCAUUUUCAUUUACUCUCAACUCACAAUUGCCUUAUGAUGCCCACGGGGGUUUUCACCAAUAAGACUCUCUUAUUUUUGUAUUUCUUUUCUGAUUUCUUAUGCUGAGGGAGACAAGCGAUACCUCACAAUGUAUCAUCAUAUCCAUUGCAUGCUUAGCCUUAACAUUAUCAAAAAUUUAUCUGAAGGACUUUCUUUAGUUGUAACUUGACUUUUGGUUCAGGUUAGAAAAGAUGGUAAGGGGCUCAAACGAUACUUGAAGUGGGGGUGGGACUUACAACUUUUAGAAUCGACUCAAACUACAUAUUAACUCAUGCCCCAGUUUUGUUGACUGGGUGAAUCUUAAAUCUUUAUUUGGUUGGACCGAGCCCGAAAUAGGACAACCUACGUAUCUCACUCACGAGAGAGGAGAAUCAGGUCGGACGUAGUUCCAUCAACUUGUUCUUUGGUUGGAUUUGAUUUUUCUUUUAUUUUGGAACUCUUUCUUUUAUUCUUAUUUUCUUGACAUUUAUCUUUGACUCUAUUUUGAUUCCAAAAGAGGCAUAUGAAAGGAAAAUAAAGUGAAGCUCAAACGGGUAAACAAAGGAUGACACAGUGUUUGGAUAGAAUAACAAAAUGCCUUUAUCAUAUCAAUCUUCAAAAAUGCAAGUACUAAACAUGCAAUAAAAUCAACAAAGGAUCAAAUAUCAUACAUAAUAUCUUUUGACCGCAUCAGCAUUGAUAGCCAUUUCUGCCAUUUUGCCUUCANNNNNNNNNNNNNNNNNNNNNNNNNNNNNNNNNNNNNNNNNNNNNNNNNNNNNNNNNNNNNNACAACGAAGGGACCUUGCCAGUUAGGGGAGAACUUGCCUUUCGCUUCAACCUGGUGAGGAAGGAUACGUCUCAAUACCAACUAACCAACUUCAAAAUUCCUGGGAUGGACCUUUUUGUUAUACGCUUGAGCCAUCCUCCUCUGAUACAACUGGCUAUGACACACAGACGUUAGCAUUUUUUCCUCAAUCAAACUCAAAUGUUCUAGUCAGGUUUUUACCCAUUUGUCAUCAUCAAUCUCUGCUUCUACAAUGACUCGAAGAGAGGGAAUUUCAACUUCUGCAGGGAUAACUGCUUCUGUCCCAUACACUAAUAAAUAUGGAGUUGUCCAUGUUGAAGUUUGGUAAAUUCAUUAUUCCUACUGACUUUAUUAUUCUUAAUUUUAAGGCAGACAAACAUGUACCAAUUAUCUUGGGGCGUCCAUUCUUAGCAACUGGAGGAGCGUUGAUUGAUGUUAGAGAAGGUAUGCUUAAAAUGAGGGUAGAGGAUGAAGAGGUGGUAUUCGAUGUUGAAGGGGACAAGUAUGUGGUGGUUAGUCCACCAAAGACCUCUUUGAACUGCUUGAUUUAGCAGCCUAAACUUCUACCGCAUAAGACUGACAUAAUGAAAGUUGAUGAGCCUGAAAAGGCUAAAGUCAAAAACCCUUCCGUUCUUGAAAAUUCACACCCAAAAGGGGUAGAAAGAAUAAUAAGAUGUCCUCCAAGUGUGAGGAAAAAGAUGAAGGAAUUUAGUUGAGUUGAGCUGGGUCGUGUCGCGACACUAAAUCAGGUGUUGCUUGGGAGGUAACCCAAGUUAAGUAGGUAUGUUUGAUUUUUAGUUUUUAGUUUUUAUUUCACAUAGUUUUUGUUUUUGAUUGAGUCGCAGGUUUAUGGGAUGUUUGAGUACCAAAAACCUGAGCUAAGGAGCAUGGCAAAGACUAAGUGUGGGGUCCUACGGACCCUCUUUUAUGCAAAAAGAUGCUACUAGCUAGGCCUAGAGUCCUCAUGGAGUAUUUCUAUCUCUUACUUUUAAGUUUACUUUGGGAGCAAAGUAGAUUUUUUAAGUGUGGGGUGGGGAAAUUCCUUAAUGUUGGCUCAAUUUAAAAAUUUCUUGUGUAAGAUAUUUUUGUUCCUGCUAUUUUUAUUACAUGGUGAAAGUGUUUUAAUUGUAAAAGCAUGGUGCUUUUGAGAAUUACUACUUUUGGGACUCUUAGACUCAUGAUUGUGACUCUUGUACUUGUUGGCUUAAAAUUUGAAUUUGUUCUAUUGUUGGUUGAGAGUCUAUGAUGAUCCUAUGUUAGUUGAGCAUGUGUCAUGUGUGAUGUGAGGUUUUUGUAUACUCCUUGUUGCAUAUACCCUUGAUUUAUACCUUCUCUUUGACCUAUCGUUGUGCUUAAUCCUAGUUAGCUCUUUUGAGCCUUUAGUUUUUUUCUGGGGAAGCCUCAUAUGUAACCUAAUCCCUUCUUUGAUAGACCUUAAUUUGAUCCAAAAAAAAGGCUCCUAGGCGCUUUAAUGAAAAAUUAAUUGAGUAAGGAGUUUGAAAAGAACUCAUACUCUGUUAUAUUGUUAGUACAGUAGAAUCGAAGUUGUACUAUUACCAGGAAAUGUUGUCCCGAUUCAGAGAUAAGAACCGCACCUAUUCUAACUCCUUUCAUAUUGAUAGCUCCAUCGAAGAAUAACCUCCAACCUGGAUCAGCAUCUAUAACGACUUCAUCGACACACGACACUUCUUCGUCAGGAAAAGAUGUCUUUAAUGGCUCCCCCCCUUCCUCCAACGGGUUUCUACNNNNNNNNNNNNNNNNNNNNNNNNNNNNNNNNNNNNNNNNNNNNNNNNNNNNNNNNNNNNNNNNNNNNNNNNNNNNNNNNNNNNNNNNNNCAUAGGCUUCUGAAAGAUAUACUUCAAAGGAUCCAUGCGGGAGAUGAGAUAAGUAGUAUAGAAUGAGAGAUAAUGCUUUAACUUCUGUGCUACCCAAGUUAGGGCGCAAUAUGUCCUUUUAAGAAGUUUACACCUGGCCUCAUAUGUGGUGAACUUCUUACUAAGAUAAUAAAUAGCCUGCUUCUUUUUACCUAUAACAUCAUGUUGACCCAGGACACAACCGAAAGAAUUUUUCAUGACUGAUAAAUAUAAGAUCAAAGGCCUACCAGGCUCCGGGGGUACCAGCAGGGCGGAUUUGACAAAUAUCUUUUGAUUCGAUCGAACACUUUCUGACAUUCUUCAGUCCAUUUUACCGCAACACUCUUUUUCAGCAACUUGAAUAUGGGCUCACAAGUGGUCGUGAGUUGAGCAAUAAACCUGCUAAUGUAGUUCAGUCUACCAAGAAAACUCAUCACCUCCAUUCUAUUCUUGGGCGGGGGCAAAUCCUGAAUGGCUUUGAUUUUUGAGAGAUCCAAUUCAAUUCCCCGAUGGCUGACUACAAACCCCAACAGCUUUCCAGAUGGAACUCUAAAUACACAUUUUGUCGGGUUGAGUUUGAGAUUAUACCUGCGAAGCCUUUCAAAGAACUUUCNNNNNNNNNNNNNNNNNNNNNNNNNNNNNNNNNNNNNNNNNNNNNNNNNNNNNNNNNNNNNNNNNNNNNNNNNNNNNNNNNNNNNNNNNNNNNNNNNNNNNNNNNNNNNNNNNNNNNNNNNNNNNNNNNNNNNNNNNNNNNNNNNNNNNNNNNNNNNNNNNNNNNNNNNNNNNNNNNNNNNNNNNNNNNNNNNNNNNNNNNNNNNNNNNNNNNNNNNNNNNNNNNNNNNNNNNNNNNNNNNNNNNNNNNNNNNNNNNNNNNNNNNNNNNNNNNNNNNNNNNNNNNNNNNNNNNNNNNNNNNNNNNNNNNNNNNNNNNNNNNNNNNNNNNNNNNNNNNNNNNNNNNNNNNNNNNNNNNNNNNNNNNNNNNNNNNNNNNNNNNNNNNNNNNNNNNNNNNNNNNNNNNNNNNNNNNNNNNNNNNNNNNNNNNNNNNNNNNNNNNNNNNNNNNNNNNNNNNNNNNNNNNNNNNNNNNNNNNNNNNNNNNNNNNNNNNNNNNNNNNNNNNNNNNNNNNNNNNNNNNNNNNNNNNNNNNNNNNNNNNNNNNNNNNNNNNNNNNNNNNNNNNNNNNNNNNNNNNNNNNNNNNNNNNNNNNNNNNNNNNNNNNNNNNNNNNNNNNNNNNNNNNNNNNNNNNNNNNNNNNNNNNNNNNNNNNNNNNNNNNNNNNNNNNNNNNNNNNNNNNNNNNNNNNNNNNNNNNNNNNNNNNNNNNNNNNNNNNNNNNNNNNNNNNNNNNNNNNNNNNNNNNNNNNNNNNNNNNNNNNNNNNNNNNNNNNNNNNNNNNNNNNNNNNNNNNNNNNNNNNNNNNNNNNNNNNNNNNNNNNNNNNNNNNNNNNNNNNNNNNNNNNNNNNNNNNNNNNNNNNNNNNNNNNNNNNNNNNNNNNNNNNNNNNNNNNNNNNNNNNNNNNNNNNNNNNNNNNNNNNNNNNNNNNNNNNNNNNNNNNNNNNNNNNNNNNNNNNNNNNNNNNNNNNNNNNNNNNNNNNNNNNNNNNNNNNNNNNNNNNNNNNNNNNNNNNNNNNNNNNNNNNNNNNNNNNNNNNNNNNNNNNNNNNNNNNNNNNNNNNNNNNNNNNNNNNNNNNNNNNNNNNNNNNNNNNNNNNNNNNNNNNNNNUUGGCUUGGACUUUCUUAAGCUUUUAGGCACGAAGCAUCUUCCUGACCUAGUCAAACCCCCUACCUCAUCUACAUCUUCCACAACUUUUUUCCCGUGAUAGGUCAUCACAGUCCUCACAUAAUUCUAGGUAACUCUUUUCGUAUCAACUAUCGGAGGUUGGGUCACUGUUUGAGGACAAUAGGAGCUGCCAGUGCUACUUUCACCGUCAAGAUGGGCUGACUCAGAGCUCCCACCAUUAUCAACUUAGGUUUAUCCUGACUUAAAUCAACAUACCUUCUGGCGCCCUGUACUGUAAUCAGGGGUUUCUUUGUGCUUUCUUGGGAUUUAUCUUCUCUCAUUCCUUUCUAGCUCAAUGAUAUUGCUUUCAAAGACUCCGCUACAUUCACUGAUUUCUCCUCAGUGGUCUGUAUCUUGACAAUAGGCUUAUAACCCCUCAAAGACUCUUUUCCAUCAUAUAUCAAUUCUAACAUAUUGGCUUUAACAUGGGUUGGCAGCGGAUUAUGGUUAAUGUUUGGACCCUCCGGGGCCUGGACCAGCAUCUGAUUCGUGUCAAUUAAAUCUUGGACAGCUCUCUUUAAAUGCCAGCAUUUCUCAAUAUCAUGGCUUGGCAUAUUAGAAUAGUACGCACACCUUAAAGAAUAAUCGAGAUUCCUCGGCGGUGGAUUUGAAAGUCUUCCUUGAAUUGGGCUUAAAACCUUCAACUUUCUCAACCUAUCAAACAAGCUAGCAUAUGCUCACCAAGAGGUGUGAAUUGAUUUUUGACCACCUUCUCUUUCUUAUACUCGAGCCUAGGUUAAAAACUGGGUCUGAAAGGGUUUUGGUAAUUUGGUAGAGCGAAUGGGCAACUUUAUGGAGCUUACGCGCGCCACUGCGGGUAAGAAGGGGUUGGGGCAUAUGGUUGUGCGCUAUAUACUGGGUAUAUGGGGGUGGUGGAACGGAAUAUAAAGGGUUUUGUGGAGGGUAGUAAUGGUGGAGAGGAAUAUAUGGAGCUUGGGUAUAGACUUGGGCUUGGGAUUGGGGAUAGGGGCGAGGUGGCCUUUUGGGAUAGGAAUGGGUUCCAGCUACGACAUUCGCUACAUCCUCUUUCUUCUUUUUACCUCCAAAUGCGCCAGAUCUACCUUGAAUCGCUUGUGUGGUGGCUUUUAAAGCGGCAAAACUCACUAUUCAGCCGGUCUUAAUUCCGUCCUCUAUCAUCUCUCCCAUUUUGAGGACUUCCAUAAAAGACUUUCCCAUUGCCGGAAGUAAAUGUUGAAAAUAGGUCUCAUCCUGAGUCUGAAUGAAAACUUCUACCAGCUUACUUUCUUUCAUUGGAGGCUUUACCCUGGCAACCUGUUCAUGCCACCUUAUCGCGUAUUCCGUAAAACCUUCAGUUCUCUUUUUCUUCAUGUUGACCAAGGAUUUUUUAUCCGAAAUUAGGUCGAUGUUAUACUGAAAAUGUUGAACAAAUUCAGAAGCCAAAUCAUCCCAGCUAUUCCAUUUAUCGAUGUCUCGAUCGAUAAACUAUUCUGAGGCCAGAUCAGAAAGACUCUUGCCAAAGAAGGCCAUGAGCAGUUCUUUCUUUCCUCCUGCAGCCCUCAACUGGUUACAAUAAUGUCUUAAGUGUGCCACGAGAUCACCUUGUCCUGCAUACUUCUCAAACUUAGGCAUCUUAAAAUUGGGGGGAAGGUUGAUGUCUGGGAACAUGCAAAGAUCUUUAUAGGAAACACUCCUAUAAUCUCCGAUUCCUUGCAAAUUCCUCAUAGCUUGUUCUAAACUUUUCAAUUUCCAGGCUAUGAUAUCCUGUUCCUCCAUUGCGACAGGUUUCUCUGUAUCAAAUGGAAAUGCGGGCGGCUGAGUGUACCCAUACGGUUCAUUCAUUUGUAAAGUAGGCUCUGGGGCAUAAUACUGACUAUCUGAAACCUUCAGUACUGGCUCACUGGCAGACCUAGGAAGCCUCAUUGUGGGACGCACAACAUAUAUGGGAGUUUCAUGUGGUGGCGGAGCCACGAAUACCGGUGUGAUCAGUGGCACUGGCUGAGCAGCAGGUCUUUAUUGGGGAGCAGCCAAGGGCACACCAGAACUGCCAGGAUAAUAAUGUCGCAGAGUGAAUCCUGGCGCGUGUUCGGGUGACUCAGUAGGAGCAGAGCAUUGUGCCUGAGAGAGCGGUGGGCAGUUAGAGAUAUUCCUAAGACCUUCAGGGAGUGGAGGAGGAGGCAUUCUGCUGGCCCAUGCCCGGUGUAAAUCUAUCAAUUGUUGCCUGAGUCUUACUACCUCAUCAUUGUGUUCAGCACUUUCUUCCCUGUGAUCCUGAUCCAGGUCAAUGAGCGAAUUUUCAAUCUCCCUGCUAGCCAUGACGAGCUUUACUUUGGAUCUAGUGAAGUAUGGGUGACUAGCCAGAGUGCUGCAAACCUACCACUGUUAUCUGAAAGAACAUGCUCAUCAAAGACGACAUCCGUUAGGAUUUGGGCACACAACAAGCAUGGGAAUCACACUCUUAAAAUUGUCCUAAAUUGAUGUUCAUUUCUACCAGCUUUUGAGGGUAGCGAGGUCAUUUUAACNNNNNNNNNNNNNNNNNNNNNNNNNNNNNNNNNNNNNNNNNNNNNNNNNNNNNNNNNNNNNNNNNNNNNNNNNNNNNNNNNNNNNNNNNNNNNNNNNNNNNNNNNNNNNNNNNNNNNNNNNNNNNNNNNNNNNNNNNNNNNNNNNNNNNNNNNNNNNNNNNNNNNNNNNNNNNNNNNNNNNNNNNNNNNNNNNNNNNNNNNNNNNNNNNNNNNNNNNNNNNNNNNNNNNNNNNNNNNNNNNNNNNNNNNNNNNNNNNNNNNNNNNNNNNNNNNNNNNNNNNNNNNNNNNNNNNNNNNNNNNNNNNNNNNNNNNNNNNNNNNNNNNNNNNNNNNNNNNNNNNNNNNNNNNNNNNNNNNNNNNNNNNNNNNNNNNNNNNNNNNNNNNNNNNNNNNNNNNNNNNNNNNNNNNNNNNNNNNNNNNNNNNNNNNNNNNNNNNNNNNNNNNNNNNNNNNNNNNNNNNNNNNNNNNNNNNNNNNNNNNNNNNNNNNNNNNNNNNNNNNNNNNNNNNNNNNNNNNNNNNNNNNNNNNNNNNNNNNNNNNNNNNNNNNNNNNNNNNNNNNNNNNNNNNNNNNNNNNNNNNNNNNNNNNNNNNNNNNNNNNNNNNNNNNNNNNNNNNNNNNNNNNNNNNNNNNNNNNNNNNNNNNNNNNNNNNNNNNNNNNNNNNNNNNNNNNNNNNNNNNNNNNNNNNNNNNNNNNNNNNNNNNNUAACAUCAUAACAUUUUGAAGAAAGAAAACAACAAAAACGUACAAAAGUUUGGGACCACUUUAAAACUAAGCAACAAAUACGAAACAACAUUAUAGACCCCUAAGACGACGUAGGUGAAAUUACUAAUAAAGACUCUAAUACCAAAAACAACUUGACUUUGACUUAAAGCAGACACCACCCUACAAUGACAGACACAUAAAAGACUCAAACUAAAUUAAGAUAAGAAGUGCUCUUUCAGACUGGUGCUCUGUGUGAUGACCCUGGCUUAUAUGGACCUACCUCUAAAGUUCUCUUUCUCCUAUUUAAGCUUUGUAGCAUAUUCUGUAAAGACACCCUAAUGCCGGGGAAGAAACUUCGGGCCCGUAUUCCUGCUUCAUGAGGAGUGCACUUGGAAAGAUUAUUCUGACACCUUUCUACCAUCUUGAACAAAUCUGCUAGCUGAACCCUCACUGUUUCCACUUUGGACCCUACACUUUCAUCCCGAUGAUCGUCUACUAUGCAUUCUUCCUGUAUUCUCCCUCUAAGCUGCACUGGUAAGGGUUGACUGAUACCCCGAGGGAUACAUUGAAGCCAAACCUCAUAUCCCUGAGUGUGGCCCGAAUUAUCCAAACUUUCUUUGAGUGUGGCCACACCUAUCUUUGUUGCAUGCUUCCAAAACUGCUCGUACUUGCUCUCACCUAAGGCUUGGUCCUUGAAGUACUCAACAUCCUUCAGAAGAUCCACUGCUGGUGGCACGUCCUGCAGCCUACCCAACUGGCGCAUUACCAUAGAAGGACUGUAUGGUCUAGUGCAAUUGAGCCCUAACAUAACUAAAGGGAGCUGCGUCUGACAACCCAACAAUACUAUCUUUGGGCAAAGCCACAGAUAAGUCCACAAAAUACUAUCCCUGGUCCUCGACUCAAGAAACUCAAUCCAAGCGUCGACACCCACGGGUAACGAGAAUUUAUCCAAACGCAACCUGGAGUCCAUGGCUUUCACUCGAUUGGGAAUACAACGAUCUAACAUGUCUGGUCUAACUAAAGAAGGCACAUGCAAAUGCUCCAUCAUCCAUAACUGUAAUAUCAGGUUACUGCCCUCAGAAAACCUCCUUCCCCCUUUCACUUCGGUUAAAGCCUUAUAUAUUUCUGUUAAGAUCAUGGGUAUGAGAGUGAACCUGCCCUUUUGAUUAACGCCCUUGUCGUUUUGAUCCUUAUGAAAUAGGGCCAUCACUACAGAUUGCAAAUGGGUAUUAAUACGUCUUUCUUCUAGUGGAAACACUAAAAUACAAGCGAGGGUGAAGACUUCAAGAUGCUUUCUCUCCCACUUCUCCUUANNNNNNNNNNNNNNNNNNNNNNNNNNNNNNNNNNNNNNNNNNNNNNNNNNNNNNNNNNNNNNNNNNNNNNNNNNNNNNNNNNNNNNNNNNNNNNNNNNNNNNNNNNNNNNNNNNNNNNNNNNNNNNNNNNNNNNNNNNNNNNNNNNNNNNNNNNNNNNNNNNNNNNNNNNNNNNNNNNNNNNNNNNNNNNNNNNNNNNNNNNNNNNNNNNNNNNNNNNNNNNNNNNNNNNNNNNNNNNNNNNNNNNNNNNNNNNNNNNNNNNNNNNNNNNNNNNNNNNNNNNNNNNNNNNNNNNNNNNNNNNNNNNNNNNNNNNNNNNNNNNNNNNNNNNNNNNNNNNNNNNNNNNNNNNNNNNNNNNNNNNNNNNNNNNNNNNNNNNNNNNNNGAGUAGAAGAUUCCUAACCCUUGGGAUUUUUGACGCCAACAUAUGUCGAUGGGACAGACCACAUUCAUGGCUCCAAUUUGCCGAACAGAAGUACUGAGUGAAAUCAGUCUACUUGGCAAACAACUCUAGAUUACGGGGAGAGAGAUCUAGGCUAAUUCUAAGACAAAGGCCAACACAAAGAAUUACCGGACCCACCGAGGGUUGCCUACGUAUCCCAACCCAAGGGGAGGGAAUCAGGUAUGCGUAGUUCAAUCAGAUUGGACAAUUAACGAUAAAUUGACCCUAACUUAAAAGACACUACCAAAAAUAAAUGAAAAAAAAAUUGGAUUUUCUGCCAGACAUUUUAACUAAGACUGACACCACCAAUUAUGAAGAAAAAAUAUUUUUGGUAUUUUUGUUUUUGACAAAUAAGUAGAAGAGGCAAACAAAACUUCUUCUUUUUUUCUUGAAUUUACGGUACUUUGAGAAGACAAAUGCAAAACGUAAAAAAAAUCUUUUUGAGAUUUUGGAUCUUGAAGAACCAAAGCCAUAAAGAAUUCUAAAAUAAACUACGACAUUCCUCUUUUUUUCAUUCUUUUGACUCACUUUUUCUAUUUUUCUUUUUUGUUUUUGUCUACGCACCUUACUCCUAACAAAUUUAUUUAUUUAUUUAUUUUUCAAAAAUCAGUCCGUCAAAUAACCACGUUAUCCUCAAAGAUGCAACAUUUAGCACGUAGGAAUGCUUUAGAGGUGAGUCUCCUACAAAGGACCAAGUGGGCCCCAUUAGGUCUCAAUAUUAUGCACAUAAGCAUGACCUAAAGGCUGACCUACGUUGUGGUUCACUAACAAGGCUGUUCGGGGGAGCGUAUGGUCGAUAGUGGCUACUUUGCUUUCCACCUACUCCAUAACACCGACGGAUCCCCCCUAGAAUAAGGGUGACUCAACUAGAGGUUGUUUACAACACGUGUACUACGGACUUAUUGCAGAAAUAAGGCCGGGGGGGUGGACUCAUGAUGACAGAUAUAAAAGCGGUAACACAUAGGAUAAAUACUAUAAACAAAGAGCACAAAAAACACACAAAAGUGCAAACAAUAACCCAAACAAAAUCACAAACAAUGUUUAUACACUCGUAAUGCUCAACAAAGCCGAUACGACUCAAAAAUAAGCUCGAAUUCUCAUACUGUCCCCAGCAGAGUCGCUAGAGUUGUCACACACACACCCUCCCUUUUUUUUACGUACUCCAAAAGAUUUAUGUUUUAAGAGUCGAAGGGGUUUUAAUUAUUAAAGUGACAAAAGAUGAAAAUUUAUUUCGAAAAAAGAUUAUUUUUAACAAUCACAAUUCAGAGUCGCCACUCGGCAUAAAUCGAGUGUGCCGAGUCACCCACAGAUAUCCUUUUUCAAAAUGGUUUUGACUCUUUAAUACUGGUUUGCGAACAGAUAUUCCGGCUAAGGAAUUCUGUUGACCGAGGGAAAGGUGUUAGGCACCCCUCGAUCCCGUGGUUUGACCACGAUCGCUUGGCAGAGCGUAUCGGCUAAAUUGACAAUACGAUGUAUAAACCACACAAAAGCACGCAAAAUAAUCAAACAAAACAAUCCAAAAUGUAGAGUCUAGUCCAAUUACAGUCCAAAAAUAGAAAAAAUACGAAAAUAUAAAUCCUAUUCUAAACUAAAUCGAGACUAAGCUCCAAUGCCUUACCCGAUUCUGCAGGCCUUCGUCAUGAUCAUCUUUCAAGUACAAGGUACUUCGGGGCAUUCCCUAGAUAAAUCAAUACAAUUCCUUCGGGGCAUUCCCCGACCAAAUGAGUACAAUUUAAACUUUUUGUGCAAUAAAGUAGAAAGUACCAUUCAUGCACAUAUUCAAACACCCCCUAAAUUUGUCUACCCAGCCCACGUUUGCCUACGCUUUUGUUGGUCUUAUCAUGAUACUACUGCAUUUCAACCAUAUUUAUAUUUAAACCAAAUUAAACCAAAAGUCUUUAAUCAAUCCAAAUUCACCAUUUUAUCAAAUUCUCAAUUCCGCCCCAAUUUUCAUUUUAGUACUAAAUUUUCACAAUUCACCAUUUCUAUUUCAACAACCCACAAUCACUUUUCAACGAAACUAAACAACGAGUCAAUAUCAAAAUGACAACCUAUCACCAAUCCAGACAACAUGCAUUCAUCACCAAACAAGUAUCGAACAACACCUGAAGCUUAAUCCAAACACCAAAGCAUAGUAAACAAUAAAAUAGAAAAGGAAAAGAUUAGAAUUGGACCUUUAAACAAUCUGAUCUUUGUUGAUAAUAAGAAAACCCGAACUUGGAAUUUCGAAUAGAACCUAAACAACUUUUUGGAUCGAACUCGGAUAGAAAAACAGCAACCCGAAACUGUCACAAUAAUCUGAUUAAGACCAAACAGCAUCCAAAUUUCUAGAACCAGUGUGUAAACCAACAAACCCCGAAAAGCGUAACAACCGAACAAGUCAGCCCGUAUGCAAUUCCAACGAAAGAAAACCGAUGUACCUAAACUCGAUUUCAAAAAUGACACUAAAUAGAUGAACCUAAAGCCUCAAUUGACCUAACGAAAGACCUAAUCCGGUGUAAUCUGAGUUUCGGUGAACUCAAACGAGGUAGCAAACAACAAUCCCAAAAUAGAUUCUGGCGACCACACUGUUUCCGACCAGAUUCAACUAGAAACUAACAAGAACGACAAGAAGAUUGGGGUUUUGAGUUUAGAUUGAGCAAAUAGUGAACUUAACCCGAUUCCGACAUAGGUUCAUUGGAAUAUCUCGAGAAAACAGACGGAUCUUACUCAAACUCUCUUUAUUUUUUUUCGAUUUACUCUUACUAUGUGUAUGUACGUACCCCUUUUUUGUGUGUCUGUGAACCAAGAAGAAGAAGAAGAAAAGAAUGGUGUAUAUUGUUCUUCAAGGUCCAAAAUGGAAGAACCCCCUUAUUUCUGUGUAUAAUGUUGCAUGUUAUCUGCGUCUGAGAGAGUAUGUGUGUGUCGUGUAAAUGGUGAGGGUGAGUGUCGAUUGGAAGAAAGGAAGAAAAUGAGUGUGUAUUGUGUAUAUUAAUGGGGUGGUUUGUUUUUUGAAGAAGAAAGGAAAAAAAAUUGAGAUGUGCUCUCUGUGUCCUGUAUUCCAAUGAAGAUAAAAAAUAUAUAGGGAUCGGGUAGGGUUACAUGGGUGGGUAUUGUGGUAGGGUAGGUGGGGUAGGGUAUGGGGGCAUGGGGUAGUGAUGUGUUGUCCAAAAUUGAUAGGAGGAGUGGUUAAUUUUGUUACAAAAGAAUAAUUGGGGAUUAGGUUUGUUAGUGGGUUUGUUAUUUUUGUAUUUUUAUGGGAUACAAUCAUACGGGUGAGGGUACGUGGUAAGACAAGGAUAAAAUGUGUAACUUGGGUCUUUGGGAGGGACCAAAUUAGGUGUCUACAACACACACAUAAAAAAAAUACGGUUUCAAACUAACUCAUAAUCUAGUAAUUGGUCACUAGCUUGUAAGUUAGUAUGGGAAUCAACAAACAAAACUAAAGACACAAAAUAAAACUAAAAGAUCAAAAUUUGAGCAUAAAAUUUAUCAGUGAACAGUAAUUAGUGAUGUGGCAGUCCAUGAUUGACCUCGGUUCUCAACAAUUAUAUUUUCCAAAUUUGGAAGUUUUGAUCAAUUCUAUAAUUUUUUUACUUUGGUGAAAAUUGUUCAAUGAAGGAAAAUACAAUCUAGUCUUUGGAAUUCAAAUUUCAAGACUCAAAAGUAUUUGACUAGACUUAUACUUUUCCUUAAAACAUGGACCCUUGUUUUGUGGAAAAGUGGUGGAGAUGUAAUGUAAAGUCUUUUGGUGGUUGAGGGUCUUUCAAGACUUAACAAGUACUACACCUUGUCUUUCACCUUUUUAAGAUCUAAGUUCACUUUAAUAUUAACAAGGUGAUGAAUAUGGUGAAGAACUUCAAGAACACAACAACCAAAACAAGAACAACAAGUCCACCAAAACAAGGUCAACAAUCUCACGGCUAAGACCAUAAGGAUAGCAACAACAAUCGACUAAGUCCCCUUUGUGUUGCGUUUUCGAUUUUACAAAAAGUGAAGGGUGUGAUGAACAACAAGAAUACAACAGCAACCUUUUAAGAUCUACAACACCACCACAACACAAGGCCUUCAACUCGGUCAAGGCUAGAACAACAACAACAUCCAAUCGGUCACACUUUGUUCACAUCAACAAUAUUAACAAUUCAAGCUCAAGUUUGGAUUGACUUAAAGUGUUAGUGAGGAACAAAACUAAAACUACAAACACACAAGACAAUUCAAAUACUCCUAGACCUAGACUCAAGAACAAAUCUUGGCCAAGAAUACCACAAGAACACAAUUUCAGCCAAGACAACAACAAUGGACAGACUGUAAUUUUUCUGAAAUUUUCAGCUUUUCAACAAUUUUUAUUUUAAUUUUCUAACAAGCAAGCCAAAGAUUGAUCUUGUAGGAACAAGAUCAAGACAUGCUCUGAUACCAAAUGAUACAAGAAAACCAAGGAACACACGGAAUUAGCUCAAAACAGUCCAAACAUACUCCAAAAACAGUCCACUAAUUCAAAGAAUUGAGGACCCUUUUGAAUACCACUCUCGGAUUCAAGAAUGAAAUACAAGAAGGACGAUAUAACUAGGUGUUUGACACCUUUUGCAGCCAAUAACAAACUAAGUUAACAACACAGGAUGAAAAAACAAUGAGAACAACAAUAACAACAACAAAAAUAGCUUCACAAUACAAGAAACAAACGGAUACAAGAUUACAAAAGAAAAAAGAUAGAUAGAUAAACCACAUGAAGGUAUAAUAUUAAGAACCCAAUAAUGAUAACUCUUGGACCCUUAACACUACGCACAACAAUAAACCUAUCUCUUACAAAAACACAAGAUCGGAAUCCACCUCCCAAGCAUCAAUGUUUCCAAGCAAAUGUAAGCACAAGUGAUUCUACACUUGUCUAAGCCCUAAUUUCGGUUUUGGGUGCCUCAAGGAAAGAGGACUUGUGUUUAUUUGUCUUGUAAGACUUACAAUUUCAUUAAUAAACUAAGUCUAAAACCCUACAAUGUUCUUUUUAUAGCUAUUACAAAAUAUAAGUUAAAAUGACCAAAAGGCCCUUCAAAGAGUGGGCACCCAUCUAGUGUAAUUUAUGGGAUAAUUUGGGUGUAUUUUGGGCCUCUUUUACACUUCAAUUGCACACGCCAAGGCUCGGGUCCAACACGCACUCUCCUAAGUCCAUAUCCGUGAUUAUUCCCGUAUUAAGUAGACUCGACCCUUAAUCACUCAUGAAGUACAAGCCGACUUUCAAUACUUGUGAAACUAAGUGUGAGGUAAAAAUCGAGAAUGAGAGUGUGGUGAGGCAUUUUUGAGCUAACAAGUUUGUUGUUUUAUUGUUCGUUGUUGUUUUUUCUUUUAGGUACCAUGACUGCCACUAGUCUCGAUGCCAUAUUUGACCGCAUCACUGAUAAUAUUGAAGACAUGAAAGGGCACAUUGAAAGGCUACGCCAAUUGGUAUCCACACUUAUCCCAACAAAUCUAAAACCUAAGGUCCAAACACCUUGCGGUGAGAGCUUCCCGAAGGAAGUUGUUGCCCAAAAUUGUGAAGGACUUUCACACCAAGGUAAAGAUGAACAUACUCAUGAACGUCAAGGAAAAAUAGCUAACUCUUAUACUUUGGUACAUGUGAAUGAUGAACAUGUGACUAAUAAACCGUUGAGUGUGAGUAGUACCUACAUAUAAGUAUAUUGAUUCCUUACCACUUGUGGAUGAUGUACAUGUUGUGCGAGUGGAUACACUAGUUGAUCCUAUAGAUGACCGAAUCGACUCUUCUAGUAUGAUCGAUUUGUGUCCACCUAGUGUUGAAGCUAUUGUGUUGAAUGAAAGUACAUCAUCAUGUGAAAAUUGUAUUAAUCAACUUGUGUGUAAAACUUUCCCACCACUUGAGAUAUGUGUGAUGUGAAUAACGAAUCUCAAGUGAGUGAAGAAUUUGAAGAUGUUGGUCAAGGAAAAAGGAGUGAACCUGUGAGCCUAUGUUGUUGUAAAGAUUCUAAUGUUUGCUUGGUUCAUAGGGUUAAUCAUGUGCUUGACAUAUCUUUGAAAAAUGAUUUUGCUUGUACUCCUUUGCAUGACACCCCACCCGUGCUUGACAAAUAUGGCGACUUGAAUUGUGAUCCCUUUGAUGUUAAUGGUGGUUUGUGUCUACUCGAGGACCGUAGGGCAAAUGUGUCAUUGUCUCUUUGGGGUGUUGUUCAUAUCCAUGCAUCCAUGUUUGACACACUUGUAUUUAAGUUAUGUGAACCACAACUUAAGGAUGCUAAGUUGUAUUCUUAUUUGUGGAAGGGUCCAAGGAUGUUAAAGACUUUUUGUCACCUUCCUGGGGUAGGACAAUUUGAAGUAUCUUAUGGGACUCUUGGGAGCGUGCUUCACAUCAUUUGUAGAAGGAAGCCGAGUUCUUGGGCAAACUACUUGCCUUGGAUUGAUUGUUGCAUGGUAGUUUCCCUAUUUUCCCUAUUGGUAUGACUCUCUUGAUGGAAUGCCUUCCCUCGGUAAGUGGUUGGAAGGAGAGAGGUCCUAUGUGCUUGCAAUGUCCCUUUCUCUCAUUGUGUGUUCCUACUUGCGAAUACAUCUUAGAUGAGAAUUGUGUCUUUGGUGCCUUUCUUCACUACCUAUAUACAUAUGAUGAUAUUCAUGAUGUUGUUGGAUAUACAUCGUAUGAGAGGCAUAGUCUUAGUUUUUGUCCCUUAAUUCUUGAUGUUCAUCUGAGCCCUUUUGUUUGUGAUGUUGUACAAAAGCUUUUCAUAAUUAACACAAAGGAUCCUUGGUUGUACUUCAAGUGUGUACCACCGUGGCAUGAUAGUGCUAAUUGUUUAUUUUGCUAACCCUAACCCUUAUUCCAUGAGGACGUGUACUUGUUUGUUUCCUCUUUGAUUUUGCAAGUUACGGAUUCGAGGUCGAAUCCUUUUCAAGAAGGGGGGAUGAUACGAGUACGAUCACGUAGAUGGACUUAUGAGGGCAUACGUUAGACCCGAGGAUUGGUGUGUGCAAUAAAGUGAAAAGGAGCACCUAAAUGGACACCAAAGCAGUCCACUACAUAUACUAAAUGGGUCAAAUCAGUCCACUACAUAUACUAUAGGGGUGCCCCUUCACUAAGGGGCCUUUUGGUCAUUUUACCUAUUAUCUGUAAUACACUAUAAAUAGAAUAAUGUAGGGUUUCAUUAGGGAGAUUUUAAUGAUGAUGAAUAUUGUAUAACAUUGAAAGACAAGUCCUCUCUCCUUAAGGCACAAAUCUGAAAUUGUAACUAGGGAAAUCAACUUGAGUGUGGAAUCACUCAUGUUGGAUUCAAGCUUGGAAACGUUGGUCCUUGGGAGAUUGAGAUCCCUCUUGUGCCUAUGUAGGAGAUAGGUUAGUGUUGUGUGUAGUAUUAAAGGUCCAAGGGUGUAACAAUUCUUGGGUUAUUAAUAUUAUUCCCUCAUUUGGUCUAUCUAUCUAUCUUUAUCUUAUUGUACUUUGUAGAUUCAUAGUGGACUGUUUUGUGUCCUUCUUGAAUCCAAAAUUUGUUCUCAUUGUUUUCAUCUUGUUAUCAUUGUGUUGUUGCUGUUAUUGGUGUCAAAUGCACCGUUGUUAUCUCGUAUUAUUAUUGUUGUAGUGAAUCCGAGAGUGGUCUCCAUCUUAGUCCUCAAAUCCUUAAGAUUAGUGGACUGUUUUGAAAUUGUUUCGUGUUUCCGUUGUUUUUCCCGUAUCACAGUAAUUGUCACUUGUCUUGAUGAGAGAUUCACCAUCAACUUUUUCUCGUGAUGUUAGAUUAUAAUUUGACUCUCCAGGAUUGUAGAGAUCUAACUUGCUCAUAAGUUGGACGAUUUGAUGAUCUUUCUCAUCAACGGACUUCUUCAAGGCUUCAAUGAUUUGCUCCAUCAUUGCAAAAUUCUCGUCCAAGUCAAUUGCAUCAACCAUGAAGGUGUUGACUUUCGUUGAAGUUGGAGAAUUCAUUAAGUUUUUAGAUUCUCCAAAGUUGCAGCCAGUUUCAGACGGUCCAUCUGAUAAAAUAGAUGCAAAGUUGCCCCCAGGGGUUGUAGUUACUGCCGAAAUUUGAGAUUUUCUCCUUUUUGUCAUCUUCAAAAUGGUGAAGUAUUGGGAUCCAUCCAAAGCAAAAGCGUUAAGAUUGCGUCGAUUGAUGGGGCCAAUAAUUUUGAUCUCAGUAGACGUGACAGUAGUAGACUUCUUGCAUGAAACUUCAUUGAUUUUUCUGAAGUCCAUUAUAGUAGUUGAAUAUGUGAUUUCCUUUGACUUGUAGGAGAAAGAGAUGAAGAGCAAAACUGGUCCCACUGGGUGUGCCAAUUUGUUCGCAACAAAUUUUCGUUAACGCUGAAAAUUAACUGCAAGCAAAAAUAAAAUAAACAAAAAGAAUAAUUUUAUAUAACUAAAUUUUGCGGGUACAAUUCCGUUGUUCUCUCAAUUCUUUUCUCUGAAGUUUUUCCGUGAUUCGAGGACCUUUGCAGAGUGAUUCUUGAAUGUAGGAUGAUUUGAGCCUCCUAGAAAUGUGUUUGGAUCUCCAGGAAUUGUCUGACAGCACUUCAUCUUGUCGAGUUGAUCUCCAGGCAAAACUCCGUUAGUGAAUUCGUUGAAGAGUUGUGUAGUCAAUGCAGAGGCUUUCUCCAAUGCUUGCAAAACAUCCUCCUUUUUCUUUUCUUUUUUUUUAGAAUGUUAUGUUACCCCCUAUUUAUAGUUGUGGGGGUAGGUCUUAGUUGUUUGUGAUUGGCCGAAACAUGUCACUUUGACACUUGGCACCUUUUGACUGGUUGUUGAAUUUGAAUGAGAUUUCCACAUCAUUUGUACAUAUGGCGGAGUCUCAUUGGUUUUGGAUUUGAUUGGGAUGCCACGUCGCUUGAUGAGUUUGGGCUCAAAAGUGAGAUGGACUUUGAUGAAGAAUAAAAUGAGUUUAUUAUUUUUUUAUCCCAAAAUAAAUUUAAACCCAAUAACAUAUGACUCAAAUUCAAAUUUUAUAUGAAUUUGAUCCAAUAAAUUUUAUGUGUCUACAGUCCCCAUCUUUCGAAUGGGGGUUUGAGUUGUAGCAGGUGGUACUUGACGAGUUUUUUUCCAAGACAGCUUCUUUGUACGACUGUUUUGUGGAGGUUUCUUCUUCCAUACAGGUAUCAUGUGCAUCUGGUGGAUCCGGCGGUUUGGCUUCGGAGGGGGGAGGUUGUGGUAGGUUGCUCAGGUUGGGACAUUUGGGGGAGUGUUUUUCUAUAGAGAGAGAAAAUUUUAGCAUACGUUGGUUGUGAGGUCUCUAUUAAUGGACUUUCAUUAAUAAACAUGAGCCACUUUCAUAAAUAAAAAAGUUGUGAAUCAUUGAAUACAGAUAAAUUAUACCAUACACCAAGUAACAAAUUAUGAGUUAGGUUGCUCAAGUUGGGACAUUUGGGGGAGUGAAUCAUUGAAUACAGCAAUCAUAGCAAGUGGAGAAUUGAAGAGAUUCACAUUGAGAGACAUGUGACAAUCUGGUCCCUCUGGCCUGGAAAAUGACAAAUAAGAUGUGUUUUUCGUGCACUUUUAUUCGCUCAUUAUUAAGUUAGUACAAAUUUAAAAAAAAAAAAAAAAAAUUUACUAUAUCAUCCUUUAAAUAUAGAAAUUCACUGCUUUAAAAAUAGAGUUAAUAUAUAUAAAAAUGACCUUAAACUUGACACGAAACUAUAACUUUGACCUUAAAUUUUGACAGUGCACAAAUAUGACUUUUAAUUAUUCAAAACUGCACAAAUAUAACCUCCAAUCCUACGUGGCAAAACGCGUGUUCAACACGCAAAACUGGGCGCGUCCAGCUUAAAAUGUAAGGGCAUAAUACAUAAAUAUGACCUUAAACUUUGACAGUGCACAAAUAUGACCUUUAACUAUUCAAAACUGUACAAAUAUAACCUUUAACUAUUCAAAACUGCACAACUACGACCUUUAAAUGACUCUUCACUAUUAUUUUUUCAUUAUUUUCGGCUCAAAGAUGAAAAUGACAUCUAAUUUCUUUUAUCAUUGCGGAAAAAGAGCAAUAUUGAAGACUUAUUAAUUAGGCGGGUCAGCCUCAUAAGAAAAAAUCAAGCGGGUAUGUAUAUAUAUUAUAAAGCAGAGGACGAAUUUAAGUUAUAUAAUAUAUCUAAAUAUUAUUUAUUUAAAUAUUAAAUUAAAGAUGAAACUAUACUAAUAAUAAAAAAAAUAUAGUUUUAAUAAAAUGUUAUUGAAUUAAUAUUAUUAAGGAUAGUAGUAGUAGUAUAUUAAAUUAACGUUAUCAAAUUAACGUAAUUAAAAUGUUAUUAAAUUAACGUUAUUAAAACUGUAUUAAAUUAACGAGGGGCGGACCUACGUGGUUUCCAUGGGAUUCACCCGAACCCCCUCGGUAAAAAAAUUACGUUGUAUAUAUAUAAGAUAGAAAAUGUAUAUUUAUGUACGUAUAUUAAUGUUGAACCACAUGAAACAAGACACUUAGAUAGCCCAGUGGUGUUAUUUGCUCUUAUUGGGCGCUUCCUUCAGCCUACUGUGCGGGUUCGAUCCCUGCUAGUGGCUGUUUUUUUUUUUUAAUUAAAAGAAAGCUAAGUAUUGCUGCUAUUGAAAUAAAUAAAAUAAUAACAAUAAUAAUAAUUUUUUUAAAUUAAAAAAAUGUUAGGUGCUUCGAGACUCAUGCAUGGAGUUGCAAAAUUGGAGGUCAUAUUUGUUCAGGUUUUGAAUAGUUAAAGGUCCUAUUUGUGGACUAUCAAAGUUUAAGGUCAAAGUUAUAAUUUGGUGUCAAGUUUAGGUCAUUUUUAUAUAUUAACUUUUAAAAAUAUAUUAGAUAAUGAGUAUUGUAGCUACUAACUAGGACUAAACAAACACAAACAAAUAUAUUAUAUAUUCAUUAAUUUUUUAUCUGGACAAAUAUUAUUGAACAUCUAAUUUUAGUAAUAUGGAUAGAUAAAAUGAACGAAGAGAAUAAAAAUGACAAAACUUUUCCUUCUUUUAUUCCCCUCAAUUAAUUAAAAUUUGAAGAAAAAAUGACUUUUUGAAUUAUUACUUUUUGAAAAGCAGUCUAGUGCACUAAGCUCACGCUAUGCUCAAGGUUCAGAGAAAAAUCCGACUACAAGGAUCAUCUAUUAUAUGCAAUAUUACCUAAUAUUUCUACGAAGAAUUACUUUCAUGGCUUGAACCUAUGACCUCCUCGUCAUAUUUGCUCCAAGACUCUCCUUCACUUUUUGAUGUUUUUUAAAAAUAAUUUUUAACACUUGAAAUUGUGUUUAAACAUGUAUUUUACUUGAAAGCUUUUUGAUACUAUGUGAAUGAAAGUGAAAUUUCAUACAAAAACUGAUCUAUGUCAAUUUUCCAAACUUUAAAAAUAAAUUUUCAAAAAUUAACCAAAUUAAACAAAAAAUGUUUUGAUUUUUUUUGUGGGAAUAAUUAUUUGUGGGAGCCUAAAGGAAAGAAAGACAGAAACAAACAGUAAAAGAAAAACGUGUGCCAAAUAUCAAUGGGAAAAAAAAAUCUCCUGUCCUUAACUUGGAACCACACAUGAAUAUCGAACCACACACGUAUUUUUUUAUGCAAGUUAAUUAUGUAUGACUGGUUAUUAUUGACUCUCUAUUUUUUAUUUUUUGGGAACUAUAAAGAGUAACUCACAACUUUUGUAUCACUGCCUUUGUCCUUUGGGUGAGUAUUCUAUGUUGAGUCUUUUGUAGUAACUUGUUCAUUAUGCAAUAGUUCACAAACCACAAAACUGUAAAUCAAACUAGACAAGCUUUAUGUGACGAGCUCAUAAUUGAACGACAGAAGGAGGCUGAAUUCGAUACCAGGUUUCCCUCAUGAAAGACCCACCUCCUAACUCAACUAUGCCCGUAUAAGUUGAUACUGUUGUUUUUUUAAUUUAGUAAAAUCUAUAUUUUGCAACAAUAACUUUAAAUGCAUAUUCAAACUAAAGUAUGGACAAAUAAAUGAAUUUAUAACUCUAUAUUCACAACUUUGGAUUUUAACAAUAAGUUCAACCCAACUUAUGAACAACCAAAAUUGAAGUACAAAUUAUUUUUUGAAAAUAGCAAAAUCAAACGUUUUUAAAAAAGAUGAAGAUUGGAAGAUUCAAGUCCACCGAAUUCACGUUGUGUCCUUAAGGAAAUUACUCCCCUCAAGUACUCGAGGUUAUGGAAUAUAUCCUCGCAUUAUAAAAUGAAUCGUUUCGACAGAAUAGUGUUACCUAAAACUCCGUCGAACUACAAAUGCACUCAAUGAUAGCAAAUCACAGUAGAAUUUUCAAGAAAGAGGAGUGUUUUUACUUUAAAAUUUCAUGUAUGUACCAGAGAAAAAGAUCAGGUAUUUAUAACUAUCAAGAUGUUGCUUUAUGAAGAGAAAUAAUGGUUCAAAAAGAUGCACUUGUUCAUAAAGAUGCAACUCUUCGAAAAAGUCACUAACCAAUUGUAUAUUGUGUUUCAUAUCCUACCUAUCGCAGAUUGACUAUCAUAGUAUAUGCAUAUUGGUUCUAAAAGUUUGGGCCAACAAAAAAUAUCUUUCAAGAAAUUUCAAAGUCAUUCAACUUCUUCACUUUAUAUAACACAAUAAAUUUAGAUUCCAUUUGAUACUAAUAUUUUGUGUGAGAUGUCUUGUAAUCUGAAAUGUUCAAAUUCAAAAAUAUGAAAAACAUACAACUUAAAUUAAUUUUUCAAUUCAAUAUUUGAAUUUGACGUUGAGUGAUAUUGUAAUAAGCAAUAAUGAAACAUGAUUUUUUUAAUGUUAAUUGGGUAAUUUAACAAAUUAUAAAUUGUACUUAAUUUGUUAAAUUACAAAAAAAAUUGCUACUUUUUCAUCUCAAUUUAUGUGGUACAUAUAAAAUUUGAAAAGUCAAUAAUUUUUUUUAUAUUUUAAAAUAUUUUUCGUUAUUAGUUAUUGAUUUAUAGUACUUUUGCAGAAUUUUUUCAGAUACUCUAUGGUACUUUUUUUGUUCCAAUUUAUGUGACGCUGAUGAAAUAUUUGAGAAAGUCAAUCAAAUUUGUUAUAGAGUUUUAGAUAUUUUAAGUUAUUAAUUAUAUUAUGAUUUAUAUGACUUUCUAUGUAAUUUUCAAGUAAUAUCCUUCUAUCCCAAUUUAUAUCCAAUGAAUUAUUAAUUAUUAUAAUUUAUAAUUUUUUUUACAUAAUUUUCAAAUAUAUAACAAGUUUAAUGAAAUUAAUUAAUUAAAAUUUAGAAAAUCAAUUAUAUUUUAAAUAUAUUUUUAGGUUUUUAAAGUCGUUAGCUAUUGUAAUUUUAAUACUUUUUUGGCAUUUUAAUUUACUAUUUUAAGUUGUUAGCUAUUGUAAUUUAUUAUACUCUCAUUGUUCAAAUUUUUGUAUCAUUGAUAGUCAUUUAUAUUUUAAAAAUAAUUUAAGUUUUAUAUUAUUGUGAUUUAUAAUACUUUUUAUUCUAGUCCAAUUUAAGCGACACUGAUAUAAUUUCAAAAGUCAACCAAAUAUCGCGAUUGAAAUAGUGGAGCAAACAUGUCUUAAAUGAUUCAUAAUGACUAAUUAGAAGUGAUAUUGCAAAAUUGUUAUAAAAAAAUAUUUGUGAAAAAAAUAAUUUAACUAGGUCUCAUAUAAGAUGUCAAAUUAAUUUAAAACGUCAAGAGUUAAUUUAUCAUCUUAUAUCUAUUUUAUUUUUUUAUUAAAUAUUAUUAAUUUUUUAAUACAUACAUGACUUAAUUUAAGGGUGAUAUAGUAAAAUUACGAUUGAAACAGCUAAAACAGACAUGUCAUAAAUGUCUAUUUUAUUUUUUUAUUAAAUAUUAUUAAUUUUCUAAUAUGUAACUGACAUAUAAUAAUUAAUUAGGGAUGAUAUAGUAAAAUCAUGGAGCAAGCAAGCAUGACAACCAUCAGUUGACUACUACUCACGCUUAUAUAUAGUAGUAACUACAUGUCAACGGCUUGUGUAAAUAUAUGUUAUUUUUUUAACAUUAAAUAUUACUAUGAAAUUUUUAACACUUAGAUGAUUUAUAAUAAUUUUUUAUAUUAAUUUUUUAAUACUUAGGUGACUUAUAAUAAAUAAUUAGGGGUGAUAUAGUAAAAUUAUGAUUAAAGCAGUUGAAGCAGACAUGUUAUAAAUGUCUAUUUUAUUUUUUAGUUAAAUAUUAAUAAUUUUUUAAUAUAUAAGUGUCAUAUAAUAAUUAAUUAUGAUGAUAUAGUAAAAUGACAUAAUAAGCAAUUGAAAGGACGAUAAGCAGAAUGAGCGAAAACUGCUCACUCCCUCUUCUUAUAAUAUAACUAGUUUAAGUGUACGCGCCUCGCACAUGUACCUCACUUUAAUGAGUUUAAUUUUAUAAAAUCACUCGGAUAUAAGAAGCAUGAUAGCUAUCACUUAUCACAUAAUUAUUAUCAAUUUGAUCAUUGAUGCAAAUAAUAAGAAUAUGUGAGACAACGCUUACUUUACCAUCCAACAAACCUUCUACCCUAAUUUUAAUUCUCCACAACCUCCUAUCUAAGUUCAUUAUUUUCAAUAAGAUGAACUUGUGUCAUCUCCUUACCAUACAACAUAAUCAAUCCAAACAAAUUGUCACAAAUAUUAAACUGCAAGGCAUAUGAUCCUACUAUAAGCAAUGAUCUUUAUACACAAAAUUCAGCUAUUGUACUUAGUGACGGAAAACUACUUAGUCUUUCAUUUUCUGAUUUUGUUUAAGAAUGAUGUUUAUCUUGAAGUGUUAAAGGACAAUAAAUCUCUAACUACUAAAGGUCUUUAUGGAAGUGAAGUCAGAAUAUUGUGCAUCUAUGACGCACAAUAAAUUGAUCUUGAUAAGGUAAUUUUCUGUAAUGGGCGCUGCUUUGUGCUUGUAGGGUUGUGAUUUGUGUUAGCUCUACAGAGUUCUCUGAUUCUUUCCUUUUAAAACAUUAUGGUACAAAGCAAUUUGAAUCAUAAUUAUGGUACAAUCAUCUAUUUUUCUAUAUUUAAAAUCUUUUCUCAUUUUUAAAGUUAAAUCUUUAUAAAAUCAUUGAUUAUAUUCUUAUUACGUAAAAAUUUUAAAAAUUUGGUAUUUCUUAAUUUUUUCUUAUGUAAUGUAUUGAUAUUUAUUACUAAAUUUUUGGAAUCAUCUUACAAUCAAAUUUAAUUGAUUUGGAAUUGUUAAACUAAUGAAAAAAGUAUUAGUUGUUGUUAAACAGAAAUUACUAACAAAAAAAUAUGAUAAUCGAGAUAUUAGAACAAUACAAUUAAAACUCACAUUCAUACAAAAAUUCCUCAAAAUUCGUUCGAACACUCAUCUAGAACACAAACCUAAAAUUGAUAAAAUUAUUAUAGAAUGUAUCGAAAUAGUAGCUAUAAAAAUAUUUAUGCCACCAACACACCUAAAUAUAUAUAAGCAUAAAUUAAAUAAAAAAAAUUCAAAAAAAGUUGAUGAUAAACAUGAAAUAAUAGAACACUUUAUAGAAGUACAUGGCUUGAUCCUUUUUAUAUUGAUUGUAUUUGUUCCAUAUUUAUAUAUAAUUCAAAUACCAAGAGAAAACAAAUAGAAGCAAAAGGUCAAGUUCCAUUAGGAGUAUGCUAGAUUAGAGUAUUUCGAUAGAAUUUUUAUCUUUCUAUAUAUUUUAGGCAAAGUUUUUCCUUUUUUUUUCAACAUCACGUACUCAAAAACAAAUAUAUAUAUAUAUUUUAAGUCAACUGCACUUUCUUGGAUAAAUAGUGACUCACCAAAAAUAAAAAUAAAACCAACUUCUUUUAGGAAAAUAACUAAUAAGAAAAGAUUUAUCAUAAAUAUGUUUAAUUAAUUUUUAGUUUUUCAAUAUUAGAAAAAAAUAGUUAAAAGACGAUUUUAUCUAAAGUAAGAAUUUUUAAUGAAGGAUAAAAAGUUGAAUCAACAUUUAUAAGGCCCUUCACAUUUUUAAUAUAUUAUUAUUAUUAUAUUAUAGAUAAGAAAAUUUGUUUAAUUUUAAUUUAUAUAUGAUAAGAAAUUUAAGGAAAUAAAGUAGAUUUUUAAAUACGGUAGUCUUAUAUUAAAAAUACCUAUCAAAAUGUUAAUUUUAUGAUCUGAACCAAGCAGGUCACGAUGAAAAGUUAAAUUUAAAAAGUAAAAGAGCAAAUUUAAAAAAGGAGGGGUAAAUUUCGUGCUAUCCCGUAAACUGAGUAAAAACUCUCCUAUAAAUACCUCUAUGUCCCAAUGAAUCAAACACACCAACUUAGUUUCCUUAGUUUCAAGAUCUACAAAGCAAUUAGGAAAUUUAUCCAAAGAAAGACACUAUGGAGAAGUUAGCUCAUUUUGUUGCUUUCUUGCUUCUUGCAUCACGUUAGUCGUCCUCACUUCCCUCUCUCAAUAUUAGUUCCAACAUUUAAUUUUGUACUUUUAUAAGGUGUGUUAGUUCGUUAAGCCGAGGAUUUAUUGUUCAUUGAAAUUAAGCAACAUUUUCAAUUCUCCAUAUAUUCAUGUUGUUUGUUCUUAGCAAGCUUCGGAGAAAAUAGCCCUACAGCCAGCUUCAUGGUUGCCAUUUGACUUUUUAUUAUAUUGCUUUUAAUAAUCAAUUAUUUUUUAAUUUUUUUGAGCCGAUCGAUCGAUGAUGAUUCUGUAUAAAGAUGGUAUACAUCCUAUUCUUGAUUUGUGGACUACACUUGAUUGUUGUUGUGAUUGUUGUUUUGUACACUUUUUUUACAGUGGAUCCCUUUUUUAAAUUUAUUUCUAUUUAUUCAUAUAAACUUAAUGUCAGUUUUUUUUUUAAUGAACAGUCUUCCAACCUCUCACUGCUCGAGAAUUGGAAAUUGAUGUCCUCCAACUUGACGUUUCUCAGUCUAGUUGUCCAGGUUUGGUUUUUACUAUUUCAUCUUUCUCUCUUUAUUAAUUAAUCCCUUCGUCUGAGAUAAUCUAUUGUGAUUUCUAUAAAUAGUUAUCUCAAAUUAUAUUUAUUUUUUAAAAUAUAAGGAGAAACACAACAGAUAAUUUGAGACAGAGUGCUAUCUUAUAAAUAAUUAUGCAUAUUGGUCUAUAAUUUCUUUUAUUUUUUUUUAAUCAUCAUGAAUCUCUCUUUCUAAUUAAUUGCUCUAUGUAUACUAUAGGAGUGAAAAAGGACACAUGGCCAGAACUUCUUGGGGUACCAUCUGCGUUUGCAAGACGAACAAUUAAGCAGGAAAAUCCAAAGCUAACAAAUGUUCCAAGUGUACUGAAUGGUUCUCCAGUUACAGCAGAUUUUAGAUGUGAUCGAGUUCGUCUUUUUGUUAAUGUCUUAGGUUUUAUUGUACAAACUCCCCGGGUUGGUUGAGGAAGUUAGAAAAUUUAUUCGCAUCGAGUGUUGUAAGUAUAUCUACUAGGUAGCCCCAAGAAAAAUAAUUGGAGCAGUAUGGACAUUGUAUCCAUGUAUUCCAAUGCUAUUUGGAGUGAUAAAUAAGUGUGGCUUUUAAUGUUUAUUAUCACCUGGCCACUCCGUUUAUGAUUGUUAAUUAAUUACUACAGUCCUUUUUAUUUUAUUUUAAUUUAAUCGCUCUAAUUUUUAUAAAUUUCUAUUUUAUAUAUUAAAAGCAUAGGUUUUAUGUUUUUUUUUUCUCUUUUGGGUCGCUGAAAGACAUAUACAACAAUAACAUAUCCAGUGUAAUCUUUGAAAGACAUAUGCGCGGAAAAUAUCCAGCUAAAUAUGUUUGUUGAAAUCAUCAAAAAAUAUUAUGACACUCAUCGAAUUAAAAAUCAAUUAUAGAGAUUAUAAGACAUAUUUAAUAACAUUUUCAAAGAAUCUCAAGGACAUAAUAACAAUAAUUUACAGAUUUCAUAAUUCCCAAAAUGGAUUGAAAGAAAGCAAAGUAGGAAAGAGGAAUCAUCCAAAUUUUCCAUAAAGACUUGGCAUGAUUUGAGAUAAUUUGAUAGUUUAGCUCAAUCAUGUAGAAGGCAUGCAGAAAAUGUGGAAAGGGGAGGAGAGAAAUUUAAAGAAGGAAUAAAGAAAAGUGUCUUUGAUAUUUUUCAUAAAAAAAAAAAUUAGUACAUAAGCUGGCUAUUGUAACAACUAAAUGCACAUAAAGCAAACACGUGGACAUACACUAGAAGGAAUUACAAAAGGAUAGUACACCAACCAAGUAUAAUAGGAACCUUAUUAAUGUUAUUUUUGUUUUUCGUGUGGGUAGAUGAAAGAAAUGAAAAUUGAUUAAUUCUUAUGAAAAAAGAUUGCAAUAGUGGACAUCAACGAGCCUUUAAUUUUCCUAUCUGCUUUUAUAGGAAAUUUUCAACUCUUCAUAACACAUGCCAAAUUUUGUCACUCCGACAAAAUUUAUAAAUAUUUUAACAAGAUAAGAGAAUAAAGAUUACAAUAAAAUUAUUACUCGUACCAAACAAUUACAUAUAUAAGACAUAUUAACACAAGCAAAUUUUGUUAAUUUGAUAAGGUUUCUGGAAAUAGCAACGUAAAGAAAAAAAAUUAUUAAAUUGAUUAGUCGCUAUCAACUAAUUGUGAAUAAUUGAACACCACUUGAAUUAUAUUAUUUACCAAAAUAUGACUUGCAGACAUAGCUAGUGGACAGAGAAAAUCUGCCAAUUGAAAGAUAUGUGACAAUCUCGUCCCUCUGAACUUGAAAAUGACAAGUAGAACCUAAUAUGGCUUUUUAAAGAUGUUAAAAAUAAUUUCUGAAAUUUAAAGUUAUAUUUGAAUAUGUAUUUUAUUUGAAAAAUUUUAAUAUAAUGUGAGCGAAACUGAAAUUUCAAAUAAAAACUGGUCUAGAUCAAUUUUUGAAACUUAAAAAUAAAUUUUUAAAAAUUAAUCAAAUUAAACAAAUAGUGCUUUCAAUCUUCCUUUUUUUUUUUAUAUAUAUAUAUAUAUACAAAUAAAUCAAAUCCUAAAAUUUAUGGUCCAAUGAUAGCUAGAUCACAUCCACAAUAAUAGGAAAAAGUAAUUGUGGGAACUUAAAAGGAAAAAAGACAGUGACAAAUAGUAAAACAGAAAGUGGCCAAAAUAUCAGUGACCAAGGAAAAAAAAAAAAAACACUCUCUUCUGUCCUUAACUUGGAACCACAAAUGAAUAUGGUACAACACAACAUUACUUUUUUUUUAUGCAAGUUAAUUAUGUAUUAUAGUUUAAUAAUGACUGUCUAUUUUCUUUAACACCAGAGAAAUUCAUAAUUACUAUCACAGUUUAAGUACUAUCAUUCAUUAUAAUAGCUCGCAAAUCACACACGAGAUAUAAACUACACUAAGUAAACCCAAGACAAACGAGGGUUGGAUUCGAUUCUAGGUAUCCCAUGUGGGAGACACACCUCUUAACCGCUCAACUAUGCCCUUGCGGGUUUGAUAAUAUCCCAAGUCUAUUUCUAACAUCAUACAUCUUUGUAGUUAGGACAUGUGGACAUUGGAUAGUUGAUACUUGAUACGAUAGAGUUUAAAUUGCUCGCUAUCAAUGGCGACCUCAUAAUCACAAAUCAAAAUGAAAAUCUCUGAGUAAAGAUAGAGGAAUAGUUACAACUUCAACACAAACCUUUGACAAUCAAUUGCUACAUACCAGUACUACAUUGGUUAUUUAGUAUGGACUUUAAUUAUGUCUUCAAGAUUUACAACAAAUUUGAUUUGGCAACUUAAUAAUUAUGGUUGUCUUACAUUCAUAGUUGAUCUUUAGAUUGAUAGAAUAUAUUUGCAAAAUGAAAACUUUUAGUAGGUUAUAUCGUUAGAAAUAUAUGAAAUAUAUAACUGAUUAACAUAUUCUAUAACAAAAGUAUUUUAAUUUCUACGUCGAAUAAUAGGACCUAAUAUGACUUUUUAAAAGUUGCUAAAAAAUAAUUUUUGAAAUUUAAAACUAUGUUUGAAUAUGUAUUUUAUUUGAAAAUUUUAAUAUUACGUGAGUGGAAGUAAAAUUUCAAAUAAAAACUGAUCUAGUUCAGUUUUUGAAACUUAAAAAUAAUUUUUUAAAAAUUGACCAAAUUAAACAAACAGUGUUUUCAAUCUUUUAAAAAAAAAAUAAAAAAAAUCAACUCCUAAAUGUCCAAUGCUAGCUAGAUCACAAUCACAUCCACAAUAACAGGAAUAAUUAUUUGUGUGGAUAAUACUAAAAAAAAAAAUACCUCAACUUUGACAGAAUUUUCAGUUGAGCAUACUGAACUUUGUGGGGGUCCUAUUACCCCUUAGAUUUUUUAAAGUGGAUUUAAUUCCCCCUCCCUCCCCCGAAACUCUAUACCCAGUUUCGGCAGCUGGCGGUGUAAUACACAUGUCAAUCUCAUUUUUACACGUGUAUUUUUGGCAGAUGGUGAUGUAAUACACACGCCAACUUCAUAUUUAUACGUGUCCAAGUGAGCAAAUAUAUGUCAUUAAAAUACGAAAAAAAAUCUAGGGGGUAAUAGGAUCCCCGCAAUGUUCAGUAUGCUCAACUGAAAAUCCGGUCAAAGUUCAGAUAUUUUUGUGAGUAUUAUCCCUUAUUUGUGGGAGCUUAAAGGAAAAAAGACAGUGACAAACAAUAAAAACUUACACGCACCCGAUGUAUACACCAAACUAAUGUGUUUUACCAUGGUUAUGUAAUUAAAUUAAGUAAAAUAAAUAUUGAUUAAUUAUGGUUAAGUAACAUGAUCUUUAAAUUCAAACACAUGACAUGCAUGUAUUGGCCAGGUGCGUGUAAGUUUUUUCCGGGAUAAAGAGUGUGUUUGAUAAUGUUUUUCAUGGAAAAUAUUUUCCUAAAAAACAUUUUUAUGGAAAAGAAGUUGGUUUUUUACUUAUUUCUUAUGUUUGGUUGGUAAAUGAAAAUUACUUAUCGAAAAAUAUUUUCUACUAUUUGGUUGGUGAAUGAAAAAAUUAUUUUUGAAAAAAUAUAUUUUAGUGUUUAGUUAGAGAGUACAAAAUAUUUUUUAUAAAUAUAACUUUUAACCUCGAAAAAUAUAUUUUUUUAGGGUUUGUUCAAUAUGGAGGAAGAAAAUAUUUUCUUGAAAAAUGAGUUGUUUCUUAUUUAUAUUCUUGUAUUCGUUAUGCAAGGAGGAAAAUAUUUUCUAAAAAUAUUUGUAUAUAUUUAAAAAAACACAAUAAAAACGAAUAAGGUAAGAAGGGUGGGAUACGAUAAAAGUUUUUACACUUUUCUUAAGAAAUAAAUUUAAAAAAUUUAAUUUUUUUUGGGAAAGGAGCUCGUGUGUGUGUUGGGAGGAAGGGGGAUUGGUGGUAGGAGUGGGGUAAGAAAAAAAUUAAAUUUUUUCUUUUUUUAUGGGUGGUGGGGAAAUGGUUUGACUGGAGAGGAAAAAAAUUAAAAUAUUAUUAAAAAAUUAAAAAUAUGUUUUUUGGAUGGGGGCGGUGGGGAUUAGAUGUUGGGGUAAGAGUGGGUAAUUUUGAGAGUUGUAUGAACAUUCAACUUGAGAGUAAGGUUGAAAGAAAGUUUAAAAAAAUAUUUUUCAUGUUGUUUUAAGGAAAGUCAUUUUCCUUCGAUUUCAACAACAAACCCAGUGUGUUCCCACAAAGUGAGGUCUGGGAAGGGUAGGAUGUACGCAGUCCAUAUCGCUACCUCCGAAGAAGUAGAAAGAUUGUUUCCGAUAUUUUCCUUCGAUUUGAGAAAAAUAAAUUGAUUUGGAAAAAAAUAUUUUUCUUCGUAACAAACACACUCAAAUAGUAAAAGAAAAAAAUUGCUCAAAAUAUCAACGACCAAGAAAAAAAAUAAAAAUUCCUGUCCUUAACUUGGAACCCACAAAUGAAUAUGGUACAAUACUCUUUAUUUUUGUAUGCAAGUUAAUUAGGUAUUAUUGUCUAUUAAUGAUUGUAUAUUUAUUUUAAACUCCAUAGAAAUUUAUAAUUACAGCUACAGUUUUUAUCCUUCGCUGAGCAUUUUGUGAUAAUAUAUUAUAUAAUAAUUCACAAAUCACAUAGAAAAUAUAAACCACACUAAAAAAAAGGCCUCAUGCGCCGAAAAAAAAAUUCUUAACAAAAUUUAAAAAUAAAGAUUAUACCAAAAUUAUAACUCGCAACAAGCAAUUUCCUAUAUACUCCAUAUGACACAUUGACACAAGUAAAUUUUGUCAACUUAAUAAGAUUUGUGAAAAAAUUAACACCUUAAAAGAAUAAAUAUUUUAUUAAAAUAAUAAAUUGUUGCUAUUAACAAACUUCCAUUCAAAGUUUAUAAUGCUUCUCCUCGUGACCUCUUAAGCACCUAAAAUGCGUCAUAUUUUCGUACUUCAAAAUGAGUUGUGAAUAGCUGAAUACAUACAAAUUAUACCAUAUGCCAAGUAUCAAUCAUAGCUAGUGGACAAUCUGGUCCCUCUGGCCUGAAAAAUGACACAUGACCUGCUUUUCUUGGUGCAUCUUUAUUCGUUCACUAGUAGUUUAGUAUAUAAUUAAAAUAAAUAAUAAAUAAAAGAAAUAUUUAUUAUAUCAUUCUUUAAAUACACAGAAAUUCACUCCUUUGAAAUAUAUUAGAUAUUGAUUACAGCUACUAACUAAAGGUAAACGUAACAUUUUUAUAAGAAACUGAUUUCAUGGCUUGAAUCUAUGACCUCGUGGUCACAUGUUGUUACUCUAAGACUCUCCUCCACUUUUUGAUGUUUUUUAAAAAAUAAUUUUUAUUACUUAGAAAAUUAUGUUUAAACAUGUAUUUUACUUGAAAUUUUUUUGAUAUUAUGUGAGUGAAAGUGAAAUUUCAUAAAAAAACUGAUCUAUAUCAAUUUUUUGAAACUUUAAAAAUAAUUUUUUAAAACUAAUCAAAUUAAACAAAAACUGUUUUGAGUUUUUUGUGGGAAUAUUUAUUUGUGGGGGCCUAAAGGAAAGAAAGAGAGAAAUAUAGUAAAAGAAAAAUGUGUGCAAAAUAUCAAUGGAAGAAAAAUAUCUCAUGUCUUUGACUUGGAACCACACAUGAAUAUCGAACAAUAAUACACGUAUUUUUUAUGCAAGUUGAUUAUGUAUGAUGAUAUAAAUUAAGUAAAUGUAACCAAAUUAAUACAUAAAAUAAACGAAGAAAGUUGUUUUAGUAGAUAUCUUUUUUGUACUCUUUCUCAUUAUAGAGAGGGCUAUUUAUAGUCAAAAUGAAGAGGACAAUUAUAUUAAAAUAAAAGGAAGUGAGAGAUGACUCACUCCAUUAAAAUAGUGGAUACAUGAAUAUCUAGUCAUGUUCCAUAACACUCCCUCUUAAAUGUUCAUGUAAAAAAAAAUCUACUGAAUACGCAUUUCAGUGUUGUCUUAUUAAAAAUCUUACCAAGAAAAAUUUAGUGGGAUAAAAACUUUGGUAAGAAAAAAAGAUUACAGCGUGUAUUCUUACUCCCCCUGAUGAAGACCUCGAUUCAAUCGGUUUAAUCUUCGCAUCCCAAUCAUGUAUACCAUCUUCUCAAAGGUUGAAGAUGGUAAAGAUUUGGUGAAUUUGUCACAAGAACGGAUAUGCUGCACACCAAUAUCACCAUUCUUUUGAAGGUCGUGCGUGAAAAAUAACUUUGGCAAAAUGUGCUUCGUUAUAUUUCGCUUUAUAAAGCCCCCUUUUAGUUGAUCUAUGCAUGCUGCAUUAUCUUUAAAGAUGACUGUAGGUAUCUUGAUAUCUAGCUUCAGGCCACAUCUUUCUUUUAUGGAAUGUAAUACUGAUCUCAGCCAUAUGCAUUCUCUACUUGCUUCAUGGAUUGCUAUUAUCUCCGCAUGAUUAGAAGAAGUAGCAACGAUGGGCUGCGUUGUCGAUCGUUAUGAUAUUACAAUACCUCCAUAUGUAAAUACAUAGCCUGUUUGGGACCGUGCUUUAUGUGGGUUAGAUAAAUAACCUGCAUCUGCAUAACCAACAAGAUUUGGACUAGCUUUGUUAGUAUAAAAUAGAACCAUAUCAACAGUCCCUUUUAGGUACCUCAGUAUAUGCUUUACUCCGUUCUAGUGUCUUCGCGUAAGGGAAGAACUAUACCUCGCUAGCAAAUUAACAGAAAAUGCUAUAUCCGUCCUUGUAGCAUUAGCGAGGUAUAUUAGUGCACCAAUAGCACCAAGAUAUGGUACUUCGGGACCAAGAAUCUCUUCACCCUCUUCCACAGGUCGGAAUGGAUCUUUACUUACAUCAAGUGAUCGAACAACCAUUGGAGUACUUAAUGAAUAUGCUUUGUCCAUGUAAAAAUAUUUCAAAACCUUCUGGGUAUAUGCAGUUUGGUGGAUGAAGAUUCCGUCUGCUAAAUGUUCAAUUUGCAGAUCAAGACAAAGUUUUGUCUUUCCAAGAUCUUUCAUUUCGAAUUCUUUCUUUAGUUAUUCGAUUGCCUUUUGGACCUUUUCUGGAGUUCCGAUGAGAUUUAUAUCAUCCACAUAAACAGCGAGUAGGAUAAACCCCGACGUCGUUUUCUUAAUAAAAAUACAAGGACAAAUAACAUCAUUUAUGUAUCCUUCGUUUUUCAAGUACUCACUCAGGCGAUUCUACCACAUCUACCCUGAUUGUUUUAGACCAUACAAUGAUCUUUGUAAUCUGAUUGAAUAUAAUUUCUGAGAUUUUGAACUACAUGCUUCAAGUAAUUUUAAUCCUUCUGAAAUUUUCAUGUAAAUAUCAUUAUCAAGUGAACGAUAGAGAUAAGUUGUAACCACAUCUAUUAAAUGAAUUUCAAGAUUUUCAUGUACAGCUAGACCGAUGAGGUAUCGAAAUAUUAUUGCAUCCAUUACAAGUGAAUAUAUUUCUUCAUAGUCAAUACCUGGUCUUUGAGAGAAACCUUAUGUAACAAGGCGUGCCUUGUAUCUUACAAUUUCAUUUUUCUCAUUUCUUUUACGUAUGAAAACCCAUUAAUAGUCAACUGGCUUUACACCAUUUGGGGUUUGGACUAUAGGUCCAAAAACCUCCCGUUUAGCAAGUGAGUUCAAUUCAAAUUGAAUCGCUUCUUGCCAUUUUGGCCAAUCUUUUUUUGGUCGAGAUUCUUCGACAGAUAGAGGUUCAAGGUCCUCAUUGUCUUGCAUGGUGUUUAGUGCAACAUUGUAUGCAAAAGCAUCAUCCACCAUAAUUUUUGAUCGAUCUAAAUUUACCUCAUCAUUAGUAGAACUUAUAGAAAGUUCUUCAUUCACUUGAGUCUCGAGUUUACUGAUUUCUUCAGGAAUAUGAGGAUUAAUCAGAUUUGGAGUUUCUUCAGGAGAAUCUUUUAUAAUACCAUCUUUAUUAUUUUUCGCGCUUCCUUUUCUAGAAUUUUAUCCUUUGAACCCAAUGGUCUGCCAUGCUUCAAGCGUGCUUGGGAUUCAGAAGCUAUGACAUUAGAAGAUGGUUCUUUUGGAACUUCAAUUUGGACAGGCAGAUUCACUGCAGGGAUAUGUGACUUGGUUAUCCUUUUCAAAUCAGUAAAUGCAUUUGGCAUUUGAUUUACUAAUUUCUGUAAGUAAAUGAUCUUCCGGAUCUCAUUUUCACAUAUGGGGGUAUGUGGAUCAAAAUGAGAUAAUGAUGAAACUUUCCACGCAAUUUCUCUUUUAAGUUCACGCUUUUCUCCCCCUAAUUGCGGAAAAUUUAUUUUAUCAAAUCGACAAUCUGUAAAUCGAGCAGUAAAUAAAUAUCCCGCCAAUGGUUCAAGGUAGCGAAUUAUAAAGGGUAACUCAAACCCCACAUAUAUUUCUAACCUUCUCUGGGGGCCCAUCUUAGUAUGCUGAGGUGGUGCAAUUGGCGCAUAUACAACACAUCUAAAAAUUCGUAGAUGAAAAAUAUUUGGCUCAUGGCCCAGAACCAAUUGAAACGGGGAGUAUUUAUUAUAAUAAGUUGGCCUGAGACGAACAAGUGAUGUUGCUUGUAAGAUAGCAUGACCCCAAAAAGUAGUAAGCAAUUUUGUUUUCAUAAGCAGUGGUCUUGCUAUCAAUUGUAGGCGCUUAAUAAAUGAUUCAGCAAGGCCAUUUUGAGUAUGAACAUGAGCAACGGGAUGUUCAACUUUUAUCCCAUCUGACAUACAAUAAUCAUCAAAAGUUUGGGAUGUAAAUUCUCCAGCAUUAUCGAGGCGAAUAACCUUAAUAGGAUAAUCUAGGAAUUGCGCCCUUAAUCAUAUUAUUUGUGCCAAUAAUUUCGCAAAUGCCAGGUUGCGAGAUGACAAGAGGCACACAUGCGAUCAUCUUGAAGAUGUGUCUAUUAGGACCAUAAAAUAUCUAAAUAUCCCACUAGGUGGGUGAAUAGUCCCACAUAUAUUUUCAUGUAUAUGUUCUAGAAACUGAGGAGAUUCGACACUAACUUUCAGUGGUGAUGGCCUUGUUACCAGUUUGCCUUGAUAACAAGCAGCACAUGAAAAUUCAUCUGGUCUUCAGUUUCUUUAACGGAUGCCCUUUUGAAUUUUCAAUAAUUUGUCUCAUCAUUAUUGAGCCAGGAUGACCUAUUCGAUAUGCCAGAGCACAAUUAUAUUUAUAUCAGUAAACUUCUGGUUUACGAUAGAGUGUGCUUCAAUUGUAUUAAUUUCGGCAUAGUAUAAGUCGGAAGACAAAACUGGUAAUUUCUCUAACAUUUGUUUUUGACCUCAGACAUUCUUGGUCAAAAACCUUAUUAAUGUUAUUUUUGUUUUUCGUGUGCGUAGAUGAAAGAAAUGAAAAUUGAUUAAUUCUUAUGAAAAAAGAUUGCAAUAUUGGACAUCAACGAGCCUUUAAUUUUCUUAUUUGCUUUUAUAGGAAAUUUUCAACUCUUCGUAACACAUGCCAAAUUUUGUCACUCCAACAAAAUUUAUAAAUAUUUUAACAAGAUAAGAGAAUAAAGAUUACACUAAAAUUAUUACGCAUACCAAACAAUUACAUAUAUAAGACAUUAACACAAGCAAAUUUUGUUAAUUUGAUAAGGUUUCUGGAAAUAGCAACGUAAAAAAAAAAAUUAUUAAAGUGAAUAGUCGCUAUCAACUUGUGAAUAAUUGAACACCACUUAAAUUAUAUUAUUUACCAAAAUAUGACUUGCAGACAUAGCUAGUGAACUGAGAAAAUCUGCCAAUUGAAAGAUAUGUGACAAUCUGGUCCCUCUGGCCUUGAAAAUGACAAAUAGAACCUAAUAUGGCUUUUUAAAAAUGUUAAAAAAUAAUUUUUGAAAUUUAAAGUUAUGUUUGAAUAUAUAUUUUAUUUGAAAAUUUUUAAUAUUAUGCGAGUGAAACUGAAAUUUCAAAUAAAAAUUGGUCUAGAUCAAUUUUUGAAUACAUUUUUAAAAAUUAAUCAAAUUAAACAAAUAGUGCUUUCAAUCUUCCUUUAUAUAUAUAUUUUUUUAAAAUCAACUCCUACAUAUAUAUUGGUAGCUAGAUCACAUCCACAAUAAUAGGAAUAAUUAUUUUAUAUAUAUAUAUAUAUAUUGUUAGCUAGAUCACAUCCACAAUAAUAGGAAUAAUUAUUUGUGGGAACUUAAAGGAAAAAAGACAGUGACAAAUAGUAAAACAGAAAGUGGCCAAAAUAUCAGUGUCCAAAAAAAACACUUUCUUCUGUCCUUAACUUGGAACCACAAAUGAAUAUGGUACAACACAACAGUACUUUUUUUUUAUACAAGUUAAUUAUGUAUUAUAGUUUAUUAAUGACUGUCUAUUUUCUUUAACCCCAGAGAAAUUUAUAAUUACUAUCAUAGUCUAAUUACUGUCACUCAUUAUAUGAUGACCUGCAAAUCACACCAGAGAUGUAAACUACACUGGGUAAAUCCCCAGACAGACAGGGGUUGGAUUCGAUCCUGGCUCUCCCAUGUGGGGGACACGCCUCUUAACCGCUCAAUUAUGCCCUUGCGGGUUGAUACUGUCCCAAGUGUAUUUCUAUCAUCGUACAUCUUUGUAGUUAGGACAUGUGGACAUUGGACAGUUGAUACGAUAGAGUUUAAAUUGCUCGCUAUCAAUGGUGACCUCAUAAUCACAAAUCAAAAUCAAAAUCUCUGAUUAAAGAUAGAGGAAUACUUACAACUUCAACACAAACCCUUUGAUAGUCAAUUACUACAUACCAGUACUACAUUGGUUAUUUAGUAUGGACUUUAAUUAUGUCUUCAAGAUUUACAACAAAUUUGAUUUGGCAACUUAAUAAUUAUGGUUGUCUUACAUUCAUAGUUGAUCUUUAGAUUGAUAGAAUAUAUUUGCAAAAUGAAAACUUUUAGUAGGUUAUAUCGCUAGAAAUAUAUGAAAUAUAUAACUGAUUAACAUAUUCUAUCACAAAAAUAUUUUAAUUUCUACGUCGAAUAAUAGGACCUAAUAUGACUUUUUAGAAGUUGUUAUAAAAUAAUUUUUGAAAUUUAAAACUAUGUUUGAAUAUGUAUUUUAUUUGAAAAUUUUAGUAUUAUGUGAAUGGAAGUGAAAUUUCAAAUAAAAACUGAUCUAGGUCAGUUUUUAAAACUUAAAAAUAUUUUUGUAAAAAUUGAUAAACGAACAGUGUUUUCCAUCUUUUUUUUUUUAUAUUUUUUUUAAAAUCAACUCCUACAUGUCCAUUGCUAGCUAGAUCACAUCCACAAUAAUAGGAAUAAUUAUUUGUGGGGAUAAUACUAAAAAAAAAUACCUGAACUUUGACAGAAUUUUCAGUUGAGCAUACUGACUUUUGCGGGGAUUGAUGGUUUUUUUUGGGUGGUGGUGGUGGUGGUGGUGGUGGUGGGGGGGGGAGACUGGUAGGAGGGGGGGGGGCGAGGAAGGGAUGAAUAAGAAAAAAGGUUGAUUUUUUUAAAAAAAAAGUGGGGGGGGGGGGGGACGGGUGGGGGUGGGGGGGUCGAGUAAGGGAUGAAUAAGAAAAAAGUUUGAUUUUUUUUUUAAAAUUAAAUAAUUGUUUUAGAGGGGAGCUUGUAGGGGGUCAGGUAGGGGAUGUGAUACAAAAAAAAAUUAAAAUAUUUUUAAAAAAUUAAAUAUGUUUUUUGGAUGGGGACGGUGGAGAUUGGAUGUUGGGGUAGGGGUGGGUAAUUUUGUAAGUUGUAUGAACGGAUAAUACCCACGUAAAUACAUAAACUUUGACCAACUACAACUUCAAUUAUCAAUCAGAUUAAGUAACAACAGAUUACGAAUCUAAUGUAAAUUAUCAAACAGAUUAAGUCAUCUGUUGUAAAUUAUCAUAUGGAUUGUCAUAUGUCGCAACAGAUUACCCAUAUGUUGUAAAUUAUCAAAUAGGUGCUGCCAUCUGUUGUGGCUGACCCUAUGAGAACUCACCCCUAGUCCUAUAUUAAUCGAUACUUUACCCUAUGAGAACUCACCCCUAGUCCCAGAUUAUUCAAUCAAGAUAUUAGUACCUUAGUCCUAGAUUAAUCAAUUAAGGUAUUAGUCUAACAUAUGAGGUAGUAAGAAUCGGUUCAGCUUAGAUUUAUCGAUCGACGACUCUGGUCGGGAGGAACGCAGUACCGUCUCAUCAUGUAAUUGCCAAAAGACUCAAUUGAAGUUGUAGUUGACCCUAUGAGAACUCAUAUUUGAUUAAGGUAUUAGUCUAACAUAUGAACUCAAUUGAAUUAUAUACAAGCAAAUGUUCAACCUGUUGCAACAGAUGUAUUUUCUGUUGGAUCAAAUCAAACAGAUUAUGUUAUCUGUUGCAACAUAUUACGCAUCUGUUGUAAACUAUCAAAUAGAUUACGUAAUUUGUUUCGAUAGAUCACGAAUCUAUUGUAAACUAUCAAAUAGAUUAAGUCAUCUGUUGUGACAGAUUACCCAUUUGUUGUAAAUUAUCAAAUGGAUUAAGUCAUAUGUUGCAAUAGAUUACCCAUCUGUUGUAAAUUAUCAAAUGGCGCUGUCAUCUAGUGUAGUUGACAUUAUGAGAACUCACCCCUAGUCCUAGAUUAAUCAAUUAAGGUAUUAGUUAAACAUAUGAGGUAGUAAGAGUCCGUUCGGCUUAGAGUGAUCGAUCGACGACUCUGGUCGGGAGGAACGCAGUACCGUCUCAUCAUGCAAUUGACAAAAGACUUAAUUGAAGUUGUGGUUGACCCUAUGAGAACUCACAUUCGAUUAAGUUAUUAGUCUAACAUAUGAACUCAAUUGAAUUAUAUAUAAGCAAAUGUUCAACCUAUUGCAAUAGAUGUAUUUUCUGUUGGAUCAAAUCAAACAGAUUAUGUUAUUCGUUGCAACAUAUUACAUUAUUUGUUGCGACAGAUCACAAAUCUGUUUUAAACUAUCAAACAGAUUAAGUCAUCUGUUGCGACAGAUUACCCAUCUGUUGUAAAUUAUCAAAUGGAUUAAGUCAUAUCUUGCAAUAUAUUACCCAUCUGUUGUAAAUUAUCAAAUAGGCGCUAUCAUCUAUUGUGGUUGACAUUAUAGGAACUCACCCCUAGCCCUAGAUUAAUCAAUUAAGGUAUUAGUUGAACAUAUGAGGUAGUAAGAAUCGGUUCGGCUCAGAGUGAUCGAUCGAAGACUCUUAUCGGGGGGAACGCAGUACCGUCUCAUCAUGAAAUUGACAAAAGACUCAAUUGAAGUUGUGGUUGACCCUAUGAGAACUCACCCCUAGUCCUAAAUUAUUCAAUUAGGGUUUUAGUACCUUAGUCCUAGAUUAAUCAAUUAAGGUAUUAGUCUAACAUAUGAGGUAGUAAAAAUCGGUUCGACUCAGAGUUAUCGAUCAACGACUCUAGUCGGGAGAAAUGCAGUACCGUCUCAUCAUGCAAUUGCCAAAAUACUCAAUUGAAGUUGUAGUUGACCCUAUGAGAACUCACCCCUAGUCCCAGAUUAUUCAAUUAAGGUAUUAGUACCCUAAUCCUAGAUUAAUCAAUGAAGGUAUUAGUCUAACAUAUGAGAGGUAUUAAGAAUCGGCUCAGCUCAGAGUGAUCGAUCGACGACUCUGGUCGGGAGAAAUGCAAUACCGUCUCAUCAUGCAAUUGCCAAAAGACUCAAUUAAAGUUGUAUUUGACCCUAUGAGAACUCACAUUCAAUUAAGGUAUUAGUCUAACAUAUGAACUCAAUUGAAAUUAUAUAUAAAAAAAAUUUCAACAUGUUGCAACGGAUGUCUUUUCUGUUGGAUCAAAUCAAACUGAUUAGGUAAUCUGUUGUAACAUAUUAUGCAUCUGUUUUAAAAUAUCAAAUAGAUUACGUCAUUUGUUGCGACAGAUCACGAAUCUGUAGUAAACUAUCAAACAGAUUAAGUCAUCUGUUGCACUUAAAUGUUUUUAGAUUUUUUUUUAUAAUGAAAUUUAGGUAUUUUCUGUCCGAUAUAAAAUAGUUAAAAUACCAAGGCGGUAAAAAAUAUUACUCAAAAGUCUCCUGAGUGAGUAGUCUUAUCUGGUCUUUUAAAUGUCACCGUCUCCUUGUGCCCCUCAAAAGUUAUUAAUGAAUAUUUAAAACCCCCCAUCUAGAACCUCUCUCUCCUUCAACCAUAAAGUAGUCUAGACUCUACUCAUCACUCUUCUUUAUUCUUUAUUCUCAAUUAUUUUUGUUGUUUCCUUUUUUACUCUUUUUUUUUUGAAUGAGGAUCCUUUAGGAUCUCAACCAAUCAAUAUCUUUUCUCAACUGAACUGGAUGUUCUAAUCCGUUUACUUUUUUGACAUUGUAGGUAUGGUUCACUGUUGCUCUUUUCAUCUCGUCUUCUUCUUUGUAUGUCAUUUAAAUUAGAUAUUUACAUCUGUUUCUAUUAAUGAUUUACCCAUUACUAGUUUCCUAUUUAUUGAGAAAAUUUAAGAAAAGGUGACUUUUAAGUCUUGAAUGAAUGAACCGUUGUUUUAAUUAAAAUAUGCAAAAAAAAAGUCAUCUAUUGAGGGAACUUAAAAAGCCUUGUUAUCAGUAUAGUUUUUUUAUGUUUUUUGUUUGGUACUUUGGUGUUGUUGUUGUUGGGGGUGGUGGUUGUGUUGGAACAUGUGAUGUUUGUGUUGUGAAUGGUGUUGGAACAUAUGGUGUUUUUUUUAUUUCUUUAUUGUUGAUGCUGUUGGUGGUGGUGUUGCAACAGUUUCCUUAACUGUUGUAACUGAUGAAUCAGGUUUUGGAACAGACGAAGCAACUGUUUGAAGAAAUCAAACUAGUAGUAAGGCUGGUUUGAUUUAUUCCAACAGAUGACCUAUCUGUUGCAACAUGUCAUCCAUCCUUUGCAAACGAUGCCUCAUCGGUUGGACAGAUAGAUAAUCUGUUACAUCAUAUUGGUCAUCUGUUGAUUCACUCAAUUUUGUGUUACCCUUUUGUAAUGUUCUUUUUGUUCUCUUGUUUGACAUCAAAUAUAUAUCUCUUGUUUGUAAAGAUGGGUUCGGAGGAAUAAGAUGCUUACAGAUGAAACCAUUUCAUAUGUGGGAGGUAUGUAUUACUGAUCAACCUAUCAUGAAAACACACAUCCAGUGCAAUGAUUUUGUGAAUGUUUGUUCUUUAUCUAUUAGGCAUUAAUCCUUCAAACAAGAAAUGACAUUUUACUGUUAAAAUUGUUAGGUUCGAACUGGUAAGGCUGAGGGACCAAAACGGUAGUGUCGAUACCCCAUUACAAUUUAAUGAAGAUUAAUGCUCAUGUUUUUGUGUCAAGUUUGGGGAAAGGUUCAAGUUUUUGGCGGCAGUAUAAAUAUCCAAUAGUGAUUGGACCGGUUUUAAUAGCGCAAUGGACUUAUUAAAAGGCCUUCGAAGCCUCGCACUGCAACAAACAACACUGGAUCUAAUAGAAAUUUUCCUGGUCUAAAUUUAUAUGGUUGGGUUAUUGAAGGAGACUAUUAUACUGAAGAAGGUAGUUGGGAGAAAACCUGUGCGGGAAGAGGGAGGUUGAGAAGGCCAUAUAUCAUCUCAGUCCUUGUUUAAGAGGAUACACAAGGUCGGAAGGAAAGUGUAGCGAAAUUAGCUUAUUAAAUUGACAUGAAAAAUGAAAAAACUGGAUGAGAUGCGAAUGUGAAAGUGUAUCAAAAAAUAAAAAUCCAUCAGUCGUUGAAGAAAAAGAAAAAUGGUCAAGAGGAAUUGAGUUGGUCAUUGAGGCCACGCUCGCUAGUUGCAUUCUCGAGCAAAGUGUCCAGCUCCAGUCCUGUUGACCAUUCUUUCUUUUUUUCAUCGACUGACGGAUUUUUAUAUUUUGAUACACUUUCACAUUUGAAGUUCAUCCAGUUUUUUCGUUUCUCAUGUGAAUUUCAUUGGCCAAUUUUGCUACACUUUCCUUCCUACCCUAUUUUUUCUCUUAAACAAGGUCUGAAAUGAUAUAUGGCCUUCUCUACCUCCCCCUUCGUGCAUAGGUAUUCUCCCAUCCACUGUAAAAAAGUCUCCUUCACCAAUCCAUCCAUAUAAAUUUGGACCAGGGGAAUUUCUAAUGGUUUUAUCAUUGUUUGCUGCAUUGCGAGGCUUCGAAGACCUUUCAAGAAGUCCAUUGUGCCAUUAAAACUGGUCCAAUCACUAUUGGAUAUGUACACUGCUGCCAAAAAUUUGAACUUUUCCCCAAACUUGACAUAAAAAUAUAUGCAUGAAUCGUCAUUAAAUUGUAAUGGGGUAUCGACACCACCAUCUUGGAACCCUUCGGCCUUAUCAAUUUGCACCUAUCAAACUAAAUUGUACAAUGCAGGAUCUUAUUUGAAGGAUCAGUGUCUAAUCGGUAAAAAACUGCAUUCACAAAAUCAUUGCACUUUAUGUGUGUCUUCAUAGUAGCCUGAUCAAUAAGAUACAUAACUCGCACGCAUGAAAAUAGAAUCCAUUGCACGCAUCUUAUUCUUCCUACCCAAUUGGGACACGGCAGACAAUGUUGUUUAUUUAUCUGCACGAAUGUGAUGACUACUAUUAAAAUGGAGGUGUGAAGAGUCGUGACUUUUUAUCUUAACACAUUCAAAACAGCUGAAGAAUGGAAAUCUCCAUCUGUUGCAACUGACGAAUCAACUGUUGGAAGAAAUCAAAACAUCUCCUCUAACAUAUGACCCAUCUUUCGCAACAGAUAAUCUAUAUAUUGUAAUAGAUGGUAAAUCUGUUGUGAUAGACCAGACUUUUUUUCUUUUUAUUCAUCUGCACGUAUGUGAUUACUUCUUGCUAAAAAUGUUUGUUUCAAUUUAGUUUUUCUAUUUAUAAAAUCAAGGGAAUUUUAUUAUAUUCUUCCAAGAUUACCCCUAUUAUUAAAUGACUACAUAAAGUAUAUUAUUCAUAUUUAUACUUUCAAAUCAUAAUUAAUAAGGCCAAUUUGGUAAAAUAAUCACCUAAUUUAUAUUUCUAUUAAUUGGUGUGCCGGUGUGCCAAGCCCAUAGGGCUCAACUAAUAAGUAAUGGAGGGACUAUAAAAAAGAGGUGAAGACUUUUUAUCUAAAACAUUCAAAAUAGCUUAUCAACCGAAUACUCCAUAUAUUAAAACUGAAAUUGAUGAAUCAGCUGUUAAAAAAUAUCAUAACAUCUCCUCCAACUUAUACUAUCCAUCUGUCGCAAUAGAUAAUACAUAAGUUGUAUCAGAUGUCUUAUCUGUUCCAUAUACAAACCAUCUAUUGCAACAGAUGGUAAAUCUAUUUUAAUAGCAGUCUGUUGCACAUUCAAUCCAUCUGUUGCAAAAGAUGCUAAAUCUGUUAAAAAUGCUGGACGAUCUAUUGCAACAACUCAAUAAUAAUGACUUUUAUCUAGUUUCAAACCGCUAUGAAAAGGUGAGAAGUAAUUAGUCUAAAAGAAAAAGUCGCGACUUUUAAUAGAAAACAAAAUGCCAACAGUUUGAAUGUAAUUAAUACAAUGGAGCUGAACAGUCCUGCCUUUUGGCCUGACACGUCCAGAUUAUAGGUCCCUCCUUAAUCUUCAUUCAACUCUAUUUAUUUCUUGCAUUUUUUCCUUUCGUGUGACAUCUUCAACCACUUCUCUUCAAAGAGCAUAUUCCUUUGUUGUUGAGGUAAGUUUUUUUCUGAUGUAACUUUAUCAGUUGGUCGUAUACGCUGUAUUAUAUUUUAAACUUUUUUCUUUAUAUUUUUCAAUUCAUGCGUGUUCUAGAUAUGGCUGAUCCUUUUCCGAACAUUGCUAUUCUACGCGACACAGUGUGGGAGCUUCAAAGGCAGAUUAAUGAUCUGCAGAGCGAGUUGGUCACUGUAGGAGAGACGAUGUUCAAAGAGAUAUAGAGGCUGAUGAUAGCCCUGUUUCUGCGAGUUGAUUGGAUGGCUGUCAUUAAUGAUGAUGAUGAUGAUAAUAAUAAUUAGAAUGUGUUUUUUAUUUUAGCGUAUGUAUUUUAAUUUUUCUAUAUCGGAUCUAUGUCUAAUGUAUUUUAUUUUUCAUUUAAUGAAAAAUUUACUUUUAGUUAGACUUUGACUUUGAUGUUUUAAUUCUUAUUCAAUUUUCAUUCUGUCUAUUUCUUCUAAUCUAAUACAUGUUAACAUGUCGACGGUUGGAGGCAAUGUUGAAUCCAGUAGCACUAGCAAUUUUGGCUUUUGAGUUCUUUCAAUAGAUGGACCAUGUGUUGGAACCGAUUGGUCAUAUGUUGGGUUUCAACAGAUUAUCCAUCUGUUUCGACAGAUUUGUCAUUCGUUGGAUGAAAGCAUUCCAGUUGUUUGUGCAACUGUUAAGAAUAAUUGUGGUCUGCUGUAUUAUUUAGUUCAUGUUUUGCCUCUUUUUAUUAAUGCACAAGUUAUUUAAAAAAAAAGAUAUUUUAUAUAUAAUAAAUGAUAACAUUAGGUUCACAACAAUGAGUUAAAUAUAUAAAAGUUCACAACAAAAAACAAACAAACAACAACACAAGUUUCUGCAAUUACAACGAUCAUGGUGGAUUAUGAUUCGGGCAUGUAGUUCUUUUGUGGUCAGCGCACUUACAUAUGGAGCACUUGUUUCUUCUUGAUGAAAAUGAUUCUCCAACUCCACGCCUCCUUUUAUAUGGCUUUCUUCCUGGUUUGAUAGUGCUCGGGUCAAUAUAUUCCCCAUAAGCUCUAAUAGAACAACCCAAGAUUCGUCGGGAGGCACCGGAGUAACAUGCCCACUAUAUGUCAUUUCAUAUUUUUCCACCGAAUAAUAUUGAGAUGAGUGAUCGUAAACUUCAGGUCCAUAUUUAUACCCGUAUUGAGCCCGAAGGGCUGCCAUAGCAGGUGGACAAGGUAUUUUGUCCAAGUCAAAAACUCUACACGUACAAGAUCUUGUUUGAAGAUCGACCGUGGCAGCAUCACCAUGACCGGUGAUACGGAAUUUGUAAUCUGCUAUUUAUGAGAGAAUAACCUAUUCCCAAAUUGAUGUUCGUUGAUAUUUUCUUUUUGAUUUCGAGAAUAAAUCGGGUUUUUUUUUCGGGCACUUGAACUACACACGCCUUUCGUUAAAAAAAUUGCUAUACUUCUUGCUUAUUUUUUCAAACAUAGCCUUGAUAGGAAAUUCUCUUUCAUCACCAAAUAAUGAAUCCACCGAUUCAGCUAUGUUUGAUGUCAUAAUAUUGUACCUAUAGAAAAAAAUCACUUAGUAUGACAUCAAACUAAACUUGUAAAUCAAACAAGACAUUAAAUUCUUAAGAAUGUACCUAUUUGCUGGAUAGAAUGUCCGGCUCCAUCUCUCAAAAUCGACACGUGCAAGAAAUUUUGCUACCUUGGGAUUCACAUCUUCUAUUUGAUUGAAAUGGUCUAAAAACUCCUCUCUACUAUAUGUUUUAACUGCUCUAUAAAAAAGGUAACGACCCUUUCGUUGUGAUAGUUGUUUCGAAUGUUCUCUCUAAUAUGCCUGAUACAACAACCAAAGUAAGCUGAAGUGAAGAAAAGUGAACCCAUCUUUGGAAUACUUGGAUGCCUAUCCGAUACAAAACACAACUCUUCGGUAUCUUCGACGCAGCGUCGCAGUUGUUCAAAAAAAAUCCAUAAGAGGCAUCACAUUCCUGUCCGCUACAUAAAAAGCACCUAGAAAGAUGUGAUUCUCCGCAUCCUUCGCCACCACCGCUAGCAGAACUCCAUUAUACCUGCUUCUCAAGAAGGUACCGUCGACGGCUAUGCCUUUUCUCAAAUGUUGAAAACCUUGAAUCCAAGCACCAUAGGAUAUAAAAAACUACUUGAACCUUCCAUUUUCAUCCAGAUGAAAUGCCAUCUUACUUUCAGGAUUUAUGGACUCAAUCAUGUAACGGUAAGCAUCCAAGACUUCAUACCCAUGCUCGAGUGUCCCCUAACCAGGUCCUUAGCAAUACCUAUGGCCGUAUAUACCUUCCAAUAACUGACCAGGACACCCAAAUUCGUAAGGAGUUGAUUGGCCAUAAUCCUUGUUAAUGGUCCUUUUCCAUCGGGGAAACUACGCCUGAAAUAUUCAUCGAGGACCUUUGUCGUGGCGUGAGGAUUUUGGUCCGAGAUAUGCUCCGAACCACAUGUGUGAUGCAUUUCAUAUUUAUGAAUGAUGAAUCUGUCAAAACUUGCGUGCUUCACCACUCUCAACCACCACUUGCAGUUCGAAUUAACACAUUUGAAGCAAAAGACACUGCGCAAAUUAAUCACCUUCUUUAUUCUGAAAUCUUUUUUCAAGCAAGAAAUAAAUAAAGUGUUAGAUAGUUCACUCUUGUCCUUGAAUGACAUUCCAAUAAAAAAUCCGGACCCAUCAUCUUGAAGAUUUCCAGAUUUUGUCGAUUGAGAAGAACUGCAAAUCGUAUCGGUUGUAUCAACGGGUGUAGGUGUUUGAUCAUAAUCUGAAAUAUUCAUGUCUAGAUAAUUCAACCUAUCAUCAAAGAAUUCUUUUUCUCCAUCUUCUUAUUCUUCUUCUUCUUCUUCUUCUAUGUUCUGGUUCUCAUUCUCUCUCAUUUUUUUAACCAUGUACACCCUUAACACCGGCCUGGUUGAAUCACUUAGAUAAGCACGCAACCGAACCUGAUCGGUUAUCUUGAAAGGCAGAACCCUCUGAUUUUCAAAGGAGCUAUGCAUGUAGCUGAUGGCGAAUUCUCAGAUUCGCCACUUGACAUAAUCCGGUGUGCCAAGUCACCUUCAAAAUGAUUUGACUUUUUAAGACUAGUUUGCGAACAGAGAUUCCGACUAAGGAAUUCUAUUAAUCGAGGGAAAGGUGUUAGGCACCCCUCAAUCCCGUGGUUUGACCACGAUCGCUUGGUGGAGCAUAUCGGCUAAUUUAACACUAUGGAUUAUAAACCACACAAAACACAUAAAAAUAAUCAAUCAAACAAACCAAACAUACGAAUCCUAAAAUAUAGUGUACAAUCCAAUUAUACAGACCCGAAACAUAAAAAAUGUGGAAAUAUAAACCUACUCUAUUCUAAACUAAUCCUAAGCUAAUCAUAAACCAAAAUCCACCCGACGUUUCGGGCCUUGACCGUGUGCCAUCUUCGAGUACAAGAUACUUUGGGGCAUUCCCCGGAUAAAUCGAUACAAAUCCCUCGAGGCAUUCCCCGAUCAAAUGAGUACAAUUUUUUAAUACGAGAAAAUCAAAAUAUUCAACCGAAUUUCAAACAUUCAACAAAAAAAAGAUUCUAAACUUUGCCUACCCCAACCUACGUUUUCCUACCUAGCUCAGCCUAUGAUUCUAUCAUGUUCAACAAUAUUCAUACUGAUUCCAAAUUAAACAAAACAACAAUAAACCAAAAUUAAUCUAAAUUCACCUUUUUUUUAAAUCAAUUUCUCAAUUCCACCCCCAAAUUCAUUUUCAAUACAUACCCACAUUCAUAUUAUCAUCACCUACAAUUGAUAUCAAUUAUUCAAAAGCAAACAAAAUCCAAUCAUCACCCAAAUCAUCCAAACAAAUAGGAAAAAGGCAUCGAAUCACAUCCACAAUCACAUCAAAAUUAAAAUAAAGAGAGAGAUGAAAAAAUUGAACCUUAAAUGAAGCUUUUGAACCCAAUAUUAUUCGAAUAAAAAGAGUCCGCACCCGAAAACCUCAAAUGAAACUCGAUGAUGAAUCCAGUCCAACUUCGAUAUAUUCAACCCCAACAAAAUCACAAAAAAAAAAUAAUGAAGGCACGAACCUAUUUCCUUAUGCAUGAUUCCGUCUCAUCGUUCUCUGAUGGGUUUUAAUGGAAAAAGGGAAGGAACAGGCUGUUUGGGUUGGAAAAUAAGGACGGGGGAAGUCAUUUUGUUGUUGUGACUUUGCCGGAUUUCCGGAAAGCUUUGGCAGUGACGGAAACCGAAGAGUAGGUCACGUUUUCUAUUUCUUCAACAUUUUUCAGCGAGAAAUUCACCGAAAACAGUCAAACCCAGUGCCUUUUUAUCUCUAUUCUUUCUGAUAUUUUUGAUCUAUCUCCCUCUCUUUAUUCUCAGUUACGAUCUCUCUCUCUUCGAUUGAUUUUUGCUCACAAANNNNNNNNNNNNNNNNNNNNAUCUCACAAUUUCUCCCUUGCUUGAAUCUCUUAUUCUCUAUCUCCCUCGUCUCUCAUUUUCUCCACCCCUAUAUGUAUGAGUGUGUUACUGUAUUAAUGGUAAGGAUCAGUGAUCGGAAUAAGUGGUGUGUGAAAAAAUUAGAAGGGAAUCUUGUGUGCGUCCUCUUCGUAUAUGGCAAUGGUGAUGGGUAUAUGUAAUAGUGAAUUAUGGAGAAGAUGGAUGUUGAUGGUGUGGUCCCCCCAGGGGAAAAGAAAAUAUGGCCUAAGGUGUCUGUUCUUUUUUAAGUGGAGAGGUUGUUGGGAUGUUUAAACAAAGAUAAAAUUUGUUAGGAUUUGUUAAAUUGGAUAAAGAUAAAAAUAAAUAAAUAAAUAAAAUGAUGAGGUGUUAUUUAUUUUGUUUUUCUUGUGGAAAAAUUACCACGCGGAUAGGAUACGUGGUAAGAUGGGAUGAAUGGUAAAAAAUGCUUUCGAGGAGGGACAAAAUUACGUGUCUACAUCAUUCCCCUCUUUGCAUGUAAGCACAAAGUGUUUUCAUACAAAGAAGUAGACAACGCGACAGAAUUUUGUCCCGAUCAUUAUUCGAAGGAAGAAGGACAAUCGAGUCUUGACUUAGGACAUCCUACCUACCCAAGUUAUGAGAUAGUAAAGUCGUAGGUAUCUUAAAAGAUUGGAAGGAGAUGGACAAUACCGAGUUGGAGAGUCGAGUGAGGUCCCAUCGAGGUUCUGGUCCGCGGCUCUGUUAUUACAUCAAAAUAAAGAUUACAAGUUAAAACAUAAAUGGAAUUACAAAAAAUCCUAAUCUAUGCAGCCGCUUUUGGACUCCUGACUUGAGUUUCAUCACCCCAUUAUUCAGGCGGGCUCUUGACUUGCAAUUUUAUUAAUCUGUCGACUUUCACUUUUUCACCUUGUUGCUUGACUUUCAACUUCUUUACCUUAUUGCUUGACUUUCAUGCAUUCGCCAUGUUCUUCAGGCGGGCUCCUAACAAAUGAAAACUGACAAGAAAGUACGUCUCCCAACAAAUGCCACUUGAAUUACCCAACGAAAUGCGUCUCCUUACAAAUGCUUGAAUUACCUAAACAAGGAAGUGCAUCUCCCUACCAAUGUUGCUUGAAUUUCCCACACAAGAAAGUGCAUCUCCUUAGAAAUAUCGCUUGAAUUACCAAACAAGGAAGUGCAUCUCCUUACCAAUGUUGCUUAAAUUACCCAGAUAAAGAAGUGCAUCUCCUUACAAAUGUUGCUUAAAUUACCAAACAAGGAAGUGUGUCUCCUCACAAAUGCCACUUGAAUUACUAAAACAAGGAAGUGCAUCUCCUUAUCAAUGCUGCUUGAAUUACCUAAACAAGGAAGUGCAUCUCCUUUGGAAGUGCGUCUCCUUAUGAUACCGUUUGAAUUACCAAACAAGGAAGUGCAUCUCCUUACCAGUGCCGCUUGAUAUGUCUCCUAACAAAUGUCUCUUGAAUUACCCAAACAAAGAAAUGCGUCUCCUUACCAGUGCCGCUUGAAUUAAACAAACAAGGAAGUGCGUCUCCUUAUAAAUGCCGCUUGAAUUACCCAAACAAGAAAGUGUGUCUCCUCACCAGUGUCACUUGAAUUAUCCAAACAAGGAAGUACGUCUCCUCACAAAUGUCACUUGAAUUGACCAAAUAAGGAAGUGCGGCUCCUCAUAAAUAUUGCUUGAAUUGCCCAAACAGGGAAGUGCAUCUUAUUACAAAUGUCACUUGAAUUACCUAAACAAGAAAGUGCAUCUCCUUACAAAUGUCUCUUGAAUUACCAAAAUAAGAAAGUGUGUCUCUUUACAAAUAUUGCUUGAAUUAUCCAAAUAAGGAAGUGCGUCCCCUUACAAAUGUUGCUUGAAUUACCCAAAAAAAGGAAGUGUGUCUCCUUACAAAUAUUGCUUGAAUUACCCAAAAAAAGAAGUGUGUCUCCUAGAGAUAUUGAAUUAUGAAUUUUACCAUGGUUUUGAAUACCAAAUCUGUGCAGCAACAGUGCCUCUUGCAUUUGUAGAAGUGAGAAUAUUACGGCCUUCGAUGUUUAGGAUUUGAAAUCCUUGAUUUGAAGGUAGCAUGUGUUCCUGUUUCAUACAAAGAAAACUUGUUAGUUUAAAAACAUGGUGGCUGGUUUGUGGCUUUGGCUUUCAUGGAAAUCGCUCUUGCCCCUGUCAUAUUUAAUCUUGCUUUCAACCAUUAGCAUGUGUCACUGGCUUGCUGCAUCAUUGACCCGAACUCAGAUUAUUAAGAGUGACUCUGAAAUAAAUACAGUAUCUCUGCUUUGUCAUGCUUCUCAGAUAAACCCUUUGAACCUUGGUAUUUCCAUGAGUUUCCAGACUUGUCAGUUGGCAAAACUUUCUGCAUGCCUUAUUUCAUCUCACAAUCAUGUCUCUUUCAUGUGUUGGUCUUUUGUCUUGCUUUGGGCAAUUGAAAAAGUUGGUAGCCAGUUUUGAAAUCUUUUCUCACUUAUUUUGACAUGGACUUGACUCAAAGACAAGAGAAAAAAUGACAAUGAUUUUUAUUUUGACAACUGACUAAAGAAAAUAAACUAAAAAAUAAAGAGAAGAAAGAAAAGACAAUGAGUGUUCCCAUUUGAAAUAAAGAAAUGAAAAAUUUAUCUAGAAAUGACAGUCAACUCUAAUGAUUAUGCCAUGCAUUUCAGAUCAAGUUGCCUGAUCUUUCCCUCCAAACUUUCUACCAAUUGUUCUUGAGUUAAUGGCUCUGAAUCUAAGUUACUUGCUUGGACCCAUUGCAUUCAAAGAGCUCAUUCGGCUAGUGGCACAUUGAAGGAUUUUUGCCAACAAACCUCUCUCAUUUUUCUCUCAACUCACCAUCGCCUUAUGGUGUCCGUAGGAUUUUCACCUAUAAGACUCUCAUUUUUAUCUCUCUCAACUUACUAUCCCCUUAUGGUGCCUGUCAGAGUUUUCACCAAUAAGACUCUCUCAUUUUUAUUUCUCUCCUGAUUUCUUAUGCUGAGGAAGACGAAUAGUUCCCAAAUUGUGUCAUUAUAUCAAUUGCAUGCUUAGCCUUAGCAUUCUCAGAGAUUGAUCUGAAGGUCUUUCUUUGGUUGUAACUUGGCUUUUGGAUAAGGUUAGAAAGAAAGGAUGACAUGAGACACAAACAACACUUGAAGUGGGGUAGGACUUACAACUUUUAGAAUCGACUCAAAUAAUGAGGAUUAACUCAUGCCCAGUUUCUUUUGAUCGGGUGAUUCUAAAUUGUUUAUUUGGUUGGACCGAGCCCUAAGCAGGACAACCUACGUAUCUUACCCCCGAAAGGGGAGAAUCAGGUCACGUGUAGUUCUGACGGCUUGUUUUGCUUGAUUCUGACUUUUUUGUCCAUUGACUUUUUAUUGACUCUUUUCUCUUUGGGAUUUUCUGACUUUAUUUUCUUGACACUCUUCUCUUUUCUUUCUUUCUUUUUUUUGAAAAUUUUUCGACUCUAUUAUUUUGAUCGACACUUUUCAUUUGAGCUUUGUUGACUCUAUCUUGAUUCCAAAGAGGUGUAUGAAAGAAGAUAAAAUUACGGCUCAAAUGGGGUAAACAAAGGAUGACACAAUAUUUGGAUAGCAGAAUAAAAUGCCUUCAUUAUAUCAAUCCUUGAAAAUGCAAGUACACAUCACGCAAUAUGAAAGUGACAGAUAAUGAUCAUUUGUGAUAUUUUUUUACAACAGUAACUUCGAUUGAGCAUGUUUGACACUUCUUCUUCUACAUUUGCCGAACAUACAACUCCAUCUUUGUUGUACAUUCCCCACGUCGAAUGAUUUAUGCUUUUGUAGAGCUAAUUAUCUUCUUAUUUCUCUAGAUAUAGGGAUUGCACGUCCACUAUUUGACCUAAUUGGGGCCUGCCUUUCAAUGAUCAAGUUGUUCUUGUGAUUCUUAAAAUAAUUGCCUUAACUUGUCACCAAAUGUCUCAGCACUAUCUAUUUUCUCAUAUGCUCUCUUUUUCUAACUUUAACCCUCUGAUUCAAUGUUUAUGCUUAAACUGAAUUUUAAGAUCUACCUAAAAAUUUCACUAGCAUGUCAUAUCACUAGAGUUAACAAAAAAUGUACUAUGUAAAGAAAACAACAAAAAAAACAACACAUAUUUAAAACACAAAGGAAAAUGGGACACUUCAUUUAGUUGAAAUAAAAAAAUAGAAGGGUUUGAACAUAAACGACAAAAGGACAAAACAAGAUAGAUCCCGAACUACAAUCCUGAAUUAAUUCGAACAACAGAAAAUUAAACAAAACAAGCUACCAGACCUCUUCCUAGUAGGGAGAGGGGUGACUUCUCAAUUGCUCAGCCUGAUAUCUUAGCCACUGGUUUGCAUAUAAGCAUGACUAGAGCUUUCCUCGUUGUCAAUGUUCUGCACCAUAAUCGAUUUAUCUUGAAUCAUCUUUUCUAUCUCUCUUUUCAAGGCACGACAAUCUUCAAUACUGUGACCCUAAACAUUAGAAUGAUAUGCACAUUGUACAUUAGGAUCAAAAUUUCUUGAAUGCGGGUUAGGAGUAUACCCAAGGAGAGGAGUGAUCAUUCUUCGCUGUACCAAUCUCUGAAAUAAACUAGCAUAUGACUCUCCGAUUGGUGUGAAACUAUCUCUCGACUUCUGUCUCAUUUCAUUAUUUGGCUUAAACUGAAAACCAGGCCUAGAAGGGCUUCGGCAUGUAUGUGGAGUUGGAGGAUGACUCGGCAGAGUUGACGCACGCCAGUGUGGGUAAGAUGAGGGUUAAACAUAUGGUUGCACAUUAUACACUUGAUAUGGAGGUGGGGAAAUGGAAUAUAAUGGAUUUUGGGAAAGAUUUUGUGGAGCUUGGGCAUAAACUUGGGUUUGAGCCUGUGGGUAACGAUGGUGUGGUCCUCUUGCACAUGCCUGUUGUCCAACUACAAUGGCAGAUGCAUCUUUCUCAUUCUUAUUUCCUCCAACACUUCCCAAACCUUUUUGAAUUGCUUGAGUAGUCUCUUUCAAUGUUGCAAAACUCACAAUGCGACCGGUCUUAAUUCCAUCCUCUAUCAUCUCCCCCAUUUUUAGGACCUCAAUAAAUGGCUUUCCUAAUGCAGGUAACAAGUGUUGAUAAUAUGUUUCAUCCUGCGCUUGAAUAAACUCCUCCACUAUCUUACUUUUUUUCAUUGGCGAUUUCACUCUAGCAGUUUGUUCACCCCAUCUAAUCGCAUACUCUCUGAAAGUUUCAGUACUCUUUUUCUUUAUAUUAGUCAGAGAUUUGUCGUCACGAAUCAACUCCAUAUUGUAUUGAAAUUGUUUCAUGAAUUCAUUAGCCAGGUCAUCCCAGUUGUUCCACUUGUCGAUGUCUUGGUCAACAAACUAUUUUGAAGCUAGACCUGAAAGACUCUCACCGAAAUAUGCCAUGAAUAAUUCUUCCUUCUCUCCAGUGCCCCUUAGCUGGUUGUAAUAGCGUCUCAAAUGUGAUACGGGAUCGCCAUGUCCAUCAAACUUCUAAAACUUUGGCAUUUUAAAACCAAGAGGAAGAUGUACACCUGGAAACAUGCAUAGAUCUUUAUAUGAGACACUUUUGUACCCCCCAAGUCCUUGCAAGUUUUUCAUAGUUAGUACCAAAUUUUUCAAUUUUCUGGCCAUUUCCUCUUGUUCUUCUGUCAUAACAGCCUUCUUAGUGUUAAGAGGAAAUUCAGGUGGUUGAGUGCAGUCGUAAGGAACAGUUGACUUAAAUGUGGGCUCGGGAGCAUAAUGCUGAUCACUAAAAAUAUUCAAUACAGGGUCGCUUGUAAAGUGAGGAAUCACAACCGUUAGAUUGACAUUAAAAGCAGGAGCUUCAGACGAGGGUGGGGUUGCAAAAGCAUGAAUAGCAGGCGGAGCCGAGUAUGUGGUAAUUUUGUAUUGAGGAGUGAGAAAAUGAAUAUUGGAAGUGUUUGGAUACUAUUGCCCCGGAGUAGGUCGUGAUGCAUGUUGUGGCAUGUAGACCAAAAUAGGAAAUUGUGCAUGUGACACUAGAGGCAAACUAGAAAGAUAUUCUAGAUUAUCAGCGGGAAAAGGAUGAGGCGGAAACCCAUUAGCCCAAGCUCAAUGCAUUUCUAUCAUUUGCUGCCUUAAUUUCCGAAUCUCUUCAUUAGCUCCUACAUUCUCAUUCCCCAAACUCCCUAUCUGAUUAGGGACAACUAACUCGGUAUCCUUGUUGGCCAUAACUUUCUCUGUGACUUGGAGAAAUAUGGAGGACCUUCCAAAACGCCACAAACCAACUAACUUAAACUAACUCCAAGAGUUAGAAAAUGCAUUAGAGUUCAACAUUUUUUCAAAACCUCUUUUUUUUUCUUGAAAAGAUCACCGAACCCUAAAAGAGCGCCUACGUAUCUCACCCCCGAAAGGGGAGAAUCAGGUGUGUGUAGUUCAUGAAGUCUUGCAAAAAUGGCCAAUUAAACUCUUUUUUAUUUCUUCUUUCUUUUUCUUGAAACAUUAAUAAGAAAAGAAAAUAAAAUUGUCAAAAGAAUCGAGAAAAAUCAUUUUUUGAAUUUUUUAGCUUCUAAUACGAAAUGAAACUUAUGAUUAUCAAAGAAAAAAAAAUCUUUUUGGGUUUUCGAUUUUGAAUUUCAUAUGAAAAUGAAACUUGAACCUAUUAAAGGAAAAUCUUUUUUUGUGGUUCUCUUUUAAAGAUGUAUAUGAAACACCUACUCUAAGUGAAGAGUGAAGAAAAUCUUUUUGGAUUUUUUGAAAUAAGUUCCCCGAACCAACAAUAGGAUGCCUACGUAUCUCACUCCCCGGAGAGGACAAUCAGGGGUUCGUAGUUCGUCCAGAUUGGACAAUUAAGGAUUAAAACGAACUAAGACUGAAUUAAGAGACGCGACAAAAAACAGAUGAAUAAAAGCUUUUUUGGGUUUUUAAUUAGAAACAAACACCAACAACUAUGAAAGAAAAAUCUUUUUGAUAUUUUCGUUAUAUAAAAAUGUACAAAGCUCCUAUUGAAAGGAAAAAAUAUUUUUGUAGUUUUCGAAUUGUGAAUACUUACUAAAGAAAUAAAAGAAAAAUCUUUUUAACGUUUUUGAUUUUAGGAAAAUGAGUACAAAAGUUAAAAAAAAUAUAUUUUUUUUAAAUUAUAAAAAACAAAAGCAAUAAAGAACCCUAAAAACUUCCAAAUCUUUUUUUUUCUUUUUUUUCCCAACAAUUUCUUGCCUACACACUUUGCUUCUAACUCAUGCUUUUGCCCAAAUCAGUUUAUCAAAUGACCAUAUUACCCUCAAAGAUGCAACAUUUAGCACGUAGGGAUGCUUUAGAGGUGAAUCUCCUACAAAAGGCCACGUGGGUCCCGCUAGAUCUCAAUAUGAUGCAAAUAAGUGUGACCUAAAGGCUCACCUAUGCUGGAGUUCACUAACAAGGCUGCUCGGGGGAGCGUAUGAUCGAUAGUGGCUGCACUAGCUUUCCACCCACUCUAUACCAGCCGAUGGCUCCACCUCCUAAAAAUAAGGGUGACUUAACUAUAAGUCGUGUACACAACGUGUACUACAGAACUUGUUGCAGAAAGAAUUGACUCGGGUUAUGCAAAUGAUGCCAGAUAUAAAGCGGAAACACAUAAGAGAAAAACUGUAAACACGUAGCACGUAGGCACUCAACAACGAUAAAAAAUACAAACAAUAAGACAAACAAUGUCUAUACACUCAUAAUGUCAAAACUAAGCCGAUAUAACUCCAAAAUUAAGCUCGAAUUCUGAAAAGUCCCCAGCAGAGUCGCCGGUGAUGUCACACCCCUUUUUAACUCCAAAAAUAUUUGUUUUAAGGUUCGAAAGGAUUUUUAUUAUUGUCACACCCCUUUUUAACUCCAAAAAAGAUUCGAUUUUAAGUUUCAAAAGGGUUUCCAUUAUUAAAGUGAAAAAAAUGAAAAUUUUGUUUCGAAGAGGAUUAUUUACAUUUAAACUCAGAGUCGCCACUUGUCAUAAAUCAGGUUGCCGAGUCACCCGUGGAUAUCCUUUUUCAAAAUGAUUUUGACUCUAUAAAACUGAUCCGCAAACAAAGUUUUCGACUAAGUAAUUCUGUUGACCGAGGGGAAGGUGUUAGGCACCCCUCGAUCCCUAGUUCGACCACGGUCACUUGGUGGAGCAUAUCAGCUAAUUUGACAUUACAAAUGUAUAAACCAUACAAAAACAUGUAAAACAAUCAGACAAACAAACAAAACAAAACGAAUAAAAAAUAUAAUGUCCAGUCCAAUUAUACAGUCCUGAAAUAAAUAAAAAUACAAAAAUAAAUCCUAUCUAACCUAUACUAAUCCUAACUACGCUCCUACGCUUUACCCGAUGCCUCGGGCCUUGAUCAUUAUUUGCCUUCGCAAAUAUGAUACGUCGGGGCAUUCCCUGGUGAAUAAAUACAUCAAUCUUUAGGGAAUUCCCCGGCCAAAUAAAUACAUUUCAAUCUGAAAACAUAAAUCAACACAUUUCAACAAAACACUUUCAUCAUUCAACGAUUGCAAGUCCUACUUUUGACUACCCGAACCUACUCUUUACCUAUCCAAUUCGACUGAUCACGAUACUAUCACAUCAACGAUGUUCAAUGAAUCAAAAUAAAUUAACGCUUAUAUUUUAUCAAUUUUCGAUUCCCACCCUCCAAAAUUCAAUUCAAGGUUUCCACAUAAUUAUUCACAGUUAUGAUUUUUCAACAAUCCUCAAACACUAUCAAUGAAAUCAAACGACAAAUCGAAAUCAUGAAGUAUUCAUAUCAUAUCAUGCCUCGCACAAAUAAUCACAUAUAAUAAAAUUAAAAAUGAGAGGUGAUAGAAUUGGACCUUCGAUCAAGCUUUUUUAAAUUGGAAUAAUCCUUUCGACUAAAAUUGCAAACGGCACCUCAACUCAACCUUCAACAAAUGAGAACCCCAAAUCGAUAACGUCCCUAUCGAAUUCCACCCGUACCCUCUCCUAUUUUUCACUAAUCCAAGGCCCGAAGUAACAAACUAACGGAAAGCCCACGCUGAACAGUGAAGUUGAGUUUUGCCAGAGCUGGGAGCGGAUAAAACUGGUGGCAUUCACUGGUGGAGAGGGUGUUUUUCGAUGAGUUUGGCUGCGUUUCCCGGUGAGAAACAGUCAUUGGAACAGUACAAUUUUUCUCUCUGUUCUUCUUCAAUUUCACUCUAUUUCUCCUCUUUCCUGAUCGAUUUCAGCUCGCCAUUGCCUUUCUCUCUCUCUCUCUCCGAUAUCACGUGUCUGGUGUGUGUAUACGGUGUGUAUGUGAAAAUUCGAUAGAGUGUGAAAUUUUGUAUGUGCUCUGCUUGUAUGGAUUUUUGUCAGUAGAAAAAUGGAAGAUGAAAUGGAGAAUCUCGUGUGUGCAUGUGUUUUUUAUGUUUUUUGGUGAGAGAGUGUGUGUAUAACGUCAAGAAGAGAGCAAUUGAGUCUCUAUGUGCUGUGCGUUUCUCCCCUUUUUUUCAGUCUGCCCCCUUUCCCCUGUAAGUGUGUAUAUGUAGCGUAUGAAAAAUCAAGAAUGAAAACCGUGAGGUGAGUGUUGUGUGAUGGUAUGUGGGACCUUCUUUUUUUUUGUUGUAUUUGUCUUUCUGUUAUUAUAACAAAAGAUGAAAAAAUAUGAAUUGGGGGUAGUCACGUGGCAGGGGUAGGGAUGGUUAGGAUAGGAUAAAAUUAUUUAAGGGUUGUUAUUUUUUAUAUUUUUGUGGAAUAUAAUCACAUGGGUGAGGACACGCAAUAAGACGAGGGUAAAAUGAUAAAAAUGCUUUUUUGGAGGGAUAAAAUUACGUGUCUACAUCAUUCCCCCUUUGAAUGUAAGAACGUAGUGUUUUCAGACAAAGAAGUAGACAUCGAGACAAAAUUUUGUCCCGACCAUUAUUCAAAGGAAGAAACAGAAGGAAGAAGGGCAAUCGGAUCUUGACUUAGGACAUCCUACCUACCUAAGUUGUGAGGAAACUAAGUCACAUGUUUCUUAAAGGGUUUGAAGAGAAGUGGACUGUACCAAGCUGGAGAGUCAAGUGAGUUUCCAUUGAGGUUCCGAUCCGUGGCUCUGUCAUUCCAUCAAAAAUAAAAACUACAAGUUAAACGUAAAUGAAAAUUACAAAAAUCCUAUCUAUACAGCUUCUUUGACUCUUGACUUACUAUUUCAUCACUCUAUUCUUCAGGCGGGCUCCUGACUUGCAAUUUUUUCAACUUGUUAUUUGGCUUUCAAUUGCUUCACCUCGUUGCUUAUCUUUCAAUUUGUUCACCCUGUUCUUCAGGCGGGCUCCUGACUUGCUAUUUUUCAAUCUGUUAACUUUCAACUUUUCACCUUGUUGCUUUGUUUUCAACUUCAUCACCUUGUUGCUUGACUUUCAACUUCUUCACCAUAUUGACGGACAUUUCAUUUAUUCGCCCUGUUCUUCAGGCAGGCUCCUGAAAUCACAUUAAAACUAAAAAGAAAAUUAUCCCAAAUAAAGAUUAUUAUAAAGAGAUUUCCUUUGCCAGAAAAGUGAAGUUCCUAACACAAGAAUUAAAUUAGCACCAUUAGCAGAUGUCAUUGACUUGCUGCUUCAUUGACCCGAACUCAAAUUAUUAGGAGUGACUCUGAAAAAAACAUAAUAUCUAUGCUUUGUCAUGUUUCUAAGAUAAACCCUUUGAACCUUGGUAUUUCUAUGAGUUUUUAGAUUUGUCUGUUGAUAAAACUUUCUGCAUGCCUUUAUUUUCCGCUCACAAUCAUGUCUCUUUCAUGCGAUGGCCUUUCUGCCUUUCUUUGUACAAUUGAAGAAGUUGGUAGCUAGUUUUGAAAUCUUUUCUCACUUGUUUUGACAUAGACUUGACUCAAAGAUAAGAGAAAAUAAAAUGACAAUGAUUUUUAUGUGGAUAACUGACUCAAGAAAACAAAAAUAUAAAUAAAGAGAAGAAAGAAAAGAUAAUGAAUGUUCCCAUUUGAAACAAAAAUAAAACAAAAUAAAAAAAAUGAAAAAUUUAUCUAGAAAUGACAGUCAACUCUAAUGAUUAUGCCAUGUAUUUUGGAUAAAACUUCUUGAUCUUUUCAUCCAAACUUUUACCAUUUGUUCUUGAGUUAAUGGCCUUGAAACUGAGUUGCUUCCUUAGGUCAAUUACGUCUAAGACCUCAUUCGACUAGUGGCGCCUUGAAGGGUUUUGGCCAACAAGCUUCUCUCAUUUUCUUUUCCUCAGCUCACUAUUGUCUUAUGGUGUCUGUAAGGUUUUUCACUAAUUAGACUCUCUUAUCUUUGUUUUUCUUAACUCACAGUUAUCUUACGGUGCUCGUGAGAGUUUUCAUCAAUAAGACUCUCAUUUUUAUCUCUCUCAACUUACCAUCGUCUUAUGGUGCCCGUGAAGGUUUUUACCAAUAAGACUCUCAUUUUUAUUUCUCUCCUGAUUUCUUAUGCUGAGGAAGACAAGUAGUUCCCAAAUACAUCAUCAUAUCCCUUGCAUUCUUUGCCUCAACAUCCUCAAAUAUUGAUCUGAAGGUCUUUCUUUUGUUGUAACUUGGAUUUUGGACAAGGUUAGAAAGAAAGGAUGACAUGAGGCCCAAACGACACUUGUAGUGGGGUGGGACUUACAACUUUUGGAAUCGAUUCAAACAAUGAGGAUUCACUCAUGCCCCAGUUUCUUUUAACUAAAAAAUUCAAAAUUAUAUUUGGUUAGACCGAGCCCUGAGUAGGGAAGCCUACGUAUCUCACCCUCGAGAGAGGAGAAUUAGGUCAUGCGUAGUUCUGGCAGCUUGUUCUUUUGCUUAAUUCUAACUUUUCUUUCUUUUUUACUUUAUUGACUCUUUUCUCUUUGGGAUUUUUUUUCUGACUUCAUUUUCUUGACACUCUUCUUUUCUUUCUUUUUGGACACAUUUUUUUUUUUUUUUUUUUUAAGUUUUCUGACCUUUUUUUCAACACUUUUUCUUGGACGUUGCAGACUCUAUCCUGAUUCCAAAAGAGGGGUACGAAAGAAAAUAGAACUAAGGCUCAAAUAAGGUAAAAAAAGGAUGACACAAUAUUUGGAUAGCAGAAUGAAAUGCCUUCAUCAUAUCAAUUCUUGAAAAUGCAAGUACACACCAUGCAAUAUAAAAGUGAGAGAUGAAGAUCAUGUGUGACACUUUAACAACACAAACUUUUAACUGAGCAUGUGUGACACUUCUUUCUUCUAUACUUAUCAAACAUAUGACUCUACCGUUGUUGUAGAUCCCUCACAUUGAAUGACUCAUGAUUUCGUGGAGAUGAUUUUCUUCCCGUUUCAUUUGAUAUAGAUCACAUAUUCCUUGGUUGACCUAAUUGGGAUAUGCCUUUCGAUUGAUGACCAAGUUAUUCUUGUGAUUCUCAAAAUAAUUGCCUUAAUUUUCAAAGAAGGCCUCAACUUGUCACCAAAUGUCUCAGCACUCUACUUAUUUUCUCAGAUGCUUUCUUUUCCAAACUUUAACUCUCUGAUUCAAUGAUUCCUGAUUAAGUUGGAUUUCAAGAUCUGGCUAAAAAUUCUGUAGGCAUGUCAUAACACUAGAAUUAACAUAAAAUUCAUUGCGUAACACAGACAAACAAAGAACUUAAAAUAAGACAAAACAAACAAGGGACACCACAUUUCAUUGAAAGGAAAGAUAGAAGGGUUUAAACAAAAAUGACAGAGAAACAAAGAAGAUAGAUCCCGAACAACCCUGAAAUAAUUUGGAAAAUAGAAAAGAAAACAAAACAAACUACCAGACCUCUUCCUAGUAGGGAGAGAGGUGACUUCUCAACUGCUCAGCUUGACAACUUAGUCACUGGUUUGCAUAUCAGCAUGACUAAAACUUCCACAACGAUAAGACACAUUUUCUUUAACAAAUAAGUUUUCGGUCCUCAUGUUCAAAGCAUUGCUUCCCAUAUAUUGUGCAAUACCAUGUGCUGGCGAAUAAUUCUGUGGGAUGGUUGAGGUGCCAAUGUUUUGCACCACAAUCAAUUUUUCUUGAAUCAUCCUUGAUAUUUCUCUUUUCAAAGCGCGAAAAUUCUUAAUACUGUGACCCUGAACAUCAGAAUGAUAUGCAUAUCAUACAUUAGGAUCAAAACUUCUUGAAUGUGGGUUAGGAGUAUAACUGAGGAGAGGAGUGAUCAUGCCCCACUGUACUAAUCUCUGGAAUAAACUGGCAUAUGACUCUCCAAUUGGUGUAAAGCUAUCCCUCGAUUUCUGCCUCAUUUCAUUAUUUAGUUUUGAUCGAACCUCGGGCCUAGAAGGGCUUUGGUAUGUUUGUGGAGUUAGAGGGUGACUUUGAGGAGUUGGUGCGUGUCAUUGUGAAUAAAAAGAGAGUUGAACAUAUGGCUGUGCGCAAUAUACUAGAUAUGGUGGUGGGGAAAUAGAGUAUAAUAGAUUUUGGGAGGGAUUAUAGAGAGCUUGGGUAUGAACUUGGGCUUGAGACUAACGGUAACGAUGACGUCGCCUUCUUGGAUGUGCCUAUUCUUCAACUACAUUGACAAUUGCAUCUUUCUCAUUCUUCUUUCCUCUAGUUUCUCUUAAUUGAUUGUAAUAUUGUCCCAAAUAUUCCACGGAUUCCCCAUGUCUAUCUUGCUCCUCAAAUUUUGACAUCUUAAGGAUUGGAGGGGGGUUAACACUUGAAGACAUGCCCCAAUCUUUGUAUGUAACAUCUUCUUUACCCAUAAGUCCUAGGAAAUUUUUCGUAGCAUUUUCUGCAUUCUUCAUCUUCUCAACCAUUUUCUCUGGCUCUUCUGGCAUGCUAGGCUUCUUGUUAAAAAAUUUUGGUGGUCCAAUUAACUUAAAUGUAGGAUCAAGAGUCUAAUAAUGAUCACCAAGAGUAUCGAGCAUGGGUCCACUAACAACAUGGGGAAACACAACUGUUAGGCAUCUAGCCAAUGUGGAUGUCUCAGCGGAGGAUUGAGCACCAAAAUCACAGACGACAUGUGGUGUUGUAAAUAUAGUUGGCUUAUGCCGAGGGGCUAGAAAAAUAGUGGUGGAAGUAUUGAAAUUCUUUUGGCUUGGAAUGAAUUCUGAGGCAUGUUGUGGUGCAUCAACAACAUUAGAAUAUGGAGCUUGCCAUUGUGAUGGAGAACUCAGGUUAUUUGCGGGGUCAACAGUAGAGAAUGGAGGAGGAGGCAACUUACUGGCCCAAUCUCGAUGCAUUUCCGUCAUUUGUUGCCUUAGUCUCCUAAUCUCUUGCUUCAAACUCUCAUUUUCAUGGCUCUUUUUUUGAUCCACGAUUUCACUCUCUAUAUCCUUGUUGGAUACAACUAACUCUUCCUCGGAUUUGGUGUGAUGUGGAGGAUCAGCCAGGAUGUCACAAACCAAUCACCUUAAACCAAUCAACACUUUCUCAAACUUUUUUUAGUUUUUUCUUUUUUUUUGAAAAAGAUUACCGAAUCCAAAAAGGGCGCCUACGUAUCUCACCCCCGAAAGGGGAGAAUCAGGUGUGCGUAGUUCGUGAAGUUUUUCCAAAAUGGCCAAUUAAACUAUUUUUCUUUUUUUUUUCCUUGUAACUUUAAAAAGAAAAGAAAAUAACAAAUUGUCAAAAGAAUUAAUGAAAAUCUUUUUGCAUUUUUCAGGUUUAAACUCAUUAUACAAAAUGGAAUCUAUGAUUAUCAAAGAAAAAUCUUUUUGGAUUUUCAAUUUUGAAUUUCAUAGGAAAAUGAAACUUGAAACUAUUAAAGAAAAAUCUUUUUUUAGUUUUCUUUUGGAGAUGUAUAUGAAACACCUAUUCUAAGUGAAGAGUGAAGAAAAUCUUUUUGAAUUUUUCAGAUUCCUGUACAACAUGAAAUCUGUGAUUACCGAAGAAAAUAUUUUUGGAUUUUUGAUUUUGAAUUUCAUACGAAAAUGAAACUUGAACCUAUUCAAGGAAAUAUUUUUUUUGUUGUUUUCUUUUAAAGAUGUACAUGAGACACCUACUCUAAAUGAAGAGUGAAGAAAAUCUUUUUUGGAUUUUUGAAAUAAGAUCUCCGAACCAAUAAUAGGCUACCUACGUAUCUCACUCCCAAGAGAGGAGAAUCAGGGGUGCGUAGUUCGUCCAAAUUGGACAAUUAAGGAUUAACUAGAAAACUGAACCCUGAUUUAAGAGACAUUAACAAAGAUAAACGAUAAAAGACGUUAAAAAAUAGUUUUUUUUUGGGGGGGGGGGGGGGUUUCAAUUAGACACUUCACAUAAAACUGACACCGAUAACUAUGAAAGAAUUUUUUUUUGAAAAUUUUGAAUUAUGAAUGCAGGACAAAGAAAUAAAAGGAAAAUCUUUUGGAUGUUAUUUUUUAGGAAAAUGAGUGCGAAAGGUAAAAAAAUCGUUUGAAUUUUUGGAUUGUGAAAAAAAAUAAUCAAAAGCCAUAAAGAAUUCUAAAAACUUACGAAACACUUUUUUUCUUUUCGACUCACUUUUUCUUUUUUUUUCCUCUUUUUUUUUUCAAUUUUUCCUUGCCUACAUACUCGAUUUUUCUAGCACAUGCUCUCCUCCAAAUCAAUUCGUCAAAUGACCAUAUUACCCUUAAAGAUGCAACAUUUAGCACGCAGAGAUGCUUUAGAGGUGAGUUUCCUACAAAAGGCCACGUGAGUCCUACUAGGUCUCAAUAUGAUGCAGAUAAGCAUGAUCUAAAGGCUGACCUACGCUGGGGUUCACUAACAAGGCUGUUCGGGGGUGCAUAUGGUCGACAGUGGUUGCGAUAUCUUUCCACCCACUCCAUAACAUCGAUGGAUCCCCCUCCAAAAAUAAGAGUGACUCAACUAGAGGUCGUGGACAACACGUGUACUAUGGACUUGUUACAAAAAGAAUGACUUAGAUUAUUCACAUGAUGCCAGAUAUAAAGCGGUAACACAUAAAGUAAAACUAUAAACAAAGAGCACGUAGGCACUCAACACUGAUAAAAUGAAUACGAACAAUAACAUAAACAAUGUCUAUACACCCAUAAUGUCAAACAAAGCCGAUACAACUCCAAAAUUAGCUCGAAUUCUGAAAAGUCCCCAGCAGAGUCGCCAGAGCUGUCACACCCCUUUUUAACUCCAAAAAGAUUAAAUUUAAGUUUCGAAAGGGUUUUCAUUAUUAAAGUGACAAAAAAUGAAAAUUUUGUUUCGAAAAGGAUUAUUCACAUUUAUACUCAGAGUCGCCACUUGGCACAAAUCAGGUGUGCCAAGUCACCCAUGGAUAUCCUUUUUCAAAAUGGUUUUGACUCUAUAAAACUAAUCCGCAAACAGAGAUUCUGACUAAGAACUUCUGUUGACCGGGGGGAAGGUGUUAAGCACCCUUCGAUCCCGUGGUUCGACCACGGUCGCUUGGUGGUGAAUAUCAGCUAAUUUGACAUUACAAAUGUAUAAACCACACAAAAACACAUAAAACAAUCAAACAAACAAACAAAAUAAAAUGAAUAACAAAUAUAAUGUCCAGUCCAAUUAUACAGUCCUGAAAUAAAUAAAAAUGCAAAAAUAAAUCCUAUCUAACCUAUACUAAUCCUAACUACGCUCCCAGGAUUUAUCCGAUGCCUCGGGCCUUGAUCACAAUUCGCCUUCGCCAACAUGAUACGUCGGGGCAUUCUUCGGUGAAUAAAUACAUCAAUGUUUGGGGCAUUCUCCGGCCAAAUGAAUACAUUUCAAUCCAAAAAAAUAAAUCAACACAUUUCAACAAAACACUUUCAUCAUUUAACGAUUGCAAGUCCUACUUUUGCCUACCCGAACCUACUCUUUACUUAUCCAAUUCGACCGAUCACGAUACUAUCACAUCAACGAUGUUCAAUGAAUCAAAAUAAAUUAACGCUUACAUUUUAUCAAUUUUCGAUUCCCACCCUCCAAAAUUCAAUUCAAGGUUUCCACAUAAUCAUUCACAGUUAUGAUUUUUCAACAAUCCUCGAACACUAUCAAUGAAAUCAAACGACAAAUUGAAAUCAUGAAGUAUUCAUAUCAAAUCAUGCCUCGCAUAAAUAAUCACAUAUAGUGAAAUUAAAAAUGAGAGGUGAUAGAAUUGGACCUUCGAUCAAGCUUUUUUAAAUUGGAAUAAUCCUUUCGACUAAAAUCGCAAACGGAACCUCAACUCAACCUUCAACAAAUGAGAACCCCAAAUCGAUAACGUCCCUAUCGAAUUCCACCCGUACCCUCUCCUAUUUUUCACUAAUCCAAGGCCCGAAGUCACAAACUAACAAAAAACCCACACUGAACAGUAAAGUUGGGUCGGUUUUGGCGGUUUCCCAAUAGUUUUCGUCGGAGUUGGGAGGGGAUAAAAUUGGUGGCAUUCACUGGUGGAGAGGGUGUUUUCCGAUGAGUUUGGAUGCGUUUCCUAGUGAAAAACAGGCACCGGAAUAGUGCUAAACUUUCCCUCUGUUCUUCUUCUAUUUCACUCCAUUUCUUUUCUUUUUCAAUCAAUUUCAGCUCGCCAUUGCCUUUCUCUCUCUCUCUCCGAUCUCACGUGUCUGGUGUUUGUAUACGGUGUGUAUGUGAAAAUUUGAUGGAGUGUGAAAUUUUGUGUGUGCUGUGCCUGUAUAGAUUUUUGUCAGUAGAAAAAUGGAAGAUGAAAUGGAGAAUCUCGUAUGUGCGUGUGUUUUUUGUGUUUUCUGGCGAGAGAGUGUGUGUGUAUAACGUGAAGAAGAGAGCAAUGAAGUCUCUGUGUUCUAUGCGUUUCUCCUUUUUUCAGUCCGCCCCCUUUCCCUGUGAGUGUGUAUAUGUAGCGUAUGAAAAAUCAAGAAUGAAAACUGUGAGGUGAGUGUUGUGUGAUGGUAUGUGGGACCUUCCUUUUUUUUGUUGUAUUUGUCUUUCUGUUAUUAUAACAAAAGAUGGAAAGUAUGAAUUGGGGGUAGUCACGUGGCAGGCGUAGGGAUGGUGAGUUGAGGGUGUUAGGAUAGGAUAAAAUUAGUUAAGGGUUGUUAUUUUUUGUAUUUUUGUAGGAUAUAAUCAUAUGGGUGAGGACACGUAUUAAGACGAGGGUAAAAUGAUAAAAAUGAUUUUUGGGAGGGAUAAAAUUACGUGUCUACAAUUGUUAUGUGACAAAAGGUGAAAAUUUGUUCCAAAAAAAGAAUUAUUUUUACUUUCAAAACUCAGAGUCACCACUUGACAUAAUUCGGUGUGUCUAGUCACCUUUGAAAAAUCCUUUUCAAAAUGAUUUGACUCUUUAAGAAUGGUUUUUGAACAGAGAUUCCGACUAAGAAAUUCUGUUACCGAGGGGAGGGUAUUAGGCACCCCUCGAUCCCGUGGUUUGACCACGGUUGCUUGGUGGAGCAUAUCGGCUAAUUUAACACUACGAAUGAAUAAACCACAUAAAACACAUAAAAAUAAUCAAUCAAACAAACCAAACAUACGAAUCCCAAAAUACAGUGUACAGUCCAAUUAUACAGACCCAAACAUAAAAAAUGCGGAAAUGUAAACCUACUCUAUUCUAAACUAAUCCUAAGCUAAUCAUAAAUCAAACUCCACCCGACGUUCCGGGCCUUGACCGUGCGCCGUCUUCGAGUACAAGAUACUUCGGGGCAUUCCCCGGAUAAAUCGAUACAAAUCCCUCAAGCCAUUCUCCAGCCAAAUGAGUACAAUUUUUUAAUACGAGAAAAUCAAAACAUUCAACCAAAUUUCAAACAUUCAACCAAACAAAAGAUUCUAAAUUUUGCCUACCCCAACCUACGUUUGCCUACCCAGCUCGGCCUAUGAUUCUAUCAUGUUCAACAAUAUUCAUGCUAAUUCUGAAUUAAAUGAAACAACAAUAAACCAAAAUUAAUCUAAAUUCACCUUUUUUUUUUAUCAAUUUCUCAAUUCCACCCCCAAAUUCCUUUUCAAUACAAACCCACAUUCAUAUUAUCAUCACCUACAAUUGAUAUCAAUUAUUAAAAAGAAAACAAUAUCCAAUCAUCACCCAAAUCAUCCAAACAAAUAGGACAAAGGCAUUGAAUCACAUCCACAAUCACAUCAAAAUUAAAAUAAAGAGAGAUAUGAAAAAAUUGGACCUCAAAUGAAGCUUUCAAACUCAAUAUUAUUUGAAUAAAGAGAGUCUGCAUCCGAAAACCUCCAAUGAACCUCGAUGACGAAUUCAGUCCAACUUCGAUAUAUUUAACUCCAACAAAAUCACAAAUAAAAUAGAGAAGGCACGAACCCAUUUCCUUAUGCAUGAUUUUGUCUCAUCGUUCUCCAACAGGUUUUAAUGGAAAAAGGGAAGGAAUAGGCUGUUUGGGUCAAAAAAUAAGGACGGGGGAAGUCAGUUUGUUGUUGUGACUUCGCCGAAGCUCCGGCGAGCUUUGGCAGUGACGAAAAUCGGAGAGUGGGUCGCGUUUUUUGUUGUUUCAACAUUUUCCAGCGAGAAAUUUGCCAAAAACAGUCAAACCCAAUGCCUUUUUCUCUCUGUUCUUUUUGAUAUUUUCGAUCAGCCUCCCUCUCUUUAUUCUCAGUUACGAUCUCUCUCUCUCUGAUCGAUUUUAGCUCUCCCUCUCUCUUCGAUCUCACAAUUUCUCCCUCGCUCGAAUCUCUUGUUCUUUAUCUCCCUCGUCUCUCAUUUUCUCCACCCCGUGCGUAUAAGUGUGUUACUGUGUUUAUGGUAAGGAUCAGUAAUGGGAAUAAGUGGUGUGUGAAAUAAAAUGGAAGGGGAUCUUUUGUGCUUCCUCUUCGUAAAUGGCAAUGGUGAUGGGUAUAUGUGAUAGUGAAUUAUGGAGAAGAUGGAUGUUGAUGGUGUGGAUCCUCCAGGGUAAAAGAAAAUAUGGCAUGAGGUAUCUGUUCUUUUUUAAGUGGAGAGGUUGUUGGGAUGUUUAAAAGAAGAUAAAAUUUGUUAGAAUUUGUUAAAUGGGAUAAAGAUAAAAAUAAAUAAAUAAAUAAAAUGAUGAGGUGGUUAUUUAUUUUGUUUUUCUUGUGAAAAAAUUACCACGCAGAUAGGAUACGUGGUAAGACGGGAUGAACGGUAAAAAAUGCUUUCGGAAAGGGACAAAAUUACGUGUCUACAUGUCCUACUAGUCUCAGCCAUAUGCAUUCUCUACUUGCUUCAUGGAUUGCUAUUAUCUUCGUAUGAUUAUAAGAAGUAGCAACGAUGGACCGCUUUGUCGAUCGCCAUGAUAUUGCAGUACCUCCAUAUGUAAAUACAUAGCCUGUUUGGGACUGUGCUUUAUGUGGGUCAGAUAAAUAACCUGCAUCCGCAUAACCAACAAGAACUGGACUAGCUUUGUUAGUAUAAAAUAGACCCAUAUCAACAGUCCCUUCUAGGUACCUCAAUAUAAGUUUUACUCAGUUCNNNNNNNNNNGUGUAGGGGAGGAACUAUACCUAGCUAGCAAAUUAACAGAAAAUGCUAUAUCCGACCUUGUAGCAUUAGCAAGGUACAUUAGUGCACGAAUAGCACUGAGAUAUGGUACUUCAGGACUAAGAAUCUCUUCACCCUCUUCUACAGGUCGGAAUGGGUCUUUACUUACAUCAAGUAAUUGAACAACUAUUGAAGUACUUAAUGGAUAUGCUUUGUCCAUGUAAAAACGUUUCCAAACCUUCUGGGUAUAUGUAGUUUAGUGGAUGAAGAUUCCGUCUGUUAAAUGUUCAAUUUGCAGACCAAGACAAAGUUUUGUCUUUCCAAGAUCUUUCAUUUUGAAUUCUUUCUUUAGAUACUCGAUUGCCUUUUAGACCUCUUCCGAAGUCCCCUAGGCAGAAAUAUAGUAGCUCUUCCGGAGCCUUCGAUCAAUUUUUAUUUUCCAGCAAUUAUUGUAACAUUUGCUCUUCUUCUAAGUAAAUGGGAAAAGUAUUUCUCAUCUUUAAAUAUUGCAUGUGUGGUCCCACUAUCAAUUACACAAAUAUCGUCAUGAUCGAUUAUUGAUCCAAAUAAGACUUGAGGAGUAUUCAUAUUUUCUUCAAAAUAAAAAUUUGAAUAAAAUAAAUAUUAUAAUAUAACUAGCACAUAAUAUCAUGCAUUUACACAUUAUUUUAUUUUAUAUCCAUACUUUAAUUGCAGCUGCGUUCUAAACAAUCAACAUCUCGAUUACAUAAUAGUUUUGCUAUUAUUAACCAUGCGCAUCUAAAGUACACAUAUUUAAUAUUGUAUGUAAUAACAUGAUCUAUUCCCUACUCAUUUUAAUUUCAUAAUAUGUCUUCUAUGAAUAUUCAUUACUGCAAUAAAUAAUUCUAGUCAUAACGUUAGCUACAAAAUUAUGUAUCUAAAUUUAAAACUCCAUUAAUUUAAUUAUUACUAUAUUAUCAUGUAGAUACCUAAUAUUAAAUUUUAAAAAAUGCUUUGUUACACUAUAAAUGCACAUUUAAUUAUUACAAAUAAAAAUUUAUUUACAUACCAGAUUAGAAAAAUAUUAAUAAUAGAAAUAUAAGCUAAUUUAACUUCAACAAAAAAUUAACAUAAUCGAAUUAUAUCAUUAUUAUCACCUACAGGGUGAUCUACUUAUUCUUCAGGAACAGCAAAGAAAUCUGACAUUUUCAAGUCCAUAGGCUCAACAUUAUCUUCUAGGAGGAAGUUUGUUUCAACAUCAUUUUCUGGCUUUUUCAGGGACGUCUGAUAUAGUUUUACUAGAUGCUUAGGCGUAUGACAGGUACGCUCCCAGUGCCCCUUUCCUCCAUAUCGAUAACAUCUAUUUUCAGGGUUCGUCCUUGGUGCUACUUCAGGAGCUUUACCCCUUUUUUUGCACAGCUGGUGCUGAGGGUUAUUGUUUAUUGCAAGACGAUUAUCCUAAUUGAAAUAACUGUCACGACCACGACCACGACCUUGACCUCGACCACGACUGGGGUCAGGUUUCUUUCACGCCAAGUUGGGUGAAAAUUUGUAGCAUUCACUUCUGAAAAUGGAGCAGUACCAGGAGGCCAAGUUUUAUUAUUUUUUAUUAAAAGAUCAUUAUGUUGUUCAGCAACAAGAAGAUGACCAAUUAAUUCAGAAUAUUUUUUGAAAUCCAUUUCUCGGUACUGCUGCUGCAAGACCAUACUCGAGGAGUGAAAAGUAGAAAGUAUUUUCUCUAUCAUGUCGUGAUCCGUCAUACUUUCCCCACAUAAAUCAAACUUCAAUUUAAUUCUAAAUAUCGCAGAAUUAUAUUCAGUUACAUUUUUAAAGUCCUGGAACCUUAAAUAGGUCCAUUCAUUACGAGCUUGUGGGAGUAUGACCAUCUUCAGAUGGUCAUAUCUUUCCUUUAAAUUGUUCCACAAUGUAAGGGGAUCUUUGAUCGUGAGGUACUCCAUUUUUAACCCUUCGUCAAGAUUAUGACGAAGAAACAUCAUGGCCUUGUCCUUAUUUUGAUCUGAUGUCUUAUUAUCAUUUUUAAUGGUAUCUAUCAAACCCAUUGCAUUUAAAUGUAUUUCUGCGUCUAGUGUCCAAGACAUAUAAGUUUUGCCAGAUAUGUCUAGGACACUAAAAUCGCGUCUGAAAAUAUUAGUCAUUAUUUAAGAAAAUAAAAUACUAACCUUUAAAUACCUUCGAAAUGGUUUUGCAGAGGCUCGUGCUGAUAAUGUGAUAUAAAUUAAGUAUAUGUAACCAAACUAAUUCACCAAAUAAACAAAGAAAGUUGUUGUAGUAGAUAUCUUUUUAAUACUCUUUCUCAUUACAGAGAGGGCUAUUUAUAGCCAAAAUGAAGAGGACAAUUAUAUUUCUAUUACAUAGAAGAGGUGGUUUCGACCACCUCUUAUCCAAUUACCAAAAUAUCCCUUUACUCCCACUUAAUUACAUACCUAUAUCCCAAUAUAUAAUAAUUUUAUUGUUUCAACAUAAUGAUUUAAAUAUUUAAUAUAUUCUAUUAAUUUAUAUUAAUUAACUAUAAUUACAUAUUGAAAGUAAUUUUUUUUUAAUUGGCUAUCAUGUUCAAAACUAAUUUGUUACCACAAAUCACAAUAAUUAAUAACUUAAAAUAUUUAAAAGACAUAUAGAAAUUUUAUUGACUCUCAUUAUUUUAGCAUUGCCGCAUAAAUUGAGACAAAAGAAAAAGUAUUGCAAAUCAUAAUAGUUAACAACUUAAAAUAUUUAAAAAAUAUAUAAAAAUUUUAGUUGACUCUCAAAAUUGUAUCGAAGACACAUAAAUUGGGAUACAAGGAGUAAAUAUAUUAGUCGAUAAUUACGUAAAAAUUAUUAUAAAUCACAAUAAUUAACAAGUUAAAAUACUUUUUUAAAAAUAGAUAAAAGUUCUAUUCAACUCUCAAAAUUUUAUCAGUGCAGCAUAAAUCAUGACAAAAUAAAAAAUUAUCUUAAUUAAUUGCAACUAAAUAUUUAAAGUAAAUCAAUUUAUAAUUUUAAUUGACUUUUAUAUAGAAAAUUAAUCUUUUCAUUUAUUUAUUUAUUUUCUAAGCUCAAUUUGAUAAUUUUUUUAGCAUUAUUUUUUGAACCUCAUCAAAAAUUUUAAUGAAAGCCCAUUCUUUUCUCUUUAAUUACCAACAAUGCCAUCUAAGAAAUUUACCAUAAUGCCAUCACACAUGGCCUUGCAUAUUUCUAUAUUAUAUUCACGCAUAUGGGCCCUCUAUCUUCCAUUUAUUUUUCAUUCUUAGUAUUUAUCUUUUUAUGUGUAAAAUUGUUUCAAAUAUAUUAUAUUUAAGUAAAUUAAUUAGUAAGAUGGUAAUUUAUUAUAAAAAUUAAUUAUAAUUGAUACAAUUAAAUAAAUUUUGUUCUUUAUUUAAUUUCAUAUCAAACAUAUAAUUUACUUUCAUUCUUAUUUGUUACUACAAUUUCACCUAAUUUAAUUUUUUUUAAAAUAAAUUUCUAACGAAUAUUUCCUUAGAAUUUGUGCUGGGUCAAUAUGUAUCAAGUUAAAAAGAAAUAAAGAAAAAUAUAUAGUAAAAUUUUAUUACUGUGAAAGAUAAAUAUAAUGUACUAUCCAAUAAUUUUUAAUAAUAUCAUACUUUGCAUAUGCAAAUAUAGCAUCCUGUAUUUAAUUAAUAUACUAUUUCGGUGAAUUAUCUAUGAUUACUAUUGGAUAUGAUAAAAUUAUAUUAAUUUUUAUAGUAAUAACAUAAUCAAUCUCUCUUAAUUAAUUAUUAUCAGUCAUCUAGGUAUUAAGAAAAUAAAUAAUAUUUAAUGAAAAAUAAAAUAAACAGAAAAUGCAAAAUUAACUCUUGAUGUUUUAAAUUAAAAUUUCAUCUUUCGAAUGAUGAUUUUACUAUAUCAUUCCUUAUUAUAAGUCAUUUAUGUAUUAUAAAAAUAAGAAUAACAAAAUGAUAUGUCAACAUAAAAUAUUUGAUUAACUAUCAAAAUUAUAUUGGUGCCACAUAAAUUGGGACGGGCCAUAAGAAGAUAUAAAACAACAUAUAUUAUUUGAAAAUGAAAUAAAAAGUACUGUAAAUAACAAUAAUUAACAAUUUUUUUUUUUAAAAAUUGAUUGAUUUCUGCUUCAGCUGCUUCAAACGUGAUUUUAAUGUACAGUGAUGUUUAAAGAGGGUAAAAUGACAUAAUGAGAUUUAAAGAGGAUAAAAUGUAUGCAGUAAAGUGUGAGAAGAAUAAAGCAUAAGUAAAUUUUAUUACUAUAUUUUAAAGAAAUUAAAGAAAAGAAGUAUAAAAAAAAAAAACUUCGCACUUUCUUAACAUUAGCAAAUUUUCUAUCAAAUAUGUGUAGCCAUCUUUCUCAACUUUUUACAGCUCCUCAAUAUUAAUUAACAUUUCUCUGUUUUAAAAAUAAAAUAAAGAAAAGAAAAUCUCAACUCUUCCUUCUCUAUUAAAAAACAACACUCUUUUUCUGUGUUAAAAUUAAUAAUUAAACAAAACAAUAGCGAAUCUAAGGUGUGUAUUCUCUUUAUCGGGUAAGUUUACAUGAUUCUUAAUCUUUGCGAUAUUGAAAAUCAAUAAUCUGCUGGAUAUUUGAUUUAAACUAUUUCAUCAGAUUUGCGCCUUUUUUUUCUUUAUAUUUCUGAUCGCAAAAUUCAACAAGAAGGUUAAAAAAAGGUUUCAAUUGUGAUCCCCUCAGCUCAAUCAUACUAAUGAAAAUAUUCUACUGCUCAAACUUUCUACUCCAAGAUAAAUCCUACAACUUAAAAUUUGCAAUCCACAUGUUCUACUGUUGGGUCCGUGAUGAGACGGGCCUUGCACUUCUAGUAUUAAAAUAAAAGGAAGUGAGAGAUGACUCACUCCAUUAAAAUAGUGGAUACAUGGAUAUCUAGUCAUAUUCCGUAACAAAUGACUGAUUCUUAUUGACUUUUUAUUUUUUAUUUUUUAUUUUUUGGGAACUCUAAAGAAACUCACAAUCUCUGUAUCACGGCCACUAUCCUUCGGAUGAGUAUUCUGUGAGAGAUCCUUUGUGGUAAUCUGCUCAUUGUGCAAUAGCUCACAAAUCACAUACAAAUGUAAACUGCACUAGGCAAGUUUCAUUCGACGAGCUCAUGGUUGAGCGACAGAUGGGGGCUGGAUUCGGAGCCAGAUUUUCCUCACGAGAGACCCACCUCCUAGCUCAACUAUGCUCUUAUAGGUCGAUACUGUUGUUUGUCGGAUUUAGUAAAAUUUGUAUUUUAUAACAAUAACUUCAAACACAUGUUCAAGAACAAAUAAAUUAAUUUUUCAAUCCAAUAUUUGAAUUGACUUCGAGUGAUAUUGGAAUAAGCAAUAAUGAAAACAUGAUUAGUUUUUUAUGUUAAUUGAGUAAUUUAACAAAUUAUUACUUAAUUUGUUAAAUUAGAAAAAAAAAGUUAUUACCAUGUAUAAAUAGAGAAUUGUUAUAAAUGUAUUUAUGUGAAUGUUUAUCAAGAAUAUAGAUAAGAUCUAUCAAGAUCUAGUUAAUAGCUAUUAGGAUAUGAAAUAUCUAUCUUACUAGGAGUAUAGAGGAGUUUUGUUAAUAGAAUCCUUAAUCUGAUAAUCUUUCAUCCCUCAAAAGAGAAAUAAAGAAGCCUCCUCUCUUAUCUCUUUAUUUAUUCUUGUUGUUCUUACUUUAUAUUUUAUAACACAUUAUCAGCACGAAUCUCUACCAUUACAAAAUAAAAUUGAGGUAAAUGGCUCAGCAUGAGUCUCUGGCAUUAAAAAGAAAUUGAGGUAAAUGGCUAGUAAUAUUCUUACAAGCAGCAGGAACGUGCAUAGGUAAGUGACAUUAAAUUUUGGGUCGUUGAUUUCAAACAAAAGGAUGUCAAAAUUAAAAGGCUAUAUCAUUAUUUUACUUUUAUAUUAAUAUAUAUUUUAAGAGAGCCAUUACUAACAAAUGGAUUUAAUUCAGUUAGCAUGUGCUUUACUAUAUUAUUUUUUUAAUACAUGAAUGUUUCAAUGAUAUAUGACUAAUGAUAUGGAAUGUUAGAAUACAAGUAUAGCACUUAAAUAUAAACAGUCAAUCCUUUGUCUCUAUUUAAUUCUCAAGUUUCUAGUAAACUUUGAAAGCUUUAUUCAUAUUUACUAGGUAUGAUUUUCUUUUGUUAUUUAUUUAUAUAUUUGUUUUGAUCAUUAAAAGUGUCUAAAAGUAAUUGUACUUCGUAAGAUCAAGUAGUACUUAUUUUGAAGUAUGAAAUACUAUAAAAGAUAUGGGGUUGAAUCCCAUGAAAGUUUUGGCCUAUUGUAUCAUUGAAUGUGUAAGACGGUAGAUUUAAGUUCUAUCGCAUCAAAAGGGUAAGUUAUUGGGUUAGAGUCCUGAUGCACCAUGAUGAUAAGAUGUUGGGUUUAAGUCCCAUUAAUUUAUGUCAAAGACGUCUUUAUAUGGAUAAGACAACGUUGAAUUUGUAUGCACCAUAUUGAUGAUAUUAAUAUGGCUAAGGCAAAAUAAUGUGUAUUUGGUGAAAAGUAUGUAAUAUGCUCCAUUUUAUGAAGUGAAUGUUGUAGCAAUAUAUGAUAAGUCUGAAAGAUGACAAUUUGCUCCAUUCUUGAAGUGAAUGUGGUAGCAAUAUAUAAUACUCAUUGAAAGAUAUGUAUGCCUCGAUGUGCUCUUGAAGUGACAAUAUCAUGAAAGUGGAUAUAAGUAGUGGCGGACCUAGGAUUUAAGGAGUGUGGGUGCUUAGUAAAAAAAAAAUUACCUCAACCAAGUCUGAACCCGAGCACACCUAUCAGUGGGGAGGCUUAAGAUCAACCUAAAUGCUAGUGCACCUAACCAACUUCUUGUUUAGGGGGUUCUAUAUAAUUUAUACCUAUUUUCAUAUAUUUUUUUAUUGAAUUAUACCUAUUGUGUGUCGAGUUUAAUGGGUGCCGGAGCACCCUAAUAAUAUGUGUAGGUCCGCCCCUGGAUAUAAGCUAUCAAAAUUUGAUAGAUUUAAGACACGAUUAUAUUCUAUUCCUGGGGAAUGAGGAUUUCGAUUGUUUCAAUACAAACGUACACUUGAUUGUGAUGAUAUCAUAACUCACCUUCGAAUGAGGCAGAAUAACUGAGAAGAAUUAUUUUGAAAUCUACUUCUGAAGUAGUAAAUCUGAAAUUUACUAAAGUAAAAUGCACAUGUCAUGGUAAACGUGGAGUUUAUAAAUUGACAUGAAUGAUUUCGACAUCCCAAAGAUGUGCAUAGUGAGUAUUAAACAUAUAUUGAAGAACUAAAAAAUUCUUCAUGAAUUUUUAAUGUUGCUUGUUCUAAUGGUAAGUUGGUUGGACAAACUAAUAUUGAAAUUUGAUCCCUCAAAAUCUGAAAAGUUAAAAGGUGAAUAUGGGCCCAUUCAUCUUAUUAUGUGAUUUAUUAAGAUGCAUCGAUAUAAGAUGAUCACUUGUACGUUUAUUGUCAACCUGCAGUUUGACAUUUAUAAAGUUGUUGCUCAAUAAAAUUGAGUUAAGAGCAUAACUUUCAUAUUGUGUAAUUAAGAUAAUUCAUCUUGAUGAUGGUUUGGCAUUGAAUGUCUUUGAUAAAUAGCUAAACCAUUGCUAAUGAGAACAAAGCUUCAUGUGUUGGUUUGAAAGAUGACUAUAUACAAAAGUAUUUGCGUACAUAAAAUCAAUUAAUUAUAAUUAAUUCCCCUAUAAAAUUGGUUCUGAGUCAUAAACCACACAUUGUCCAUCUAAUAAUUUUGAUGUGCGGUAUUAUACGAUUAAUGAAUAUACCAUAACGCAUAAAGAUGGAUUCCUUAAAGAAAGAUGUAUGUUGGUUUUCUUAACAUAAGGGGGAGAUUAUAAGUAGCUAAGAAAUAUGUUAGGAAUUAUGACCAGAUUCUCAUUCAAAAGAUAAUUCAAGUUAAAUGCCGAAAACAUUCUCAUAACAUCUCAUAUUUAAGCUGCAAGUGCUCCUAUUUUAUGUCCCUAAAGGAUAAAAAUUAUGUAUGCGUGAAACGUGGUAGACCAAUCGAUUCCAAAUAAAAUAAUCCUUGAAAAGGAUAAGGAAUAAAUGAUCAUAACAAGAAGGCAAUGUGCUCUUGAAUAGCCUACGACAUAACACUUCAUAAAAUCUUAUAAGAGGUUCAGGUACCUGAAAAUAAUGAAGUGAUGAGAUCUCAAAAUAUUAUGUCAUAUUGUGAAUCGAUAUGAAAUGAUAUAUCGUCAAUAUAUUUAAUACAAUAUUUUCGUAAUAUUGUAAGAGAUUACGAGGAUCUAAAUUCUACGUUUAUUUAAGCAUACUGACGUAGAACAUUUAUCAAGUGACAUGAAAGAAUGCAUCUUGGUAAACGUAAAAUUUAUUUGAUUUGCAGUUCAGACACUUGAAGAUGUUGCACAUGAUAUGCUGAAUACUAUCACUUGAUAAAAUUUAUAUGAAAAUUUUUAAAGAUUCAAAAUAUUUGAAACAACUAGCAAUUUCUGAAAAAGUUAUUUAUAAUCCUUAUAUUGUAUAAACUUAUACCUUGAAAAUUAUUGAAACUCUUGGAGAGUUUUCAAAAGCAAUAGAUUAUUUGUUGAAAUGAGAAAUAUAUCGAAUUGUAUUGAUUGGUUAUGAAGUACCAUAUCUUAGAGCAAGUGGUGCACUAGUGUAUCUUACAAAUUCUACAAGGCCUGAUAUAGGCUUCUCAAUUAAUUUAUUAGCAAGGUAUAUUUUUGCUCCUACUAGGAGACAUCAAAAUAGGAUAAAAGACAUGAGCUUAUUCUAUUCUAAAGAUUAAAGUCUCGGUCUUGUUGAUUAUGUUGAUGUGUUCACAUGUAGAGAUACUGCUAUAUCUUGGAGAUAUCCGAAACAGUCUAACAAGCCACUUCAUAGAACUAUGUUGAGAUAAUUGCUAUUCAUGAAGUAAGACGAGAGAAUAUGUAUGAUUGAGGUUCAUGAUACAUCUCAUUCGAGAAAAAUAUGGUUUAAAAUGUGACAUGUACUCAUUAUUUUAUAUGAAGAUAAUGUAGCAUACAUAGCACAACUUAAAAGAGGAUUCAUAAAAGGGAGAUAGAACGGAACACAUUUCGCCAAAACUUUUCUAUACACAUGAGUUACAAAAGAAUUGUGAUAUUAAUGUGCACCAGAUUCGUUCAAGUGAUAAUGCGGUUGAUUUAUUCACCAAGUCUCUUUCGACUAUAAUUUUCAAGAAGAUGGUGCACAAGAUCGGAUGCAAAAAUUCAUUGAUGUUCUCAUCAGAGGAAGCAAAUACGCGUUAUAUUCUAUUUUCUCUUUCAAGGUUUUGUCCUAUUGGGUUUCCUUGUAAGGUUCUGGGUUAACCUUGUAAGGUUUUUAAUGAUUCAACCAAAAUGUGUGAUGUGUACUCUUUUUUGUUCACUAAAAGUGUUAUAAAUGUAGUUACAUUAUAGUGAAUGUCUAUGUAACGAUCCGGGACUACCCCUAGUCGCUACACGGUGCUUACGACCCUGAAGGAUCACAAGUUAACCCAUGAAUGAUAUCUGUUGUGAGAACUGAAUAAUAAUACUUCAAUUAAUGCAGAAAAUGGGCUAAAAUACCAUAAGGUUCAAAACAUUUAAAAUACUGAUAAUGAAUAAUAACAUCUAAAGCUGAAAUACUGUUUGAAAAGCCUUUAACUAAAAUUAUCUGAAAGUGGAGUUGAUGGGAUAAGCCCCCAACUAACUCUGACUAUUGAGCUACUACUAAAUUUAAAUACUGAAUUAAGAAGCAUAUCCUCAAUAGAUAAGGACUCACUGCUAAAUCUGCUACUGUUGACUGAAUCUGGCUAAGCGCUGUCAGGAACAUGAGCAUCCGAACCUAUGAUAUAAAACAUCAUAGCACAAGAAACGAGUAUGCGAUCAGUACGUGGGAAUGUACUGGUAUGCUAAAUGAGGUAAGGCUGAAUGCAAGGGUUCAUAUGCAUAAACAAUAACUGACUAAAUGAUAUAGAGUAACUGAAUAUAAUAGUACGUGUAUACUAUAACUGAGCUUUUCCGAAACUAAGUACUGAGUUCUAAUAACUGUAUAAUUGAUAUAUGAAGUUACUGAUAACUGAUUUACUGAUACUUAUUGACUGUAGCUGAUAGUCCUGAUACUGUAGAACUGAACUGAUUUCUAGACUGAAGACUAAAACUGUGGGAGGUAAUCAUCUAACUGACAUGCCCCAAUAAGAUAAAAUACUGAGUUGGGGUCCAAUCUGUAACCCUAAUUAGAAGGGUGUCGGUACCGUGCCACGGAUAAAAACAACUGUUGUGGAGUCGGUCCUAACUAAUGGGUGACCCCUAAGAUCAGUCCUAAACUAACGGGUGAUCCCUGAGCAUGUCAGUCCUAUCUAAUGGGUGACAUCUCAUAACCUACGCUGGCUAUGUAGUUCUAGAACUUAUGGAUUGAUUCUAGGGACCCAGUCCUAACUGAAGGAUGAGACCCCAUCCCUAGGCUCACUCGGUGCUGAAUCCUACUCCCAACUGAAUAGACAUUGAAUUGAUUAUACUGAACUGGACUUGGACUGAUACAGAGUUUACUGAGUUUUCCUGAGUUCUACUGAUCAUGACAUGACUGAUACUAUUCCGUAACUGACACAGGCUCUAGAUAAACAACUAGAUUAUCGGAUAUUAAAUACCCCCAGGACUCGAUAGCAGGAAAGUAAAGUAUAGCAAUGAUCUUGAAUAACUUACAUUGUUCACUUGUACAUAUACUAGCAUGUCAUGAUUGCAUCAUUUAAUUCAUAUGGACAUUCUACCAAACACUUGGGGUGCACAACUUAAUGCACAUAUUCACGGAUAACAUAUAAACAUGGUAACUACAAUGCCCAACUUGCAAUUUCAUGGGUUUAACAUGCUAUUCAUAUAAUUUUGCUUAAGUACUAUUCUAGUUUCAUGAAUCUUAUCAUAAUCAUAGAUUUAAAACUAAAUUAACAUCAUCGAUACAUUAAUCACUUUGUAAACUCAAGGGUUUAUCAAGAUAAUCACAUAUUUAUCACACAUGCUAUUCAAUUUCAUGAAACUUGCACCUAAAUCAUGGAUUAAAACCCAACUAAUAUCAUGAACCUGAAUUCAAUCUAAUUCAAACAUGAAAAUCAUAAAUCUUGUAUUUUGAAAAAAAGAUUUUUGGGCUCCAUGGAAGGUAAGGAUCCAUGGAUGAACAUCAAACAUACCUUAAUUUAAUGAGUUCUUGGAGUUCUUGGAGAAAUUCUUGGGACUGACCUUGAUUCUUGAGAGCUAGGGUUUGUUUUCUUGAGAGAAAAAUACCUUUUGAUCUUGGAGAAAAGUGAAUAAUGAAGGGUUUUACACGUUUUUAGGGCUUAAAUCCUACAUUUGGGCGGAAUAAAAUCAUGGGAAAAGAUCGUUUUAACCUUAGGCGCAACUUUAAUUUUUUGUGAAAUUUUUCCGAUCUGGACCCCUAGCGCGAUGCGCCACUAUCGUGCCAGGCCACUGAAAAAUGACGACUGAAAAAUUGCAUGGUGGCGCGAUGCGGUACAAUCGCGUUGCCACCUUAGACGCAACCUGAAAGUUCAUCGCGAUGCGGUGGUAUCGCGUUGGAACACUGAAAAAGGACAAUUCUGAAAUUAAGCCUUGGUGCGACGCGCCAAUAUUGCGGAGGCUCACUGAUUUUUGACAAUUGCCAUUUUAGCUGGCUCCGCGAUGCACUGAUGGUUCAGGUGGUAUACUGUCAUACUAAAAUGACUCUAACUCUUUGCCCAGGUGUCGGAUUUGGGCGAAUUUGGUAUCAAUCUUAUUCAAUUUCCCACUCAAUGAAAAGACAAAAUCUUGAAAAUUUCACAUGUAUAAAAGUGUAUUCAUCUUUAAAACAAGUCUUUGACAUUUUUGGGACAAAUUUAAGCUAGGUCAAAGUACGGGGUGUUACAGUCUAUCAAGAAUAUAGAUAAGAUUUAUCAAGAUCUAUUUGAUAUCUACUAGUAUAUGAAAUAUCUAUCUUUUAGAGUGAAACUAGGAGUAUUUUCUCUGGAUUUUUGUUCAUUGUAUCCUCAAUUUGAUGAUCUCUCAUCCGUAGAGAAAUAAAGAAGUCUCCUCUCUUAUCUGUCUAUUUAUUUUUGUUGUUCUUACUCUGUAUUUCAUAACAAGAACCUUAUUAUUGUUAUUUUUGUUUUUUUGUGUGCGUAGAUGAAGGGAAUGAAAGUUGAUUCAUUCUUAUGAAAAAAGAUCAAUAUUAUUGGAAAUUUUCAACUCUUCACGAGACAUGCCACAUUUUGUCACUCCAACAAAAUGUAUAUACAUUACUCGUAGCAAACAAUUACAUAGCAUAUAAGACAUAUUAACCCAAGCAAAUUUUGUUAAUUUGGCAAAGAUUUAUGAAAAUAACAACAUUAAAAAAAAUUUAUGAAAGUGUCUAGUCAAGACAUAGGUUGUGAACAAGUGAAGCAAAUUUGACAAAAAACUCCACCUGGAAGAUACGUGACAAUCUGGUCCCUCUGGUUUGAAAAUGACAAAUAGGACCUAAAAUGACUUUUUAAAGUUGUUAAAAAAUAAUUUUUAAAAUUUUAAAUUAUGUUUGAAUAUGUAUUUUAUUUGUAAAAUUUUAAUAUUAUUCGAGUGGAGGUGAAAUUUCAAAUAAAAACUGCUCUAGGUCAGUUUUUAAAACUUAAAAAUAAAUUUUAAAAAGUUGAUCAAAUUAAACAAACAGUGUUUUCAAUGUUCUUUUUUUUUUUUUUUUUGAAAAAAAAUCAACUUCUAAAAUCUAUGAUUCAAUGUUAGCUAGAUCACAUCCAAAAUAAUAGGAAUAAUUAUUUAAAUUAUGAUCAAAUACUAUAAUUUUCAUUAAAACAAAAUAAUUUUUUUUAAAAAAAUAAAAAAUUCUCUUGAUCAAAUACCUAUUAAAUAUUUUUAUCCAAACAAGUGUCACGUAACUCUUGGGUAGGUGAGGUGGUGGGAAUGGAGGCUGUCGGCGUAGGCCUAUGGGGUAAAGAUGAAGUAUGUUUGAACGACAUGAAGAAAGAGAAUACUUGUGGGAUUUAGUUUUCUUUUGUUUUUUUUUUAUAAAAAAUAUAUUAUUUUCAUAUGGAGAGUGUUGAAUUGGGUUUGGUUCAGACCAAAAAAGUUAGAGAAACUGUUGAGGAAACAAGGUCUAAAAGGAAAUUCAUACAGAAUAUUGUAUGGGGACAUGGAAGAUUCUUCUAUGAUGAUUAAGGAAGCUUACUCAAAGCCUAUGAAUCUGUUUGAUGAUGAUAUAGCCCCAAGGAUAUUGCCUUUUAUUCUUGAAACCAUCAAGAAAUAUGGUAUGUAUUUGCUUAUCACUUUAUAUUUUGUUGUAGUUGUUAGAAUAUGUUGGAUUAUAGGUCAUGAGUCGUUCAUGUGGAUCGACCCGAUCCGACCCGAAAAUCUUUCUUUUUAUCUGAAGAAAGAAGAUAAGAUUAAUUUUGAAUAUUUGGGGGGAACAGUUACAAAUAGAAACUGUCAACAUCUCUUUAUAUGUUCCAAGAUCUACUUUUUCCAGAGAUAUAGAAAAGAGGGACGAAAAUCAAAACACAAAAAUAAGAAUAGUGUUGUGACCAUUUUACUGACAUUAACAUAACAUUUUGUGAAAUCACACUUUGAUUCCAAGAGAUUCAAAGUGACUUGGGGCAGAUCCUUUUUCGAAAGCAAAAUCAAGAUCCGCUGCAAAUUCUAAGGUACACAAUCUGUUGUUUUUUUCUCUGAAAUUAUUAACAAUGAUAUCGGAGCCAGGUUCAUUACCCUAAGUUUGUAUGUAAUAUCUCGAUUUUAAAUUGUAGAGAUAGAAAACGCGUCAAAUUUUUGUAGGAUCUGGUUCUAUGUUAUAGUGCAAUUUUUUUGGAAAAGAUGACAGAAGAAAGUAAUAAAGUUUUAGUAUUUUUUUUUAAGGGAAUGAUGAGAGAGAAUGAAUGAUAAUGCUCACCUUUUGAAUAUAUAAUAAGGAUGAUAAAGUAUUUUGUUACUGUAUCCUUCAAAUGGAAAAAGUGCUUGAGCACUAUCUUGAAAUCCUGCUUUAUCAUUUUCUUUAUUCUUUUGUUGUUUCUUCAUAAAUAUAAUAAAAGAAUUUUCCUCUUUUUUUAUUCCAGUAUAAUUAAUGCUUAUAGAGGUAAGCUUAAUAUUAAUCUUGCCCUUAAUUAGUCCAUAACAAUUUAACAGAUUUAAUCUUUUACGAUGAAUUGUGACAUAAGCGUCACAUUGAGUGGUAAAUCCAUUCUUAAUUGUUUCUUGGUUCCUAUUUCAGAAAUGACUGAAUGGGAACAAACUCAAAUCACUCCAAGUGGGAGUUCUGAAUAUCGAGCAAAGAGACAAGGUAGAAGAGCACGUCGUCAAAGGGCAUAUUUUUGAGGUCGAGAGAUCAUAUAAAAUGGUGUCCCCAGUAUGACUCAAAGUCUGUUACGGAAUGAAAGGGCUAUACGAAGGGAAAGGGAAAAGAAGUUGAAAGAAUUCAAGUCUUUUAAGAUGUCACCUAAUAUUACAGUUGCUAGUUUUAUUCAUAUGUUUGAAUUGAAACGUAUAGAACUAGAAAAUUAUGUAGAAAUCUCGGAUUGGGAAGCAUUAGCUAUUUUAGCAAAUUCUCUAGGUGACCCUUGGGGUGAGAUAUUAAUUGAUGUUUACCACGAGAUUUGGCCUAGCGAGCCUUUUUGGAUGAACAUAAGUCGUCUAAAAUAUUUGUGGAAUGACUUUCAUUUCUAGAUUGACUUGUAACAUGAAGUUAUAAUAAACUUUAUAUUAUAUAUAUAUUAAGUUGUUUAUCUCCUUUUAUAUGAAUUUCAUUCAUUUGUUUGAGUUUUAAAUGACUUAAUUGUAAACUAUCAUUAUAAUGCACAUUAAGAAAUUAAUUUCUAAUUUUGGUUAAGUGUUUAGUUAGUAUAUGAUGAUUGGAUUCUAAAGUAUCUUUUCGAUUAUACACUAAAUAUGAAACCUUUAUGUGAAAUGAUUUGCUUGAAUGUGUAACUUACAUACAUAAUUGAUAAUAUACUUGUGUAAUUAUCUCUUAAUAAUAGACAUGACAUCUAAAAGCAUAAUUGCUCACUUGAACAAAGGAGAAAAACUUAAUGGAGACAACUACGACAUUUGGAGUCGUAAGAUGUGGUAUGUACUAGAAGAACAAAAUGAUCUCGAAGGUAUUAACCAUGUCUUAAGUCUACCAGAAGAGGGCAAUACUGCACAACACAGGAGAGACCUUGAAGCUUAUAAGUCUUGGAAAAAGGCUGAUUCCAUUGCACAUGUAAUCAUAGUAAGUUCUAUGGUUGAUGACCUCAUACAUGAGUGUGAGGAAUUUCCUACUGCCAAUUCCAUUUGGGCACACUUGCGAGGAACAUAUGGGGGUACUUCUAUUACCCGCCUGAGACAACUGACUAUCAAAUUUGAUACUUACAAGAAGCGUCAUGAUCAGAAUAUCAAACAAUACCUUAGGGUGAUGUCUAAUAUGAUAGCUCUAACUCAAAAGUGUUGGUCAUGUUCUCUCGGAUGAGCAGCAGGUUCAGGCAGUGAUCCGAUCUCUUCCUAAUAGUUGGGAACACCUGAAGGUCAACUUAACCCACAAUGACAGCAUCAAAAUUUUUUCUGAUAUUGCACGUCACGUUGAACUUAAAGAUAAGCGGCUUGGUGAUGUUAAAGCUGCUUCUAAUGCCUUUAUGGUUGAAUCAAGUGGUAAGGACUCUUCAGGAUUCAAGCGUAAGAAGAAGUGAAAAAAGAACGGGAAGGGUAAAGAGACCAAAGAAGGACCCUCUGAGAAAAAUAACAAGCCAAAUUUCAAGAAGAAGAAAAAGUUUUUCAAGAAGAAAGACAAGAGCAAGAUGAAGUUCUACAAUUGCCAAAAUCUGGGGCAUUUUGCUCGUGAAUGUCUUGAAGGAAAAAAGGUAGCAUUUCUAAAUGCAUCUCUAUGUGCUACAUAUGUUUUUAGCACUGUUUUAUUAACUGAAUCUUAUCCUAUGUGGAUUAUAGACUCAGGAGCCACCGACCAUGUGAGUCGAGAUCGAGAAGCAUUUGUGGAGUUCCGUCGAGUUUCACCUGGAUCAAGGUGGAUCUAUGUAGGAAAUAAUGCAAGACUUGAAGUCAAAGGGAUUGGCACUUGCAAAGUAGAUUUGCAUAAAGGCCAGUCUUUAAUGUUGCAUGACGUCCUAUAUGCUCCAGAAAUUCGACGAAACUUAGUAUCUGUGUCUGUUCUAUUAAAUGUUGGUUUUUAUUUGUUCUUUAGUUGUAAUUGUGUAAGAAUUACCCUAGAUAAUAUUUUUUUUAUGGUUUUGGACAUCGCUAUGACCGCUUUAUUGUUUUAGAUUGUAAUCCUUCAACUUAUAACUAUUAUGUUGACUGUUGUGUAAUGUCAUAUUAUUCUAGUAAUAAUGAAGUUAAUAUAACUACAUGGCAUGCUAGAUUGGGUCACAUAGGGAGAUCGAAUGAAUAGAUUCGCAAUGAAAGAACAUCUAGGUUCUUUCUCCAAAAUUGAAACGUCAACUUGUCAAAAUUGUCUUGCCGGAAAGAUUACACGUAAACCAUUUGGGAAGGAUAAAAGAGCCAAAUUCCCAUUACAAUUAAUCCACUCUGAUAUUUGUGGUCCAAUGAAUGUGAGGGCAAGAACUGGUGCUUUAUAUUUCAUUACAUUUAUUGACAAUUUCACGCGCUUUGGUUAUUUCUAUUUGAUAUCUCAUAAAUCAGAAGCACUUGAAUGCUUCAAAAGAUAUAGGAAUGAAGUUGAGAAUCAAUUAGACAAAAGUAUAAAUACAUUAAGAACCGAUAGAGGUCGUGAAUAUUUUUCAAAAUAAUUUAAAGAACUGUGUAUUGAAAAAGGCAUUAUCAGACAAUUGACUACUCCUUAUACACCUCAACAAAAUGGUGUAGCCGAAAGGAGGAAUAGAACAUUGUUGGAUAUGACAAGGUCCAUGAUGGCACAAGAAAAUUUACCAAUCUCUUUCUGGGGAGAUGCGUUAUUAACUGCGGCCUACAUAUUGAAUAAAGUGUCUUCUAAAUCGGUAUCUUCUACUCCUUAUGAACUAUGGACUGGUAAUAAACCAAACUUUAAUGAUCUACGACCUUGGGGUUGUACUGCAUAUAUUAAAGAUUGUUUUGGUAAGUUUGGAAAACUAAGUCCAAGAGGAAAGAAGUGUAUCUUUAUAAGAUACUCUGAACACUCCAAAGGAUAUGUGUUCAUUGGUGAAUUGGAAGAUGGAAGUACUACUGAAAUUGAAUCACGAGAUGUCAUAUUUUUGGAAAAUGAUUUUUCAAAAAGGAAUGAAAUAAAGGAAAAUGAGCCUCUUUAUGAAAUGUUGAAUUCAGAUGAUCAAAUAAUGUCACAAGACAUGCUUGAUAAUUCUAUUGAUCAAGAAAUGAUUCCUGGUCCAAGUGGGAGUUGUGAAUCCCAAAAUCCUAUUGAGGAAUCUGAACUUAAAUUACGUAAGAGUACCAAAAAAGGUGUGCCUAAAUGAUCUUAUAAGAUUAAGGAUUAUGUCUUUCUGGUAUCUCCUAUGGAAUUGGAUGAACAUAAUUCUUUGACUAAGGCUUUAUCGAGUCCUGAAAAAGAUGAAUGGAUAAAAGCAAUGAAAGAAGAAUUAAAGUCCAUGAAAACCAAUAAAGUCUGGGAUCUAGUUGAUCUUCCUUCUGGGCGUAAAGCUAUUGAGAACAAAUGGAUUCUCAAAGUCAAACGCAAAUCAGAUGGAUCAAUAGAAAGGCAUAAAGCACGAUUGGUGGCAAAAGGUUUUACUCAAGAAGCUGGAAUAGAUUAUGAGGAAACUUUUUUGCCAGUUGUGAAAUUUACCUCAAUUCGAUUGUUUUUAGCUGUAGUUGCACGUUUAGAUUUAGAAUUACAUCAAAUGGACGUGAAGACUGCUUUUCUCAAUGGAGAACUAAAAGAGGAAAUCCACAUAGAACAGCCUAUAGGUUUUGUUGUUAAAGGCCAAGAAAAGAAGGUUUGUAAAUUAAACAAAUCUAUAUAUGACCUUAAGAAGUAUUCAAGGCAGUGGUACUUGAUAUUUCAUAAGGAAGUGAUUUCAUUUGAUUUCACCAUGAUCAAUGAAGACCAUUACAUCUAUGUGAAAAAGUCCGAUGAAAUGUUUGUGAUUCUUUCGCUUUACGUGGAUGAUAUUUUAUUAGCUGGAAAUAAUUUGGAGUAUGUAAAAACUGUUAAGUCAUGGCUUUCAAAGUCAUUUGACAUGAAAUAUAUAGGUGAAGAGAACUAUAUAUUAGGUGUUAAAAUUCAAAGAGACCGUUCCAAGAAAAUUUUGAGUUUAUCUCAACAAACAUACAUAAUGAAAAUUUUGGAACGUUUUUGAAUGAAUAGUUGCAAAUCCAUGGAUACUCCUAUAGCAAGAGGUGAAACUCUAAGCCUUGAAAUGUGUCCAAAGACUGAAAAAGAAAAGGAAGAUAUGUCUCGAGUACCAUAUUCCAGUGCAGUUGGGAGUUUAAUGUAUGCUAUGAUAUGUACUCGCCUAGAUAUUUGUUAUGCCGUAGGUCUGGUUAGCAGGUAUCAAUCUAAUCCCGGAAGAGAUCAUUGGAAAGAAUUAAAGAGAAUCUUUCAAUACCUGAAGGGAACUGCUGAUUAUUCACUAUGCUAUAGUGGAUCCGAUUUAUCCAUAAGAGGUUAUACAGAUGCUGAUUGGGAUGGUGACCGGUAUGAUAGAAAAUCAACUUUCCGUUACGCCUUCUUGAUAAAUGGUGGUGCAAUUUCAUGGAAAAUAAAGAAACAAACUUGCACAGCACUGUCAACUAUGGAAUCAGAAUUUGUGGCUUGUGCAUCUGUAGUACAAGGAACUGUUUGGUUGAAGAGAUUCUUUGAGCAUUUGAACGUCGCAAAGAAUUCUAAGGGUCCCUUGAUUUUAUAUUGUGACAGUCAAGUGGCUAUCGCAUAUACGAAGGAUCCAAAAUAUCACAGCCAGACCAAACACAUUGAUAUUAAGUAUAACUUUAUAAGAGACAUAGUAGCUAGUGGAGAAAUAAUUUUACAAUACAUUCCUACACGAGAAAUGAUAGUUGAUCCCUUUACUAAGGCGAUAUCUAGAGACUUGUUUGAGAAACAUGUUAUGUCUCUAGGAUUACGUAGGAUAUGAUUAUGUUUAUUGAAUAAGCCAUCUUCCUAUCAAGGUUAAGGAGUCAACUGAGCAUCUCAGCGGCGGGAUUGAAUACCCGGAUCGAAUCAGAGUUCACGCCGCCCGCCCUGAACAAAUAGGAGGCGUGGGCCACAGGUCGCACAUAAGCCGCCGGGUCGCACGAUGUAUUGUAGAUGACUUGAUUAUAAUUAUUAUCAAUAUAAGAAUCUUGAAUUUAUGUUCAAUCUCAUAUGCAUGUAAAAAAAUGUGUUUUAUUAAUAUAGUGUGUCGAACAAGUCGUGAGAUUGGCUCUCUCAUACAAGCUUACGUCGAGGAACGUGAAGAGAAAAGUUCCACCAUAGGAUAAUGACUUAUUUUGUAAAGCCAGAUGUGAGUUUCUGUAAUAAUAUAGAUUUAAGGAUUAUUAAAGAAAGAAACUCAGGUUAGACAUUUAGAGGUGUCUAGACCUAGAUCUGUACGAUGUUUAAUGACUAAAAGAAUGACACACACGUACCAAUAAAAGGUGAUAACAUCGUAGCACGUGUUUCAUACCACGUGUGCUUAGCAACCAAUGGGUUAAUGAUAGAAUGAAUCCUUGCUUCUUCAUUGUGUGAGGCCCUAAAAGUUAUUUUAAACUUUUCAUUGAAAUACCCUUAGACCUUUAACUGUUUCUUGAAGUUUCAGUCAGUGUUGCUACUUUAGCAUGUUACUAAUAGCCAUGAGAGAUUCGGCAAUGCGGUGCAUGUCUAAGAAAGUAGUUGAUUUGGAACAGAUAUAUUCAAGUAGAAAGGAAAGACGAUUAAAAUGAGUAUUUUAACUUGUUUACACAAGUCGGCUAUUACACUGACCAUAUAACAGUCAAGUGUAAUUGUGUAUAUAAAGUUAAUUAUGAACUCGUGCUCACCUCUUUAAGAGGAUGAGGGAUCAGAUAAGUAACUACUGAAAUAGUGAAUGAUGUCUGGGGUAUUAUGAGUAUUAGUAUCCUCAUAUUAGUAGAUAAUUCUUUCCACAUGUGAUUGGAUUCCUAAGUAUAGCUUGUAAAACCUUAUAGGUAAAGCUCGUGAUGCUCAUAGGUCGCACAAACUAUUUGUCGUAUGAAUUGGUGAUUUGUUGAUGUUGUACUGGGUCGGGUCUUAUCCACCAUGUGUGAAGUGGGAGAUGUUGGAUUAUGGGUUAUGGGUCAUGGGUCGCCCAUGUGGAUUGACCCGACCCAACCCAAGAACCUUUCUUUUUAUCUAAAGAAAGAAGAUAAGCUUAAUUUUGAAUUUUUGGGGGGAACAGUUACAAAUAUAAACUGUCAACAUCCCUUUAUAUGUUACAACAUCUACUUCUUCCAGAGAUAUAGAAAAGAGGGACGAAAAUCAAAACACAAAAAUAAGAACAGUGUUGUGACCAUUUUACUGACAAUAACAUAACAUCUAAGAGUAUAAAGGCAUUUAUUUUGUGAAAUCACACUUUGGUUCCAAGAGAUUCAAAGUGACUUGGGGCAGAUCCUUUUUCGAAAGCAAAAUCAAGAUCCGCUGCAAAUUUUAAGGUACAUAAUCUGUUGUUUUUUGCUCCGAAAUUAUUAACAGAACAUGCACAACUGAAGUUGAUUAAGUUAUCUUUUGAAGAUCAGCACUAUAUUCAUUUAUUUCUAAUUUAUGGUUGUAUAAAUGAUCAUCAAAUUUGUACUACUUGUAUAGGGACAUGAAAGAUUCUUCUAUGAUGAUUAAGGAAGCUUACUCAAAGCCUAUGAAUCUGUUUGAUGAUGAUAUAGCCCCAAAGAUAUUGCCUUUCAUUCUUGAAACCAUCAAGAAAUAUGGUAUGUAUUUGCUUAUCACUCUAUAUUUUGUUGUAGUUGUUAGAACAUGCACAACUGAAGCUGAUUAAGUUAUUUUUUGAAGAUCAGUACUAUAUUCAUUUGUUUCUAAUUUUUGGUUGUAUAAAUGAUCUUCAAAUUUGUACUACUUGUAGUUAAUCCUGAGACAUAUGGUUGCAGGGAAAAAUUCUUUUGUAUGGAUGGGUCCAAAUCCACAAGUAUUAAUCAUGGAACCUGAGUUUAUAAAAGAAGUACUCUCGAAAAACUGUUUGUAUGAAAAGGCUCGUGGAAAUCCAUUUCUAGCGUUGUUGGGACAAGGACUGGUAAGUUAUGAGGAAGACAAAUGGGCCAAACACAGAAAAAUUGUCAAUCCCGCUUUCCAUCUAGAGAAGUUAAAGGUUUGUCUCUUCUUCCCUUCCCCCUUUCCUCCUUCAACUUCGUGAUUGGUCAACAAAAAUAAUUAUGUUCUCUUAAUCUUGUUAGGUAAUAGUAUAAUUGUAUAGACAAAAUAUUCUCUUUCCUAUAAUAGGAUUUUAUUACGGAUUGUGUAGUUAUAACAAUAUAUAUUCUUUCUUAGAAUAAAACUCUAACCUACAGUUGUAUAGCUAUAAGUAUUUCAUUAUGUAUUAUGGAAUAAGAAAAGUUGCUAUUCAGAAAAUCUUGAUUUCUCUUGUUUCUCUGUCAUGGUAUUAAGAGCCACAAUCUAUUUUUUUUCUUUUUUUGUGCUUUCUGUAUUCUUUGCAUACGUACCUUGCUACCUUCUUAAGUUCCUUUUGUUCUCCCUGUUUUUUUCUUUCUUUUGUAAUCAAUCGAUCAAUGGAUUCACAAUCCUCUUCGCAUGAUUUGCUCUCUACAAAAUUGGAUGGUUCCAAUUUUACUCUUUGAAAAUUCCACUUUGGAAUCUUUGUUAAAGGCAAGGGCCUUUUUGGGUUAUUAGAUCGAUCAGCUCGUCCACCAAAAGAUGCAAAAGAGUUGGAUCUUUGGAAAUUCAAUAAUGCGAAGGUAAUCGCUUGGAUGUUGAUAUUUCUAUGGGGCUUAGACCUUUCAGUUUGGCUUUUGAGAUGUGGACCCACCUCCGUACAAUCUACCAACAAAGAAACCUUGCACGAGAGUUUGAAUUGGAAUGCAAUAUUGCAGAAUACACACAGGGGGACAAGAAUGUUCGCUCCUUUUAUGCUGGCUUGCAAUUGCUCUAGUCGGAACAAGAUCAAAUUCUUGGGCAAAAUAUUUCUAAGGCAGGCUUCAAGGAGGUGUUGGAAGAACAAAAGAAGACAAGGGUGGUGCAAUUCUUAAUGAAACUUCGUCCUGAAUUUUAGCCGAUUCAUGGCAGUUUGUUGAACUCACACCUGCUCUUGAAGUUGUGUUGGCAGUCGUCUUGCGUGAAGAUACAAGACUUGGAACUCAGGCUGCUAUGGAGUCUACACCAUUACCUUCUGUUGUAUUACUUGCAGAAAAAUCAACAAUCGUUGCUUCAACAGGAAAUACUAAGAGAAGUGUCCAAUGCUAUGAAUGCCAAGACGUUGGUCACAUCGCAGCCAAUUGUCCUAGGAAGAUAAACAAUUGUUCUUAUUGCAAAAUUACUGGCCAUCAUAUUUCAGAUUGUCGUCGUCGCCCAAAUCGUUCACGAACCGCUCACCAGGCUUACCAGACAAAUGUCACUACAUCAUGUAUUCCUUCCCUGCUGGUCAUGAUCUUGAAAAACUAAUUUGAGAUUCUAUUGCAGCUGCUCUUCCCAAAGCUAUCUCAAGUGCACUUUCGGUAUCCUCUUCAGGUACAAGUAAUUCAAUUAAUUCUACUUGGCAUCUAGAUUCAGGGGCUUCCAAUCAUAUGACAGGUAAUUUAUCCCAAUUCUCAUCAUUGUCUAGUGGUGUUUCUAAACAUUUUAUUCAUACAGCAAACGGGCACACAUUAUCCUCGUCGGGUAUUGGUUCUGUUGGAAAUCUUUCUAAUGUUCUUUAUGUUCCAAAUUUGAAGGCUAAUUUGGUUUCAGUUGGUCAACUAGUUGAUCAAAAUUGUGUUGUAAAAUUCUCACCCAAUGGUUGUGUUGUUCAGAAUCUGAAAACAGGGCUGACCAUGGCCACGGGGCAUAGAUUUGGUAGAAUAUUCCUACUAGAGUCGGUUCACCGUCACUUGCAUCAUUGUUUUCUUUCAGGCGGAUGCUACUCGUUCGAAUAAAUUGGUCACUCUUUGGAAUAACAGGAUGGAUCACCCUUAUUCUUCUCAGCUUCAUCAUAUGCUUAAAUCAUGUCUUCCUGCAGCACAUCACAUCCAUUCCGGUCUCCUUUUGACAUGUACAAAUUAUGCCAGUUCAAAAAGUCACAAGCUCCCUUUUCCAUCUAGUUCAUCUGCUUAUGAAGAUCCAUUUAAUUUAGUGCAUAGUGAUGUUUGGGGUCCUUCUUCUAUUUUGUGAAGGAUGGGAUAUAAGUACUUUGUGUUAUAUAUUGUAUCCAGUUACACUUGGAUGUUUUUUAUUAGAAAUAAAUCUGAGGUUCCGACUCUUAUUAUGAAUUUUGUUAAUUAUGUUCGUGCAUAAUUUCAUAAAACUAUAAAAGUAUUUCGUUCUGAUUCAGGAGGAGAGUACACUAAGACUAAUCUUGUUGAUUUUUUCAAAAAUAAAAGAAUUAUUUCCCAAUGCACUUGUCCUCAUACUCUGGAACAAAAUGAGGUCGUAGAAAGAAAGAAUCAACAUGUUUUAGAAAUUACAUUGGCUUUGUUGAGUACGUCGAAUAUGCCAAAAAGUUUUUGGCCCGAAGCAGUACAUACUUCUGUAUAUUUGAUCAAUAGAAAAACUUUUCCAGUCAUUGGAAAUGAGACACCGUAUUUCAAAUUAUUUCAUAGUAAGCCUGAUUAUUCUCACUUGCGAGUUUUUGGUUGUGUUUGAUUUGUACAUCUUCCAGCACAUGAACGACAUAAGCUUUCGGCAAAGGCAGCACAAUGUAUUUUUGUAGCAUACAGUGACACACAAAAGAGGUAUCUCUGUUAUGAUACAUCUCGUCGUCAGUUUCGAAUAUCUAGACAUGUUAUUUUCUUUGAGGAUCAGUUUUCUUGCAAAUACAAUGCUAAAUAUGCUUCAGAAUCUCUCUUUUCUGUACAAGUUUGAUGACGAUGUGGUAGCUACUGACCCUCAGCUUGAGUCUUCGGAACAACCCGUGGACUAUGAUAAUGGUGAUCUCCAGCCUUCAUCUCCUUCAAGUACUGAUCCUCUGCUUGAAUCUCCAGAACAACCCAUGAACAAUGGUAAUGAAGCUCUCUAACCUUCAUCUCUUUCUGGUAUUGACUCUACAUCGUCAUUCUCAUCUUCAGAAGAGGGAUUCUCUCAUCCAGCUACUCCUCCACGUCGGUCUAGUAGAACAAAUUGCCAUGCUCCCGAACGACUUGGCUACUCUCCAGGGAAAUUUGGUAAGUCCUAUGCCUUGCAUACCACACUACAUUCUGUUGAGGUUCCUACAUCUUACUCCCAGGCUUCUACACAAACCUGUUGGAAAAAGGCAAUGUCGGACGAGCUUUGUGCACUGAAUGAAAAUUCAACUUGGGACUUUGUUGAUAAACCAACGGAUGGAGUUCUCAUUGGAAGUAAGUGGGUGUAUUCCAUUAAAAUAAAGGCAGAUGGUACAAUUGAUCGCUAUAAAGCUCGAUUGGUUGCUCAAGGGUACAAACAGGAAUAUGGGGUGGAUUAUGAGGAGACUUUUGCACCUGUUGCUAAGAUGACAACGGUACGGACAUUAUUGGCCUUGGCUUCAAUUAAAGGCUGGACUUUACAUCAGUUGGAUGUGAAAAAUGUGUUUCUUCACGGUGACCUGAAAGAAGUUGUGUUUAUGAAACCACCACCUGGGUGUGUUCUGCCAAGACCAAAUGUAGUUUGUCAUCUUCGAAAAUCUCUUUAUGGCUUAAAACAGGCUCCCAGAGCGCUUGGUUUGAUCCCUUAGGCUUUAUGGCUUCGAAAAUCCCUUACCUUUCAAUCUAAAAUUUUUAAGUAUCUGGCAUAUGGCUAUGUCGAGUAAUUUCUACUGAGUUAGAAAAGCAUUGAAGGGUCAUUGACAAUUUCACUCUUUCACCAUUUUCUCGAACAGCAUAUGCUUCCAGUUUUUUACUUGAGCUGUAGUGAGAUGCUGAGCAAAUGGGAAGACGUCGUUCCAGUUGGAGGCUCUCAUGAGAUUGAUGUAUGGCCUGACCUUCAACAAUUGAGUUGUGAUGUGAUCUCUCGGACAACUUUUGGAAGUAGUUAUGAAGAAGGUAGAAAGAUUUUUGAACUUCAAAAGGAACAAGCUCAGCAUCUUAUCAAAGCUUCACUAUCUGUUUAUAUCCCUGGAUGGAGGUAAACUAUAAUGUUCUUUAGAAAUGCAUAUUGCUUCCCUACAUCUUAACUAAUGCAGCAUUCCGGUUUUCUGUUUUAUGUAAUACUAUUUCAAAGAUUUUUGCCAACAAAGAGGACCAAAAGAAUGAAGGAAAUAAACUAGAAUGUUCGGUCCUCAAUUUGAGGUAUUAUUGAUAAAAGAUUGAAGGCAAUGGAAGCAGGGGAGGCCGACAAUAAGGAUCUAUUAGGCAUAUUGCUUGAAUCAAAUUUUAAAGAAAUUGAACAGCAUGGGAACAAGAAGUUUAGAAUGACCAUUGAAGAAGUCAUUGAAGAAUGCAAGCUAUUCUAUUUUGCUGGCACAGAAAAAACAUCAGUGCUACUCCUAUGGACUCUGGUUUUUAUUGAGCAGAUAUCAAGAUUGGCAGGCACGGGCCAGAGAAGAAGUCUUGCAAGUGUUUGAGAGUCGUAAACUAGAUUUUGAUGGAUUGAAUCGUCUAAAAGUUGUGAGUAUUCUGAUUUUAUUGGUUCACUUUAUCGAGUUUCUACUGUCAUUGUUAUUGUUAUUGCUUGAGUUCUUAAAUUUGCGAAGUUGGAAUUUUGUGAUACUAAUUUAGUAGUGGAAUGGUGGGAGGCCAAAGCCCCGUGAACAGUGGCUGUAAGCCCUUAACUGCAAUGUUAAAUUUUUACAUGUCUCAUUCAUUCUGGAUACAAUUGAAGGAGGAGCAUUUUUUAUGGCAGGUCACGAUGAUCUUGUACGAAUCAUUACGACUAUAUCCCCCAGCAACAUCAAUUAUCCGGCGGGCUAAUAAAGACAUUCUAUUAGGAGAAGUAUCUAUACCAGUUGAUGUACUAAUCUUAUUGCCAGUGAUCAUAUUGCAACAUGAUAAAGAGAUAUGGGGUGAAGAUGCAAAUAAGUUCAAUCCAGAGAGAUUUAGAGAAGGAAUAUCAAGUGCAACAAAAGGUCAAGUAACAUAUUUUCCAUUUGCUUGGGGUCCUAGAAUAUGCAUUGGACAAAAUUUUGCCAUGUUAGAGGCAAAGAUGGCUGUGUCUAUGAUCCUACAAAGCUUCUCUUUCGAAUUGUCUCCAUCCUACACACAUGCUCCUAAAUCCAUAAUAACCAUGCAGCCUCAGUUUGGUUGCCCACUUAUUUUCCACAAACUGUAACUUUUUGCUUGAACCUUGGUAUUUGUAUCAGGAAAUACAUCAACUUUGUCUGUCUUUUAAUGCAGUUUAUUAUUCGUUGCAACUUGCAAAUUUUUAUACAUAAAUUUUGCUACGCAUCAAAAGUAUUAGGUUUAGAUGAACUCAGUCAGUGAUCUCUACAUCCACAAUUGUCAUUGGCAGGUAUUGACAUGACAAGAAACAGUAAUGAUGGAACGAUAUAGUAAUUUUUUUAAAAAAUAUUGACGGUGUGUGAACUAGCUUACGAACAUCUCAAUUAUCAUUAAUUAGUUACUUGAACAAUCCUCAUUAGUAUCCUUCAUAAAUAUAUCACUCAGUUGAUCUCCCCGUUUUACAUCUUCAAAAAAAAUCAGGUCAUCUUAAAUCAUAUCACUGGUAAAGCGGAAAUCCAUUUCGAUAUGUUUAACUCUUUCAUGCUUCAUUAAUUUGGUCACAAACAAAUGUAAUAGAUCUUCAUCGAUAAGGAGCGGACAACCAAAGCCCGAGUGAAUGGUGGCAUAACUGUAACAAUUAAAUUUUACAUGUCUCAUUCAGACUAAGAUAUAAUUGAAGGAGAAGCAUUUUUGUUGUAGGUGACAAUGAUCUUGUAUGAGACACUACGGUUAUAUCCCCCAACAAUAGCUAGUAAUAAUUUGGCGAGUAAUGAAGACAUUGAAUUAGGAGAAUUGUCUCUACCAGCUGUGCACUAGUCUCUUUGCCAGUGAUUUUACUGCAUCAUGAUAAAGAGAUACGGGGUGAAGACGCAAACAAGUUCAAUCCUGAGAGAUUUAGAGAAGGAAUAUCAAGUGCAACAAAGGAUCAACUUACAUAUUUUCCAUUUUCUUGGGGUCCUAGAAUAUGCAUUGGACAAAAUUUAGCCAUGUUAGAGGCAAAGAUGGCUGUCUAUGAUCCUACAAAGCUUCUCUUUCGAAUUGUCUCCAUCUGACACACAUGCUCCAUCUUUCUCUCUUUGUGGCUGCUAAAACACUUUUCUGGAUGGUGCAAUAAGUCCUAAAACAUCUAUAUAAAUGCCCCAUAGUAAUGGACUUAUGGACAAAAGUGGGUUGGUUCAAUUGAGUUUUAUUUAUCCACAUAUGAAGGGAAAAAGAUCCAUAGCCCAAUAAUUCUCCCCCUCACGACUGUGUGGAGGAGACCAUCAUCCCGGUGAUCAUGCAACAAUCUUCAACUUCCCUCUAAAAAGUAGCAAAUUCUAAAAUUUUGUGAUUUUAAACUAAAUAUGUGUAUGUAUUAAAAUUCUCUUCGAAUCUCUUGAUUCUUGUUGAAAGUUGCUUUAAGAAUGCAACUGUUUUUUUCCUUUUUUCUCCAGCAAUUUUUUUUUACGUACAAUCCUAGUUAAAUUAGGAGUCCUAUUUUUGGUAGGAAACUAGUUAGUUAUUCUAAUUUUGGUAGAAAUAGGUUGUUUUUUUGUCCUAUUUUUAGUUGUAAUAACAAAUAUCUAAUUUGCUAAGUUGAUGAUCAAUUAUAGUCGGUCUUUCAACAAGAAAAUAAUCUCUCUUUGUCUCUCUACAUAUUCUCUUCUUCAAACUCCAUCUCUGUUUCUGCGGCCAACUUUAAAUUGAAUUCCUAUGUUAUUUCCCUUUAACAGUUUUAAACCAACAAUUGGUAUCAAAGCUUUAAUCUUAAGGGACCUGUGAGUGUUGUGCAUCAAUCUGAUCCAGUGGAUACCAUGAAUGGAGAAACAAAUUUUUCUUCAAUGGCACCACCAACUUUCGAUGGAGAAAGUUAUCAAAUCUGGGCAGUUAGAAUGCGGAUAUAUCUACAAGCUUUGGAUCUCUGAGAAGCUGUUGAAGAUGAAUACGAGAUAGCUUCCUUGCCAGACAAUCCCACGGUGGCGCAGAUUAAAACUCACAAGCAGAGGAAAACUAGAAAAUCAAAGGCAAUGGCAUGCUUAUUUACUGCAGUUUCAUCUAAUAUCUUGACUCGUAUCAUGUCUCUACAAUCAGCGAAAGAGGUAUGGGAUUAUCUCAAGACUGAGUAUGAAGGAGAUAAAAGGAUUCGAGGGAUGCAAGUGAUGAAUUUGGUACGUGAGUUUGAGCUACAAAGGAUGAAAGAAAGUGAAACCAUAAAGGAGUACUCUGACAGACUUCUUAAUUUAGCAAAUUGCAUCAGAUUGUUGGGUUCCACUUUCAAUGAUUCAAGGAUCGUUGAAAAAAUCCUAUUAACGGUACCUGAAAGAUUUGAGGCUACCAUAACAACCUUAGAAAAUACUAAGGACUUGUCUAAGAUCACACUUGCAGAGCUCUUAAGUGCUUUUCAAGCGCAAGAGCAACGACGUGUUAUGAGAAAAGGAGGAGCUGUCGGAGGUGCCUUACCAGCCAAACAUCACGAUGAUGGACGUUCUAAGAAGAAGAAGAAUAAGAAGUACCAGCCAACUGAUGAAGAAGGUGCAAUGCACAAUAAUAAAAUCAAAACAGGUGGUUUCAAAGGAAACUACCCUCCUUGUAAGCAUUGUGGAAAGCUCGGACAUGCACCUUUCAAGUGUUGGGAGAGGCCUGAUGCUAAGUGCACUAAGUACAAUCAUCUUGGGCAUGAAGCGAUCAUCUACAAGAACAAAACUGAGCAGCAAGAUGUAGAGGCUCAAGUUGUUGAUGAACUGGAAAGAAGAUCAACUCUUUGUCGUUUAACAAGCAAUGUCGCCAGCAAACCAUGUCCGAUCUAUAGCGGAUGCACAAAUCAUAUGACUUGCGAUAAAAAUCUUUUUAAAGAUUUGAGCCCUACUAAAGUUACAAAAGUUAUAAUUGGCCAUGGAGGUUAUAUUCCAGCAAAAGGAAUGGGAACCAUUAUAAUUGAAACACAAUCGGGCACUAAAACAAUUUUUGAUAUUCUUUAUGUACCCGAUUUGGACCAAAACUUGUUAAGUAUUGGUCAGUUAUUAGAAAAAGGUUUCAAAUUGUAUUUCGAAGAUAAACACUGCUUGAUCAAGGAAGUAUCUGAACAAGACCUAUUUAAAGUCAAAAUGAGAGCCAGAAGUUUCUCAUUAAAUCCAUUGGAAGAAGAGAGCGGAUUUCACCCGUUGUGUAUGGAGCCACCUCUUCUAAAAGAAGAUAUCCCACCCGAUGAUGAAGGCUGGAUUUGUCCUGGUUGUGAUUUCAAAGUUGACUACAUUGACUUGCUUAAUGAUAGUCAAGGAACCGAUCUUUCCUUCACUAACAGUUGGGAGAAAGUAUAUCCCAAGAAAGUUGUUGUUGCUGCUUCUGGGGAGAAUCCAGAUGAUAUUUCUGAACUUCCAUCUGAUGACUGGAAGGAUGAUGACUUCAACCCUGAAAAUCCAGAUGUAAAAAAAAAUGAUUUCGAAGUUGAGGCUAGUUCUGAUGAAUCUACCGUUAAAGUAUGGGACUUCACAAGCUUCUAAGAAGAGCGCUCGUUAUCUGAUGGAAAAGAUAAUCUUGUUAAACUUUGGGAUGCCAAGUCAGGGAAGAAGCUUUCGUCAUUUCACAGGCAUAAGAAUACCGUUCUCUGCGUGAAGUGGAAUCAGAAUGGUAACUGGAUCCUUUCUGCUUCCAAGGAUCAAAUUAUCAAGCUUUAUGACAUAAGGGCUAUGAAAGAUCUUGAGUCAUUCCGUGGGCAUCAGAACAACGUGAAUUAUUGGCCUGGCAUCUGUUUCAUGAAGAAUAUUUAGUCAGCGGAAGCUAUGAUGGUUCAAUAUUUCAUUGUCUUGUGGGGCAUGAAACUCCUCAAGUAGAAAUUUCAAAUGCACAUGAAACUGGCGUUUGGGAUCUUUCAUGGCACCCAAUUGGUUAUCUCCUUUGCAGUGGCAGCAAUGAUCAAACAACAAAGUUCUGGUGCAGAAAAAGGCCCGGCGACUCCGCUCGUGAUAAAUUCAAUCUAGCACAGCAAGGUUUGGGUGAUCAAAACAAUGUUCUUGGCCGCAUGCCUGGAAAUUUUUCAGGUCUUGAGUCCCUCUCAACCCCUAGAUCAUUUACCUCCGGUAUAUUACAAACUGAGGGUACAAUACCUGGAGUUGGAACUGCAGUGCCUCUGUCUAUCCCAUCACUUGAUUCAUCACCUCAAGGAGAACAGAAGACUUCAAUGCCAGUUUCAAUGCCUUUAGGAGCUCCUCCUCUUCCUCAUGGUCCACAUCCAUCUCUUCUUGCAAGUAAUUAGCAACAAGCGUAUCAACAAAAUAUGCAGCAAGUUCAGCAGCAGCAGUCACUACCUCAACAAAUAACUUCUCUUCCUCUGCAGCCUUCAAAUUUACCACAGUUAGAAGACUUGUUCACUAAGCCACUUCCAAUCAAUAAGUUCGAGCUUCUAAAGCAAAGAAUUGGUGUUUGCAUUUCAUAAAGCAAGGAGGAGUGUUGAAAGUUGCUUUAAGAAUGCAACUAUUUUUUUCUUUUUUCUCCAGCAGUUUUUUUUUUACGUACAAUCCUAGUUAAAUUAGGAGUCCUAUCUUUGGUAGGAAACUAGUUAGUUAUUCUAAUUUUGGUAGAAAUAGGUUGUUUCUUUGUCCUAUUUUUAGUUGUAAUAGCAACUAUUUAAGUUGCUAAGUUGAUGAUCAAUUAUAGUCGGUCUUUCAACAAGAAAAUAAUCUCUCUCUGUCUCUCCGCAUAUUCUCUUCUUCAAACUCCAUUUUUGUUUCUGUGGCCAGCUUUAAAUUGAAUUCCUGUGUUAUUUCCCUUUAACGGUUAUAAACCAACAAUUCUAAACAUGUCAUGUGGGAUGCUGAAAAUAAAUACUCCGUCCAUUUCAAUUUGUUUGUCUCACUUUCCUUUGUGUCUUUAUGGAAAAGAAUAUCUACUCUUUUUUGGAAACAUUUUGAUUUCAAUUUUUCACAUUUUGUGUUCAAGACCAUAAGCUUAGAGAACAUUUUGGUACUUUUCACUUAUUUUUAUGAGCCUUCGUCCUGUUGUUGUUUUAUAAAAUUUCACAGUGAGUCAUAUGCCCAAAGUAGUUCCUGUGCUCACACUUGAUUACUGUUAACAUAUAUUUUCUCUUCUAGAUUCUCCGUGAAAUGUAUUGCUAUGAAUUCCCAUGAUUAUGUAUGAGUUGUUGCCCUAUUGCUAUAUAUUCACCAUAUCUUCGACGAAAUCAUAAUUCAUCCAAUAUGUAACUGAAUUCUAUAACUCGAUUAGCUUGACUUCGGUAUGAACAAAGAAGGAAACUAAAUAGUCGUGCAGUGGAUCAAGAAAACAGAAUAGUGCUACAGUGAAGCCAAAGGAAAAAAAAAUAGAACUGCAUCUCAAAAAAAAGGGUAGGUACUUCAAUUUUCUCAUUUUUACUUGUAUAUUUUGGUGUAUUAUAAAGAUAAUACGUGAACUGAAGUAUAAUUUAGAAUAAAAUUAUAUGUCAGGACCCAUAUUCUCCCCAUAGGAUUACAUUUUCAUAUUGUCUAUUAGAUUAUGGUUUAUGCGGUUGAAAGAUCUAUUUAUAUGAAUUGAUCAUCAAAGGCUGAGAAGAUUCAUUUUUUGAUGGGACUGGUGCACUGAGCAUCUAAAGAUGUUGAGCUCAAAAAAUAUUUGUACAAUAUUUCUUCUAAAAGGUUAGUCAUUUUAUCAAUAAGUUCAGGUUAACAACAACAGUCAUCUCAGCCCCAACAGCAAGCUCAGGCACGACAACAACUUAACAGCUCAGCCACGACGACAACACCUUCAAAGCAUGUAUCAAAGUAAUAGCUUUUGGAAAUAUCCAAUCUUUGUAUAGUAAAAGAGUAGGUAUACCACCUUGUCACCCGCAAAUGCCUCCUAUUUCGUCAUAUUCUCAGAUCCCUUUAACCAGGCCAUGGGAUAAACAAACGAGUAUGCAGAAUUUUUGUAAUCCAGGGCUAUCACAUUCACGAUCUUUAUCACAACCAGCUGUUCUUUGUUGAAGAAAAUUUGUUCUAUAACAGGUUGAUCCACAAAGUUGAUACUUUAAUUGAAACGGACAGGAAUAAGCAAUACCACAAAACGAAAGAAAAUAAGAAGAACACACAGAUUUUACAUGGAAAUUCUUGACAGGAAAAACUGUUGAUUUUAUGUUUCAAUAAACUUUGAAACAAAUACAUCGGUUAAAUAUUUUUUAAAAGUUUUGUUUCAAUUAGUUUUGAAACAAAUGCAUCACUUAAAGUUUUGAGUUACAAAGGAAAUGAAUUUGAUAAAUUCAUUAUUCAUAAGUUUUGAGUUACAAAGGAAAUGUAUUUGACUAAUUCAUUAUUCAUUAAGUUCUACGUUAUAGGUUCUUGAAAGAAUGACAUUUUUUGUUUUAAAAAAUACAUGAGCCUAUUAACUAUUACUUAAUUAAUAUACUUCUCAUGCAUGAAACUUUCAUCCUAUAAAUAUUGUUUUCUUUGGUUUGAAAAAGAUAAGCACUCAAAACUACUUUCUCCUUGAAAGCACUUGAGAGACAUUGAUCAAAUGGUGAAAUCACCGAUUCAAGAAUAGAAGAGCAACAUUCUUGAAUGCUACUUGUUUAGUGGCUUAGUUGAAUCCCGAAGAUAGAGAUUUCACUUGUUCUUCCGUUUGCUCGUGGGAGAGACUCCAACUUUCUUCAAGAAGCGUAUUAUCGUGCCUCUAAGCCAAGCAAGUUUUAUUUUGAAUUUCUUGUACAAUUAUCAUUAUUGUUCUAACAAUUUGAAGAUAGUUGUCUCUAUGGCUUCUACAUCAAUAUCAAAUAGUAUUCCAUCUUUGCCUAAUCCUAAUUUUGAAAUAUUUGAUGGCAAAGGCUUUCCUAGAAGGCAUGGAAAGAUGUAAUUCUUUUUAAAAUGAUUAAAGUUGGCAUAUGUUCUUGAAGAACCUUGUCCUAAUGCUCUUGGUUCUGAGGUAGCAUCUGACGAGGCUACUUUGAUUAAAGAACAAAUUGCCAAAUGGCAAUAUGAUGAUUAUUUGUGCAAGAAUUAUAUUCUUGGAGAAAUGUCCAACAAAUAUUAUGAUCAAUAUUAUGUUAACUGUAAAUAUGCUAAAGAGAUAUGAGACACUCUUCAAGCUNNNNNNNNNNNNNNNNNNNNNNNNNNNNNNNNNNNNNNNNNNNNNNNNNNNNNNNNNNNNNNNNNNNNNNNNNNNNNNNNNNNNNNNNNNNNNNNNNNNNNNNNNNNNNNNNNNNNNNNNNNNNNNNNNNNNNNNNNNNNNNNNNNNNNNNNNNNNNNNNNNNNNNNNNNNNNNNNNNNNNNNNNNNNNNNNNNNNNNNNNNNNNNNNNNNNNNNNNNNNNNNNNNNNNNNNNNNNNNNNNNNNNNNNNNNNNNNNNNNNNNNNNNNNNNNNNNNNNNNNNNNNNNNNNNNNNNNNNNNNNNNNNNNNNNNNNNNNNNNNNNNNNNNNNNNNNNNNNNNNNNNNNNNNNNNNNNNNNNNNNNNNNNNNNNNNNNNNNNNNNNNNNNNNNNNNNNNNNNNNNNNNNNNNNNNNNNNNNNNNNNNNNNNNNNNNNNNNNNNNNNNNNNNNNNNNNNNNNNNNNNNNNNNNNNNNNNNNNNNNNNNNNNNNNNNNNNNNNNNNNNNNNNNNNNNNNNNNNNNNNUUCAAAAUGGUUGAUGACAAGUCAAUCACUGAACAAGUACAAGAAUUCCAACUUAUAGCUAAUAAAAUUGCUAUAUCUGGAAUUGCUCUUGAUGAAAACUUUCAUGUUGGUGCUAUUGUAUCAAAACUUUCUCCAUCUUGGAAAGAGUAUCGAAGAAAACUUUUACACAAAAAGGAAGAUUUGACUCUUGAACAAUUGUUGCAACAUUCACAAACUGAAUAAGAGACACGAUGGCGCGAUAAUAAUAGUUUGAAGGAACCUAUCAUGAGAGCUCAUAUGGUUGAAGAAAAAUCAAACAAGAAGGAACCUGAAAAUAAGAAUUUUUCAAAGGCAAAGAAGACUAUAAAUUUCAAGCGUAAUGGUGCCAAUUUUAAAUUUGGUGAAGGCUAUCAUUGUCACAAAGUUGGUCACUAUGCGCGUGAUUGUAGAAUUCUCAAAGCUGAAAAAAAUAAAGAAAAGCAAAUAAAAAUAAAAAAGAUGAUCUUGUGGCAAUGGUCACAGAAGUAUUUAUAGUGGAAGAUCUAGUGGAAUGGUGAAUAGAUACUCGCGCAACUCGUCACAUAUCAGGUAACCGAAAUUCUUUCAAGACUUAUGAAUUAGUGGGGGACGCUAAAAUUGUAUAUAUGGGAAACUCAUCCUCUACUAAAGUUGUGGGAAAAGAAACUGUUGAACUGAAGUUUACUUCUGGAAAGAUAGUUACAUUGAUGGAAGUAUUGCAUGUUCCUGAUAUUCGAAAAAACUUGGUGUCAGGUAUGCUUCUUUCGAAGCAUGGUUUUAAAAUAAUUUUUGAGGCAGAUAAGUUUAUUUUAUCUAAAAAUGGCAUGUUUGUUGGAAAAGUUUAUGUUGCAAAUGGAAUGUUUAAACUCAAUAUUGAAAAUGAAAAUAUUUCUGCUUAUCUUGUGGAGUCUCUGGACUUAUGGCAUGAACGUCUGGGACAUGUGAAUUUUAGAUCCAUUCAACUUAUGGUGAAUAAUGGAUUAAUCAAAGAUUGUGGAAAGAAUCAUACUACUAAGUGUCUUACUUGUAGUAAAUGCAAGAUUACUAAGAAGCCCUUUAAGACAGUUGAAAGGACUUCCACACUUUUGCAAUUAAUCCACACUGACAUUUGUGAGAUGGAUUAUUUGUCACGUUAUGGAAAGAGGUAUUUUAUCACUUUUAUUGAUGACUACUCAAGAUAUACUUAUGUCUUUCCAUUGAAAACAAAAGAUGAAACAUUUGAGACUUUCAAAACAUACAAAGCAGAAGUUGAAAAUAAAUUUAGUGUGAAAAUUAAGUCAAUUAGGUCUGAUAGAGGUGGAGAGUACUUAAAGUCAGAUUUUAUUGAUUUUUGUGAGAGAGAAGGCAUUGAAAAGCAAUUGACCAUGUCCUAUACACCAUAACAAAAUGGUGUAGCAGAAAGAAAAAAUAGGACUUUUAUAGAAAUGGUUAAUUCUAUGCUUUAUGGAUCUGGUAUAUCUGAAAAUUUAUGGACUGAAGCCUAGCUUUUAGUAUGUCAUAUUUUGAAUAGAAUUACUUUUAGGAAUCAUGAUGCAUAUCCAUAUGAACUUUGGAAUAAUCGAAAACCAAAUAUAAAUUAUUUUAAAGUAUGAGGUUGCUUGGCUCAUGUUCGAUUACCAAAUCAACAUUUAACCAAGAUUGGCUAUAGAGGAGUAGAUUGUGUGUUUAUUGGCUAUUCACAAACCAGUAAGGCUUAUAGAUUUUUAAAUCUUAAAACCCCAAGUCCUCACAAAAUUAUUGAAUCUUUACAUGCUAACUUUUUUUAGCAUAUAUAUCCCAAGAAAAAAGAUCCUUUUGAACAAGAUUCAAGUUCUUCUAUUUCUCCUUGUAAAAGGAAAAUAGUUGAGCCAUUGGAAGAAAGUCAACCAAGAUGUAGUUCAAGAUCAGCCAAAUCAAAAGACUUUGGACCUGAUUUUCAAGCUUAUUUGGUUGAAAAGGAUCCUGAAAGUUAUGCUGAGGCUAUGUCUUCACAUGAUGCUCCAUUUUGACGUGAAUCCAUUGAUGAUGAAAUGCAUUCUAUAUUAUAUAAUAAUACAUGGAUAUUGUUAGAUCUUCCUCUUGGAUGUAAACCAAUUGGUUGCCGAUGGAUUUUUAGGAAGAAAAUAAAAUCCGAUGGUAUUUUAGAUAAGUACAAUGCCCGUUUGGUAGCUAAAGGCUUUACUCAAUUGAAAGAUAUUGAUUAUUUUGAUAAUUUUUCACCUAUAGAUUGGAUGACCUCUAUUCUUCUCUUGAUUGCUCUAGCAGUAAUUCAUGGUCUUAUGAUUCAUCAGAUGGAUGUGAAAAUUGCAUUCCUAAAUAGAGAUCUAGACGAAGAAGUCUACAUGAAACAACCAGAAGGAUUUGUCAAUCCUGGUCAAGAACGUAAAGUUUGUAAACUACUUAAAUCUCUUUAUGGAUUAAAACAAGCUCCAAAACAAUGGCACGAUAAAUUUAGAAAAGUUAUGAUUUCUAAUAGCUACUUAAUCAAUGAUGGAGAUAGCUGCAUAUUUAGUAAAUUUCAAGAAAAUUUUGGUGUUAUAAUAUGUCUUUAUGUAGAUGACAUGUUGAUCUUUGGAACUGAUAUCGAAAGAGUCAAAGAAACAAAAUAUUUUCUUGCUUCUCAGUUUGAAAUGAAAUAUCUUGGAGAAGCUGAUGUAAUUUCAGGCAUCAAAAUUUUAAGAUCAGCAAGUGGUUUGACUCUUACUCAAUCAAGUUAUAUUGAGAAAGUUCUAAAUAGGUUUGGUCAUUUUGACGACAAGACCGCUCCUACACCAUUUGAUCCUAGCAUCAAACCAGUGUGAAACUCUGGUGAUAUUCUUGAUCAAUUGACAUAUUCUCAGAUUGUUGGGAGUCUUAUGUAGGCCAUGCAUUGUACCAGGCUAGAUAUUAGUUAUGCUGUAGGAACUUUGAGCAAGUUUACUAGUAGCCCUGGAGUUGAGCAUUGGAAUGCCUUAAUUAGUGUUUUAAGGUAUCUGAAGGGUACAAUUAAUGUUGGCCUACAUUAUUCUACCUUUCCAGCAGUUCUUGAAGGCUAUAGUGAUGCUACUUGGAAUUCUGAUCUGAAUGACUCUAAAUUUAUUACUUCUUGGAUUUUCACUUUGGCUGGAGCAAUAAUAUCUUGGAGAUCAAAGAAGCAUACAUGUAUUACUCACUCAAUCAUGGAGUCAAAAUUUAUCGCUAUGUCUUCUUUUGGAGAAGAAGUUGAUUGGCUGCGGAGUAUGUUGAUAGAUAUUCCAUUAUAGGGUAAGCCAAUACCACAUUUGACUAUAUAUUGUGAUAAUAAAGCUGCUAUAUUUCGGGCUUCAAGUGAUUGUUACAAUGGCAAGUCAAGACAAGUUCGUCUCAAAUACAAUCANNNNNNNNNNNNNNNNNNNNNNNNNNNNNNNNNNNNNNNNNNNNNNNNNNNNNNNNNNNNNNNNNNNNNNNNNNNNNNNNNNNNNNNNNNNNNNNNNNNNNNNNNNNNNNNNNNNNNNNNNNNNNNNNNNNNNNNNNNNNNNNNNNNNNNNNNNNNNNNNNNNNNNNNNNNNNNNNNNNNNNNNNNNNNNNNNNNNNNNNNNNNNNNNNNNNNNNNNNNNNNNNNNNNNNNNNNNNNNNNNNNNNNNNNNNNNNNNNNNNNNNNNNNNNNNNNNNNNNNNNNNNNNNNNNNNNNNNNNNNNNNNNNNNNNNNNNNNNNNNNNNNNNNNNNNNNNNNNNNNNNNNNNNNNNNNNNNNNNNNNNNNNNNNNNNNNNNNNNNNNNNNNNNNNNNNNNNNNNNNNNNNNNNNNNNNNNNNNNNNNNNNNNNNNNNNNNNNNNNNNNNNNNNNNNNNNNNNNNNNNNNNNNNNNNNNNNNNNNNNNNNNNNNNNNNNNNNNNNNNNNNNNNNNNNNNNNNNNNNNNNNNNNNNNNNNNNNNNNNNNNNNNNNNNNNNNNNNNNNNNNNNNNNNNNNNNNNNNNNNNNNNNNNNNNNNNNNNNNNNNNNNNNNNNNNNNNNNNNNNNNNNNNNNNNNNNNNNNUAAGGUGUCAAAGGAUUUUGAUUUUCACCGGAACAUAGCAAUAUGCGUAGAGUAUUUUUCUACUUCAUUCAAUGAACCACUUAGUUCAAGAUUUGUUCACUAAGUAGUCAAUGAUUUAGAAAGUUUCACUAGCUACUGGUUCAAGUCCAAAAGACACCAUUAUUGAUGCAUGUUGCUAGAUUGAUGUCUCAAAUGAAUUUUAUUUUAUUUUUAAAGAUAACAUUUCUUAAAACAAGUGGGGGAUUUUUGAUUUUAUGUUUCAAUAAAUUUUGAAACAAAUACAUUGGUUAAAGAUUUUUAAGAGUUAUGUUUCAAUUAGUUUUGAAACAAAUGCAUCACUUAAAGUUUUGAGUUACAAAGGAAAUGAAUUUGAUAAAUUCAUUAUUCAUAAAUUUUGAGUUACAAAGAAAAUUUAUUUGACAAAUUCAUUAUUCAUUAAGUUUUACGUUAUAGGUUCUUGAAAGAAUGACAUUUUUUGUUUUAAAACAUACAUGAACCUAUAAACUAUUACUUAAUUAAUAUACUUCUCAAGCAUGAAACUUUCAUCCUAUAAAUAUUGUUUUCUUUUGUUUGAAAAAGACAAGCACUCAAAACUACUUUUCCCUUGAAAACAUUUGAGAGACAUUGAUCAAAUGGUGAAAUCACCAAUUCAAGAAUAGAAGAGCAACAUUCUUAAAUGCUACUUGUUUUAUGGCUUAGUUGAAUCCCGAAGAUAGAGUUGUCACUUGUUCUUCCGUUUGCUCGUGGAAGAGACUCCAACUAUCUUCAAGAAGUGUAUUAUCGUGCCUCUAAGGCAAGCAAGUUUUAUUUUAAAUUUCUUGUACAAUUAUCAUUAUUGUUCUAACAAAAACUAGGGGUAGAGAAGGAGAAAAUUCACUAUGAUGGAGAGAAAUACAAGGAGGAGACGAAAGUCUCAAUGACGUAUAUAAACUACCACAAACAACCCACUAAAUCUGUCACGACCCAAACCGAGGCCCUGACAAUGACGAGCAUCCCGAAUCAUAAAAGCCCGGACGCCCCUCUCUAUCCGGUAGUCAUGCACAAUAUUCAUACAAUAAAAGAAGAUGCGUAAUGAAAUAGAAUACGGAAUCAUGAUCGUUCUGAAUUAAAUUUAAAGAUAGAAAAUAAAACCCAACAGCAACUGGACAAUAUCUGAACCAGUCUGCGAAAUCUCUAAUACACGAUAAAAUGAUAACUGUCUAAAAACUGGGACAAGGCCCCCAGUAGGCCUAUAAUAAAAUAAAUGACAUAGUCUGAAGUAAGCAGGUCUUCUAGAACAAAGAAGGCUCACCACUGCACAACUUGUUUCUCUCUAAAAUCUCUACUGCUUAGCCGGACCAUUAGAUCGAGCCUCAUACCUUGAGAGGUAGGGGGUCAAUACAGUUAUAAUGGUAUGCAGAGUAAAUCCAAAAUAAUAAUUUAUAUUCAUCAUAUAUGAGAACAAUUCAAAACAGUUCAUAAAUAUAUCAUAUGGUAAGAAUCACAUGGGCAUAUUUUAAAAAAAAAAACUAUAAAAUCAUAUGGACUCUAUGACACUCUUUGUUUUACUUCUAUACUAGGUGGUAUAGCCUACAACUCUAAAAUUCCACGGGCUAUAUGAAAUCUGUCCUUAACUCGGCAGCUAAUCCAUGUAUGCUACUAUUGCCACAGCCACUGCUCGCCAGAAAAUCGGGCCAAUCGCACCGACCCAACAAUUUGUAAAAUGAUUGUUGCGGGAUUUACUGGCCAACUUCGAGGCUGGUGGGAUAAUUUCUUGGACGAUGAUAAACGCGAGGUUAUUUUUAAUGCCACUAAUGAUAAACCCGGGAAAGAUAAUCUAGGCCGACCUCUUCGGGAAGGACGUUCAGAUGUUGUCUAUACCCUUAUGCUUACAAUUAUUGAACAUUUUGGAGGAAGAUUUACUAAUCAGUAUGAAAACAUUAGGACCCUUCUUAAUGUCUUAAAAUGUAAACACUUAGGCAAAUUUAGAUGGUAUAAAGAUACCUUUCUUAGUAGGGUUAUGGAUUUACCCAAAAGUAAGUAUGACCAUUGGAAAGCUAAAUUCAUUGAUGGCCUUCCACCUUUAUUUGCUGAAAGAGUUAGAAAAUCUCUUAGAGGAUCUUAUGGAGAAGUCCAGUAUUCAGAAAAAACUUAUGGUCAGCUUAUUGUAGCUUGUACUCAAGAAGGCUUAGCCCUUUGCAACGAGUUGAAAUUAGCUAGACAAAUUAAGCUUGAUAAACUCAGAGAAAAAUCCCAAUUAGGAGACUUUUGUGAGCAAUUUGGUAUGGNNNNNNNNNNNNNNNNNNNNNNNNNNNNNNNNNNNNNNNNNNNNNNNNNNNNNNNNNNNNNNNNNNNNNNNNNNNNNNNNNNNNNNNNNNNNNNNNNNNNNNNNNNNNNNNNNNNNNNNNNNNNNNNNNNNNNNNNNNNNNNNNNNNNNNNNNNNNNNNNNNNNNNNNNNNNNNNNNNNNNNNNNNNNNNNNNNNNNNNNNNNNNNNNNNNNNNNNNNNNNNNNNNNNNNNNNNNNNNNNNNNNNNNNNNNNNNNNNNNNNNNNNNNNNNNNNNNNNNNNNNNNNNNNNNNNNNNNNNNNNNNNNNNNNNNNNNNNNNNNNNNNNNNNNNNNNNNNNNNNNNNNNNNNNNNNNNNNNNNNNNNNNNNNNNNNNNNNNNNNNNNNNNNNNNNNNNNNNNNNNNNNNNNNNNNNNNNNNNNNNNNNNNNNNNNNNNNNNNNNNNNNNNNNNNNNNNNNNNNNNNNNNNNNNNNNNNNNNNNNNNNNNNNNNNNNNNNNNNNNNNNNNNNNNNNNNNNNNNNNNNNNNNNNNNNNNNNNNNNNNNNNNNNNNNNNNNNNNNNNNNNNNNNNNNNNNNNNNNNNNNNNNNNNNNNNNNNNNNNNNNNNNNNNNNNNNNNNNNNNNNNNNNNNNNNNNNNNNNNNNNNNNNNNNNNNNNNNNNNNNNNNNNNNNNNNNNNNNNNNNNNNNNNNNNNNNNNNNNNNNNNNNNNNNNNNNNNNNNNNNNNNNNNNNNNNNNNNNNNNNNNNNNNNNNNNNNNNNNNNNNNNNNNNNNNNNNNNNNNNNNNNNNNNNNNNNNNNNNNNNNNNNNNNNNNNNNNNNNNNNNNNNNNNNNNNNNNNNNNNNNNNNNNNNNNNNNNNNNNNNNNNNNAUAAAUGGUAUAUAAAUUGCACUAUUUUGAUAAAUAAGAAAUUUUUUGUCACUAAUGUUGCUAUGAUUGAUAGUGGUGCUGAUGUUAGUUGUAUUCAAGAAGGACUAAUUCCAAUCAGGUAUUUUGAAAAAACUACUCACGUAGUAAAAUCUGCAUCUGGUCAUACUCUUGAUGUCAACUAUAAAUUACCAAAUACUCAUAUAUGUCGAGAUAAAGUCUGCAUUCCUCAUUUCUUCUUUUUAGUAAAACCAAAAAUUUAUAAUUAGAACUGAUGCUCAAUCUGUCAAAUUUAUGUUUAAUAAAGACUUCAAACAUGAUGCCACUCAGCCUACCAUACCAUAUAAUGAUAUCGGAUUAGGCCUAAGUCGGAAGACCGAACCAAAGCACCAACCGGAAUAGAAAAGAAUCUUAAGUAGUUUUAUGACUGUAUGGACUCUUUUACCCAAACAUGGGGCCUGUCAGAGAUUUAAUAACCUUAUGUUGAACCUGUGUGUCUAGAAGUUCUAAUUGUGCAGAAAUUCGCCCUUUUNNNNNNNNNNNNNNNNNNNNNNNNNNNNNNNNNNNNNNNNNNNNNNNNNNNNNNNNNNNNNNNNNNNNNNNNNNNNNNNNNNNNNNNNNNNNNNNNNNNNNNNNNNNNNNNNNNNNNNNNNNNNNNNNNNNNNNNNNNNNNNNNNNNNNNNNNNNNNNNNNNNNNNNNNNNNNNNNNNNNNNNNNNNNNNNNNNNNNNNNNNNNNNNNNNNNNNNNNNNNNNNNNNNNNNNNNNNNNNNNNNNNNNNNNNNNNNNNNNNNNNNNNNNNNNNNNNNNNNNNNNNNNNNNNNNNNNNNNNNNNNNNNNNNNNNNNNNNNNNNNNNNNNNNNNNNNNNNNNNNNNNNNNNNNNNNNNNNNNNNNNNNNNNNNNNNNNNNNNNNNNNNNNNNNNNNNNNNNNNNNNNNNNNNNNNNNNNNNNNNNNNNNNNNNNNNNNNNNNNNNNNNNNNNNNNNNNNNNNNNNNNNNNNNNNNNNNNNNNNNNNNNNNNNNNNNNNNNNNNNNNNNNNNNNNNNNNNNNNNNNNNNNNNNNNNNNNNNNNNNNNNNNNNNNNNNNNNNNNNNNNNNNNNNNNNNNNNNNNNNNNNNNNNNNNNNNNNNNNNNNNNNNNNNNNNNNNNNNNNNNNNNNNNNNNNNNNNNNNNNNNNNNNNNNNNNNNNNNNNNNNNNNNNNNNNNNNNNNNNNNNNNNNNNNNNNNNNNNNNNNNNNNNNNNNNNNNNNNNNNNNNNNNNNNNNNNNNNNNNNNNNNNNNNNNNNNNNNNNNNNNNNNNNNNNNNNNNNNNNNNNNNNNNNNNNNNNNNNNNNNNNNNNNNNNNNNNNNNNNNNNNNNNNNNNNNNNNNNNNNNNNNNNNNNNNNNNNNNNNNNNNNNNNNNNNNNNNNNNNNNNNNNNNNNNNNNNNNNNNNNNNNNNNNNNNNNNNNNNNNNNNNNNNNNNNNNNNNNNNNNNNNNNNNNNNNNNNNNNNNNNNNNNNNNNNNNNNNNNNNNNNNNNNNNNNNNNNNNNNNNNNNNNNNNNNNNNNNNNNNNNNNNNNNNNNNNNNNNNNNNNNNNNNNNNNNNNNNNNNNNNNNNNNNNNNNNNNNNNNNNNNNNNNNNNNNNNNNNNNNNNNNNNNNNNNNNNNNNNNNNNNNNNNNNNNNNNNNNNNNNNNNNNNNNNNNNNNNNNNNNNNNNNNNNNNNNNNNNNNNNNNNNNNNNNNNNNNNNNNNNNNNNNNNNNNNNNNNNNNNNNNNNNNNNNNNNNNNNNNNNNNNNNNNNNNNNNNNNNNNNNNNNNNNNNNNNNNNNNNNNNNNNNNNNNNNNNNNNNNNNNNNNNNNNNNNNNNNNNNNNNNNNNNNNNNNNNNNNNNNNNNNNNNNNNNNNNNNNNNNNNNNNNNNNNNNNNNNNNNNNNNNNNNNNNNNNNNNNNNNNNNNNNNNNNNNNNNNNNNNNNNNNNNNNNNNNNNNNNNNNNNNNNNNNNNNNNNNNNNNNNNNNNNNNNNNNNNNNNNNNNNNNNNNNNNNNNNNNNNNNNNNNNNNNNNNNNNNNNNNNNNNNNNNNNNNNNNNNNNNNNNNNNNNNNNNNNNNNNNNNNNNNNNNNNNNNNNNNNNNNNNNNNNNNNNNNNNNNNNNNNNNNNNNNNNNNNNNNNNNNNNNNNNNNNNNNNNNNNNNNNNNNNNNNNNNNNNNNNNNNNNNNNNNNNNNNNNNNNNNNNNNNNNNNNNNNNNNNNNNNNNNNNNNNNNNNNNNNNNNNNNNNNNNNNNNNNNNNNNNNNNNNNNNNNNNNNNNNNNNNNNNNNNNNNNNNNNNNNNNNNNNNNNNNNNNNNNNNNNNNNNNNNNNNNNNNNNNNNNNNNNNNNNNNNNNNNNNNNNNNNNNNNNNNNNNNNNNNNNNNNNNNNNNNNNNNNNNNNNNNNNNNNNNNNNNNNNNNNNNNNNNNNNNNNNNNNNNNNNNNNNNNNNNNNNNNNNNNNNNNNNNNNNNNNNNNNNNNNNNNNNNNNNNNNNNNNNNNNNNNNNNNNNNNNNNNNNNNNNNNNNNNNNNNNNNNNNNNNNNNNNNNNNNNNNNNNNNNNNNNNNNNAAAAAGCGAUUUUAGGAAUAUUUUGGUGUUUAUGCAAAACUAAUUUUUUGGCGACUUAACUAAGGAUUUAACUAGGUUCGCCAAGCACAUAAGGGAAACAAACAUAAAGAUCGGAGGGAAAGGGAGGAAGUAAGGGAUUUAGGCCAUUGGCCCAAACCAACAAAAUCUGUCCUAGUCUAAUUGGGCCUUCGACCCAUUUCACCUGUCCUAAUCUAAUUUUCGAGCGUUUGGCUCGAAUCUUGCCUCCACCUGUGUUAAAUACAACCUUGGCUUCAUGGCCUGAAUGAAUGAAUAAAAUAAAUAAAGACAACAAUAAUUAAACGAAAUGAAAUAAUAAAUGAGACUUUUGUCUCUUAGCCGCUUCAAGAAUGGGACUUUAACCCAUUUCUCCUCCUUGCGACUCCAUGCGUCAGUUCAUUACUUAACCAGCUUUGGGCUUGACUCAACGGAUGGGCCUGAUUGGCCCAUUAGCGAAUGCAAAUAGGAAAGAGUCCUUUUGGACUUCGAGGCGGGUUCAUACGAAAGAAGAAAAGAGAUGAAAUUAAUACACACCCAAAAUACGAAUUACUACAUGGAGAAAUAGUAUAACAAAUUGAUAAACAAAAAGUCAACUGUAGUGUCAUCAAAUGGAUUAUAAGACAAUAAUUUAAAUUCAUGCAAUAUAAUAGCACACACCAUCCACCAUCAUAAUAAAAUUGAAACUAAAAGCAUGACAAUAUCACAACUUUUUCAGGAAAGAAUGAAGCAUUGUUUUUGCAAAGAAAAUUAUAGUUGAACUAAACUAAACAUGUUACAAAGCUACGCUGUUUAUCGAACAAACUAAAAUUUAGUUAGAUUGAACCUGGGGAAAUACGUUCGUCCAAGUUAGAUUAAACAAAAAUUACGAGUCGAACCACAUUAAACAUCAUUAUACUGUUAAAAUGAUAAGUUAAAGAAUUACAACAGGCAAUAUUUCAUCAUGUACUUAAGCUAGCGCAAGAAAUUACAGGUGCAAAACUGGAGAACUGAAAUUACAGCAAGCAAUGAUUCAUCAAUAGUCAGGAGAAAAAAGGAUAAAAAUCCAAUAUUGUCAUACUAAACUACAAAUAACAGGGUAAAGGGCUGGGAUUAAAAUAAAAAAAGUGCUCAACUGAGGAAAGUAAUCAGACUACAUGAAAAAACGACUGCUAACGAACAAAUUUCACAUAUUUUGUAAAGAUUCGAUGACUGCUACGACAAAUUUGGAAUAAAAGCAGUCUAAGAAAACUAGAACUUCGGCGAACGAACCUCAUGAAAUAAGAUGAUCAAUUAAGGGUAGAAUAACAAGAACAUCUUCCCUAGAUGUUUAAUCUUCAUUAAAACUAAAUUCCAGAGGCAGCCGUCCAAACUUAUUAUUAUCUAACUUUUCAUACUAAAAAAAAUACUACACUCAUGUCGAUACAUCGAGAAAGGUCGACAUCAACAUAGAACUUUAAAUAGAUUUAAAGAGGGGAAAUAGUAAAACACUCAAGCAUUAUUCGAUAGUCAAAAAAUGCCUUACAGAACUCUAGAAGUUCUAGACAAAUGAACCAAAAUUGAAUCAAAACUACAGUAAGAAAAGGGAAAGCAACUUGAAUAAACAGCGACUACCUAGGAAACGUAAAAUUAACCAUAGGAAUUUGAUUCCGAAGAUAGAUAAGGCGAAAAUAUAACGUGCGUCUAACUAUCAAAACCAAAGGAGCAAAUGAUGUAGGAAAAGGCUAGACAUUUUUCAAACUAGGAUGUAAUUAAGCAAGUUGUAACAUCUAGAAAACUUAUUUACAGUGAAUGAACAAAGCAGUAUUUUCUUUUUCUUUAAAAUUAACCCAGAACAAGAACGCUAUUCGCACUUUUUCAGAAAUACAUCGGCGAGGCCCUCCUUACCCUCUUUUCGACCUCAACUUGAAAUGAACUUUCGAAAACCCAAAGUAGGGUCAUCUAGAGUUCAUAGGACUGUCGCCUUACACAUAUGUAUCAGUCUCAAAGGUUAAGAGCUAUGAGGUAGACUGAAUCCCGUUGAUUCAGUAAAUUAAACCAACACCAGUGACCUUGCAUUAAGGACAAGACUUAAGAAAACUGGGACAAAUCAGAGCAAAGGUAUGCCAAAGAAGACAUAAAAAGACCAAAGUAGGCAUGUUCAAACAUAGAGACAGCGAAUCAAACCAUAAGCAGCGUACAAAAGUGAAAACCAUGAUUAAAUAGUUAAUUAAUGAUAUUAAAGUUUAAACAAUAGAUUGCAAAAUCGAGGGAAGCAACAGGAAGCUAAAGUCACGGAUUAAACGAUUAUAAUAAUAGUUAGCCUAGCAUAGCAAAAAUGCUACAUCAAAAAAAAAAGAAACUAGAAACGAAAGACUCAAUCUUGAUGAUAUUAAUGUUUAUUCAUACCAUAACUCUCAGAUAACCAAUGACGUCAAGUAAAAGACAGUAUAUUCGACAUAAUCACAUUGAAAAUUACAACAUGAGCUCUGUUUCAGCGAAAUAGCACAACAAUAAUCACAAAACAACCCCUAAGGCCAUCACAGCCAUCUACAGCAGACAAAACCCAGCCUCAUUCACAAUUACCAUAAAAUAUCAACUGAUUCUACGGAGAGAAAGGGGGAUGAAGAAGAGAGUGACAAAAUUAAAAGAACAAAAGUAUAUUCACCUCUUCUAGGGUAGCAAAACAGGAAAACGAGUUGAUGAUAGGAUUUCGACCAACAGAAAUCAGUCUUCGACUCGAUAGCAUUGAUUAACCGCCGACCUUUUUCAAAAAUAAAGAUUUUACUAGAAAAGGGGUUUGCUUGAGUGCUCGAUUUUCAGCCUUCCAAGCCUCUCUUUUUUUGACUCAAGGAUGAGCUAUUUAUAGCGAAACCAAAUGGAGAUUAAUUUCCCAUUCCAUCGAUGUGGGAUUCUGUUUAAUAAGGGUAAUUUUGGGAAAUUCUCUAAAAGGAAAUUCAAAAUUCGAACUCAAGAUAGCCUUUUCCCACCAACCAACUCACAUGAAUUUGGAAUUUUCUUCCUCUCCUGCCAAAUUCUCUAACUAAUGGAAUUUGAAAGGAUGAAAUUCCUUCACGAACCAAUAGAAAUCGAGCAGGUGUGUACGAACUCGUACAACUCUAUCCGUUACAAAUAAAUAAGACAUGACAACUCUUGCGUAACAACCAUGACAAUAGACUAUCAUUCGCCACAUAACCAAUGAAGUAUCAUUCGAGCACUUGGGAAUCUUAAACAUGUAAUUGAAAAGGAAAGCAUGCUAUUGUCUCAUAACUCAUCCAACAAGGAAUUCACAUGAAUAGGAAUACAUGAAACAUAUCAUAAUUCAUUCAUUUAGGCCUUUUAACAAACACUUAGUAUGCACUAGUUUACAUAUGCUUAGGAAUAACAUACUUUAUGUUACAAUGACACUAUUUUCUUCACAUAAGCAAUUUAUCAAGCAUGUGGGAGGCACCCUUUGUCCAUACAACAUUCAAUACACCAAAUUAACAUAAUUACAUAAUUCAACACAUACUAAGGUCACUUGCAUCUUUAUGAUCACAUCAUGAAUUAAAACUUAAUAUUAACAUGGACUUCAACUUCAAACCACAUAAAUCAUAAAAAAUUCAUAAACAUAAAAUCUUGAAUUUAAAAAAAGGAUUCUUGAACUUCUUGGUGGAAAGAACCCAAGAAUCAACAUCCAACAUACCUUGCUAUUUGAUUCUUGAAAAUUUAACGAAGGAAUCUUGAUGAUUGGGGCCUUGAUUUAGGAACCAUAGCUCUUGUUCUUGAACAAUUUUGAGAGAAAACUAGUAUUUUUGGGUUAAAUGAGGUCAAAUCCCAUGUUAAUGGACUUAUAUAGGGGUAGUAAAAUGACCCAUUUACCCUUGAAAAAAUAGGGCUGAAAGCUAAAAAAUUCUGGAGCAUGCUAUGGAGCACUAGAGCAUGCGCCGCAUGCUAUAUCGCAUGGUGCCAGGUGUGAAAUGGACUAUGCGACACAUCCUAAUCGCAUGGUGCCACUGGUUUGAAAUCCAAACACACCCUAAAUGGAUUCUGAAAAUUCCAAAACUCACCUGAGAUGUACAAUUGACUUGCCCCAUCAUGAUGCAACUUAAAAAUCGAAAAACGGAGGUAGGAAAGAUCGCAAAAUAAUUUUUCAAAGUUCGAAGGCUUAUGGAAUGGAAAAGUUUCAUUACUUAGCCAAAUUUUCUAAGUGUUAAGCCUUUCUUGGCAUACUUUAGAAGCUCUAAUGACUCAAAAAUUUUACGAGGUAUUACAUUUCUACUAUUAUUUGAAAGGUUACAAUGAACCUUUAUGUAGCUGAUAUUGCUAGGAUCUAUAAUAUUUUUUCUGGGGGUGGGGUCACUAUGUCAAGGGCACUUGGCCACAUCUUGACAAUCUUGCAUCUGCUCUUGACAUAUGUAAAAAGUUCUCUAGAAAUCCUCACCUGAUCACUCAUAGAAGAGUUCUUAAGAGGGAGAUGUCUCCACUCCACCAAUUCUAUUUUGAUAUAGUUCAUAAGAUGAUCAUCCCUAAGAAGGAAAGAAAAAUUGUGGCUAGUUUUCUUGACCUUACUCUUGUGAAACUGUUGGACACUGAGGUGGAAAUUGACUUGCCUCGACUCAUAUUGAAGCAUAUGAAAAGGGUUCUCCUUAAGAAAGUAAAUGGACAGGCUGCAUUGGAGGCUGCUCAUGAGGAUGAGAAAAGGGUCCUUCAUGCUCAAAUUUCUUCCCUUACAACCACUUUGGAAAAGAAAAGAGCUGAGAAUGCUGAUGUUAUUAGAAAGCUGACCUCUCUUAUCCCCUUCUCCUCAUCCACUUAAGCCCUUUCUUAGUGCCUUAGGCAUAUUUUUCGUGUUGUCUCUUGGUCCAUGUUGUUUCUCUUUUUGUUGUUACUAGGUUAUGAUAAUUGUAUCAUGUUCUAUGAAUGAAAUGGGACUUUUGUUUAAAGUGUUGUGCUUCUAUUUUUUCAUAAUGCAUUAUUGUUCGUUUGCUCUGAGUUUUGAUUGUUUUAGUGAUAGUCCUAGUGGCCAUGAAUUAUUAAACAGUAUCACUUAUUGGGGCUAGCUUUUCGAUGAUUCCAAAAGGGAGAAGAAUAGAUUAUACAAUGCUUAUAACUCAAUGACUAACCUAUUUUAUUGUGUUGUGAUCCUCUAUUUUAAUCCUUUAUUGAGUGUGUUGGGAUUUUAAAAUGGAUGUUAUGCUGCUAAGUUUGUCAUCAUCAAAAAGGGAAAAUUUGUUAGGGAAUAUGAAUUUUUGAUGAUGGACAUAUGAAUGAAAUAUAUUGUACAAGUUGUUCCACAUAAGUGAACAAGUCACAGACAAGACUACUGAUAAGAUGGCACUGUAAAAAAAUAGGAGUGGAUAAGUAACAUGCUCUCAAUACUUAUCACAUCAGCUGAAGUAGAUGAGUGCAACAUCUACAAGUUGAGUUGAUCAAGAAGUCCUACAAAGCAAGAAGUUGAGUUGAUCAAGAAGUCUUGCAAAUCCUAUGAGAUAGAAGAGAAGAGUCUUAUUCAAGCAAGGAGAGAGAGAGACCGCAACAAAGAGUGAAACUACCUGGAAGUCCUAUUGAAGAUAGAAGAAUACAUCAACUAAAGAACUCCAUCAGGAGUUGUCUUAACUACAACAAACGACAUUCAAGUGUUUCUCUCACGUACUAAAAAAGAUAGUCAACAAUCAGCAAAUCAGUUCUACAACUUGAAAAAGCUAGUGGAGCAACCUGGUCCUUUACUUAGAGUCAUAGACUUUGUGUAAUAGUUGAUCAUUGAGUCAUAUUGAGUUGUAAUCUCUAGUCUCAGUAAAUUAUAAACUGAGUUAAGAUUAACGUCUUCAAGUUGGGGAAAUCGAAGACUUGGGAACACUUAUCUUGGAAAGAUUAGUGUUUUGUAGAAGUAGGAGUUAAAAGUUUUAAUUCCUAGUUUACAAGAAGUCUUGUAAUUUGUUAAUUUUUGAGGCUCAAGAGUUAUAGUGAAGUUGGGGUUAAAUCCUGUAGAGGUACAGAUCGUGGGUUUUUAUACCUUUCUUGAGCCGAAUAUUUUUCACAUAAAAAUACUGUGUUCAAGUUUUACUUCAGUGAACCACGUUAGCUUACAUGUUCUACAGAUAGGCAACUAAGUAGAGUAAAAUAUUAAAAUUGGUAGGACAUGCAUUCCUAACAUGUUUUUUUCCGAAAAGACACUAAGAGAAAGAAUGCAAUUUGAAUAGACACCUUUUCGGAUUGAAUGAUUAUGACCUUUCCUAUGGAUUGUGACUCUUCCGAAGAGUUACACCUUUUUCGAAGAGUUGCACUUUUAUAAAGGGGUGCACCUUUCUGAACUAUUGUUUCUCUUUAUGAAGCAAUAAUUUGAUGACUAUAAAAUACCUGAAUUUUUUCUUAGGUAAAGAUAAUUUUUUGAGUAGAAAAACAAUCUUCUUCUUCUUCUAAAAGUUCUCGUGUAAUCAUCAAAUCGUUGAGUGUGUUCGAAGUGUCUGAAAAUUUGAGGUACCGCUAUUUUAAAAAACAGAAUCAUUUUAUACUGGAAGGAAAGAUUUCAUAACCUCGGGUACUUGAGGGAAAUAAAUUUCUUAAUGACACACUGUGCAUUCGGUGGACUUGAUUCGACAAUUUUCUGCGUCAUCUUUUUUCUUAAAAUUUAGAAAUAUUUCGUUUUGAUAGUUCAUUUGAUUAUUCAUUUGGACUUAUGUUUGAAGUUGUUGUAACUUUAUUGUAGUUCUUGAAAGUUGUUCUUGAACUUAGUAUUGAAGUUUGGGCUGAAACAUAUAGAUUUUUGUACGCAGAAUAGCAUGUUCAAACUAAAGUAUGAACAAUUAAAUGAAUUUGUAUCCUUGUACUCACAACUUUAAAUUUUUAACAAUAACUUCAACCCAACUUUUGAACAACCAAAAUUGAAGCUCAAACUAUUUUUUGAAAAAUAGCAAAAUUAAGCAUUUAGAAAGAGAUGAAGAUUGAAAGAUUUAAGUCCACCGAAUUAACGGUGUGUUCUUAAGGAAAUAAUUUUUUUCAAGUACCCGAGGUUAUCAAAUCAGUCUAAAAUGAAUCACUUCGACAAAAUAGUUAUACCUUAAAAUCUGUCAAACUACAAACGCACUCAACGAUAGCAAAUCACACUAGAGUUUUUCAAGAAAGGGGAGUGUUUUUUACUUAAAAAUUUCAUGUAUGUACCUGAGAAAAAAAUUAGGUAUUUAUAACCAUGAAGGUGUUGCUUCUUGAAUGGAAGCAAUGGUUCAAAAAUGUACACCUCUUCAUAAAGGUGCAACUCUUCGAAAAAGCCACAACCCAUUGAAAAGGUCAUAACCAUCCAAACUGGAAAGGUGCCUAUUCAAAUUGCAUUCUUUCUCUUGAUGUCUUUUUCCAAAAAACACCUGCUUAUUUUCCAUUCACACCUCUUAAAAACCUAAUAAUUAUCCACAUGAAUGGUGAAUGACUAUUUUAUCAAGAAAUAUACGGACAAGUGUGUGAUCUACAAGCAAAGACUAAUUGCAUCUAGAUAAGUAAAUUUUUUUUGAACUUUUUGUAGUGAACUUGCAUCGGAUGCACUCAAUCAAUCGGUAGAUGUGAUAUCUUUAAAUCAUCGAACUUUAAUGUACACCUAGAUAACACAAAUUGCACAACCAACUUUUUCUCGUUUAUGGUUCUCACGGUUUUGUUCGUUUCAGCCAUGACCAUUUUUUGAUUUCAUGAGAGUUUAGAGAAUAAGCCUUUACUAUCAUUCUCCUUGAAGCGGCUUCCACUUCAUCCUCACAUAGGUGAUUUCUAAACGUUUAAUCCUAUAGAUCAAACUAUUUAGUCAAACUUGUCAAACUUGAAAGCCAUUAAAAAGUUUCACACCAUAAGCCUUAUCCGUGUUUCCUUAACAUUGUCUUCAUCGUGAGAAUGAGUUUAAUUGACAAUGUUGAACCGUCAGUCACAACUUUGUUUGAUCUCCUUAAACCUAACUCUUGGGAUCUCCGGUCUGCUAGGUAGAGUUACUGCCGUAAUGACUUGUCCUAGGCCGUAAACUCAUUCCUUCAAUGAUUUCUUUAUAUAUAUAUAUAUAUAUAAAGGAGACUUAGAAAUAUUAUAACGUGGCAUACUUGUAAGGCCUCCAUUUCUAUUUUUCUUUUUUCUCAAUUUUUUGACAUUUUUCCUAUUUUUUUUUCUAUUUACUUGCACAAUUUCUGAAAAUCAAACAUUGUUGUUAGAAUUAAUUUGUAAUUCCUCAUUAAUUAUUUAAUGUGAAUAGGUGUGUGUCUUCAAUUUUGUAAUGUAUAAUGUAAAGCGUCAAUUGGACUCAAUAUUUGUUAGUUAUUGAGGAAGCCUAAAAAAAAUUCUUUUCAUUUUGAUAAUGGAGAAGCAGCAACGCGAUUUAUGAGUACCAAAUAAAAUAAUCUAAAUCCAACUUUUACGUUUUAUCCAUUUCAUUUUCUCAGAAUAAUAAGAGCAGCUCAUUAUUAUUCAUGAAUGUGGUCAUAAACAGUUACUACUUUCCAUCUCCCAAUUUACUCUAGCUUUUAAUGCAUUAUUAUAAUUAAUGAAUGUCAUUAUUACUUAUAUAUAUUUAGUAUACCAUGGAUUUUGACAAUCAAGUAAAUUGAUGGAGAUGUAGAGGUCCAUGAAGUACACAGAGAUAGUGACAAACUAAGCAAAAUUGGUCAGCACGUUUCAUUUUUUUCACCAUCUUUCAAAUGUUAUUUUUAUUGUUCAUUUUUCCACCUUCUUCCAAGUAUCGUCAUUGAUUAUAAAUUUAUACCUUCGUUAUUGAUAAUAAAUAUACGUGACACCUCUAUAUGGCCUCCAUUUGAUUUACUAUUUUUUUCAUUUUUAACUUUUUCCUUUCAUUUUUUUUAUUUAUCAAUUUAUUUACUAAUUAAAAACUAUUAUAUUCAUUACAAUAGUUAUAUCAAAUGAGUAACAAAAACCUCUACCUUUUACUCUUUCUGUGCUUAAAUUACAUAUCUCCUCAACUCUCAAUUACUUAAUUCAAAUGAUUGAAUUAACUAUUCUAUAAAUAACAAACACCUAUAAAAUUAUUGAAUGUUCAUUUUCGUUUUAUACUACUUCUUCUUCUUUAUUCAAUUUUUUCUUUUCUCCCUUUUUGAUUUUUUCUUUCAUGUAUUUUGCAGCUCAUCAAAGGUUUCUCUAGAUGAAAGAUUGGUCUCGAGAUAAAGGGUUAAAGAAAGAAUUUUUUUUAAUUACACUAAUUAUCAUUGUUGUUGUUUAGUUUUCAGUAAAAAAAUUGUAAACAUAUAAUUUUUUCUAAUAAUACAAAUUAAGUGUUAUUGAUUAAUUUUCAGUAAAAGAUUUACUAUAAGAUUUUUUAAAAAUUUUUAUCUUUUUAAUUUAUGAUAUUCUAAUAUUUUGAGGUCGGUAUAUUCUGACUUUUAAAGGAGAAAGGAACAUAAAUUAUCAAGAAAAUAAAAAGUAAUUUAUUUCUUAAUAAGUGGAAGCAUCUGGAUAUUUCUUAAUUGAAUUGUGAACUUCUUAAUUCAAUUUGUAAAAAAAUAUGAAAAUAAUUUUACUUCUUACAUUUCGUUGUCUUUUCCUUAAUUUCAAGAAUUCUUUUAAUUUGAAUUCCAAGUUGCUAGAAUUGAAAGAAAAAAUAUUGAAAUCAGAAACAGUAUUUCUUGUCAUUGUUCAUUUCAUUUUAAGAUUUUAGAAGUUUUAAAUAACUUAAGAUUAAUUAAUGAAGUAUUAUUUAUAAAUAAUGUUGAAUUUGGUAUAGAAAGGUAAAUAAGACUAGGUUAUAGAUUUUAUUUUUAGCAUAUAAGAUUACAGUGUUGUGGUGUUUUUAUUUCUAUGCAUGCAGAGUCAAAAAAAAAAAAAAAAUCUCCGUUUCUGAAAAAAUUAACCUACUUUCUUUUUUAAUCAGUUUAAAAAAUGAUAUUUUCUUUUUCUUAAUAAUAUUUUAACUCCAACUUUUCACGUGGCAUGUUUAAAACUAUAAGAUUAAAGGACAUUUUACUACAUUUGACAUAACUUUAAUUUAAAAUCACAAGAUUCAAAAGUUUCUUUAUUUUUUUAAAUUUUGUAUCAAGUCAAAACAAAUCUUUAUUUUUAAAAUGGAGGGAGCAGUUUUUCCCCCUCUUCCAUUAAAAAAUAUAAAUUCAUCCAUUAGUUUAUUUUAUGUUAAAAAUCUAAACAACCUUUAGUAAAUACUUAAAAAUUAUGGUUCUUUUCCUUCCCUUUCAAUGAACUUUUAUUAACGGAAAAGGGCCUAAAAUGCCCUUCAACUAUUCAAAAUAGUGUAAAAAUGUCCUCCAUCUACCUAUUGGGUCUGAAAUACCCUUGAUGUCCUUGAUGGCUAACUAUUGGGUCUACUUUGCCCUUUAUUUUAACAGAUUAAUUAUCCUCAAUUCAAUAAUGACGUGGCUUCUUCUAAUUGUUCAAUUAAUAAUUAAUUAAAUUAAUUAAUAACCCAACUCAUUAAACCUGACCCACAACCCAUCCAAACCUAAUAAUCCGAUCCAUUAAUACUCCAAACCUAAUAACCAGAUCCGACCAAUCCAACCCUAAUAAUAACGUAAAAAAAAAUAAAAUCAGUCAACCCUAAUAAUCUAUAUUUUUGACGUAGAAAGCAUCGCCUGGAAGGUAAAUAAUCAGAUGUGGUUGAUCCUUCGAGCAAUCAAUUCCAAAUCCUGUAUAGCCACAAUACUGAGGAGCACUGACGUUGUAAUUGUCGAGUCUCCAGAAAGGAUACAAAAUUUGAAUUUCAUUGCAGGUGAAAUUAGGACAAUAUGCAUGUGAUGACUGUGUAUCAACAUUUGCACUGGAUAUGACGAAGGAGAAAAACAGAGACACGAAAAAGUAAUCGAAGAAGAAGAAGGAGAUUAAUUGAUUUUGAAACAUCGUUAAUUGACUUAAACAAAAUGCUGAACUGAUUGGUAUUAAUUUUGGCAGCUUCAAACUCGCAAUUACUCAGUUCGCUUGACUCUCAAACUCGAAUACCACCACAUAAAUUAGAUCGAAAGAACUCCCAAUUACUCAAUUCGCUUGACUCUUAAACUCGCAACUGAUUUGUUUUUUUUUUUUACAUUAUUAUUAGGGUUGGAUGGGUCAGGUCGGGUUAUUAGAUUUGGAGUAUUAACGGGUAGGAUUAUUAGGUUUGGAUGGAUUGUGGGUCAAGUUUAAUGGGUUGUGUUAUUAAUUUAAUUAAUUAUUAGUUGGCUAAUUAAAAGAAGUCAUGUCAUUAAUGAAUUGAAAAUAAAUUAAUCUGUUAAGAUAAAGGGCAAAGUAGACCCAAUAGGUAGACAUCAAGGGCAUUUCAGAUCCAAUAGGUAGAUGGGGGGCAUUUUUACACCAUUUUAAAUAAUUGAAGGACAUUUUAGACCUUUUUCCAUUUUAUUAAUAUGUAUUAAUGUCCCCGAGGUAGAAGAUAAUAAGACAAAAAAUAAAAUAUCUUGCAUAUUAUCAAAGAAAUUUUAAGUAUGCCAGUAUUAUUUUUUUUUUUUUUCUGAAAACAUACACUUUGAGUAAUAAUGAAAAGAAUUAAAAAAUACACUAAAUAAAAUUUAAAAAGAGAAGAAAAUGGCUAUCAAUACAAAGACAAAGGUAGGAUUAAUAUAAAGAUUAUAAGAAAAAAUGUUAAGUUGGAUUAGUAAAUUAAUAUAUAAUAUUUUAUUCAUUCUUAAUUUUUCAUAUUGUUAAUAAUUUAUCUCCCAGUUAAAUUUUUUGGUCUUUUUAUAUUGAGAGAAUACUCACAAAAAUACAUGAAAUUUGACCGAAUUUUCAGUUCAGCAUACUGAACUUUGCGGGGGUCCUAUUACCCCCUAAACUUUUUUAAAGUGGAAUUAUUACUCCCGAAACUCUAUACCCAGAUUUGGCUGCCGAAGGUGUGACACUACGCCCUUUCUUCUCCAUUUUCAUUAUUUUCACCAUUACAACCAUAUUACUCCUACAAACAACAUUGGUAAUACUACAAUACAAAUUUUCACCAAAUUCUUGAAAUUUGACUUUUAUUUAGUUCAUUAAAAAAAAAAAUUUUCAAAUUUCAAAUUUAAAUCGAAAAUUCUCUUCAAUAAUUUUAUUCAAAUAGAAAACAGAGGAUCCCAAAAUAACUAAGCAUUAUGCCUAUCAAAGCUCUACAUCUCCAAUAUUUUCGUGGUCCUCUUCUUCAUUGCAUAAACAUGUUCCCUAAGCUUCCAAUUCCUCUCCUGUGGACCCUCCAUUAAUCUCAAUAUCAAGUUCUCCGCAAAUUUCAUUAUGAAUUCCAUCCUUUCUUUUUUUUCCCGAUUGAUUACAAAUCUCAAAUCAAACACUAAUCAUAUGUAUAUAAGUUAAAAUAUAAAUAGAUAUAAUACCUAAUAAAUCACAAUUCAUAUAGUAAAAGUUCAAUUUUACUGAGGUGGUGGUGGUGGCUGCCGAUGGUAUUACUAUUGGCGGCAAUGGUGGGUUGGUUGGUGGUGACAAUUGUGGGUUAAUUUUGCUAUUUUUGAUGGAAUUGGAGAAUACCCAUUUAGUGUGUGUGUUGAAAUUGGAUAAAAUUAAUGCAAUAGAAUUGAGUGUGUUGAAGAUGACUCAUUUGGUGUGUGUGUGUAUGUGUGAUGAAAUUAUUUUCAAUUCAACAAUGGAGCACCAAUUUAACUCCAUUGAAAGAAAGAAAGAAAGAAAGAAAGAAAAGAGAAAGAAUGAAAAAUAAAAAAAAUAUAUAAAAUUUUUAAAAGUCAACAAAUUGAGGGUAUUUGACCCAAAAAAAAAUAAUUUAACGUUUUUAAUCACUCUCACGCGCUCAAGAGGCAUGAUUACACGCACUUGUCAAAGUGGACCGAUAUAUGCCAUUAAAAUAUAAAAAAAAGUCUAGGGGGUAAUAGAACCCCCGCAAAGUUCCGUAUGCUCAACUGAAAAUGUGAUCAAACUUCAGAUAUUUUUGUAAAUAUUCUCCCUUUUUAUAUUCUAACUUUCGUUUCAUAUUCUCUAAUUAAAUUGAGUAAUUACUAUCUAACAGUAUCUCUACUUUAAAUAUUUGAUAACAUGUUUAUAGGUGAUAUUUAAGAUUUAAUUAUAUGUUAUAUUAAAAUUCGAAAGUAUUAUUUUUAAUUGUUAGGGAGUUAUUAUUAGAAGACAAAAGAUAAUGAGUGAGGUAUGAUAUUUUCUUUUAAAAAAAGAUGAAGAGAGGAGUAAGAAUAGAAAAGCAAAAACAAGAAAAAUUAAAAAUACGAAAAUUAAAGAGAAGGGAAAGGAUAAGAUAAGAUAAAAUGUGCAUGCUAGAUUAAUUAUAUUUGUAUUAAAUAUAUAAAUAUAUAGUUUUGUUCUAAAAUUUAUUAAGAAUACUUAUGAAAGGAUGUUGAAUCUUACUACUUUGUUUAAGAAAAAUAAAAUUAUUUUGUUUACUUGUAAUAUAUUAUAUAAAAUUUAAUUAUUUUAGAAGAAUAAAAAUACUUAAGUGAUGAAAAUUUAAGAAAAAUACAUAUAUAAAACUAAAAAUGAAUAAUAUAACCAAUUAAAAUUUUAAAACUAAUUUAAAAUGUCAAACACUCAAAAAUUUAUUUAAUUCACGCGAAGCACAGAUGGUAUUCCCUAGUUACAUAUAUAUAUAUGACACAUUAACACAAGUAAAUUUUGUCAAGUUAAUAAGAUUUGUGAAAAAAAAUUAACACCUUAAAAGAAUAAAUAUUUUAUUAAAUUAUGAAUUGUUGCUAUUAACGGACUUCCAUUCAAAGGUUAUAAUGCUUCUGCUCUUGACCUUUUAAGCACCUAACGUGUCAUACACUCUACUUCACUAUGAGUUGUGAAUAAUUGAAUACAUACAAAUUAUAGCAUAUGCCAAGUAACAAAUUAUGAGUCAGCAAUCAUAGCAAGUGGACAAUUGAAGAGAUUCACAUUGAGACAUGUGACAAUCUGGUUAAAAAAUGACAUAAGACCAGCUUGGUACGUCUUUAUUUAUUUAUUAUUAAUUUAAUAUACAUUUAAAAAAAUAAUAAAUAAGAGAAAUAUUUAUUAUAUUAUCCUUUAAAUAUAAAAGUUCAUUGAUUGAAAAAUAUAUUAGAUAAUGAUUAUAGCUAUUAACUAGGAGAAAAAUAAACACAAACAAAUAUAUUAUAUAUUCAUUAUCUUUUUAAAUGGACAAAUAUCAUUGAAAAUCGAUUUUUAAUAAUAUGGAUAGAUAAACAUGAGUGAAAGAAUAAAAAUGACUAAAUUUUUCCUUCUUCCAUUCCCCUCAAUUAAUUAAAAUUUGAAGAAAAAAAUGACUUUUUGAAGUCUUUUUUUUUCUUUUUAAAACUGCCUAGUGCACUAAAUUCAUGCCAUGUUCAAGGUUUGGGGAAGGAUUCGACCACAAGGAUCAUAAUAUUACCUGAUAUUUCUAUAAGAAAUUGCUUCCAUGACUUAAACCUCUAAUCUCCUGGUCACAUGUCAACAACUUUGCCAGUUGUUACUCCAAGACUCUCCUUCACUUUUUGAUGUUUUCUAAAAAUAUUUUUUAACAUUUGAAAUUGUAUUUAAACAUGUAUUUUACUUGAAAACUUUUUAAUAUUAUGUGAGUGAAAGUGAAAUUACAUACAAAAAUUGAUAUAUGUCAAUUUUUUGAAACUUCAAAAAUGAAUUUUCAAAAACUAACCAAAUUAAACAAAAAAAUGUUUUGAUUUUUGUGGAAAUAAUUAUUUGUGAGAGCCUAAAGGAAGGAAUGAAUGACAGAUAAAUAGUACAAGAAAAAAGUGUACAAAAUAUCAAUGGAAAAAACAAUCUCCUGUCCUUAACUUGGAACCACACAUGAAUAUCGAACAAUACACUUAUUUUUUUUAUGUAAAUUAUAUAUGACUGGUUAUUAUUGACUCUCUAGUUUUUUAUUUUUUGGAAAUUUUAAAAGAAAUUCACAAUCUCUGUGUCAUAGUCUCUAUCCUUUGAAUGAGUAUUCUGUGAUAAACCCCUUGUGGUAACCCGUUUAUUGUGCAAUAACUCAUAAACCACCUAAAAAAUUUAAACUGCACUGGACAAACUCCAUGCGACGAGCUCAUGGUUGAGCAAUAGACAGUGGCUGAUUUUAAUGCCAGGUUUUUCUCACGAGAGACUCAUCUAUGAAUUUAUAACUUUAUAUUCACAACUUUGAAUUUUAACAAUAAGCUCAACCCAACUUAUAAACAACCACAAUUGAAGUACAAACUAUUUUCUGAAAAAUAGCGAAAUCAAACGUUUAGAAAGAGAUGAAGAUUGGAAGAUUCAAAUCUAUCAAAUUUACGGUGUAUCCUUAAGGAAAUUACUUCCCUCAAGCACCUGAGGUUAUGGAAUAUAUCCUCUCAGUAUAAAAUGAAUCACUUCGACAGAAUAGUGUUACCUCAAACUCUGUCGAACUACGAAUAAACUCAACGAUAGCAAAUCACAGUAGAGUUUUUCAAGAAAGAAGAGUGUUUUUACUUCAAAAUUUCAUGUAUGUACCUGAGAAAAAGAUCAGGUAUUUAUAACCAUCAAGGUGUUGCUUCAUGAAGAGAAGUAAUGGUUCAAAAAGGUGCACUUCUUCAUAAAGGUUCAACUCUUCGAAAAAAGUCACUAAUCAUUGAAAAGGUCAUAACCAUCCAAAAUGAGAACAUGUAUAUUUCAAUUGCAUCAUUUCUUUUUUUUUUCUUUUGAAGAAACACCUAUUCAUUUUCAUUCGCACCUCUUAAAAAUCUAACAAUUCUCCACAUAAAUGGUGAAUGACUAUUUUAUCAAGAAAUAUACGAACAAGUGUGUAAUCUACAAGUAAAGACUAAUUGCAUCUAGAUAAGUAAGUUUCCUUUUGAACUUUUCGUAAUGAACUUGCAUCGGAUGACUCGAUCAACCGGUAGAUAUGACAUCUUUGAACCAUCGAACUUUAAUGUACGCCUAGACAAUACAAGUCACACAACAUGUUAGAGUUUGUGUAACACCCCGUACUUAAUUACGUGCAUUAGUCAUUGUUAUAUGUGUUGGAGUAUAUGUAUUGAUCCUAAGUUAGGUAUAUAUGAGUUUAAGUAUGAGUAUUGAUUAUUUUGAGAUGGUUUCAAGUGUAUAGUUUGAUUAUAGGUGUAUAGGAAUCGACUUUAUUUAUACCGGAAUUUUCCCGUCGAUGGUUCCAUACGAAGGUUAUUGAAUAAGCUUUCCAACGAUAUAAAGAUUUCCAAAAACGGAUAAGUUUCGGAUAUAAGCGAGCUCGUUCGAAACAUUAAAACGGUGGCCGGGAUGUGAACAGUAAAUGUGCAGGAAAACUACUGAGGCCUGCCAGUUUUUUGGGUCAACUUUGAAUGAUCAUAACUCCCUCAAUAUAAUGAACUGGGAGAGCUACAACAUAUCAAAAGAAAGAUCUCUGAGUCUUCUUUCCAAUGCAAUUGGUUUCAUCCAAAUCCAACAUCUGAGGAAGGAGUUAUACUCGUUUUACUUCAGCCUCUCAAAACAGAUUUUUAGGGUCAACUUCAAACGAUCAUAACUACUUGUACAGGACGAACUGGGUGGAUUAAUUUAUAUUAAAUGAAAGACCUUUGAAUUAUCUUUCUAACGAUACCAAUUUCACCCAAAUCCGAUAUCGGAGCAAAGAGUUAUGGCCGAUUUACUUUAGCCUAUCAAAACAGUCCACCAUGGACAGAUUCGGAUUUACUUAAAUUUUUAAGGGCAAUAUGGUCAUUUUCCAUCACCUCUUGAACGAAAAUUGGUCAUUAUAUACAUAUACUUAGCCUUAUAUCCACCAUUUAUCAUCCAAAUCAUUGAAGAAUAAGAAACCCUAGCCUAAGUUCAACUCCAAUUAUCUUGUGAUUCAACCGUAGAAAAUCCAAAUUGAUUCCGUAGUUGUGUUCACCGUCUCAAGGGCUUCGAGAAGCACCCCUUAUUUGUGCCAACAGGACUUCGAAAUCAAAAGGGCCAUUUUUUUUGGUAAGGAUGUAAAUUAUGUUGGUGUUAUUUAUAUGGAUAUGUAUAUAUAUAUAUAUAUGCAUGUGAGCAUAAGAAGUAUGUUAUUUGAUUGUUGUUGAAAGAUGAUUGGAAAUGAUGUUGGAUUAUUCUUGUGCAUGGUUGGAUUAUGUUAAAUUGUGAAGGAAUUUGGGGUGAUGAUGUGGUAUUGAUGAUGUGGUAUUGAGAUGAUGAUUAUAUACAUAUACACACAUAAACCUAUUGUUCAAGUUGGUUUUUGGAAUGUUUUGCAAAUAUUGGUAGUAUGGAAUUAUGGAAGAGAAUUGUGGUGUUGGGUUGCUAAUACUAGAUGCCAAACAUUUCAUUGUAGAUAAGUGAUUUGUAAAGGCGGGAAGUUGUGUUGAAUUGGUAUCUGAAUCUACAACGAGGUAUGUAAAGCAUACUCUAACAAUGUUCUUUGGCAUGAAAACACCAAUGUUCCAUCAAGUAAGAUUCCGAGGUUGUCCAAAAACAUGUAUUGUUCUACGUUACCAACGAAGUUGUUUCCAUCCUAUAAAGUGUCAAAAUGUUCAUUGAUAUACCAAAAGGCUCUUAUUUCAUUGUUGUGAUAUUGAUGAUUCUGAAACAUAUUGUUGAUGUACCAAUGAGUCCUUAUUACAUCGUUAUUGUAUAGAAGGUCUAUUACUUGGUUCCUAUUGAUGUAUCAUUGUUUCAAGGUAUCAAAAAUGUGGUGACGACCGAAAUAACAAUCUCAAAGAUUAAUUGAACUAAGUGAUGAAAGUUCUCUCUUAUCGGGUGGUAUCCCAGGGGCAUAAGCCUAGCAUGGGUCGAUCCCUAUUUCAUGUGUUUAUGGGUGGUAUCCCAGGGGCAUAAGCCUAGCAUGGGUCGAUCCCAGUUGAUAUGUACUGGAGGCAUCCUAAUGGUCACAGUACAGUACAGUAAUGAUUACAAAGACGAUAAGAACGAAGGUAAAGUGAUUGAAUAAAUACAAUGUACAGGUUGUCACAAGUUCUAGUAAGUGUGGUCCACUCCUAUUACGACUUAUUCACUUGUUUCUGAUUUCUAUUGAGCUCCUAUAUCAUAUGUGAUUAUUUACAGCUUUACAUACUCAGUACAUAUUUCGUACUGACGUCCCUCACGGGGGACCUGCAUUUCAUGCUGCAGGCACAGGUACCUCAACUCAUACACCGCACAAGUAGGAGCCAGGUCAUACAGCUAUUGUUGGUGAGCUCCAGUUUGCUUCGGAGCUUUCCGAGUCGGUUCCUUAUGUUUUGUUAUUGUACAUGAGUCACGUGUGGGCGGGGGUUUGUCCCGACCCUAGUUAUGUCAUGUAUAUCCUAGAGGCUUUGUAGACAUAAGGAAGGGUAAAGUCAUGGAAGUUUAUAUAGUAACGUUAUAUUUGUAUAUGUGGUGGCCCCGACGGCCAAGUAUUAUAUAUAUAUAUUUGUGCGUGUUGUGCUGAUACAGGUAAUUAGACCUUUCUAUAUGCAACGAAGUGCUGUCCAAUUUUUUUGGUGACAUGUAAGUGAAAGUACAGGUAUUUGAACGGGUUCUCCCGGGCCUUCUCGGCUUCGGGUGCCAGUCCGGCCCGAUGGGAUUUUGGGGCGUGACACAAGUGAUCAAAAAUCCACUAUGGUAUGAUGACACAUUUUUUAAAGACAAAACUCUCUUCUUAAAAGAUGAUAGUUUGUCAAUUGGAGGGGUUAGUGGUCCAAAAGAAGGGGGUGUAUGUUCUCCAAUGACCUAUUCAUUCUUGUGUGAACCCAUGCUUGAUCAAGGGCUUAAUGCUUGUAGAUCAAAGGGUGAUUCUAUAUGUGGGCACACCUUAAAUAAACUUUAUUUAAGUAACACCUUUCUAUACCACUUUUUUUGCAUAUGAUGAUACUCUUUCCUUUGAGUGGAGUAUGUUAUGUGAGAGUAGAGUGUCAAUGGGGCAAAUAGGUGUAUGAUUUUACCCAUGUUUAUGGAUUGCCUUUUCCUUUUGUCCUGGUAAUGAUUUGAAUAGUGGCGUUUGUGAUAAAAUACUUGGUUCAAAUGACAAGAAAGUUGUGGGUGAGGUUGUUGGCUUGCGUGGUGGUAAGUAUAGUAGUAACAUAUUUUUUCUCUCAUAUGAUUAUUGCUUGGUGUUAUUACUUGAUCUUAUAUGUUUAAUAAGAUAUAUUUGCCAAAUUAUGUAGAGAAUACCUUCGUAUUUAAUCUCCAAUGAUGAAUUAGGAGUAAUUCUAUUCUUUAAGAUAGUUAGUGCAUUGGAUAGAGUAUUGACUUGGAAUGACCUCAUUUAUGACAUGAAACAUAGUUAUAUGGGUUAUCAUGUGUUACAUGACUUAAAGGGAGAUUUUUUUUUCUAAAUUUAGAACCAUUGAGGACUUGUAUCAGUGGUUGCCUAAACACCAUGGUUCUUUUGAUUUGCCCCUUUGUCAAUGUUUCCUAUGUAGCCAAGUAUAUCAAUUUUUGUUGGGUGACAAACCAUUUAUGACUCAUUUUUUUGCUUGGUUAUAUGUUAAAUGUGUACACCCUUGGCAUGGCCAUAAAUUUGUUAUUGAUAAUCCUUGUGUUAAACCUCAUGCUACGAUGAUAUGUUUGUUGUUUUUCCUUCUCAUUUUUUAAAAAAGUUUGGAUUCGUGGAUGAAUUCUUUUGAUGAAGUGGAUCAUGAUUAGCUUGGAACAUAUUAGGAGGGUCUUCCAUGUAUGGAUGAUAUCUUGGAGUUUGAAGGAAGGCAUGAAGAAAUAGAUACAUAAGGUCAUUGGCAAUCAAGAUGCCAUUUGGCCAAUUAAGAAGGUCCCUUGUGAGUUAUUUGUAAAAUGGUCACAUUAGGGAGAUUUUUGUAAUAGACUUUUUCUGUAAAGGCACUGACUAUAAAUAGUUUCUUUAUCCAUUUUCAUCACUUAGAUUUGGAAAAGUGAAUUGUCUUGAAUAGAAUUGAUAUUUAGUUAUUCGAUAUUAGGGCAGUAAUUGGGUUCAAUUUCAAUUGUUAGCUUAGAUUGAGUGAUUAGGGUGUCUUUCUAAAUUGUUUGUGUUAUCUUCUUCACUUGAUUUAUCAUUAAGUUAUCAUAUUAUGGAUUCAAUCUGGUUUCUCGUCCAUUUGAUUAAGUUCUCUAUUUUUCUUAGCUUAAUUAUUAUUUGAUUAAGUCUUUCUUUCAGCACUUCUAUAAUACCCCAUAUUAUUAUUAGGUCAGUUCAUCUUCUAGUUGUAUGCAUAAGGGGCUUAAGGCCUAAAAAUUUCACUAAGUGUUGGGGAAUUAGUCAUUUAUAAGUCCUCUUAACUUCGAGGAUUUUUCGAUUGGUCUUCCCGAUCCUAAGGUGUUGGUUUUUGAGUUAAUUCAUAUUCAGGGAUGUAAGGAGCAUGUCUUAGAGAAGUUUCAAAUUUUUUGAAUGAGGUUUCGGUCAUGUUUGGAUCACAAAUCCAGAAAGUCACUGCGAUACGGCUGCGUCGCUUUAAUAUUUCCAUUUGCAUGCUCACUGCGUUGCGGUAAGGGAAAUGGAUGACUUCAAUUAGACCGCGUUGCGGUAAGUAUGUUAUGCCCAGUUAUGAAUUUAAUUGCCUGAGGGGAAAUUGUGUCUGUUCCCCUCAACCCAAAUCAUGCAUAACACGAAUUGAGACAUCAUUUAGAGCAUUAUUUGCCCUUCUUCUCUAAAUCCAUCUCAAGAAAACCCUUCCCACUUUCUCAAAAUCACCAAUUUCAAUUUUUUUCUCCCUAAAAAACCAAGGAACUCAAGCUUCAAAUUCAAGAAACCCUCAAGAAAUCUUCAAGAAAUCAUCUAUUAAGGUAUGUGGAUGUUCAUUCAUGGGUUUCUUUCAGAAUUACGAGAAUUGAAAGAGCAAUUGAAAGAUUUGCUAGAAAAGGGGUUCAUUAGGCCUAGUAUUUCCCCUUGGGGAGCACCAGUGUUAUUUGUACGCAAAAAGGAUGGCUCGCUGAGGAUGUGUAUUGAUUAUCGGCAAUUGAAUAAGGUGACUAUUAAGAAUAAAUAUCCUCUCCCAAGAAUUGAUGAUUUAUUUGAUCAGUUACAGGGCGCCAAGUGCUUUUCUAAGAUUGAUUUGAGGUCAGGUUACCACCAAGUGAGGGUCAAAGAAAAAGAUAUACCCAAAACAGCUUUCCGAACAAGGUAUGGUCAUUAUGAGUUUCUAGUUAUGUCAUUUGGGCUAACAAAUGCACCCGCAGCUUUUAUGGAUUUGAUGAAUAGGGUUUUUAAGCCAUUCCUGGAUGUAUUUGUGAUAGUUUUUAUAGAUGAUAUUCUAGUUUAUUCUAGAUCAGAAGAGGACCAUGCCAAUCACUUACGACAGGCAUUGCAGACUCUUCGUGAUUGUAAGCUUUAUGCAAAGUUCUCUAAAUGUGAGUUUUGGUUAAAGUCGGUGGCAUUUUUGGGUCAUAUUGUAUCUAGUGAAGGGAUAAAGGUUGAUGCUCAAAAGAUAGAGGCUGUGAAGAACUGGCCAAGGCCCACAACGCCUACGGAGAUUCGUAGUUUUCUUGGGUUGGCCGGUUAUUAUAGAAGGUUUGUCAAAGACUUUUCUUCCAUUUCAGCACCCUUAACCAAGCUAACCCAUAAAGCAUCCAAAUUCCAAUGGAAUGAUGCCUGUGAGAAGAGUUUUCAAGAUUUAAAGAACAAGUUGAUUUCUACACCCGUGUUGGUACUACCAGAAGGCACCGAAGGGUAUACAGUGUAUUGUGAUGCUUCCAGAAUUGGUUUAGGAUGUGUAUUGAUGCAGCAUGGUAAGGUAAUAGCAUAUGCUUCUAGACAAUUACGGCCACAUGAGAAAAAUUAUCCUACACACGAUCUUGAGCUGGCAGCGGUUAUUUUUGCUUUAAAGAUAUGGCGCCACUACUUAUAUGGGGUUCACGUUGAUAUAUAUACUGACCAUAAGAGCUUGCAAUAUAUUUUUAAUCAGAAGGAUCUAAAUUUAAGGCAGCGGAGAUGGCUUGAACUAUUAAAGGACUAUGAUGUUGAUAUCUUGUACCAUCCAGGGAAAGCAAAUGUGGUAGCUGAUGCGUUAAGUCGUAAGGCUAUGAUGGCGCCUAUAGAAAGGCAAGGGAUGGUUAAAGAUCUUCACCAGUUAGCUAGUUUGGGAGUUCGCCUUCUUGAAACUCCGAAUAAAGAGCUUAUCGUACAUAAUGCUGCGGAAUCUUCAUUAGUAGCUGAAGUGAAAGAGAAGCAAUAUGCAGAUCCUAUUUUAUUACAUCUUAAGGAGAACGUUCAGAGUGGUGCGACCAAGGCAUUUGAGCUUACGCGAGAAGGAGUACUUCAGUGCCAAAACCGAUUGUGUGUGCCGGAUAUAGACGGGCUAAGAAAGAAGAUUAUGACAGAGGCACAUUUUUCAAGGUAUUCCAUUCAUCCAGGAUCAACCAAAAUGUAUCAAGAUUUGAAAGAUAUGUAUUGGUGGAAUGACAUGAAGAAGAGCAUUGCAGAAUUUGUAGCUGAAUGUCCAAAUUGUCAAAGAGUUAAAGUUGAGCACCAAAAACCCGGAGGCUAUAUGCAAUGCAUAGAUCUUCCAAUUUGGAAGUGGGACAUGAUCAACAUGGAUUUUGUUACAGGUUUGCCUCGUACAGCUCGAAAAUUUGAUUCUAUAUGGGUGAUUGUGGAUAGGCUUACUAAAUCCGCACAUUUCUUACCCGUUAAGACCACUUACACAGUUGAAGAAUAUUCGAAGCUGUAUGUUAAAGAAAUAGUCCGAUUACAUGGAGUGCCAACUUCUAUUAUAUCGGAUCGGGGAACUCAAUUUACUGCAAACUUUUGGAAGUCUUUCCAACGGGGUUUGGGAACACAAGUGAAUCUGAGUACAGCUUUUCACCCUCAGACGGAUGGACAAGCAGAGCGCACCAUUCAAACACUUGAAGAUAUGCUACGAGCAUGUGUUAUAGAUUUUAAAGGCAGCUGGGAUGAUCAUUUACCUCUUAUUGAGUUUGCCUACAAUAAUAGCUAUCAUUCAAGUAUCAAAAUGGCACCAUAUGAAGCUUUAUAUGGGAGAAAGUGUAGAUCACCAAUAGGAUGGUUCGAAGCGGGUGAAACUCUUAUGUUCGGACCGGAUCUUGUGUAUCAAGCCAUAGAAAAAGUCAAGGUGAUACAACAACGGCUAAAAACAGCCCAAAGUCGUCAUAAAUCAUAUGCAGAUAUUCGGAGAAGAGGGCUGGAAUUCUCUAUUGGAGAUUGGGUAUUUUUAAAGGUAUCACCAAUGAAAGGGGUUAUGAGAUUUGGUAAAAAAGGGAAACUAAGCCCACGUUACAUAGGGCCAUAUAAGAUUACCAAGAGGGUCGGACAAGUUGCAUAUGAAUUAGAGCUACCCCAGGAACUUUCAAUGGUUCAUCCAGUGUUUCAUGUGUCAAUGCUUCGAAAAUGCAUAGGUGACCCCUCUCGUAUCACUCCUAUAGAAGAUGUACAGGUCACAGAGGAUCUUACUUAUGAAGAGGUACCGGUUGCUAUUCUAGAUCGCCAAGUUAAAAAGUUAAGGAACAAAGAAAUGGCAUCAGUAAAGGUACUUUGGAGAAAUCAACAAAGGGAAGAGAUUACAUGGGAAGCUGAGGAAGCAAUGAAAUCUAAGUACCCUCAUUUGUUCAAAGAUGAAGAGGAAGUUCAAGAAACGGAGUUAGAACAUUAACAAGUAAGUUUUUGUUUAUAUAUGCAUAGUAUUUAUGUGAUGAUGUGAAUGUUAAUGGUGGACUUGAACUUGUUUCGGCUAAAUAACUACAUUCACAUUCGAGGACGAAUGUCCUUAAGGGGGGAAGGAUGUAACACCCCGUACUUAAUUACGUGCAUUAGUCAUUGUUAUAUGUGUUGGGGUAUAUGUAUUGAUCCUAAGUUAGGUAUAUAUGAGUUUAAGUAUGAGUAUUGAUUAUUUUGAGAUGGUUUCAAGUGUAUAGUUUGAUUAUAGGUGUAUAGGAAUCGACUUUAUUUAUAUCGGAAUUUUCCCGUCGAUGGUUCCAUACGAAGGUUAUUGAAUAAGCUUUCCAACGAUAUAAAGAUUUCCAAAAACGGAUAAGUUUCGGAUAUAAGCGAGCUCGUUCGAAACUUUAAAACGGUGGCCGGGAUGUGAACAGUAAAAUGUGCAGGAAACUACUGAGGCCUGCCAGUUUUUUGGGUCAACUUUGAACGAUCAUAACUCCCUCAAUAUAAUGAACUGGUUGAGCUACCAUAUAUCAAAAGAAAGAUCUUUGAGUCUUCUUUCCAAUGAAAUUGGUUUCAUCCAAAUCCAACAUCUGAGUAAGGAGUUAUACUCGUUUUACUUCAGCCUCUCAAAACAGAUUUUUAGGGUCAACUUCAAACGAUCAUAACUACUUGUACAGGACGAACUGGGUGGAUUAAUUUAUAUUAAAUGAAAUACCUUUGAAUUAUCUUUCUAACGAUACCAAUUUCACCCAAAUCCGAUAUCGGAGCAAAGAGUUAUGGCCGAUUUACUUUAGCCUAUCAAAACAGUCCACCAUGGACAGAUUCGGAUUUACUUAAAUUUUUAAGGGCAAUAUGGUCAUUUUCCAUCACCUCAUGGACGAAAAUUGGUCAUUAUAUACAUAUACUUAGCCUUAUAUCCACCAUUUAUCAUCCAAAUCAUUGAAGAAUAAGAAACCCUAGCCUAAGUUCAACUCCAAUUAUCUUGUGAUUCAACCGUAGAAAAUCCAAAUUGAUUCCGUAGUUGUGUUCACCGUCUCAAGGGCUUCGAGAAGCACCCCUUAUUUGUGCCAACAGGACUUCGAAAUCAAAAGGGCCAUUUUUUUGGUAAGGAUGUAAAUUAUGUUGGUGUUAUUUAUAUGGAUAUGUAUAUAUAUAUAUGCAUGUGAGCAUAAGAAGUAUGUUAUUUGAUUGUUGUUGAAAGAUGAUUGGAAAUGAUGUUGGAUUAUUCUUGUGCAUGGUUGGAUUAUGUUAAAUUGUGAAGGAAUUUGGGGUGAUGAUGUGGUAUUGAUGAUGUGGUAUUGAAAUGAUGAUUAUAUAUAUAUACACACAUAAACCUAUUGUUCAAGUUGGUUUUUGGAAUGUUUUGCAAAUAUUGGUAGUAUGGAAUUAUGGAAGAGAAUUGUGGUGUUGGGUUGCUAAUACUAGAUGCCAAACAUUUCAUUGUAGAUAAGUGAUUUGUAAAGGCGGGAAGUUGUGUUGAAUUGGUAUCUGAAUCUACAACGAGGUAUGUAAAGCAUACUCUAACAAUGUUCUUUGGCAUGAAAACACCAAUGUUCCAUCAAGUAAGAUUCCGAGGUUGUCCAAAAACAUGUAUUGUUCUACGUUACCAACGAAGUUGUUUCCAUUCUAUAAAGUGUCAAAAUGUUUCAUUGAUAUACCAAAAGGCUCUUAUUUCAUUGUUGUGAUAUUGAUGAUUCUGAAACACAUUGUUGAUGUACCAAUGAGUCUUUAUUACAUCGUUAUUGUAUAGAAGGUCUAUUACUUGGUUCCUAUUGAUGUAUCAUUGUUUCAAAGUAUCAAAAAUGUGGUGGCGACCGAAAUAACAAUCUCAAAGAUUAAUUGAACUAAGUGAUGGGAGUUCUUUCUUAUCGGGUGGUAUCCCAGGGGCAUAAGCCUAGCAUGGGUCGAUCCCUAUUUCAUGUGUUUAUGGGUGGUAUCCCAGGGGCAUAAGCCUAGCAUGGGUCGAUCCCAGUUGAUAUGUACUGGAGGCAUCCUAAUGGUCACAGUACAGUACAGUAAUGAUUACAAAGACGAUAAGAACGAAGGUAAAGUGAUUGAAUAAAUACAAUGUACAGGUUGUCACAAGUUCUAGUAAGUGUGGUCCACUCCUAUUACGACUUAUUCACUUGUUUCUGAUUUCUAUUGAGCUCCUAUAUCAUAUGUGAUUAUUUACAGCUUUACAUACUCAGUACAUAUUUCGUACUGACGUCCCUCACGGGGGACCUGCAUUUCAUGCUGCAGGCACAGGUACCUCAGCUCAUACACCGCACAAGUAGGAGCCAGGUCAUACAGCUAUUGUUGGUGAGCUCCAGUUUGCUUCGGAGCUUUCCGAGUCGGUUCCUUAUGUUUUGUUAUUGUACAUGAGUCAUGUGUGGGCGGGGGUUUGUCCCGACCCUAGUUAUGUCAUGUAUAUCCUAGAGGCUUUGUAGACAUAAGGAAGGGUAAAGUCAUGGAAGUUUAUAUAGUGAUGUUAUAUCUGUAUAUGUGGUGGCCCCGACGGCCAAGUAUUAUAUAUAUAUAUAUAUAUAUAUUUGCGCGUGUUGUGCUGAUACAGGUAAUUAGACCUUUCUAUAUGCAACGAAGUGCUGUCCAAUUUUUUUGGUGACAUGUAAGUGAAAGUACAGGUAUUUGAACGGGUUCUCCCGGGCCUUCUCGGCUUCGGGUGCCAGUCCGGCCCGAUGGGAUUUUGGGGCGUGACAGUUUGUGACCCAAAUUUUUAUUGAUCCGGCCCUGAAAAGAUCACGGGCGAUCCAUGUUUGAGAUUUUUUGGGGGGUCUAUAGUGGUAGCAUAGGGAUCGGGCGGAUAGGUUUCUUGUACGCACGUAUUAUAUAAGUGCGACUUAGAGGGUUGUUUUAAUAUGACGGUUCUCGUGUGUUAUUGAGAACUUUGGCUCCUCCUUGUAUUCCUCUCCGAUAUUGUGAAUUUCUCCUCCUCUGCCUAUGAUUUUUACCAUCAAGGAUUUUCACGUAAAUCUGUGUGUGUUCAUCUUAUUUUUCUUUUGCUUAUUCCUGUUUGAUUUCAUAACACAACCAACCUUUUACCAUUUAUGGUUGUCAUGGUUUUGUUCGUUUCAGCCAUGAACACUUUCUGAUUUCAUGAGAAUAGACCUUUACUAUUAUUCUCUUUAAAGCGGCUUCCACUUCACCCUCACAUAGAUGAUUUCUAAACAUUUAAUCCUAUAGAUCAAACUAUUUGGUCAAACUUAUCAAACUUAGAAACCAUUAAAAAGCUUCACACCAUAAAUCUUAUCCUUGUUUCUUGAACAUUGUUUUCAUCAUGAGAAUGAGUUGAGCUAAUUGACAAUUUUGAACCGUUAGUCACAACUUUGUUUGAUGAGCCUAGCUCUUAAGAUCUCUAAUCCACUAGGUAGGAUUACUGUCGUGAUAACUUGUCCUAGGUCAUAAACCUAUUUCUUUCGAUGAUCUCUCAACUCCCUCUCUAGAUAGGCCUUUUAUAAGCAGAUUCAACACAUUAUUCUUUGACCCCACACAGUCAAUCGUGAUAAUUUUACUAUAGAGUAGUUCUCUAGCAGUAUUAUGUCUCCAUUUUAUAUGAUGAGAUUUUUCAUUAUACAUUUUAUACUGGUGCUAAAAGUUGGUCCAAUAAGACAUAUCUUCAAUUUUUUUUUAAAGUAUUCAACUUCUUUAUUGACUUUAUAUAACACGAUAAAUUUAGAUUCCAUUUGAUACUAGUAUUUUGUGUGAGAUGUCUUGUAUUGUAAUCUGAAAUGUUCAAAUUCAAUAAUAUGAAAAAGAUACAACUUAAAUUUCAAUAUUUGAAUUGACUUUGAGUGAUAUUGGAAUAAUAAGCAAUAAUGAAAACGUGAUUAUUUUUUAUGUUAAUUGGGUAAUUUAACAAAUUAUAAUUAUUUCUUAAUUUGUUAAAUUAGAAAAAAAAAGUUAUUAACUAAGUAAAAAUAGAGAACCUUAUUAUUGUUAUUUUCGUUUUUUGUGUGCGUAGAUGAAGGGAAUGAAAGUUGAUUCAUUCUUAUGAAAAUUUUUUUUGCAAUAUUGGAUGUCAACGAGCCUUUUCUUAUUUUGUAUUAAUUAUAGGAAAUUUCCAACUCGUCACAACACAUGCCAAAUUUUGUCACUCCAACAAAAUUUAUAAACAUUUUAACAAGAUAAGUGAAUAAAGAUUACAAAAAAAAAAAUGAUUACUCGUAGCAAACAAUUACAUAGUAUAUAAGAUAUAUUAACACAACUAAAUUUUCUUAAUUUGGCAAAGAUUUAUGAAAAUAAAAACAUAAAAUUUUUUAUUAAAUAAUCACUAUCAACUUGUGAAUAAUUGAAUACCACUUAAACUAUAGGAGUAUUAUUAUUUACCAAAUAUGGCUAGCAGACAUAGGUAGAAGCAGAACAAAUGAAGCAAAUUUGACAAAAAAUUCCAUCUCGAAGAUACGUGACAAUCUGGGUCCCCUGGCCUUGAAAAUGACAAAUAGGACCUAAACUGACUUUUUAAAGUUGUUAAAAAAUAAUUUUUGAAAUUUAAAAUUAUGUUUGGAUAUGUAUUUUAUUUGUAAAAUUUUAAUAUUAUGUGAGUGGAAGUGAAAUUUCGAAUAAAAACUGAUCUACGUCAAUUUUUAAAACUUAAAAAUAAAUUUUAAAAAGUUGAUCAAAUUAAAAAACACUAUUUUCAAUCUUCUUUUUUUUAAAAAAAAAAAAAAAUCAACUCCUAAAAUCUAUGGUCCAAUGACAGCUAGAUCACAUCCACAAUUAGGGGUGUGCAAAAUCGAACCGAACCGAUAAAAACGUUAUUGGGUUAACAGUUUUUUAUUGGUUUUAUAAAAAAUUUUAUUGGGUAAACGGUUCGGUUUCGAUUUUAGCUUAUUGGGUUAUUGGUUAAACCGAUAACCCAAUAAGGAUACACUAUAUUAUUGUUUUAUCCCUAUUUAUGUUAUAUGAAUAAAUAUCUCUCUUAUCUAUCUAUCUAUCCAUCUAUAUAUAUAUAUAUAUAUAGAGAGAGAGAGAGAGAUAGACAGACAGACGGACGGACGGACAGACAGACAGACAGUUCAAGUUUUUUCUAAUUAACAUUCAGUUCAAGUUUGAAGAUUCUUGUAAACUAAAAUGUAUUGCGUAGGAUUUUAGCGGUAACUAAGAUUCAUUUUUUUCGGUUAGUUGUUACUAUUUCUAUUUUAUAAGUAUUUUCUUAUUGGUUAAACCGAAAAUCGAACCGUUAAGGACCAAAACCCGAUAAACCGAAACUGAUAAGAAAAUAUCUUAUUGGUUGGUUAUUGGUUUUACAUAUUUAAAAAUUAAAAAUUGAUAAAUCAAACCAAUAAUAUAUAAAAUCGAACUGAACCCAUCGAUGCACAUCCCUAUCCAUAAUAAUAGAAAUAAUUAUUUGUGGAAACUUAAAGGAAAAAAAAAACUGACAAAUAGUAAAAGAAAAUGUGUGCAAAAUAUCAAUGACCAAAGAAAACAAAAAACCCACCCACCACCACCACCCCAAAAAAAUAAACACAAAUGAAAAUGGUACAAUACACGGUAUUUUUCUUUAUGCAAGUUAAUUAUGUAUGACUGUUUGUUAGUCACUAUCUAUUUUUGUUAACCCUCGGAGAAAUUCAUAAUUACUGUCUACCAUAGGUAUUUUGUGGUGAGCACUUUGUGAUAAUAUACUCAUUCUUCAAUAGCUAGCAAAUUAUAUUGAGAUAUAAAUCACACUAGGUAAGCCCCAUGCAACGAGCUAAUAGACGGGGGUUGAAUUCGAUUACAGGUCUCCCAGAAGUAAAUUUUGUUAAGUUGACAAGAUUUAUAAAAAUAACAUAAAAAAAUAUUCUAUUAAAGUGAUUAGUCGCGAUCAACUUGUAAAUAAUUGAACACCACUUAAAUUACACUUUCUUCGUUCCAUUUUAUGUGUCAUAAUUUGAUUGGAUAUGGAGUUUAAGAAAUAGUAAGGACCUUAUGCUUUUUGCCAAAUUAUCUUUUAUUAAAAAUAUAUUAUCACUAUUUUUAAUCAAGUGGGUUUUAUAAGUGGGAUCAAUGAGGGUAAAAAUGAAAUUAUAUAGUUAAAAAAUUACCAAAUAAAAAAAUAUGACAUUGAAUACAAAAGUAAAAAAGGUCUAAAAUGCCCUUCAACUAUCUAAAAUGGUGCAAAAAUAUCCUUCAUCUACCUAUUGGGCCUAAAAUGUCAUUUCCGUCUAUCUAUUGGGUCAAUUUUACCCUUCCAUUUAACAACAACCUUUUGGCUCCACCUCAAUUAUGACAUAGCACAUUCAUAUUGGAUAAUUCAUAUUAAAUUAAGGAAAAAUUACAAUUUAUAGGUAAAAAUCUUUUAUAAUUACAUGGUAUGGGUAAUGUUUUAAAUAAUUACAAUUCAUAGGUAAUUGUUAGUUAAAAUGCAAUUUUAUGUGGGUCCAUUUAUACAAAUAUAAUUUGUAAUGUAUAUAAUUAAGGCAAAUAAGAUUUUCUCUCUCAUAAUUAAUAUUUUAUUCUCUCCCUUAGCCGAUUGGAGAGAUAUGCGGCAAAGAUUACUCCUUCAAUCUUAUUGGAUGUUAUAAGUGCCAGAAGGUAUUCAAUCCAUAUUCUAACUUUUUGCUCGAAAUUUUCUUGCUGAAGAUUGUGAAAAUUUUAAACUCUUUUCCAUUGAAAUAUCAAAACAGAUAUCUCUUUCUAUUUCUUCUCUCAAUUUUUCUAUAAUUUUGUAUUUUCAACUACAUAUUAGCUGUAUUUUGUCCAUUGAAGAUUACCUUGAAACUCUUUUCGUCCCUAAAAACUCGCAGAGAUUUGAUUUAAAAUUUUAAUGGUAAAUUUUAUAUAUUUACGGAUAUACAGAUUUGUUCUUCUUUACUUUUUCAAGUUAAUUGGUCAAGUGUAUAAGGACAAAGCCACUUUAAAAUUCGUGCAGUAACGGAACUAAAAAUUUAGCAAAGGGUGUGCAAAAUUUCUUCCUAAUUAUGUUAAGAGUGUGCAAAAUUAAAUAUUUACUCAUAAUAGCUAACAUUUAACCUUUGUAGACCACGUAAUUACUCGACGAAGGGUGUUCAUUUGACCACCCUUCAUUUAAGGUGGUUCCGCCCAUGAAUCAGUGAUGACCCAAUAUGCAAUUUGAAACAGAUUUCAAUUCAAUACAAAAAAAUCAAAUGGUAACGGGUCAGUUGCUGUUUUUUAUGAUUAUAUAUGUUUAUGUAUUUAUAUAUUUUUUUUAGUAUUUGUAUAUUUGUAUGUAGUUGUAGUUGAUUAUUUAUUUUUCAGUUGUAUUUGUAUAUCUAUAUAUAAUUUUAUUUGUAUAUAUGUUUUUAAAUUGUACCUGUAUAGCUGUAUGUAGUUAUAUUUGAUUAUUUAUUUUUUAGUUGUAUAUGUACACCUGAUGUAAUUGUAGUUGUGUAUAUGUUUUAUAAUUGUAUUUGUAUAUCUGUAUGUAGUUGUAUUUGAUUAUUUAUUUUUUAGUUGUAUAUGUAUAUCUGUAUGUAAUUGUAUUUGUAUAUAUGUUUAUUAAUUGUAUUUGUAUAUAUGUUUAUUAAUUGUAUUUGUAUAUCUGUAUGUAGUUGUAUUUAAUUAUUUAUUUUUUUAGUUUUAUAUGCAUAUAUGUAUGUCGUUGUAUCUGUAUAUAUGAUUUUUUAUUGUAUUUGUAUACCAGUAUGUAGUUGUAUUUGUAUAUAUAUAUUUUUUAAUUGAUUUUGUAUAUCUGUAUGUAGUUCUAUUUGUUUAUCUAUUUCAAGUAUAUCUGUUUUUUUUUUUUAUGUAUAGCGUUGGGUUUCAAAAAAAUCGUAUUUCAAGAAUUUAUAAUAAAAAUUUGAAUUUGGAACAUACCUGGUAAAAAUGGUUGUUGAAUUAUUCCUCUUCCUUCUCUCUAAUCUUCCCAAAAUAAUUUUUUUUAGAUUUAAUACAUGCUUUAAAUCACAGAUAAUGUGCUUUAAUGCUCAAUAAUGAAAGAGUAAUUAGUGGGAAGUUGGAGUAAUUUAAGGGGAUUUACUGCUUUCAAAUUUCCCUUUUUAUCUCUUGUUCAGUUAAAUUAUUUAUCUACUGAUUUGUAUAAUUCUGUUAUAUAUACAAAUAACUGUUACCUACUUUUGUCUAUAAUUCGUAAUUAUUGAAACUUUCUCUAGGAAGUUAGUUAUAGGUCUUAUACUUUACCUAGUUAUGAAUUUUUGCCUUAAAUUAAACUAAUUAAUUUUAUUUCUAAACCCAACCUGCCCAGCCAAAUAACCUGAACCCAACUAAAGUUGACCUGUUCCAAUUUUUUUUAACAAAAAAAAAUCCCCGUUCGUCGAUAUCUGUUUAUCUCCUCUCUUUGAAUUAUUGAAAAGAAUAAUAUUAUGAUGAAAGUGAGAAGAACUCUAUUUUUUCCUACUAGAAGACAAGGCUUGUCACAAUAUAUUAUGAAUACAUAAUGAUGAAUACAAAAAAUAAGAAAAGAAAUUAAAAUUUAAAAGGAACGAUCAACACUUGGUGACGUUGACAGUAAAAUCUCUCUACUAAUAAAAUAUUCAUAGAAAAUUUAAAAAGACCUAAUUUUGUGAAAAUGUGGCCACAAAGACAUUUUCGUCAGUUCUUUCUAAAGACAGCAGUUGCUAUAACUUUAGUGUAAAAUACAACCACCUGAAGCUUCAUUGGAGGCUCUACUUCAUUGACGUUAUGGCACCACAAAAUAAAGUUGUAAUGAUAUUAAAGAUUUCAAUGUUAAAAUAGUUGAGGAUAGCUUCACGUAGCUUGAGCAUUUGGAUUAGGGAAUUUUUUUUUUGUUAAAAGGAAUUGAAACGGGUUAAUUUUAGUUGGGUCUGAGUUAUUUGGUUGGGCGAGUUGAAUUUUGAGAUAAAAUUAAUUAAUUUAAUUUAAUAUGAAUUACUCAAUAGGAAUAUGUCAUGUCAUAAAUAAGGUGGGGUCAAAAAAUUAUUAUUAAAUGGAAGGAUAAAAUUAACUCAAUAGAUAGAUAAGAAGAAUUUUUGAACACAAUAAAUAAAUGAAGAAUAUUUUUGUACCAUCUUAAAUAGUUAAAGAAUAUUUUAGGUUCUUUUCUGAAAAAAAAUAAUAACACAUCAAAUGAGACGAAAGGUUACCAAAUAUGACUUGUAGACAUAACUAGUGAACGAAGCAAAUUUGCCAAUUUAGGAAAGCAAAUCUUCAAUUGAAAGACAUGUGACAAUGUGGUCCCUCUGGCCUUGAAGCCUUGAAAAUGACAAAUAGGACCUAAAAUGACUUUAUAAAGUUGUUAAAACAAUAAUUUCUGAAAUUUAAAGUUAUGUUUGAAUAUAUAUUUUAUUUAAAAAAUUUAAAUAUUAUGUAAGUGAAAGUGAAAUUUCAAACAAAAACUGGUCAUAAGGUUGCCCAAUACUCCCUCACAUUAAUCAUUUUUUUAUACGCAUAUAAAGAAAUUAUAAAUAAAAAUAUAAUUAUACUAAUUAAUCACUUAAAAAUUCUUUUGAGAAUUUUACAAAUAAGCAUAAAAAAUUAUUUAAAAAAAAUUAAGAAUAAUAUGAAAAAAAUUAAUAAAUAUAUUUUUUAUUUAAUAAUAUAAUUAAUUAAUAUAUUAUUUUUUAUUAAAAUAAUUAAUUAAUAUGAGACACAGCGGGUACAAUGAAUGUUCUCUAGCCUUGAGAAAAACAAUUGUUGGUGCCUAAUUUGGGUUUAAAGAAAAGGUCAUGGGUUAAAAAUGUUCUCCAGAGCCUUCUAUAUUUUUGUUUGGACUUCAAUUGUUUUUUUCUGAAGUCAUGCGUAUAAUAUAUAUUGAAGUUUUAGUAGUUGUUUAGUCAUGAAAAUUAAAAUUUCUGAAAUUAGAAUUAGAGUUAAAGUUGGAGUUUGGAGUAGUGUUUUACUAUGAAUAUAAAUUGGAGUUGUUCUUAAUUUUUCGCAAGAAAAAUUGAAAUUUAUUUUUAUUUUUUAAAAUAUAAUUUUAAAUUAUAUUUAAAUUUUUUAUGAUCGAAUACUAUAAUUUUUAUUAAAGUAGAAUAAUUUAAAAAAAAAAUAAAAAAAAGUUCAUGAUCAAACAUCUCCUAAACAAGUCUCACGAAACUCUAGUUCUUAAGGGGUGGUGAGGUGGUGGGAAUGGAGGCUGUGAGGAUAAGCCAAUGGGAGUAUGUUGAACAAUAAAAAAGAGUUAAUUAAUAUGAAAUGUUACUAGUGAAACUUUUUGCUUUUACAUUUUUACUUUUAAAGAAUUUUUAUAGAAAAAAAUAUUACUUUCUUCAUUUUAUUUUAUAUGACAUAGUUUGGUUUGAUAUGAUAUUUUCUUAAAAAAGAAGAAUUUAAAUUUGUUAUUCAAAUUAUUUUUUAAAUAUUUAUGUAAUUAUAAAUGAUUUCAUUAAGGAUGAAAGAGAUUUUUUUUUAAGUAUAAAAAAAUAGUAACAUUUUUUUAAAGGAGGACUAAAAAAUAAUAUAUCACCUAAAGUGGGACCGAGGACGUAAAAAAUUUUGAUUAAUCAAAAACAAAAUAAAUUGAGAGAAAUAUUUUUUGCCUCAUCAACUACAUGGUAUAUAUAUAUAUAUAUAUAUAUAGGGAGUUAGGGACACAGAAAUUUAACUCAAAACAAAAUGGACACAAUGCAAAUGAUAGUUUCAGUAUGUUGUGCUUCCAUAACAGUUACUUUGUUUGUGUGUCUAUGGAGAGUGUUGAAUUGGGUUUGGUUCAGACCAAAAAAAUUGGAGAAGUUGUUGAGGAAACAAGGUCUAAAAGGGAAUUCAUACAGAAUAUUGUUUGGAGACAUGAAAGAUUCUUCUAUGAUGAUUAAGGAAGCUACCUCAAAGCAUAUGAAUCUGUUUGAUGAUGAUGUAGCUCCAAGGAUAUUGCCUUUCAUUCUUGAAACAAUAAAGAAAUAUGGUAUGUAUUUGCUUAUCACUAUAUUUUGUUGUAGUUACUGUUUAAGAAUUAGUUUCUGGACAUGUUUGUUGCACGUGUAACCUAAGACAAAUUUUUAACUAUGUAUACGUAUAGCUAUAAGCAGUGUUUUAUAAGAUAGUUUUGGAGCUCACCUUGGGCAAGGCACCUGCAAAAUGCGUCGAGGCAUAGGUGUGUUGCUUAGUCCUAUGGGACUUAUGCCUUAAGCGCCCGACUAUAUGUCCUAAGCACAUCUAGCGCUCAACGCUCGGGGCUCCUCUAACACAUAUUAGGCAAAUUAUGUAUCAAAUUUCUUAUUUCUCUUAAAAAAAAUAAUGCUUAAUAAUUUUUCUAAUCUAUAGAAAUAAGAAGAUUGAGAGUAACUCAAAUAAUAAGUCAUUGAAAGCACCAUGAGUAUGAAUAUCAUCUGAAAUUUCUUUUAAAAAUACUUAAUUACCUGAAUUUUACAUCUUCACUUAUCAUUAGUCUUCACAUUAUUGUCACAAGUCAUAAAAUUAUCAUAUUUUAUCAUUUGUAGUACGUCUCAAAAUAAUCAUUAUUUUGAAACUGUGGCAUUCAUAUUCCCGUAUAUGCAUCUCUGGUCAAUAUUUUGAAUUAUACUUUAUUUUACUUGUGUGAAUAUGCCAUGGUUCACUUCAACAAUCUCCAUUUUGUUAAGGAUAAAGUAUGCUUGUCUGGAAGUAUUGUUGAAGAGUUGAAGACAUAAUUAAGAAAAUCAAAAGUGUGAUUUUCUGAACAACUUAAGCUUUUUGAUGAGUCGGUCACAUACAACGUGAUAACUGAGCAAAUAGAGGGCCUGGGUUCGAGUCUCACCGUCACACACAUACAUCUUAUAUUAUGAAGGUGCACUUAAGUGGUCAAACAUCGAUUGUGAUUUAAUUGAGAGAAUGAUCAUAUCAGCUAACAUAAUCCAAAAUUCUUACCUCCUUCUUGCAAGGUAAGAAUUGGAUGAAAUUGUAAUAAAGCUGAUUUAGUUAUCUUUUGAAGAUCACUAUAUUCAUUUUUUUUCUAAUUUUUGGUUGUAUAAAUGUUCUUCAAAUUUGUACCACUUGUAGUUAAUCGUGAGACAUAUGGUUGCAGGGAAAAAUUCUUUUGUAUGGAUGGGUCCAAAUCCACAAGUAUUAAUCAUGGGCCCUGAGCUUAUAAAGGAAGUACUCUCGAAAAACUACUUGUAUCAAAAGCCUCGUGGAAAUCCAUUUUUAGCGUUGUUGGUACGAGGACUGGUAAGUUUUGAGGAAGACAAAUGGGCCAAACACAGAAAAAUCAUCAAUCCCGCUUUCCAUCUGGAGAAACUAAAGGUUUGUCUCUGCUUCCCUUCCCCCUUUCCUCCUUCAACUUCGUGAUUGGUCAACCGGAAAUUAUUAUGUUCGCAAUUCUUAAUCUAUGAUGGAUAAAAUGCUCGUUCUUGCUUCUCUGGAUACUGUAUUUUCCUUGGCUUGGACAAGGCAUUUAGUCCAUGUUGCUAUUCCUAUUUCCAGGGACGACUACAUUUGGUGAAAUAGUUUCUUAGAUGUAUUACAGCAAAAUGGAUUUAUUUAUUAUAAAGACAUUUAUCAUUUCUGACCUCGCUCCACUUUAAUUGUUAUUUGAACACUCUUGCGUUUGAUUGAAUCGGCACUUACGCUAGAGGGUAGUGGUACCAAUAUAUAUGUAGUCCUGGUUCUGUUUAAGUGUUGGUGUCAUUGACAUUUUUCCUCUUUCACCAUUUUCUGGAACAGCAUAUGCUUCCAGCUUUUUACUUGAGCUGUAGUGAGAUGCUGCGCAAAUGGGAAGACGUUGUUCCAGUUGGAGGCUCUCAUGAGAUAGAUGUAUGGCCUGACCUGCAACAAUUGAGUUGUGAUGUGAUCUCUCGGACGGCUUUUGGAAGUAGUUAUGAAGAAGGUAGAAAGAUUUUUGAACUUCAAAAUGAACAAGCUCAGCAUCUUAUCCAAGCUUCACGAUCUGUCUAUAUCCCUGGAUGGAGGUAAACUAUAAUGUUCUUUAGAAAUGCAUAUUGCUUCCCUACAUCUUAACUAAUGCAGCAUUCUGUUUUUCUGUUUUAUGUAAUACUAUUUCAAAGAUUUUUGCCAACAAAGUGGAACAGAAGAAUGAAGGAAAUAAACAAGGAUGUUCGGUCCUCAAUUUGAGGUAUUAUUGAUAAAAGAUUGAAGGCAAUGGAAGCAGGGGAGGCUGACAAUAAGGAUCUAUUAGGCAUAUCGCUUGAAUCAAAUUUUAAAGAAAUUGAACAGCAUGGGAACAAGAAGUUUGGAAUGACCAUUGAAGAAGUCAUUGAAGAAUGCAAGCUAUUCUAUUUUGCUGGCGCAGAAACAACAUCAGUACUACUCGUAUGGACUCUGAUGUUGUUGAGCAAAUAUCAAGACUGGCAGGCACGGGCCAGAGAAGAAGUCUUGCAAGUGUUUGAGAGUCGUAAACCAGAUUUUGAUGGAUUGAAUCGUUUAAAAGUUGUGAGUAUUGUGGUUUUAUUGGUUCAAUUUAUCUGCCAUGAGUUUCUACUCUCAUUGUUAUUGCAAUUGCUUGAGUUCUUAAAUUUUUAAAGUUGGGACUUUCUGAUACUAAUUUGAUAGCGGACCAGGGAGGGGGUUGGGGGGAGUAUUUUUCCAAGCGCAUGUGAAUUUCUUUUGAUCAUAGGUGGGAUGAGACUUGAACUUAAGAUUUCUAUGUUGGUUACAGGAUAGUGCAGUACUCCACCUGUAGAAAAUAGUGUAACAACAAAAUUGAAAAGAGCUUGGCGAGUAGCCCCAUAAUUUCAGGAUAAGGGUCGCCUCCUCACAGAAAAAGGUCGCAGCGAUCAGGCCCAGAAGACUGUUUACCAAAAAACACAGGUCUUGGCAGAGUCAUAAAACCAUGUAUAUAUGGGACGUCUUCCCACUCUUGAAGGUCAAAGAAGUUAGUGACCUGAUGAUAAGGGAGUAGGCGACCAAAUCCCCGGUGAACAGUGUCCAUAAGCCCGUAACUGCAAUAUUAAAUUUUACAUGUCUCAUUCAUUCUAGAUAUAAUUGAAGGAGGAGCAUUUUUAUGGCAGGUCAGGAUGAUCUUGUACGAAUCAUUAUGACUGUAUCCCCCAGGAACAUCAUAUAUCCGGCGGGCUAAUAAAGACAUUGUUUUGGGAGACCUGUCUAUACCAGCUGAUGUACAAAUCUCUUUGCCAGUGCUCUUAUUGCAUCGUGAUAAAGAGAUAUGGGGUGAAGAUGCAAGAAUG